rnacentral:lncRNA from 1 species
GUUCCCACUUUGCAUCGUUCCUCUAAUGUUGGGCAAUUUUUAAUUGACAGAAGCUCAAGAGAAGUGAGGUGUCCAAUACCCUCCGGCAAGCAUCUCAAUCCUUUACAAUAUAUAAUCCGUAGAGUUCGAAGGGAUUGAAGACCUUCCCAAUUUUGCUCUGGUAAGGACUCCAAUUGUGGGAAACAAUUUACAACCAGAGAUUGAAGAGAAGUAAGGUUUUUGAACAUCUCCUCUGGGAAGGAUGUUAUUCUGAAACCGUCAUGUAGCCAAAGCUUUGUAAGACCACGGAAGGUAGAGAUUGACCUCAGUAACUCAUUGUUACAUCCCAAUACAUGGAGCAGUUUCAGAGAUGGAAGACAUGGCAGUCCAAGUUCAGGGCAAUAUGAGAUUUUCAAAUUAGAAAGACAAGGAAAUAUCUUCCCUCUUUCCACUUUCAAUAACCCCUCUAUGUUUCGUAGGCGUUGUAAUAGAAGUAUCUCCAGAGAUGGGAAAACCCUCACCUCCAUACCAUCCUCAGAUUCAUCAUCAUCUAAGUAUUUCAGAUUAUCCAUUUUGAAUAAUACCAACUUUUUUAGAUAUGGUAGUUUACAAAGUAACGGAAGCCGCACAAUUUUGUUGCAAUUCCGAAGUUCAAGAGAAAUUAAACUACUAAGAAGGCUUAUCCAACUUGGUAACGAUAAUCCUUCAUAGUAAUUUAUGUCCAAGCACUUGAGAUUUGAGUGAGGUUGAAGCUCUUCGAGUACUUGCUCAUCAUGAAUAGUUGGGGGCUCAGUAAAUCCAUCAUUGCUUUCCCAUGACAAACAUAAUUCAUGAAUGUCUGUUUUACCCAUCAAAUUAGCCGCUUCAGCUUCAGAUAAACUGCCCACAUCUUUUAAGCCUUUGAUACUCAGCUUUCCACCAAGGUUUAGAUCACAUAACUCUGUCAAGCUAUUCCCUUUCUCUAAACUAACAAUGUACAUGCUUAAUGUUCUUAGACAAGAUAAUUUGCCAAUGUUAGGAAACAUGAGAGACAAAGAUCGACAUCCUUUAAUGACUAUAUGUCUAAGAUUUUGUAAGCAAGCCAAGUGUUUCGGGAGACAACUCAGUUCACCGCAGUCUUUUAUUUUCAAUAUUUCCAGUUUUUGUAAGUUGUAAAUUGAGUCCGGCAACAUUUUUAUGUCAAGAGAACGAAGUUCCAAAUACCUUAAAUGAAUUAAACUUUCUAGUGAUAAUACAUGGGAUAUGCAUAAAACCCGAAGAGAGCGGUUUAAUGGGAAGUGAUCAUAUUUUUUUGCAAAAAAAUUAGGAUUCUUCAAGUUAAACAACAAUGUUCGCAAGGAUUCAACUUUUUUAAAGGCACCCUCAUCGAAUGAUAACAAAUUAUCGGAGUUAAAACUUAUGUGGUGUGUGCUUUUUGUCAAACUAGUCAUGUUUGCAUUCUCCAAAUACACACAUUCUUGCCCCAUUACUGAUUGAGCGAGAUCAUGGACAAGAUCAUGCAUCUUGAAAAAAAUGUCUCCAGAGUAUUCAUCCAUCUUGAUAUCUUGAAAGAAUGACUUUUGGUACAAUUCCUUCCAAACCAUAUUUCCAACAUCUUCAACGUCCAAAUUACCCUUAGAUGAAAUAAAUCCAUUAGCCAUCCAAAGUUGAAUCAAUUCUUCUUUCAGGAUUUCUCCAUCCUUGGGAAAUAUAGCGCAAAAGGAGAAACAUUGUUUUAGGGUUGGUGUUAAAUAAAAGUAACUCAACCUCAAAGCAAGCAAAAUAGAAUUUUCUUGUGGUAAAGCCCAAAGCUCACUGUCUUUAAUAUCAAGCCAUUCCUUUUCUUCAUUCCUUGAGCUCAUCAAACCUCCCAAUGUUUUUGCUGCAAGAGGCAAUCCAUUACAUUUCUUUACAAUCUCCUUUCCUAUUUCCACAAGCUUUGUAUGCUCUUCUCUGAAAUAUCCAAAUGCAUAUUCUUUGAACAACAACCAACAUUCACUAUCAGAGAGACCAUACAAAGAGUGAGCUUGGCAUGUUCCCAUGAUUGUUGCAACAAAUUUAUCACGAGUGGACACUAAAAUGGAACUACCUUUUGAUCCACACGACAACACAGACUUCAAAUGAUUCCAUUUAUCUUGUGUUAACCCAUAUUCCAAUUGUUGAUUUUGAUUCCACACAUCAUCCAAAACCAGCAAAUAUAUUUUACCUUGCAACAAUUCUUGCACCCUUCUUUCCAAUACAUCUAAAUCAAAGUCAGCAGACUUCUCUCUUGUGAUAGAUUCUACAAUAGAACACAAAAUUCUCUUGACUGAGAAAGUUUCAGAAACGCAAACCCAAAUUUUUUUAUCAAAAUUGCCACUCACCCUAACAUCAUUGUAGACCAAUUGAAGAAGAGUUGUUUUUCCAACACCACCUAAACCAAAAAUGGGAUAGACGGAAAGGAAGUCUGAGUCCCUCGUUUGGGUGAGAAGAAACUCAACAAUCUUUUCUUUAUCAUCUUCUCGUCCAAACACUUUUGGUUCAGCAAUAAUGGAGCUGGUUUGACGCCAUUCAGCUACUUCAUUUGAGCUUUCCUUAACAAUAGUACCCUCCCGUAGAAAAAACUUGUUCUUACUAUCAGCAAUAUCAUCCAAUUUCCUUGUAAUCUCUUUCAACCUGUUGCCGAUCUCAUGGCGAAACAUGAUGUUCUUUGGUUUGAAAGAGGUUAAUCCUCUAAGUUGACCAGACUUGAUUGAACACUCAUCAAGGAUAUCAUCGAGCACAUAAACAGCAUCUUUGAGUUGUUGUAGCCAUACCUUAAUAGAGUGGUCUGUGACUUGUUUCUUUUCAGCAUCUUCAAGAACAGCAUUGAUCAAAUCUAAGGUGGUUGAUAGUUUUUCAGCCUUUGACUUGAUUCUAGAAAUGGUUGAAAAUUCACUUUGUAGGAGAGACGUCAAAUUCUGAAACACAACUCCGAGUAAAGCGUCGGCCAUUUUUUGUGAAAACAAAGAGUUGAAAAUAUAAGUAAAUAAGAAAUUGGUUUAGAUUGAAAGAGUGUUGAAGUAAACAGAAGAACUUUGAGAAUAAAUGCAAUGGUAGUUGCAAGAAUGCAAGUGGUAUUCAAUAAUUGCGAGCAAACAUUCACGUAAACCACACAUUUAUGCAACUUGCAAGGUUCCAAUAUUGAUUGGGUGUUUUAGAACACGCAUUUUCUAUCACAAAUUUUCCCUCAAUUUUUUUUUUUCAAUCACAGAUUUAUUAUCGGGUCCAUUAUUGGUUUCGUUUCAUUUGUCUCUUGUUUUCACACUUGAACUACUUUAACCAAUAAGAUGUGGCCGACAUUUUAUUUAUUUAUUUAGUUGUUCCAUAUACAAUUUGGUCAUGCUCAUAGUUAUUUACUUUUGUGUACAAUUUGGGUCAUGCUAACUUGUAACUUAAUGAUACAUGUUAAACAACCUAAAAGUAUAAAAAAAAAAAAAAAAUCUUAAAUUUCGUACAUUCAAUUAAUUAAAAGAAAAAAAUUAAAUUAAAUGCAUUAAUUACAACAAAAUAUUUUUACAUUUGACUCAUUUACUUGUGUCUUAAGGGCAUAAGUUAACAUUUCACAAUAUGAUAAUUUGAAGCAUAGUUUCUUGUGUUCUCCUUGUACUCCCUCCGUAUGUCACCUUAGCAUAUUUUAUUUUAGCUAAAAUAUGAUUUUGGUCCUUGGAAAUAUGCCUCAUUUUGGUUUUAGUCCCUGUAAUUUUUGUUGUUGUUUUUGUCCAAAUAUGUCUCGUUUUGAUUUUGGUCUCUGACCUCACUUUUGUGAUGAUUUGCACACGCGGCACAUGACGACUGAACCCAUUUAUGAGAAAAAUAGUCCCUAAAAAAUCUUUUGAUUUUUAAAAAGAUCCCUGCAAAAUAUUUUGUUUUUGAAAAUAGUCCCUUAUUAUCUUUUUGCAUUAUUAUAUCCUUAUUUAUUAAAUGGAUUUUUCUAUCAUGUGUAAAUUUGCACAUGUUAAGAAGUUUUAAAUAAUUUAGUGUUGGAACUUGCACAUUUAAUAUUAAGAAUAAAACUUUUUAAUAGUUACUACUAUUAGUUGUUUUAACAUGUGCAAUGUUGCACAUGUUAGAGAAACCUUAAUUAAAUUGCAUUCAACUUAACUACUCCACUAACUACAAUUAAUAAGAGUAUUUUAGCAAGUGAUAUUAAUUUUAUCAUUGAAAUCAACGCAAUUUUAUUUCCUUAAUAAUCGUGCACAAAUCUUAAACGAUUACUCCCUCCGUCCCUAUUUCUAAGCACCUCUUGCAUCUUUAUCUUUAUUAUAUAUAUUUGCACUAUUUUUUUUUAAAAGUACACGUGUCAUUCUCUCUAUGCUAAUUGUCAUUAAAUGUCUUAAUUUGGCCAUAUGUCAUGGUAGUAUCAUUCAUUUGUUUGAUGGUUGAUUUUAUUGAGAAAGGAUUUUAAUUUGUGAAUUCUUAUAAAGAUGUAUAAGGGAUACAAAAUCGGUACAAUAAUUAUAUCAUUAAUUAAAAAUUAUCUUAUUUGGUAUCAUGCUUUCACAAUCUCUAGAGUUUUGCUCAAUUAUUGAUUUAAAUCAAAUUGUAACAAAAACUCAUUUUUGUGGUUGAAAAUUCUUAAUCAUCUCAUUAAAAAAUUAUCAUUCAAUGACAUUUUGACGUGUGUCAUUAUUGUGUAGUUGAACCAAUCAUAUUGCAUCGUUUUGUCUUUUUUGCAUCAUAUUACUUAUUUUUAUAUUGCUUUGCAUAAUAUUUCAUUUAUACUGUUUACCUAUAUAUACUCUGUUGUUAUUCAAUUGUCUCAUUCAUCUAUUCCUCCUCCCCCCAUCAAUCUAAAAAACGAGAUUAUAAUGGCAUCAAGAUCUGAUAACAUAUCUGAGAUCAGCCCUGUGAAGGAAUCAUGGAUCGUGGUUGUUCGGAUUGUCUGUGUUUUGUUUGUUUGUGAUGUCUCUAGAUAUUUUUAGGUUGUAAGCCAAUCAAGCAUUUUAGGAUUAGCCAAUUUUGUAUCAGAUUCUUUAUUUGUUCAUGAUGUCAUUUGCUUUUAUUAUUUUUCCUAUACAUAGUAUAUGUUUCUUUCAUCAUUUCCACUUGCACAUUUCUUUCAAAUAGUGUUGUCAAACUCCAAAAGAUUGUCAUGACACCAAGAUUUGAUAACAUCUAUGAAAUCAACUCGAUUAAAGAAUCAUGAAGCGAGUUGUUCGAAUAAUUCAUGUUUGGUUUGUUAAUAAUAUCAAUUGUGAUAGACACCCGUUCUAUCUAGAUAUGAUUCCCAUUGAUGCGCCUAUUUGUAUAUAAUGAAUGUAAAAAAAUGACAUUUUAAAUUAAUCUAAUUUUUGUAUAUAAUUUAUGCCAUUAUGAGUAACUUGGGUGGUGAUGUAAAUCGUGGAUUGUAUCGAACAAAAGAGAAUGAAUACAAACUCAAUUGUAUAAGUUUCCCAAGACUUUUUUUAUUUUCAUUUUAAUUUCAAUAUGGAUGAAUAAUAACUAUAUUGUGUUUGACAAAUUAUGUAUUUUAAAAUCUCUUCUUUGUCUUCUCCUGAUUUUAAUAAUAAAUUAUAAUUAUAUUGAUACAUUGAUACACGUAAACAUCACUAAUAUGUGCGUACACGUUACCAUCUAAAUAUAUUUUUCUUAUUCACUAUUGUCUAAUCAAAUAUCCACAUCGACACAUAUACAUCUUAAUCGUCUUAAUCUCUAUCUCUAUUAUAAACAUUUACUUUUUUUUUUUUUUUUAAAGUACACAUGACAUCUUCAUACUUCCCAUUUCAUUUAAUGUUUCUCCAUCAACCAAUGAAAAUGAAUCUUGACGUAUUCCUUUUCUAUUAUCCAAUCAAAAUGGAUCAUGACUCAUUUAUUUUUCAUGAGUCAAUCAAAAUUGAUCAUAACAUGAUUUUUUCACUAUAGCAAUUUGGUUUUUUUAUUAUUUUCAUCUACCUCUUCCUCCCAUAAAAAAUCACUGCUUUCAACGCCAUUCUAUUUUCUUUUAUUUGUUUAUUUUUUAUUGUUUUAUUGUUUAUUUAACAUUUCUUAUUGUUAUGUUCCAUUUUAUUGUGAUUUCUUAGGUUGAUGAUUCUUAUUCAUAUUUUCUUUUCAAUAUUAUUUUGGUGUUUAUAUUUUUUUUUCCGGAUAUUUAUUUUGGACAUGAAACCAAUCAAGAGAAAAGAAGAAAUGCAUCACAAAAAUUAGAAUUUAUACGAAGGAUUUCUAUCACCACGUUCAAAUAUAAUCACUUUCAUCCCCCUUUUGAUUUAUUUUAAUCCCUUAAUUCUCACAAUUUUUUCUAUCUAUCUAUUCUUUUUUGUUUAAUUUUUCUUAUGUUGUUAUUUUACUUUUAAAAUCUUUCUCUUUUAUAUUUUAUUUUGGUGAUUUUUUUUUUUGCUACUUUAUGCUUGAAAUGGAAACCAAUCGAUAUAUUAGAAGAAACGCAUCCAUUUUCAUAAAAUUGGUUGAAUCGAUAACUUUCAAGUGAAAAAGAUAAGAAAUACAUAAUAGAAAAUCGAUUUUAUGACACCUUUGAUUUUUUUUUUUUUAGUCAAAAUUAAAAGUUCCAUUUUCUUUAACUAAAAGGGAGCAAGGUGCUACCUUAAAAUUUUAAGUGCAUUUGCAAAAAAAAAAAAAAAAAAAAAAAACUUAACAAUCAUUUAUAUUUUAUUUCCUUCAUCCUAAUUAAACAUUUAAACAUUAGUUGGGAUGUCGGUGUGGCCUCCUGAUGUCUGUCUUUCUCCCUGCUUAGCAAAAAAAUAAAAUUAAACAUUUAAACGAGUUUAUACUAUUAUUAAAAUAAUAUCACAUUAAAUAUUAUUAAUUUAUUAUGAUUUUUAAAUGAAAAAAUAUUAAUUUUUUAUUCACGUCGUAUUUUUUUAUCCAUCAUUCAUUCUAUUAUUAAAACUAAUAAUAACAUAUGCUUUAAAACUGUAUUAAUAUUUUUAUUAAUUCCCAUAUUUAUAAGCGGAAAGUUGUAAAAGUCUUAAAAUGACAAAACUAAAUGAAUUUUUGAUUACUCAUUAAUCAUGUUUCAAUGACCCUUUAAUUUUCACUCAUGUUUCAAUGACAACCAUCAAAUUAUUAUCAAUGUUUUCAAUCAAAUGGACUCAUGUACCCUUUGUCUUAAUUUUUGACCAAUUAGAUUUAACUAAAUCAUCAAAGGUUUCAAUCAUACACGUAUUUGUUAACAAACAAAAUGUAUGCUUUUCCGUUCAACUUUCAACCAUAACAUAGCAUGUUGACGUGACAUUUUUUCUUUUAUUUCAAUGUCUUUAUUGGUUUCCUUUGAUUGUGUUUUUUCUAUGAUGCUAUAGGUUCUUGGUACAAACUCGAAGGAAGAAGAAAAAUUUAAUUUUGUUUAUGGAAACAAAACAAAUUAAUCUAACAACUAAUUACUAACAUUUGACAUUAAAAAAGCAUUUCUUUUCUAUUCAAUUCAGUGAUAGUCUUUGUCCCAUAGUUUUUUUUAUCAUCAUCUUGAAUUUCAUUUGAAAAUAUUAUAGCAUUUAAUCAAACGAUCUUUGUUCAUGUAUAUGACCAAAUACGCUAAAAUUAAUUUGUGAUAAAAUAUUUCUAAGAAUACAACAAUGCCUUAAAUUUUUGUAAAAAAAAAUGCCUUAAUUUUGUUACUAAAGCCUUAAAUAUUAUAUUAUAUACAUUGAAUUUUUUCGGCUUAUUAUAGAAGUUUCUUAUUCAUAGCAAUUUACAAAUUCUUUGUCUUUGACGAAUUGGUACCAAAAAAAUAUUAAGCAAAUUUGUUGUUAAUUUUUUAAAAAUUUACUUUGAAAUUAAACCAAGAACUGAUUCCCAUUUUUAUUAAUAUGGAAUUUAUAUUUAUAUUGUUAAUAUAUUUCAAGCACUGACCUUUAACCACAUAUAUAUGAGUAAUACCGUUAUUUGAUAGAGAUUAAAUUUAAAUUACAAAUAUUUGUGAAGUAAUUAAUUUUUUACCUAUCGAAAUAGGAAUUUUUUUCUUUGUAAAAAAAUUAUAAUAAUUUAACUUGACACAAAUCUAAAUUCCAUAAACUCCAAAAAGUAUAACAAUUUAUACUACCAAUAAAAUUAAUGAAAUGAUCUUUCUAAACCUCUAAAAAGGUAGUUUUAUGCAAAGAGAAAUGUUAGCAACACACAUAUAAAUUUAAACACACGUUUCAACGUCCUCAUUUGAAUAAAAGUUGGAAAUUAAUAUAUCUUAAUGUUUAAUUAACAAUAAAAAAUAGCUCCAAAAAAAGCGCACCAUAUAAGUAUGUUCCUUUUUUUUUUACUCAUAUAAAAAUAUUCUCUUUUCCACUAAAAAAACAUAUUCAUUUUUUUUUAAUAAUUUUAUUUAGGUGAGUUGGAUCCAAAGAGAAAGCCCCUAGGAUAAAAAAAGAUAUUACAAAGGUAUUUAUGUAUUAUCCAUCUAGGAUGUCCUAACGAUGGUAUCGAGAGUUGUACUCACACUUUAAUAGGGGUAGGAGUCAAUUUAUUAUCAACUAAAUCAACAUAUAUCUACAAUAUAAGCACAUUCUCAAUCACACUAUAAAUAUUUUUCUUUAUCUUUAUAUUUAUAAUAUGAAUUAAAAACUCAAUAAAUGAAUAAUUAAAUGUUGGAUUAAAUGAAGAAAUAUUUACCACUAAAAUCAAUAAAUAAAAAGUUUUAAGUAUCACAAUCAUUUUCUUAAUUGCAAUUAUGCGCAUUCAACUACUAUUGAUUCAAUCAUUAAAAAUUUCAAUUAAUAAAUGCUAAAAAGUCAUAAUUAUUUAAUGAAAUAGUUUAAUUUUUUUUUUUUAUCAAUCAAAGAAAUGCAUUAAACAUGUAUGAAGGGGCCUGAUAUGAUAUGAAAUAAAUUAAACUAUCUGAUCCUAUCCUACGCAGGAUAUGAUAUGAUAGGAUAGACUCAUAAUUAUUUAAUGGAGUAGUUUAAUUUAACUAGAGUCCGUUUGAUGGCCAGUAUAGGGAGACAUGAUAUGAUACAUUAAUCAUAUUCUGCUUAAAUUUCAUGUUUGAUGCACCAAAGAGAUAGGAUAAAAUAAACCAUUUCCCUAUCAUAUCAUGACUUUCCUUUGUAAUUUAUAUCCUGAGUAUAGGCUAAGUUAGAAAUUAUCCUGAUGGGAUUAGAAGAUCAUUCCUUAUUUAUUAUCUUGAUAUUCUGCCAUUUUUAAAUAUUGUCAUUUUUAAAAUAGUUAUAGCAUGUAUUUUCUAUUAUAAUUAAUAACAUACCAUUUUUACAAUAUUUAAUUAAUUAUGAAAGCAAUUUUUUCAUUUAAUUAUAAUGAUAUCGUGUUUGUUAUCAUGUGCACAUCAAACACAUGAUAAGAUUAAUGUUUAUCAUGUCAUUAUCAUAUCUUAUCUCUAUCCAACUUUAUAUCAUAUCACGCCUUUGUCAUAUCCUGACCAUCAAACACACCUUUAACAGCAUGAGGAUAUUACAUCAAAAUUCUAAAUAAAGGCAAACUAGAGUUAUAUACAUAGUGAGCUUAUUUAUCAGACAAGAUAUAUCAAUACAUUGUUAAAAAAGCAUACACUCAGAAAGAAAAUUAUCUUCUGUUAAAAAAAAAAGAAAAGCAAACUAUCUUUUAAGGGAGAGAAAGCGAAGUUUAUAUUCUUAAUUGUUUUGAAUCUUUACACAAUCGUUCCAAUAUUGAAUGGUACAAAGUCAAAAUCAUAUUCAAAAUAAAAUCGAUUUUUUUUUAGGGAAGAUCAAUUUUAUUAUGUAAAUUAUUAUGCAUUGAACAUAAAAUUAAUGAGUAUGUAUGUUUUUCAAUAAAUUCAGUCGAAAAAAUAUUUUAAUAAAAAAAUUAUAUUUCAUCUAGCUAGAUAUGAUUUUUUUCCGUUAUUUUUAUUAUAUAGAAAAUAUUAAUAAUAAUUUAUUUUAUAUUUAUUGGCAAUAAAACUUCUUCACGCAGUUUCUGUGAGUAUAACUCAGUUAUUGGCAAUUUGAUCCCCUUAAAAAAAAUAUUAUAAUUUUUUGAUUUUUUAUUUACAAAAAUAAAUAUAUAAUUCAAUUUUUUAUAUUUUAAGAUAACAAAUUGGUACUUUUACUUCUUUUUUUGUCAUCUUCACCGAUCGAAACACAUGUCGACAUUGUUGAUACUAACCGAAAACAAAAGAGUAGUGAAGAACACAAAAGCUUGAAACUAGAUGCAGGAAACCGAAAUAAAAGGUUGUCUUGGUUUUAAAUUUCUUAACUCAUUCUCUGUUUUUACAAUAAACGGUUCAUUCAUUCUCUUUAUGUCUUAAUGUGUCAUUUUUCUUACUGCUAAAACGUUUGAUUUUUUACUUAUUUAACUUCUUCUUUUUUUAACGAGGGAUUAAUUUUUUCCCGUAAAAAUUCUUUUAAUGUAUGUUAGCACUUAACUAACACUUUUAACGCCACUUAGUUAAAUUAACAAUAUACGUGAAAUAUUCAACUAUGGAAAUUGAUUCAAUGACUAUGUUAUCUCUAUUUGAUUUUGUAAGACAAUUAAAUCAGUCUUUUUAUUUGCGUAUGACUAAUUUGAUCCCUACACAUUUUUGUCAGGGACCAAAAUAGAUCUUCAUUUUUACCAUUUAAUCUAAUACAAUUAAACUAUCAAAUUAAGGGGGUAAUUGAUUUGACUACUUGCUUCUUUUUGUUAUAAAUAUUGUUUUUAGUCUCAAUAUUUUCAUGCCAUUUUGGAAUUUAUAUGAAAACUUCGAAACUUCAAAAACUUCAAAAAAUAGGGCGCGUUAGGUGAUGUUUCCGGAUUACAUAAUCCGGAAACCCCCUAAACACCAUUUUUCAAGGUAAAACAGUUCGAAUUAUAUAAUCCGAACUGUAUCAGCACAAAUUCUAAACAUGUUUGUAACAUGGAUAGUCAUUUUAGGGACAAUAUUAAUCUUCCUAACUUUCAUCCUUCCGUUUUUGGGUCAUUAUUACCUGUUCUUAGUCAAAAAUCAAGUUUUCGGGCUACUUGAUGUGAUUGCUCCGAAACUUCCCUAGAAAAUCAGAAAUCCAAAAUUCAAUCGGUUAGACCCAUUUUUCAUUUUUUAAAAUUUUUCAUAUUCUAAGAAAAAUCCGAAAAAAUUUGCAUUAGUUUUAUUUGAUUUUUAGAAUUUUUUUGUGCUAUUUUUAUAUUUUUAUGAUUUUAUUUGACAGGUUUUAAGCAUUUUUUACUUAGUUUUUUUGUUGUUUUUAAAAGCAAAACUCAAAACUGUUAAAAUAUGAGAGAGUCUGAUGGCUGAUUAUACAUAAGAAUUGUCCGGAUUAUAUAAUUCGAAAUAGUAAACAUGAAUCCGGAUUUUAAAAUAUGGAAUGCACAAGGUCAUUUUUGGAAAAAUUACAGGGCGCGGGAGAAGGCCAUAAGGUGGGAAAAAUAAUAGUCAAUAGUUUAUCAUAAUAUUGGGAUAAUUCUAGGACUCCUGAGUGGGCAUAGACUGAGCUGGAUAAUCAUAUAUUAGGCUAAUAUCAACUAUACAAGUGAGAUUGACACCGCAUCUUCAGAUAAAACCUUACGGCAUUAGACAUAUGAGUCAUCUCACUUAUAUGUUUUUUCAAAAUAUACUCAUCCAUCCAAUGUAGAGUGGUAUCUCACACUUGACAACUCUUAAUCAAGUGUGCGACUAUUUGUGUAUGUAAUUAUCUGAUAUUGUCAAAUCAGGUUAAAUAGAGUCACAACAUGUUAAAUAGGUUAGUUUAAGUAGUUUCAUGAAUGGAGAUUUAAGUUCAUUUCUUUCAUGGGAAGAGAGAAAUGAAAAUAGAAGAAAAAGAAUGAAUAUGAAAAAGGAAUUUGAACAUGAGAGAAACGAUAAGGGAAAAUAUAUGUAAUGUGUUUUGACCAUGAGAGUAAAUGGAAUAUGCUGGGUUGUCGGUAAUUAUAUGAGUUUGUUGAAGGAUUUGAAGAUUUUUGGGUAACUACAUUACCAAAAUUUAGACUUAAUUAUAAAAAUAUCACAUCAUUUUAAAUGUAUAAUAAACAUGUAUUUUGUCAACUUAGCAUAACACAUUUUCAAAUAAUAAAGAUUGAAUAAAAAAAGAGCAUGAAAGAGAAUGAGAGAUCCAAAAACUAAAUUUCAAUAUAAGAAAAAAACAAAUGACAUUCAAACAUUAAUAAAAUUAUUCUUUAUAUUGUUGGGACCACAAAGGAUGUUUACACUAAGUUGAAUCAUCAUAUUAGGUUAAGAGCAAUCACACAAGUGAGAUCGACACUACAUAUUAACUUAAAAUGUGUAAUGGACAUGUAUUUUGUCAAUUCAGCAUAACAAAUCUACAAUUUUCUACUGUCAGAUCCCACCAAAGAUCAAAAGUUAAGUAAUUUAAAAUAAUAGAUGUUGAAUAAAAAAAUAGCAUCAAAACGAAUGACAUCCAAAAACUAAAAUUUAAAAAAUAAAUAAAUAAAAGAUAUUCAAAACUAACAAAACCACCCAUCAUAAUGUUUAGACUUCCGGGGGAGUCUAAACUGGGUUGUAUAAUCACAGUAGAGUAAAAUCAACCAUAAAAGUGAGAUUCACACCAUAGUUUUAUUCAAAAUCUAAAGGCAUUAGGUAUAUGGGUCAUUUCACUUAUAUUUUUCUCAUCAUCUACUUUUUUUAUCUAAUGUGAAGCUUUAAUUACAUAUGAGACAUUAGUAUCUCUCUCUGAAGUGUGCGACGACUCUGCAUCUGUAUGAUGGUGACAUGGUCAUAUAUAAGGUCAGAUUGAUGCAUAACAUGAUAAAAAAAAAGGCGGGUGUAUUUUAAAAAGAAAUUUUGACAUGAAAGAAAUGGUAAGGAAAAAAAUAAGGAGUGUGUAUUUUAACCAUGAGAGUAUAGGAAAUAGAGUGAGUUACUGGUAAUUUGUAGGUUUGUUGAAGAAUUUGGAGAUUUUGGGGUUUAUUUACCAAAAAAUUAGACUCAAUUAAAAAAUACACUUCAUUUUCAAAUUUCUACUAAGUAUAUAUUUUGUCAACUCAACAUAAUACAUCUUUUUUCCAUUUCAGAUUCCACCAAAGACAAAAGUCAAGGAAUUUGAAAUAGUGAAAGUUGAACAAAAAAAAAUGUAAGAGAGUGACAUCCAACAACUAAAAUUUAUGAUAAAGAAAAAUUAAACAAAUGACAUCCAAAAGCUGACAUAAAACUUCAUCCUAAUUUUGGAACCUUCGAGGGAUCAUAGUCUAAGUUUGAUCACCAUAUUAGACUAAGAAAAACCACACAUGUAUGACUAAUAUCAAAUCUUUAUCCUAAAUCUUAAGACAUCAGAUAUAUAUGUCAUCUCACUUAUAUGUUGUUUAAAGUUUACCAUAUAUCGCAUCCUAACAUAGAACUUUGACUCACACUAGACACACUAAUAUUUCUUAACCAAAUGGGCAACUAUUCGUGUUCGUAAUCACGUGACAUAGUAAAAUAAGGUCAAGCGGAGGAACACCAUGUUCCAGAAGGUUGGUUGGUGACUGUUUCAUGAAGAGAGUUUUAUAUUCCUUUCUUUUACGUGAAGACAAAAAGGAAAUCAGAAGGAAAAGUAACGGAUUUGAAAAAGGAAUUUGAACAUGAGAGAAGAUAAGGGAAAAAAUUGUGCGUUAUGUUCAUGAGAGUAUAGAGAGUAGUGUGAGUUAUCGGUGAUUUUAUGAGUUUGUUAAAGGAGUUUGAGAUUUUUGGGUAAUUAUUUUACUAAAAAAAUUGAGUCAGUUAAGAAAUGCCACAUAAUUUUAAAUGUCUAAUAAACAUGUAUUUUGUGAACUCAGCAUAACACAUAUGCAAUUUUCCAUUGCCACUUGCCGCCAAAGUCCAAAAGUUGAUGAAUUUAAAUUAAUAGAGGUUGAAUGAAAAAAAUUCAGAUGAAAAACAAUGACAUUUAAAAACUAAAUUUUAAGAUAAAAAAUGCAAACAAACGACAUCAAAAAAUUAAAAGACAAUUUAUUUGUGACUUUCGGGAGAUUCUGCAUCGAGUUUGAUAAUCACAUUAAACAAAGAGAACAAUACACGUGAGUUUAACAACACAUCUUCACCCCAAACCUUAUGAAAUUAGGUAUAUGAAUCAUAACACUUAUAUGUUACUCAACAUCAACUCUUACAUCCAAUGUGACUUUAACUCGCACUUGACACAUUAACAUUUCUUCCUCAUGUACGAGACUCUCUGCAUAUGAGAUCUACCACCAUAAACCAAUUCUGCUUCUCCACAGAGUCGAUCUGAGCUAUGAUACCAUUGUUGGGCCUUACGAGGGAGCCAACACUGGCAUGGAUUGACCCAUUGCACAAAGAACAACCAGACAAAUGAAAAUGAUAUCAAAUCUUUAAUUAAUAUUUUAAAUAUCACGAAAUUCUAGCCCGUGCUUGGCACGGGUUUCCAAGCUAGUUUUUCACAUUUCUUAAGAAAAGUUGUUAGUGCAAUUAAUAUGUCUUUUUUGUGUGUUAAUAUUACCAAGUUGUCCUUUGUUUGUAUGUGUAUUAAAUUUGACUUUUCAUAUUUCAAGACAAGUUAGUAGUAUUAAUUAGGGGUAUGUUUAGGAAAAAAAUUAUAAAUGCAUCUAGUAACUUGAAAAGAGGUUUACAUUUAGGAAAAAGAAUAAAGUCAAAUGGAGUAUUAUUUAGAGACGAAGAGAGUAAUAUAGUUUGAUGGGAAGAUGUAAAAUAAUUUUCAUUGAUUAUUAGUUAUUUAAAACAAUUUUCAUUAAAAAAAAAAGCCUUGAAUAUGUUUUUUAUCCUUAAAAAUAUUCUAAUCUUUUUGUUUUUAUCCCUCUAAUUUUUUUUUUCAAAGAUUAAUAAUGAAUGUUUUUUGUUCUGAUAGGUUUUGAUUGGUUCAACAAAAAGGAGAUGAAAGGAAAAGAAAUGGGAGGAAUUUCAAUUAUACACACAUACGAGCGUUCAAACAAGCGGUUUCCAUUUGUCUGUUUUUAUAUUGUGCUAAUGCGUGUAAAUUAUGAACAAUAGUUUUUAAGAAAUUGAUUUUGAUUACGCAUACAGACAAAUGAAAAUUAGAAAAAUAUCACUACAAAUCUGUGAGAAAGAACUAACAAAUGUUGUGAGCAACCCAAAUAUGCAAAACAAAAAAGUAAUUUAUAUUUGUUUUAGAAUUCAAUUUUGCUUUGCAAUUUCAAGAUUUAACAAUCACUAAAUAAUGUCUAUGUUAAAUAUUGUUUUCUACAUAUAUUAUUAAUGAAACUGAAUUUUUUUUUAAAAAGUUCUUGCACCAAUGGAGUUGAGUCUAAGAAACGGAGUUCGACCCUCACAACUUCGCGAAUCAAUGUUCAAACUAUGACGGAGAACGAUAUUCAUAUUCAGUAUCUGGCAUGUCUCAAAUCAAACUACACAUAUAUUAAUUUAGCUUCAAUUGAAUUGUAGCUUUAACAGUGGUAAUCUACUAGCUUGGUGGUGUAUGCUAAGAUACAAUUUAAACUCAAAGGAUCGCAAGUUUUGAUGAGGGCUGCAUUAUUAAAGAGUAAGGGGAUAAAACUGAAACUCAGAAGGAAAAAAAUUGUGAUUGCUUGUUUUACAAACUCAAAGUGAGAGAUUUUAUACGGGGUGUCAGUAUGAAAGGGUCCGGAAUUGAUUGAGUUUUUAAACGUAGAGCUUGUUCUAAUAGCAAUAUGAGGCAUGGUCUGGUACAGCAGUUUCUCAGUGCAGCCGGAUCGGUUUUGGCGCUGUCUGUUUUUCAAAAACUGUUGUGGGUAUGAAAAUGUGGUGUCGUCUGUUGUAUUUUCCUAUGAUGUUGUGGAAUCAGUUCGCCUAUUUGGUCGAGUUGAAGCUGCUGAGUUGGAAGCAACCUGCAUAAUUAUGCAUAAUUAUGCAGGUGGGGUGGCUUUUUAUUGUUCAGACUUUGUGGUAGUAGGAGACAUAUUUUUAUGGUUUUCUCAAUGUUGGUUGCUUUGGUGUUAAACCAAAGUAAAUUCUGCUUUAACAAUGUGAUGGUCUAUUUUUAGAUAAUCUUGUCAUACUUCUUUUUAUAUAUUUCGCUUUUUUAAAAAACACACACACACUAAACUUUAGUGCACUUCUAGGAUUAGAACUCGAUCCCUUUCAUCUAUCAGUAAGGUUUCUACAAUACAAGACAUUACUAGCUAUGGUAAUUGCAAGAUGAUAUUACUUGCAAAUAGAACAACAAAUACUGAUCUCAUAAAAAGAAAAGCAUGGAAUGACUGGAGUAACAAUAUAUACUUGUUUUAAUCAACAAACUAUCUGCUCCUUGUUACAUUUACUUAUAUUUCAAUGUUCUACAUUUCACAAUAACAAAGCUCAUUAAAUUGCAUGUAAGUAAAUUGAAAUAUGAGUGGUAAAUAUUUAUAUCAAAAUACUUUAUGAAGAAGAGGGAACUAGAUCAAUGAAUAAUAACAUUCAGACUACAAAUCUUAGCUAAGUAGAUCUCUUCAUCCUCAAGGCAGACGAAAAAAACUUCAUUCCCAUGUUUGUCAACUGUUUGUUUUGGUUGCCAGCAGAAGCAUCACAGUUUUUUUUUUUACACGACCCUUGAAGGAUCUGCCGUUAAUGCAGUAUCAGCAAAAAUGACAGAUUGAAGUUUCAACUAAAAGCAGAAUUGUGCAGCAUUUUGGAGGACCUCAAUCAACUCUUGGGGAAGUUCAGAAUCAUACAAACUUUCAUUGCAGCGGAAAACUGCACAGGGCUCUUGCUUUUUGGCGGCGUUGUGGGCUUAACUUGAUCAACCAACUGCCUUCAAAACUCUUAAUCAGAAUGUGGGAGCUUCUUGCAGAGGUCAGCAACAUCCAUUCAUUCCACAACAUAUCUAACACAAACAUAAUGAAAUAACAUUGGUGUCUCAAAUUCGCAUUAUGAAAUGCAAUGGCACCUUUCUAAAGAAUAGAUGUAUUUACACCUAGCUUGUAGCUUGAACAAUGAGUUUUUACUUUUUAUUGCUAACAUUAAGCUCAACAUCACAUUGCAUCCUUUCGUAAGAAACAAUGGCAAAUACAGGAACCCAAUUCUCACGAUAUUUACCAACACCACGAGAAUCAUAAUAUAGGUGGCUUGUGAGAAAGCAAUUGAUUUCUGCAGAGUGAAAUUUAAAUUAGUAACUAAUAUUCUAAGAAAUAUUACAGGAUUAGAUGAUACAGGGAAGAAAUAAAACUAGUCUACCUCUUCUCACAUUCUUCAUGGCAUUCAUCUAACAACCUCUCUACUACUAUAGUAGCAUUUUCUGGCUGAGUAUAAGAAAAAAAAAAUAAUUUUAUAAGAAAUUGACAUUUAAGAUUGACAUAAAACGAUUCAAAAUGAGUGACAACCACUGAAAAAAUCACCUUUCAAAGCAACAAAUCAUGUUGAUAGUACAGACAAAAUGUGGAUCUGGAAGCUUGACCUUCAUUAUAAUGUUCUUUGUCUUCUCAAUAAAACUUUGAUUCCAAGUCACACACUCUACUCCUUAAUUUGUCCAGUUUUAGAAGCUACUUCAAUGUACUUGAAGUGAAUAUCAUCGAAAUUGCAGUCAAUCAUCGAAACGAAGCCAUGAACCUUACUUAGAAAAUUAUCUUCCCAAAACUAAACAUUAUGUUUAUACAUUUAAGCACUCAAACAUCUAAAUUUCAGUGCUACAAAAGUCUUACCAAAAUUCUGACUCGAAACUAUAGAAAAGGAAAUUCUCAACUAAAUUUACCCUAAAGGAUCACCUAAAAUCAGUACUAAGAAAUUAUACUUAUUAAUCAACUCGCCCUGAACCAAGGUUCUAAUUAAAAAAAGCUUGGCUAGCAAUCAUUAAUGUAGUUAACGUCUUACAAAAAUUGCGUCAUCAAUGCUCUAAACACAGUGUCGUAAAAUCAAAUCAAAACAUUUCAUAGAAGAUAGAACUAUAAAAGGGACAUAUACCUUUGGAAAACAUUGAAAACCUCCACCCUUUACAUUUAGCAAAGCCAAGUAGAGGACUCUAUCAGGAACCACUGCUGCUAUCAUAAAUCCUGUUUCAAUUGGCAAACAUAAUUAACUUAAAUACAAACAAAUAAACUUCACCUAACCAAAUCUUAGAACAAACCAUCUGAAUUUUAAGUAAAUCAAAGGCUCACUAAAAAAGAAAAAAAAAGCACAUUCACAAAAUACUAACCCAUUUAGUGCCCAGAAACAUGAGCCUUUUUCCAACCUUAUCCAACAAAGUAAUUGCAUCCUUUGCCAUGAUCUUUGUUCUGCACCCAACAAUCAUUCACCAAUAUUCAAAUUUCCAUUUCACCUUUUCUAAAUCAUUCAAACUUAAUGCAGCACCAAAACUUCAGAUUGAUGACAUGUAUGAUGUUCAUACUUCAAAUACCGAUAUGACAUUGACCCAUGUAAUUACGUUCAAACACUUUCAUUUUAACAAAUUAUUAUCAAAAUUAACAAAUUAUCAUUCAAAAUAACGUAGCACCAACACUACAUAUUGGUGUCUGAUGUUCAGAUACUGAUAUGACACCAACCCUAUAAUUACAUUCAAAAACUUUUAUUUCUUCAAACUAUUAUCAAAAUUAAGCAAAGAGGAACCCAAACAAUAUACCAUUCAAAGAAAGAAUCUAAAACAAAUAAAUAAAAAAGACCAAUAAAAAUGGAGAAAACCUUGAUGAUCAGAGUUGCUAAUGGGCACGCAGCUCUGACCCACGCCCUCACUAUCAAAAUCGCAAUCCUCGAUACCACCACCGGACUCGUUGUCACCUCCUCCACUCCAAAAGACGUUCUCUUCAUCAUUAGGUACGUUUGUUACGGUUAAUCCCUUGUGUGUUGAAGGCAAUCCUAACCAUUCAAAUCAAUCUCCAGAAAAUCAUUAAAAUUAAAAAAAAAAAACAUGAUGAAGAAAAUUACCUGAAUUAGAACAUUUAUCCUUCUUAGGAUGAACAGUAAAAUAUCUUUCAUGUACUCUGGAUCUCUUCCUGCGGAAUGGGUUCCAAAGAUGUCGACAAUGAGAAUAAAAAUAAAGAUUUUUGAGCAGUUGAAAUCCAAACAUAAGAAGGGGAAAUUGAGAUCCUACAAGUAAAAUUGAUUUUUGCGAUGUUGAUUGUGGCAGAUAAGGGUAAACGUCUCUGCUUCUUAAUCCUCGGUAAACUGUAUUAUUGGAAUAUGAGCUAUCUUGUCCCAAUCCUCCCCUGUUCCCUCUUUGCAUCGUUCCUCUAAUGUUGGGCAACCCUCAAUUGCCAGAAGCUCAAGUGAAGUGAGGUGUCGAAUACCCUCCGGCAAGCAUCGCAAUCCUUCACAAUUCCAAAUCCUUAAAAUUCGAAGGGAUUGAAGACCUUCCCAAUUUUGCUCUGGUAAGGACUCCAAUUGAGAGAAACAAUAUACAAACAGAGAUAGAAGAGAAGUAAGGUUUUUGAACAUCCCCUCUGGGAAGGAUGUUAUUCCUUCACCGUCACUUAGGGCAAGCUGAGUAAGACCACAAAAGGUAGAGAUUGACCUCAGUAACUCAUUGUUACAUGGAUCGGCAACGAGGUCUUUAAGAGAUGGAAGACAUGGCAGUCCAAUUUUAGGGCAUUUCCAAAUAUCCAAACUAGAAAGACAAGGAAACAUCUCCCCUCUUUCAACUUUCAAUAAACCCUCUAUGUUUGGUAACUUAUAUAAUACGAGUUCCUCCAGAGAUGGGAAAAUCCUCACCUCCAUACCAUCCUGAGAUUCAUCAUCAUCCAAGUAUUUCAGAUUAUCCAUAUAAGAUAAUUCCAGUUUUUUUAGAGAUGGUAGUUUACCAAGUAACGGAAGCCGCACAAUCUUGUUGCAAUCCUCAAGUUUAAGAGAAAUUAAAUUACUAAGAAUAAUUAUCCAACUUGGUAACGAUAAUCCUUCAUAGUAAUUUAUUGUCAAGCAUUUGAGAUUUGAGUGAGGUUGAAGCUCUUCGAGUACUUGCUCAGCACUAAUUAUAGAUUCCUGUUGCGAUAUCCAUGACAAGCAUAAUUGAUGAAGGUCUUUUUUACCCAUCAAAUUAGCCGCUUCAGCUUCAGAUAAACUGCCAACAUUGUUUAAUCCUUCGAUACUCAGUUUUCCACCGAGUUUUAGAUCACGUAACUCUGUCAAACUAUUCCCUUUCUCUAAACUAACAAUGUACACACUUAAUGUUCUUAAACAAGUUAAUUUUCCAAUGUUAGGAAACAUACUAGACAAAGAUCGACAUUCUUCAAUGACUAUAUGUCUAAGAUUUUGUAAACAAGCCAAGCGUUUCGGAAGCCAGCUAAGUUUAUCACAGUAUUUUAUUUUCAAGAUUUCCAGCUUUUUUAGAUUGUAAAUUGAGUCAGGCAACUUUUUUAUGUCAAGAAAACGAAGUCCCAAAUACCUUAAAUGAAUUAAACUCCCCAGUGAUGGCAUCCGGAUAAAGGAUGCGCAUAAAACCCGGAGAGAAAGAUAUGCUGGGAAGUUAUCAUGUUUUUUUUGGUAAGAAUAACUCAACAAUGUUCUCAAGGAUUCAACUUUUUUGAAAGCAUUUUCAUCAAAGGAUAACACUUUGUAGUCAACAACAAUGUGGUGUGUGCUUUUUGACAAACUGGUCAUGUUUUUGUUCUCCAAAUGCAUACAUUCUUGCCCCAUUAUUGAUUGAGCGAGAUCAUGGACAAGAUCAUGCAUCUUGAAAGAAAUGUCUCCAGAAUAUUCAUCCAUCUUGCCAUCUUGAAAGAAUGAUUUUUGGUACAAUUCCUUCCAAACCAUGUUUCCAACAUCUUCAACGUCCAAAUUACCCAUAGAUGAAAUAAAUUCAUUAGCCAUCCAAAGUUGAAUCAAUUCUUCUUUCAGGAUUUUUCUAUCCUUGGGAAAUAUAGCGCAAAAAGAGAAACAUUGCUUUAGGGUUGGUGUUAAAUAAAAGUAACUCAACCUCAAAGCAAGCAAAAUAGAAUUUUCUUGCGAUAAAGCCCAAAGCUCACUGUCCUUAAUAUCAAGCCAUUCCUUUUCUUCAUUCCUUGAGCUCAUCAAACCUCCCAAUGCUUUUGCUGCAAGAGGCAAUCCAUUACAUUUCUUUACAAUCUCCUUUCCUAUUUCCAUAAGCUUUGUAUGCUCUUCUCUGUAAUAUCCAAAUGCAUAUUCUUUGAACAACAACCAACAUUCACUAUCAGAGAUACCAGACAAAGAGUGAGCUUGGCAUGUUCCCACGAUUGUUGCAACAACUUUAUCACGGGUGGACACUAAAAUGGAACUACCUUUUGAUCCACACGACAACACAGACUUCAAAUGAUUCCACUUAUCAUGUGUUAGUCCAGAUUCCAAUUGUUGGGUUUUGUUCCACAGAUCAUCCAAAACGAGCAAAUAUUUUUUACCUUGCAGCACUUCUUGCACCUUUCUUUCCAUUACAUCUAAUUCGAAGUCAGCACACUUCUCUCUUGUGAUAGAUUCUAUAAUGGAACAACAAAUCCUCUUGACAGAGAAAGUCUCAGAAACACAAACCCAAAUAUUUUUGUCAAAAUUGCCACUCACCCUAACAUCAUUGUAGACCAAUUGAACGAGAGUUGUUUUUCCAAUACCACCUAAACCAACAAUGGGAUAGACGGAAAGGAAGUCAGAGUCCCUCGCUUGGGUGAGAAGAAACUCAACAAUCUUUUCUUUAUCAUCUUCUCGUCCAAAUACUUUUGGUUCAACAAUAAUGGAGCUGGUUUGACGCCAUUCAGCUACUUCAUUUGAGCUUUCCUUAACAAUAGUACCCUCCCGUAGAAAAAACUUGUUCUUACUAUCAGCAAUAUCAUCCAAUCUCCUUGUAAUCUCUUUCAACCUGUUGCCGAUCUCAAGGCGAAACAUGAUGUUAUUUGGUUUAAAAGAGAUUGAUCCUCUAAGUUGACCAGACUUGAUCGAGCACUCAUCAAGGAUAUCAUCGAGCACAUAAACAACAUCUUUGAGUUGUUGUAGCCAUACCUUAAUAGAGCGGUCUGUGACUUGUUUCUUUUCAGCAUCUUCAAGAACAGCCUUGAUCAAAUCUAAGGUGGUUGAUAGUUUUUCAGCCUUUGACUUGAUACCAGAAAUGGUAGAAAAUUCAUUUUGAAGGAGAGACAUCAAAUUUUCAAACACAACUCCGAGCAAAGCGUUAGCCAUUUUUUGUGAAAACAAAAGAGUUGAAAAGAUAAGAAAAGAUGAGAAAUUUGUUUCGAUGGAAUGAGUGCUUAACUAAGCAGGAGACCUUUGAGAAUAAAUGCAAUGAGAGCAGCAAAUCAACAAGCAGGUGCUCAAUAAUUAUGAGCAAACAUUCACACGUAAACCACAAAUUUAUGCAACUUGCUUGCAAGGUUCCAUUUAUGAUUGGGUGUAACCCACAUUUUCAAUCAGAAAUUUAUUAGCGGGUCCAUGAUUGCUUUUAUUUGUCUCUUUGUUUUCACACUUGAACUACUUUAACUAAUAGAUGUGGCCGACAGAAUAAUGAUCUUUGGGAAAAGUUUAUGAAUCUAGUCCCUACACAUUUUAUUUACUCCCGUCUUUAACGUAGGCAAUUAUUGCUUUUUUCACAUUUUUUUAGUGUAGUUAAUGUAUCUAUUUUGUGUGUUAAUAUUACCAAAUUGUCAUUUGACUUUUUCAUAUUUCAAAACAAGUUAUUAGUAUUAAUUAGGGGUAUGUUUAGGAAAAAAUAAUACUCCCUCCGGUUCUUAAUAUAAGAAACAAUUGACUUUUUUGGUUCAUUGUUUAAGUGAUGUAUCUAGUCUAUAUUUUUAAUAAAAUACAUUAAUUAUUCUAUGAACCUAAAAAGUUAACUUUUUCUUAUAUUAAGGACCGGAGGUAUUAAAUGCAUCUAGUAAUUUGAAAGGGGGUUUACAUUUAGGAACAAAAAAAAAAGUCAAAUGAGGACUUAUAUAUAGGGACUGAGGGAGUAUUUAGGUACCGUUUGGUCAGAUUUUUUUUCGGUCUAAAAGCUACUUUAAAACAAAGUAAAAAUAAAGUUCUUUAAGAAAAAAGCUAAAGCUGUUUGGUUUCUUUAUUUUUUUUAGUUCUAUAGUUAUUUUUAAGUUAAAAGUUGUUUGACAAAAUAUUAUACAAAACUUUGAAUUUAUUAUUUUUUUGGUGGUGUCCGGGAUUCGAACCCGCGACCUUUCAUAUAUUUAUUCAUUGUCUAUAUCAACUGAGUUAAGUUAUAGAAUAUUUUGUUUUUUCAUUUCCAAUUAUACUGUAUAACAAAUUUUGUUAUAAGAAUAUCAUAUUUUUGGUGUCAUUUAAAAAGAUAAGAAUUUAUAUUAUAUGAUAUUAUAUUUGAUUUUUUUUUUGAAUAAGAUAUUACUCCCUCCAUUCUUUUUCUUUUGAUGUUUUAGAACUUCAACUAUAUUCCAAAACAUUUGAUGUUUUAGUGAAUUUAUUAUUGUUUUCUCAAGUUUACCCUUGUUGGAAAACACAAUAAACUAUUAAAGUAGUUGUGACCUUUGGUUUAUCACAUGUGAAUUUAAUGAUAAAUAAGGACAUUUAAGUAAAAAACACACAAAUGUUUAUAUACUUUAAUUACUCCUUAAAACUUGUGUCAAGAGCUAAAACAUCAAAAGAAAAGGAAUGGAGGGAGUAUAUUUGUUACAUUAUUGGUGUCAUUGAAAAAGAUAUGUUUAGUUUUUUUAAUAAGAAAAAGAUAUGCAUAAUUUGUUACAAUAUAAAUGUGUAAAAUAUAUAUAAGUAUAAUUUUUUUAGGCAUCUAUACUAGUACUUUUAAUUAAAAUCAAAAUUUUAUAAAAAUAAGGCUAAAAUAUGAUUUUAAUCCCUGCAAAUAUGCCUCGUUUUGGUUUUAGUCCCUGGUAAAAAAAAAUUUGUUUUUGGUCCCUGCAAAUUUUUUUGUUUUUGAAAAUAGUCCCUUACCCCAAUUUUGUGAUGAUUUGCAUACGUGGCACAUUAUAACUGAACCAAUUUUCUAGUUUUUGGUCCCUGCAAAAUAUUUUGUUUUUAAAAAAGGUCCCUGCAAAAUUUUUUGUUUUUGAAAAUAGCCCGACCAAAAACAAAAUUUUUCUUUACCAGGGACUAAAACCAAAACGAGGCAUAUUUGCAGGGACUAAAACCAUAUUUUAGCCUAAAAAUAAUGAUUGUAUGCAUUAAGCAACACUGAAAAAAUUAUACGCAUUAGCAUAACAAAAAAAAACAGACAUACAAACAUAAAAUAUUACUCUAAACGCUAAUGUGUGUGUGUAUUUGUGAGGUUGAAGAAAGGGAAUAAAAAUAUUUGGUGUGAUUCAAUAACAACAUGAAUAGAAAUAUUUGUGAGGUUGUGAUAAUUAAACGAUAUUAAAAUUAAGGGUUAAUAGGCUUUUACCCCCUGCCAUUUGGGCGACAUUUGGUUUACCCCCCUGCAAAAAAAAAACUUGUAGAUUCCCACUUGUAAUAUGAAGAUUCCUUGGUUUACCCCCCAAAGCCAAUAGUCAGCGUCUGACUGGAUAAAAAAGGUGACGUGGCGUGCUGAGUAGGUAUUUUUUGUUUUUAUGUUUUUUUUUUAAUUUACAACUAGAUUAUUAAAAUUUAAUUUCCCCCAAAAUUGAAAAAAUCCAAAAGUCCAAACAUUUUGUUUAUUGGUAUACCCCCCUCUCAUUUCCCCCAAAACUUAAAACCUAAUUUCUCCAAUUGAGAAGAAGAAACGGACGAAGAAGAGAAACAGACGAAGAACAAAGGGACGGAUUCAGAAUCGAAGAGUAACAACUGGGGUUAGGGUUUCGAUUCGAAGCAAGAUUUCUGCGAUUCGAAGCAAGGUUUCUGCGUUUUAGCGAUUUUGAAGCAAGAAUACUGCGAAUCUAGGAAGCUGCGAUUUUGAAGAAAGAGGGUUUCGAUUUACGUUAUUGCGAAUCUGGACACGAACGGAGAAAGAGUAAGCGAAGUGAACGGGAAGGUUGGAGACGAAGCUUGUGGUAAGUUUACUGAUUCUCUCUUUCUCUUUAUGCAUGCGUGUCUCUGUGUUGUUAGUAUUUGUAGAUGGUAAAGAAAGGGAAAAUUGUAUGUUGUGGUCCCAAAAGUCUGAUCCUAGAUUCCAUUAUUGUCUGUUUUCCAUGUGCAAAAGUUCCAUUUUUAGGGAUUAUUUAUUGAAGCUUUUUGUUUUGUGUGAGUUGUUGAUAUUAACCUGGUUUAAACCAAUGGGCUGCAGACACGUGUGGUUCUGAUUUUGAAUAAAAAAUUGUUUUUUUUUUUACCACAGAUAAUGGUUUUGUUUGAUGUUGUUUUCCAUCAUGGUGGGGAGUUUGUUAUGGAUAAGCGUAUUUUUUAUAGAGGUGGUGUACAAACUGUUGUGUCUGGUCUUGAAAGUAACAACUGGGGUGUGUGUGAUAUUCAGAAUACUGUGGCUUCUUGGGGAUAUGAGAAGAAUAAGUUUAGGGUGUGGAGUCAAAUUGAAGUGAUUUUUGAAGAUUUUUUUCAAAUCAAUGAGGACCAUAUUAAUGAGGAGGUUUCUGGGUAUUCAGUUGCUAACAAAGUAGAUGCACAUAUCUUUGUUGAGCACAAUGUGUUGGAUAUAAGUGUCAAAGUAGAUGUACCUAGAUUUUUUGAUUUGGAUGUAGGGUAUGAUGAGGAAGAUGUUAUGGUUAGCACUGAUGAUGAUAGUGGUAAAUUUGUUGGGUUUGAUGAUAGUGAGGAUGAAAGAACCACUGCACUUGAAGAUGGGUUUGAAGAUGUUGAAGUUGAAGCACCUACUAAUGGUACCAACAGAGUCACAGUUAACAACAAAACAUUAAGGAUCAAGAAGUGUGGUUCCAAAACACCUAAGAAAAAAUCUCCUAAGAAAAACAAUAGUGGCAGGAUGAAUGUGAUUGCACCAGUGUCUCUUUUGAAGAAUGGGAAAGGGAAGUAUGUUGUAGAUGAAGAAAUAGAUGGAGAUUACCUUAGUGAAGAGUUGGGUAGCUCAGACCCUGAUGACUCAAAUGAUGACACAAUUAAAUAUGACCAGUUUAGGAUGCCACAAUUAAAUAAGGAUUUUAAGUUCAAGAUAGGUAUGGAAUUUAAUACUCUGGUAGAGUUUAAAGAAGCAAUUAUUGAGUGGAACGUAUUAAAUGGUUACCAAAUUAAAAUGCCAAAAAAUGAAAGUUACAGGGUAAGGGUGGAGUGUAGGGACCAAUGUGGAUAUAAGGUUUUAUGUUCAAAGGUGGGUGACAGAAGGACUUUUCAAAUAAAGACAUUAGAGGGGCCCCACACUUGUGCACCAGUGUUGGAAAAUAAAAGUGCCAAUUCAAGAUGGGUUGCUAAGAAAGUUGUGCCAAAAAUGCAAGUCACCAAAAAGAUGAGUGUACAAGAGGUCUUUAAUGAAAUGGCUGUUAAUUAUGGUGUGGGUAUUACCAUGGACAGAGCAUGGAGAGCAAGGAAGAUUGCAAAGAGCAUAAUUGAGGGUGAUGCAGAUAAGCAGUAUGCAAUGAUAAGGAGGUAUGCAGCUGAGUUGAAGAGAGUGUGUAGGGACAAUAAUGUGAAAAUAAAUGUUGCUGGUCCUUCUGCAACUAUUCAACCAAGGUUUGGGUCUUUUUAUUUCUGUUUUGAUGGGUGUAAGAAAGGGUUCAUAUCUGCUUGCAGACCCUUUGUUGGAGUGGAUGGCUGCCACUUGAAAACAAGAUAUGGGGGGCAACUGUUGAUUGCUGUAGGAAGAGACCCAAAUGACCAGUAUUUUCCACUAGCUUUUGGGGUAGUUGAAACUGAGUGCAAGGAAAGUUGGAAAUGGUUCAUACAGUUGCUGAUGGAAGAUAUAGGUCAAGAUAAGAGAUAUGUGUUCAUAUCAGAUCAACAAAAGGUAUGUUUAGAUCUAUUCAUGUUUUAUCUAUACAUAUAUGUAUUCAAUGUUUCAGAUCUGAUGAGAUCUAUAUUGAUUUACUAUUAUGCAGGGGUUGCUGUCAGUUUUUGAUGAGAUGUUUGAUACUAUUGAUCAUAGAUUGUGCCUUAGACAUUUGUAUGCUAAUUUCAAGAAGAAGUUUGGAGGAGGCAGUCAAAUAAGAGAUUUGAUGAUGGGAGCUGCAAAGGCCACUUACUAUCAAGGAUGGUUGGAAAAGAUGAAUGAACUGAAGAAGAUAGAUCUGGGAGCUUGGGAAUGGUUAAUGGCUGUAGAACCAAAAAAAUGGUGUAAGCAUGCUUUACCCUUUUAUUCUAAGUGUGAUGUACUGAUGAAUNACAUAUCUGAAUCCUUAAAUGCCACAAUAUUAUCUGCUAGAGAUCAACCUAUUAUUAGUAUGGCUGAGUGGAUUAGACAUUAUCUAAUGAGAAGAAUGACAACAUCUGCCACUAAACUUCAAAAGUGGCAACAUAAUGUGAUGCCUAUGCCUAGGAAAAGAUUAGAUAAAGAGAUAACAUUAGCUGCUCAUUGGAGAUCAACUUGGUCUGGAAUAGGUGAACAAUUUCAGGUUAUGCAUACAUAUAACCGUCAGCAAUUUAUUGUUGACAUUGCAAAAAGGAGUUGCAGCUGUAACUUUUGGGAGAUAGUGGGAAUACCUUGCAGACAUGCUGUUUCUGCACUUGGUAAAAGGAAGCAAAGGCCUGAAAUGUUUGUUGAUGAUUACUACUCUAGGACUAAGUAUGCCUUGUGUUAUAGUUUUGCAAUUAGUCCUAUUAAUGGUAUGGAUAUGUGGCCUGAGGUAGAAGCUCCUGAACUUUUACCUCCAAACUAUAAGAAUGGACCAGGAAGGCCUAGAAAGCUUAGGAUUAGAGAGUUUGAUGAAAAUGGAUCUAGAAUGAGGAGGCAAGGGGUGGCAUAUAGAUGCACAAAAUGUGAUCAAUUUGGACACAAUCAAAGGAGAUGCAAGAGUGAUGUUCAGAAUCCAGAGGCUGCAAAAAGGAAGGUAUGAUGAUUAUGUACAAAAUGUGAUUAAUUAUACUCUCUGAUUAUGUACAAAAUCCUAACUUAUGCCUUUUUAUGUUUGUUAAUGUUGUAGAGGAAAACACCUAGAAGGAAGAACACUUCAACUGCUACUGAACCAAUGCAGACUGACCCAAUGCAAGCUGAAGUUGCAGCUGCUACUGAACCAAUGCAAGCUGAAGUUGAAGCUGGUACUGAACCAAUGCAAACUGAACCAAUUCAGACUGACCCAAUGCAGGCUGAAGUUGCAGCUGGUACUAAACCAAUGCAAGCUGAAGUUGAAGCUGGUACUGAACCAAUGCAGCCUGAAGUUGAAGCUGGUACACAACCAAUGCACACUGCAUCUACUCAAGAUCCACCAAGGCACACCACAAAAAUUGUAAAAGUGAAAAACUCUGAAGCUCCUUUCAAGAUACAAAAAGUAGUCACCUCUGAAGCUGCAAAUGCUUUACCAGAAAAAAUUGUUACAGAAUUUUAUGAAGCCCUUCCUGAAUCACAACUUGAAACUAGCCUUGGGCCAGAUGUGUUUGAUGACCUGGAUGACAGUGUAUUGGCAGCCAUCACUGAUCAAAUGUUUGAAGCAGCAGAAAAAGAAUUUAAUGUUGUGAAUGUUGUGAAGAGUAGGAAUGAACAGAAAAAGAAAACAUUGGGGUUGAAGAAAUCUGUAAAAGCUGGUAGGAAGAGUUCCAGGUUGAUGAAAUUGAAGACCAAGGCAAUCAAAGGUGCUGGCUCCAGUAUGGAUCAACCUAUGGUCCUUGAUGAGUCUGAAGAGGGCACUUUGACUCAGGAGGAUCAUGGUCUGAUUAAGAGUGGGACAUGUUUGUCUGUGCUAAGAGGCUUACCAAAAUUGGUUAUGAGAUCCUCCAAGCCUAAUUGAAGAAGCACAUAUUCAUUCUAGGCCUCUGUUAGGUUCCUGCUUGUUAAUGUUUUUGUUUAAGUUUUUUGAUGUAAUGACUUAUGCACUUUAAGUGCUUUUAGUUAAUGUAAUGACUUAUCCACUUUAAGUGCUUUUGGUUGAUGAAUCUGAUUAUGCACUUUAAGUGCUUUUGGUUAAUGUAAUGACUUAUGCACUUUAAGUGCUUUUGGUUGAUGAAUAUGAUUAUGCACUUUAUGCACUUUAAGUGCUUUUGGUUAAUGUAAUGACUUAUGCACUUUAAGUGCUUUAUUGCUUAUGUUAUGGCAUGUUUAGAAUGAUGAAAAAAUUACUUCAAACAUUUUUCAUUAAUAUCUAAAGGAGUUACAUUUUUCAUUUUUCAUUAAUAUCAAAAGCAGAAAUGUUAACAUAAGUCUUACUACAUAAUCAGAACAUUACAAUGACUUAGAGAACAAUUACAUUAACUUGAAAACAACUGAGAACACAAUCCAAGACACAGCUAGCGCAACAAUGACGCCAAAAUUUUUCUUCUUCUCAGCAUCAAGCUUCAUUUUGAGUUUCUCAUGCUUCUUUGCACUUAUUUGAGUUCCAUGUUCUUUGCCAAACUCUUUCCCAAACUCUUUCCCAAAGUCUUUGCCAAAUUGUGUCAAAAACUCCAUUGUCAUUGCACAAUUGCUGCAACCAGCUUCAGACUUUAAAAUAGAAGAACAACCUGGUUCACAGUACUUUCCACAUUUUUUAGGAACUUCAUCGAGUUCAUCAUCCCAAAUGAACAGCUCACAACUAUACUCAGCCUGCAAUAAGUUUCGGCUUACAAAUUUAGCAACUAUUUCAAAACUACAUACGUUUGGAAAAUUUGAAACAAAAAAUUUACAUCAAAAUAAAAAAUUCACUUACUCCAGAAAAUCGGCAUCUCCAAAACUUUCUCUUGGGGUUUUCAUUUGUGUUUGAAAUCCACAUUGUUAUCAUGAUUUUCGGGUGUCAAGCCAUUAAUUAGGCUUGAACCUUUCAAUCUUUGAUAUUCUCUAUUUUUUCUUGGGAAGGGCAAAAUUGAGAAAAAAAACCCUUAGAGUCUAAGUUCGGGGGUUGCUUUCACUACGGGAAGGUGUUAGGCACCCGCAAUGAUUAUAGAACCUUUUUCCUAGUUUUAUGUCUACGCUUUACUUUUAUUGCCUACUUAUUGAAAAAAGAAGUUUUAUUUGAGUGAAGAAUGGGGGAGAGAAGAUGAUUGAGAUUUUAUUUUUAUUUGGCUUGGAAGAGUUUUGACUCCUUGCCUACGUACCCUUUUAAGGGAUCAAAACCAAACGUAGUUCAUUCUCAAAAAUUGUUUUCUUUGUUUUUAUUGGUUGAUUUUAAGUUUGAAAAAAAGGAAUUUUGAAGAAUGGAGAUGAGAGGCCUCAAGGGCAUGAGAUUUGGAAAAUGUGAGGUGGAAUUAGUUAUUUUGCAAAACAAAGUCUAAGUAUGAUUAAAAUUCAUUAAGAUUUUUAUUUAAGAAAAUAAAAGGAAAAUGAGGAGUUUUGACUCCUAUUUUUUUGGAAAAAGGUUUUCAAGUGAGGUUAUUCACAUUUUUUGGGAAAAAUGAUUUUUGUCUAAGCAUUAUAAAACCUAAGCAUACAUCUAAACAUACAUUCCCUAAUCAUGCAUCUAGAAUAUCCAUGUGGGGUGUGUGCAUGUGUCGGUGUACAUCACUUAUAGUGUCCAUAGUCAUUUACAUUGAGUCCUAGAUACAUGCUAUGGUCUUGCAAGAAUGUAAACUAAACUAAACUAACUAAAUUUAGUACAAACCAAUUGGCAUAGAAAUGAAUACAAAAAGAAAACCUAAACUAGGAGCAAUGAGGGUACAAAGAUUAGGUGCUUAUGGAAUGAAUGAGAUAUGAAGCAUAAGAGUUAGUAACACAAGUACAAAAUGAUAAUAAUAAAAAAAAAAGAUGCAAGCAAUAUAGAAUUGAAUAGCACAAGAGAAAGAAAAUAAUGCAAUGAAACAAAGUAGUAAAAAAUACACCUAGAAUUUAGGUAUAACACUCAUACAUGCAUAUGACCUAUAAUUCCCUCAUUAUAGCCAUUUUUGAAAGGUUUGAAUUUAAGCUACAAUGUGAGGAUCAUAAGAGUACACACAAGCCAAGCAUUAUAUCAUAUUCCUAGAGAUAUUUCCACACAUUAUUUCACAUGCAAAAAUAUCACAAUAUGUAACAAUGCAUCAAGAACAUAUAUGGAAUUUAAUGAGCAAGAAUUAAAAGAACAAAGUAAAGAAAAUGAAUGCAAAAAUAAGCAAAUAAAUUCUAAUACUUAGAGGAAAAAUUAAAAUGAUAGGGAAAUAUUUUUAGAAAUUUUUUUAGAAGCAUAAAACACCAAGAAAGUGUAAAAAAGGAUUUAAAACACAAUUAAAAAGCAAUUAAAAAGAGGCUCAGCAGGAUUUAAUCUUGACCGCUGGAUGAAUCCAGAGGUCCAGAUCUAACUCCCAAGAUCACAUCACAGCCACUGGAUCAAAGAUCCAAGGGUCCAAAAAAAAAGCACAAAAGAUAGUGUAAAAUGCAGGAAGCACAGUGACCGUUAGAUCAAAGAUCUAACGGUUCAAACAGAAGAUAUAGCAUAUUCCACACAAAAAAUCACACACAAGAUUCAAAAUCAAACACACAGCAGCCAUCAGAUCUUGGAACAAACCGGAUCUGAUGGUUCACAGAGCGAGGGAACACAACAAGAGCACGCACGUGCGCGCGUGGGAACGGAGGGAGUAUAAAAAGGAAUUUCACACAAAAAAUCACAUAAACUUCUUCUCCUUCUCUCUCUAAGUCACACUUAGAGAGAGAAGCUCUCCCUUCUCUCUAAAAAAACUCGCUGGCGAAGGUGGAGGAGGUGGUGGUUCAGGCGCGGCGGCCUGCCGGUUUCCGGCGGCGGCGCCCCCGUGCCGUAAAAUUCAAACUACUUUUUUUCAAAAAUUUUACAUCAAAAGUUCCGUCACCACCUCCUCUACACAAAUCCGGCGUUAGUUUUAGCGAGAACGGAGCGAUUCGGACUAGAUCUACGUUUUUACUUUGAAAAUCUUUUUCACACUUUUCGCAAAAAAAAACUACGGAUCUAGAUAUCCUUUUCUCUAUAGAGUCCGAAUCCGGCCUCAAAAUUCUCAAAAUCCGAACACAAAAGCCUAGAUCUACUAAUUUUUAUCCGUAACAAACUUUUUCACACUUUUUCAAGCAAGAAAUGCGCGGAAAUGACUUAGAAAGAAAGGAGAAACGCGUUACCUCUGUCGUAGAACGGAGAAAAAAGAUAUUCAGAAAACUUCGAAUCUCUCCUCUUCUCUUUCGCGCGCGCGCUAUAUCCUCCGUUGGUGUUGUUUUUGCUCGAAAAUCCGGUACGAUCUUGGUGUUGAUGUGAUGAUCCGCGGUGGUUUUGAGUGAAUCCGGUUCGGAUUUGUUGAUUUUGUGGUGAGGUGUUCUUGGUGUUCUUCCUCUUUUUCCUGAGUUUUUUUUCUGUUUUGAUUCUGUUAUGGAUGAGAGAGAGAAAAAGAUUCUGUUUGAGAGUGAUUGUGAUUGAUUCUGAUUUUUCUGACUCAUUGAUGGAUCUGACACAUUUACUAUUUAUAGCCUGCCAUGUGUAUCUGAGACCCAAUGGAAAAUUGACACCUGGACUGUUUUGGACUUAAGGACUAAUCUGCAAAAAAGUUAAUAUGAGGACUAAUCUGCAAUAAAAAAAAGAUUAAAAAAAUGCAAUUAAAAAAAAGAGUAUUGGACAAAAAUGCAAUUUUGGGAUCUGUUUGAGUACUAAAAAUGCCAUUAAAAUAAAAUUGGUAAAUUGGACAAAAAUGACAGGAAAAGACCAAAAUGCCCCUAGGGACUAAAAUGACCCAACCUGACUCAGAUGCAGUUUUGAAAUGAUUUUAAAAAAGAGAUUCAACAAUGAUUUGUACAGACAAGUUAGAAAGACUCAGAGACAGUUACAGGGACUAAAAUGGGUUCCGCUGCAGGAAAUGACCAAAAUACCCUUUUGUAUGAUUUUUGAAAAUAAAAUGCAAGAAAAGUAAUGCAAUGAUUCAGAGAAUUUUCAAAUGACUUGUAAUGCAAGAAAGACACUUUGGAUAGUUUUAUGCAAGAAAAUCAUGAUUGAACAUACUUUGAGACAGAGACAGUAAAAUAUGCAGAUGAAAAGAGAGUAAAGAUUCAGAGUGAAACAACAGUAAUUUGACAAUUAUAAGUAGUAGAAAAUAAAUUUGAAUGAGUAUUUUUAGGUCCAAAAUCAGGGUAUAACACACAUCUUCAUAACCUUCUCACAACCGCAUAUUGGGGGUCGAUUUCCAACAUUGUUACUAAUUGACGAAGUUCUGCUUCCACCCAUUAUAAACCCUAAGGUCCCACUGACAGUUGUCGUUUAAUCCUGAAUAGUCUUUGACUUUUCAAAAGGAAAUUUCGGCAGUAAGGUAUUUUAAAAUACCUCAUUUAGUUUGGUUUCUUAGCCCACAUUUUCAUUAUCACUUUAUUUUUAUUUUUAUUUUUUUUUAGUUAUUUUCUUUAAUUAUUUUUUUAAUAAGUCCAAAAUUGUCAAAAGAGCCGUGGUCCAAAGAUUCUUCACGCCACAAUUCCACAAUUCCAGGCAAAUUUACUCAGGUCUACUCUUUCUUUCCCAAUUUACCAGAAACGUGUUUCAUCCCUUUUAAUUCCAUUCAAGCACCAUUCAUUCCUAUUAAACAACAUUUCCUUUUGUUAUCAACCUUGAGCCUUUAAAUAGGAGUAAAAAUCAGAGAAGAAGGGGGACACGAUUCACACAACCUGAAAAGAGAAAAGAAAACCAGUAAUCACAAAUCAUCAAAACCUCUCUCAAACCCUCAUCACACACCAUCAUCGAAUCAUCAUCACAACAAUUCCAACCAACACAUCAAUUUUCCAGCCAUCAGUCACAAUUCCAAAACCCACACAAAAUCCUCACAACCGAUCCAACAAUUUUCCAAAGCCCUCAAUAGAAACCGACACAAAAACAUCACAGAAUACCAGCAUCAAAGGAACAACGCCGUACAUCAACCGAAACAGCCAUCACAGAAUUGACCAGAGAAUCCGAAUCGAAAUCAAAAGGUAGUAUUUCAUUAACUUUUAGAUCUAGGCUCGUAUAUUCACUGUUUGAGAUUUGUGAGUUUAGAAUCGAGUAGAGGAGAAGAGAACAAGUAGAAGGAACCAAAAAAAUCAAAAAAAUAAGUUGUUAGGGUUCCGGCGCGGUGGCGCCGCCCCACAGGCUGGCCAACCGCCACCGGAACCCUUUCGGGUUUUCGAUCCACCGGGAAGCGCAUUUUUGCCUAGGCCGCCCUUUCGGGUUUUCGACCUACCACGUUGUUCCUUUCAUAUAUCUAGGCGAAGUAUUUCUUGACUAUAUCGACAUUCACAGGAUUUGGAAGUUCAACACCAUCCAUGUGUGUAACAAUUAAAGCACCACCGGAGAAGGCCUUCUUGACAACAUAAGGACCUUCAUAGUUAGGCGUCCACUUGCCCCUUGGGUCGGGUUGCUGGCUUAUCCUCCUUUUCAAAACAAGUUCUCCUACCUUGAAUUCUCGAGGAUGGACUUUCUUGUCAAAGGCAGUCUUCAUUCUUGCUUGAUAUGACUGUCCACGAGCCAUGGCAUCCAUACGUUUUUCCUCAAUCAAAUUCAACUGAUCAUACCGGCUUUGGCACCAUUCAGCCUCGGAUAACUUUGAUUCCAUGAUCACACGGAGAGAUGGGAUCUCCACUUCCAAAGGAAGAACCGCUUCCAUACCAUAUACAAGAGAGAAAGGGGUUGCCCCGGUUGAACUGCGCACUGUAGUACGGUAACCAUGCAGAGCAUAGGGUAACAUCUCAUGCCAGUCCUUAUAAGUAGUAACCAUCUUCUGAACAAUCUUCUUGAUAUUCUUGUUGGCGGCCUCAACUGCACCAUUCAUCUGAGGUCUAUAAGGAGAAGAGUUAUGAUGCUCAAUUUUGAAUUCUUCACAAAGAGCUUGCACCACAUUGCUGUUUAGGUUGGUACCAUUGUCGGUAAUGAUCUUACUGGGAACACCAUAUCGACAGAUGAUGUUAUUCUUGAUGAACUUGGCUACCACUUGCUUGGUCACAUUGGUAUAAGAUGCCGCUUCAACCCAUUUAGUGAAGUAGUCAAUUGCCACUAAGAUGAAACGAUGACCAUUUGAAGCCUUCGGUUCAAUUCUUCCAAUCAUAUCGAUGCCCCACAUUGAAAACGGCCAUGGGGAUGACAUAACAUUGAGAGCGUGCGGAGGCACGUGAAUCUUAUCAGCAUAGAUUUGACAUUUGUGGCACUUUCUGGCGUGCUGGUAGCAAUCAUGCUCCAUGGUCAUCCAGUAGUAACCUGCUCGCAACAACUUCCUUGACAUAGUAUGCCCUGUAGCAUGGGUCCCGAAGGUACCGUCAUGUACGUCAUGCAUUAACUGUUCCGCUUCAUGUUCAUCAACACAUCUUAACAAUACCAUGUCAUAGUUUCUUUUGUACAGAAUAUCUCCAUCCAAAAGGAAUCUACUGGCCAAUCUUCUUAGGGUCUUCUUGUCUUGGUUGGAAGCACCUGACGGAUACUCACGGCUCAGCAAGAACUGCUUGAUAUCGUAAUACCAGGGUUUAUAGUCAACCAUAUUUUCACCGGCCUGAUCGAUCACAUCCCCAAUAGCAAACACAUGCGAAGGUCUUUCAAGGCGUUGCACUUUGAUUAUUGGCACAUCAUUCCAAUGGUUUACUCGAAACAUGGAGGAUAGAGUAGCAAGAGCAUCAACCAUUUGGUUCUCAUCACGAGGGAUAUGGUGCAACUCAACCUUUGUAAAAUAUGUCAGCAAACGUCUUGCGUAAUCACGGUAAGGAAUCAGAUUGGCAUGGUGGGUCUCCCAUUCACCCUUUAUCUGAUUGAUGACGAGUACCGAAUCUCCAUAAAUGUCGAGGUGUUUGAUUCUCAUGUCAAUCGCUUCCUCGAUCCCAAAGAUACAUGCUUCAUACUCAGCCAUAUUGUUUGUACAUUCGAACAGAAUCCGGGCGGUAAAAGGAAUGUGAUGCCCCUGUGGGGAUACAAUGACUGCCCCAAUUCCUUUGCCAUAAGCAUUGACAGCACCAUCAAAGACUAAUCCUCACUUGCUAUUGGGAUCUGGUCCUUCACCAAUCAAUGGUUCUUCGCAGUCUUUUGAUUUCAAAUACAUGAUCUCUUCAUCGGGGAAAUCAAACUCAAUUGGUUGGUAAUCAUCGAGAGGUUGGUAGGCGAGAUUAUCGGCAAGGAUGCUACCUUUGAUUGCCUUUUGAGUUUUGAACACAAUAUCAUAUUCAGACAAAAGCAUCUGCCAGAGUGCAAUCUUCCCAGUAACAACAGCUUUCUCAAAGAUAUACUUGAUAGGAUCCAUCCUGGAUAUCAACCAAGUUGUAUGAUUCACCAAAUAAUGACGCAGGCGUUUGGCAGCCCAGGCUAGAGCACAACAAGUCUUCUCAAGCAUUGUAUACCGAGUUUCACAGUCGGUGAACUUCUUGCUCAGAUAGUAGAUAGCAUGUUCUUUCUUUCCAGUCUCAUCUUAUUGACCAAGCACGCAUCCCAUGGAUUCAUCAAACACUGACAAAUACAAAAUCAAAGGCCUUCCUUCCACGGAUGAGACAAGGAUAGGUGGUUCCAGCAGGUAAUUCUUGAUGCUAUCAAAAGCUUCCUGGCAUUCAUCGUUCCAUACAAUAGGCUGAUUCUUGCUCAAGCAGUCGAGUGAUCUCAUACGGUAUAUCAUCAUCCUCUUCAUCUUCGGCUUCAUACACCGGGAAUUCAAAAUUUGGAGGAACUGUAUGAUUACUGUGUUCAACGGGUUUAUUAUGGUUCAAACUGCAUAGAAUGGUUGAAUGAUUUUAGAAAAGGGUUUUUUUUUUCUUUCAUGCAGAUCUUUGAAAUUAAUAAGAAAAAUAAAGAUGUUUUGGUUUUUUCUGGUAUUACCAUUAUUUCCAAGAAAAAAAAAAGAAAAAAAAAAUCACUAAAAAAUAAAAGUCGUGAAAGAAACGACGAUUUUUAUUGAUAACGGCGAUGCCGAAACAAACACGCCCUUCCAGAAAUAUCACUUUCGCUUCGGACAGAGCGAGAGGAUGGUUAUUUUGAAAAACAAAACACUUAAGCAACAAGACACAUUAUUCGGAAACAUGCAUGAUUGAAUGAAUGUUGAUGGCGUCCCAAUUUCUCGCAAUGCCUCCUGGUAUAACAAACAUAGGCCUAGGACUACAUCCAGUCGCCUCUUCAGUAAUUGCAUUGACAAACUCAGCACUGUAGAAGAUUCCUGUGGUAUUGUACUUGUAAGGAAUAGCCUUUGCUGAAGUAUAAGGUACCGGUCCGGGCAGCCUUAUCACUAGAGGCUCAACAUUCUCUUUUGAAGGCACGCUCUUGACGGGCGGAUCAUGAAAGACUGGCACAAUCACAUAAACAUCGUUGACAGUCAAAUAAUUGUCGUUCAUCAAGCUCUGGAUGUCAUUUUGAACAGCAUAGCAACCCAAAGGAUUACGAAAGCAAUCUGGGCAAUUGGCAUGAUCACGGUUAAACAGAGAAGCUUUGCAUAGCUUGAUGUGUAGUGGUACCAGAGGAGUUGCAACAUUACGGACAUCAAGUCUGGGAGCUUCCUCAUACACCUCAAUCAUGUUCACAGCAGCGUGAUUCGGAAGAGGAUUGUCGAGGACAUGAGGGACAUUGUUCUCAAAAGUCAACUUUCCUUGAUCAAUGAGCUUCUUCACGAUGUACUUCAAAGCAUAGCAUCCUUCGACAUCAUGACCCAGAGCACCUUGAUGGAAAUCACAUAUGAGGUCAGACCGGAACCUGGGAGGCAACGGAUCAGGUGGAGGCUUGCCCUGUCUGGUGGUGCAGUGCCCUCUGAGAAGUAGAGUUGGGAGUAGCUCAGCAUACAACAUUGGUAUCAGAGGAAAGGUAGGUCUAGCUUGUUGCUGCUGUCGUUGUUGAGCUGGAGGCUGAUUGUUCCCAGGCGGCUAGCAGAGCAGUCAUGGUAUCAUUGGCCUUUGCCAAUUCUUCCCUCAGAGAAGCCAACUCGGUGCGAAGCUGAGUGUUCUCUUCCUCCAUAGCUACCAAAUUCUUUUUUCUGUACAAUCUAGUCCGAUGGAUUCUGUCAGGUUCGUAGACUUUUCGAGCACGAGCCACCUUUCAAACUCUGUGGCAGAAGAACCAGGAGGCAAUGAGUGCUUGGAAGCUUCUGUGACUGAUGAAUGAUGCAUAUGAUGCAUGAUAUGUACAAAUGCAGAUGCAAAAAUGACUUUUUUGUCAUCGAAGGGUUUUUAGACAAAUUAGAAACCUUGUAAACAUUAUUUAAUAAGAUCUCAAUAGCGUUCAAAUCCACGAAGUUGUCGAGAUUCGAAAAGAGAAUGAGCCCAUAGAUAAACAAUGCAAGAAUAGCCUCGAGUGUAUCUUGACAAGUGGUUUCGAAUUAGCCCGCUCAAGUAGAUACUUUGAAGUGAACCCUCGGAUGUGAGAAUUGGUAAUAAGAUGAUUGGAGACGUCGGAAGUCCUGGGAUAGAUAUCCUUAGCAAUAACCAAAGGAGUAAGAGAAGUUCCGGGACCGCUAUAGGUGAAUCUAACAAGUAGGAAUAAGCCUCAAGAGUAGGGACCAAUUGGAAAUCCGAGAAAGUGAAGCAACGGAAACUCGAGUCAUAGAAUCGCACAAGAGUGUGCACUAGCUUCCCUUCAACAUUGGUCUGGAGAAUAGUGAGCAAACCACCAUAUCGGAGUCGAAAACCUGUUUGAUUCUUAACCUUGAGUGCCAAUUCUCUCAAGCUAACCAAAUCAACCUCCUUGCACUUGUAGGAUUUAGUCUUCUUCAUACCAGUAAUGUUUACAAAGUUUUUAAUUUGUCUAGUCCUUCGAUGAAGGCAUGAAAAAAGUUUAUGCAUGAAUGCAUGUAUGCAUGAUUGUUUUUUUUUUUCAAUUACAGAGAAUACAUGGUGAGGGUAAGUUCCACAAUGUUGGAGUUAAGGAUAACAACGCCAUUUGGUAAGGACUAUGGUUUAAAAUGUACCUGCAUCACGGGUUCUACCAAGUUCCCAAAUUACAACUUCCCUUAUGAGCAUAUCGGUGUAUAGGACCGCUCCUAGUCCAAUAACGCCCAUAAGUAAGUCUAGUUUGAGUGUAGUAUCGCGUGUCGACCAAAGUCAAAACUGCUCUUGGUUUAGCCACCGCACUACGUCCUAAAAAAAGGCCAAGAUGGGUUAAGGGUGAUCUAAAGGUCCUCAACGUUUAGCGGACUUCAAAAAUAAUAACGCCAAUCACGACUGCUCAUGACGACAUAUUAUUACUUUUGAAAGACCUACGUUGAGUGGAGUUAUAUCACAUGUACACAUAUCGCAGGACCGCUCCUGGUAUGGCACUACGAUUGUACCCCGUCCUAUCUUAUGUUUCACUCAAGCCCGGGUGUAGGACUUUGAUAUUCUCACCCCACACGUUAAAUGAAAAUAAACAAAUAUUCACAUAUAUAAGCAAUAAAACAAAGCGUAAACAUAAACUACGGAAAACUAGGCGUGACCCGCUUAAAAAAUGUCCCCAGUGAAGUCGCCAUUUCUGUUAUCAUGGUUUUUGGGUGCCAAGCCAUUAAUUGGACUUGAACCUUUUGACCGUUGAUAUCUUCUUUUUUCUUGGGAAGGGUAAAAGGAGAAAAACCCUUGAGUUUCCGAAUUCGGGGGUCGAUUUCGCUACGGGAAGGUGUUAGGCACCCGGAGCGAUUAUGGUAUUCCAUAAGAACCGUUCUCCUAAGUUUAUUUCUACGCUUUAUUUUAUUGCCUAUUUAUUGAAAGAAAAGAAGUUUUAUUUGAGUGAAGAAUGGGGGAGAGAAGAUGAUUGAAUUUGAUUUUAUUUCGGCUUGGAGGGGUUAAAGUCCCUUGCCUACGUACCGUUUUACGGGAUCAAAACCGGCGUAGUUCUUGCUAAAAAGACUUGUUGUUUUUUUUGUUUUAAUUGUUUGAUUUUAAAUUUUGAAAAUGAUUUUGAAGAAGGGGAUUGAGAGGCUUCAUGAGCAUUAGAGUAUGAAAAAGUGGGGGUUUGUUUAGUGAUUUUGCAAAAAAGUCUAAAUGAUUAGAUUUAUUUGAGAAUUUUAUUAAGAAAAUAAAAGGUGAAAAAUUGUUGGAGUUUUGACUCCAUUUUUAUGAAAAAAUAUUUGAAGCGAAUUUGUUUGCAUAUUUUUUGGAAAAAAUUGGAUUUUCUCUAAGUGUUUAAACCUAAGCAUUCAUCUAACCAUGCAAUCCUAGGCAUACAUCUACACAUGCAAUCCUAGCCAUACAUCUAGGGUGAGUGUGUGCGUGCCGGUGCGUCAUAGUGUCCAUAGUCCAUAUUACAAAAAUUGCCUAAAUACAUUCUAUGGCCCCUUUGCCAAGCUACAAACCAAUGAUAACAAAUUACAUCACCAAAUGAAUUAAAACUUGCAAAAAUAAAUGCUAAGCUAAAGAAAGUGGAGGAGGUAGUGGAAUGCUAUGAGUGAAGUCUCACAAGGAACAAAAUGUUAGUGAAACAAGGAAAAAUAUAAUGGGAAUGAUGAAAAAUGCACCAAAUGAAUAUGCAAUAAAAAGGGGUAAAAACAUGAGAAUUUAUCAAGCACAAUGUGUAAUAAAUGGCCUAUAAUGCAAGCACAAACACAAACCAAAUGAAAACAGUGGCACAAUCAUUGAAUUAUCAUCACAUCUAUCAUGAAAAUGCAUUCUAAUUAGCCAUGCUAUGCACCAAAAUUCUUAGGACAAGAAUCAACCUAAAAAGCAUGACAAAGCUAACUAGAGAAGUAAUUUGAACGAGAGACCUAUGCACAUAUUUUUUACCAGUUAUUUGCAAGCAAAAUAUCAUUAAAAAAUCAUCAAGAAAGUGGUAAAAACAUGUAGUAAUUUUUGGAAUUUAUGGUAAAAAAAUCAGAGCAAUCAGAGGUUCAGAUAGCAAAAAGAACGGUGUAAGUAGCACAAAAAGGCAAAGAAAUUCUUAGAAAACUAAGCCCAAACCUACAGCCUAACACACAAAACUCAGAUUGCACAGGAGACGUUGGAUUGAUCCAGGGUAGGAAACCCUAGAUCCAACGGCCAGGAACGAAGGAGGUUGGACCGGUCCUGAACCGGUCCGGUUCACUGGCUUUAAAAAGGGGGGGAAACCGGUUUUUUCCUAUUUUCUUCCUCUCCUUCUCUCUCUAACUCUUCUCUCUUCUCUCAUCUCUCUCUAAACCCUCACCGCCGGUGAGGAUGAAGCCACGGCAGAGACCUUGAAGGUCCGCCGGAAGCUUCAUCUUCUCCGGCGAGUCCUAUGCACUCUCCGGUGAAAAAUUUCCAGAAUUUAAAGAUUUUUACAUCAAAUGAUUCGUCCUUUAACCCUAAACACGAAUCCAGCAAUUAUUUUCUCAAACACAGCUUGAUACGAUGUAGAUCUGAAAAUUUCGUACGGUUUUGAAAUUGAUUUUCUUUGAUCUUUUUUUGAAAAAAAAAGGUUUAGAUCUUUACGGAUCUACAUCGUUUCGUCGUUUAUCUCUUUUCUGGUGCUUGUUCUUGCUUUCAAAACUUAGGUCCUUAUGGAUCUAGGUUUUGUGUUUACGGUUACGGUCUUAUCUUUGAAUUCUGGAAAUUUUUAGAUCUGUUUCUCGCGUGAUUUUACAGGUUAAACUAUGAUAUCACUUCUGAAAAGGAAUUCUGAGUUUUACCUGAAGUUUUUGAUUGGAGGUUUUAUGAGAUUCUUCGGAAAUCUUGAUUCUGUUCUUGAUGAUUUUUGAUCCUUCCGCUUGUUCUUUGGACCGAAAAUAAAUCGGUGAUUCACUGGCUUAAUCCCUUCAUCUUCUCCGAUUCUUUCUCUGUGAUUAUACGCUUGAACUUGCUUUCCCUCUUCUGAUCUUCUCUCUGUGAUCAACGCUUGAGCUUGCUUCAAUGCGAACUCGCGUUUGGAAUUGCAGGGAAACGACCAAUUCAGUGAUGAAGAUUCCACAGAAUCUCUGAGAAUCGAUCCAAAAAUUGUUGAUUCUGAUGAAUUUUAGGGUUUCUGGAAACGGUUAGGGUUUUGUGUUCUUGGUGUUCUUGAGAAAUUCUGAGAAAUUUUCUGUUUUGAUUCAAUUGCUGAGAGAGAGAAAAUUAGAAUUGUGUUUAUGAGUUGGCGUGUGGUUAAUGGAUCUCUGUGGCACUGUACACCUUUUAUAGCCUGCCAUGUGUGAUCUUGGACCAUUAGAAAGCUGACAUGUGGCAUUGGACUGAAAAAGGGGCGCUGCCUUGUAAUUUGACUUGAAGGACCUGUUUGCAAAUUUGAAAAAAUAUAUGGACUGGACUGAAAAAUGAAAGUAAGGACUGAAAUGAAAUUAAAAACUGUUUGGACAAAAUAUGCAAUUUUGGGACCUCAAUUGAGGGACCAAAAUGCAAUUAAAAAUAAAAUUGGAUAAAACGUAAUUUGACCAAACGUAAAAUGAAACAAAAAAAUAAAAUUGACAAAACGGACUAAAACGAACCAAUGGCUUAAAUGAGGUACUUCAAAGUAACCCCUCUAUGCCGAAAUUUUGUGUGAAAUGACCAAAAUGCCCUUCUGUACGACUUUUGAAAUAAAAUGCAAGAAAAGUAAUGCGAUGAUUUAUAGAAUUUUUUCAAAUGACUUGUAAUGCAAAAAGACAUUUUGGAUGGUUUUAUGCGCAAGAAAAAUCAAAGACAAAAUCACGAUUGAAAAUAGUUUGAGACAGACAUUAAAAUAUGCAGAUGAAACAAAGUAAAGGUUCAGGGAAAUAUAACAGCAAAUUGACAAAUAUCAGUAUUGAAAAAGAAAUUUGAAUAAGUAUUUUUAGGUCCAAAAUCAGGGUACAACACAUGCAAAUAAUCAAAAAUCACAAAAAUAUCUUCAUAAACAAACCUUGAUCUUAAAUCAAGUGACCGUCUUUUGUUUUCAUUUUCUUAAUCAAACUUUAAUCAAUUUAAUCAUAUUUUGAGUCAUUUUCUUUUAAUAUAAAAAAUACAAACAAAUACUCAUUUGCCACUUGGCUUUUCAUUUUAAAACCUUUUUUCAAAACUAAUAAAAAACACUCAACAAAUCAAACGUCGUUUUCUACCCCGAACUACGAGGUUUUGAUCCCUCACGGGUACGUAGGCAGAGGACCAUGUCCUUCCAAAUCAAUAAAAUGUAGAUAACUAGGUCUUUUAUUCUUCCACUUUAAUUCCUUCUUUUCAAAAAUAAUAAGCAAGUUUAUAGCACAUUAAUUAAAUAAAAUCAAGAGGUUCUCGUAGAGUACUACGAAUAUUUAGGGUGCUAAUACCUUCCCUAAAUAUAACCAACCCCCGAACCCUAAAUCUCAAUAUGGGGUAGUUUGAACCUUUUUCCCCUUUUUCUUAAAAAAAUUAAAUGUUCAGUCGUGAAAUAAUUAGUGAGUCAAAAGCUAAUCAAAUAGCCUUGAUCUCCAAAAAAUGACACGACAGAAAUGGCGACUUCACUGGGGACCCCCUAAGAGGGUUAAGCCUAACUUGGCUUUAUUUAAAUUUUGUUCUAUAACUUGCUUAAAAUCAAAAAAUAAAAUAUGGAAAACCGUGUAUAUAUGUUCUUCCUUCUUCGUUCUCCUUUCUAAACUUGAGUGGUGAGAUAAGUCAUACACCCGGACUUGAGUGAACAUUAAGAUAGGAUGGUGAUAUAAUCAAAGUGCCAUUCCAAGAGUAAUCUUGAGUGUUGGUACAUGUGAUAAUCCCGCUCAAUGGAGGUUCUUGGAAGUAAUACUUUGUUGACAUGAGUAAUCAUGUUUGACACUAUUAUUUUCAAGUAACCGUCGAAGUUGAGGGCCUUUAGUUACCUUUAACCCAUCUUGGCCUUUUAGGACGUAGUGCGGUGGCUAAUCAAGAGUAAUCUUGAAUUAGUUGAUACGCGAGACUACACUCAAACGAGACUUUCCUUCAAAUGAUAUUAGAUCAAGAGUAAUCUUGUAACCUAAUAAUAUUUGGAAGUGGUUAAAGACUUUGGGAACUUGGUAGAACCCGUGAUACAGGUACAAAUGAAACCAUAGUCCUUACUAAAUGGCGUUGUUACCCUUAAAGCUCCAACAUUGUGGACUUAACCUCACCAUGCAUUCCAUGUUCUUUAGCAUAAUCAUGCAAACAUGCAUUCAUUCAUAAAAACUUUUUCUCACUAAUAUCGAAGGACUUAGAUAAGUUCUUGUAAACAUCAAAGAUAUGGUCCUUGUAAGAAGGAACACCUACAACUUCAAAAACCUUAACUAAGCUUUAGCUUUUGUUAAGAAUUUUUUCCUUGGUUUCGUUCUUACUUUUGAAAAGGGAACCAAUUGCAACAUCUUCACAAUUUUCAGAUAAAACAAUGUUCCUUAUCAAGUUUACAAUUACUUUGACAAAUCCUUCAAAAAAAAUGUGUCUAUUUUUGCAUAAGCAUAGCAUGCAUCAUUUUGCAUUCAUAAUUUCAAGUCUGAGUCUCACACUGUGUCUUUUCUACUAAAGGUCAAUCCAUUUCAAAAGUGGCCCGACGUAAUCUUUACCAGUCUACCCGCACAUACAACACUCGGGCUAAUAUAAAAAAGAAAAUGGAAGGUCUUGAGCAAGAAAAUCAGGUCCUCCGUGCCGAAGUGAUAUCAUUGAAGACCAAGAUAGAGGAAUUGGAGUCCAUGAAGACCAAGAUGGAUGAGUUGUCUGAAUUGGUAAAAGUGCUAUCAACUGCACAAAAUCAACCACCACCACCUCCUCCCUUCAGCACUCAGGCCGAAGCAUCUUCCUCUUCUAUCCCCGAUUGGACAAUAUGUGCCGACACUCCGACAUACUCUGCUCCACAACGUUCCGCGCCUUGGUUUCAACCUUUUACUGCUGGUGAAAUAUUCCGUCCCAUUGCCUGUGAAGCUCAGAUGCCUACUCAUCAGUAUGUGGCUCGUGUUCCCCCUGUAAAGGUCCCUCCAGUCGCUAUGACCUACUCAGCACCUGUGAUGCAUACUAUUCCACAAAAUGAAGAAUCCAUCUUCCAUUCAGGGAACAUGGAGACUUACGAUGGAAUGAGUAACUUACGAGAAAAGUAUGAUGAACUGCAACGAGACGUGAAAGCUCUCCGUGGGAAAGGAAAAUUUGGAAAGACUGCUUACGAUCUCUGUUUGGUGCCGAAUGUUCAGAUACCUCACAAAUUCAAGAUUCCAGAUUUCGAGAAGUAUAAAGGGAACUCCUGCCCUGAGGAACAUCUAAAAAUGUAUGUGAGAAGGAUGUCCGCAUAUGCCCAGGACGAUCAGGUCCUUAUUUAUUACUUUCAAGAAAGUUUGGCUGGUCCCGCCUCAAAAUGGUACAAAAAUCUAGACAAAACGGAAAUCCAAACUUUUCGUGAUCUAUGUGAAGCUUUUGUGGAACAGUACAAUUAUAAUGUGGAUAUGGCUCCAGACAGAAGCGAUCUUCAGGCUAUGACCCAGGGAGACAAGGAAACAUUCAAAGAGUAUGCCCAGCGAUGGAGAGAUACCGCUGCCCAAGUCAGCCCACGUAUAGAAGAGAAGGAGAUGACCAAGAUCUUCUUAAAAACUCUCAAUCAUUUCUACUACGAGAAGAUGGUCGGAAGUACGCCCAAGAACUUUGCUGAGAUGGUUGGUAUGGGCGUACAGUUGGAAGAAGGAGUCCGAGAAGGACGAUUAGUUAAAGAUGGAGCUUCCGACAGUGGAGCCAAGAAAUUUGGGAACAACUUCCCAAGAAAGAAAGCACCAGAGGUCGGUAUGGUGGCCCAUGGGAGGCCUCAGCAAAAUUAUCCAGCCUAUCAGCAUGUUGCUGCCAUUACACCCGCUACCAAUGCUAUUCAACAACCGGGUUAUCAGCCGCAGUUCCAACAGUAUCCUCAGCAACUGUAUCAGCAACAACAACCUCGACCACAAGCUCAAAGGACCCAAUUUGACCCGAUCCCCAUGAAAUAUGCGGAUUUGCUCCCAGCAUUGCUAGAGAAGAAUUUGGUCCAGACCAGGCCACCUCCUAAGGUGCCAGAAAGAUUACCAACAUGGUAUAGACCUGACAAGUUUUGUGCUUUUCAUCAAGGGGCCCCAGGUCAUGAUACUGAAUACUGCUAUACUCUGAAGGCCGCAGUCCAAAAGUUAAUCCGAGAUAAAGAUCUGUCCUUCGCCAAUCCGCUACCAGAUCAUGGUACCUAAUAUUGCCACAAAAGGAUGGUUAACCGCAAUCGGGUCAAUGUUGAUGUCUUCUUCCAUUUGUUCAAUUUGUUUUAAGUGUUAUGUUUGUUGUUUUGUUAUCUUUCCAAAAGAGUCCUUUCGUCCCGCCCAAGACGAAAGUGAACUUAUGUAGGGCUUUUUGCUUCAUGAACUGUCAUCAUUAAUAAAAAGGUCGUUUUGAUCCCGACUUUGUUUUUUAUUUUAUUUUGUGCUUCUUCUUGAAAAAUGGUAAUACAAAAAAAAAACCAAAAAAAAGAAAAAACUUUAAUCAUUCUCAAAUAUCUGCAUAAUCAUAGCUUGUACUUACUUGUCAAAAUCAAUAAUCAAAUCAUGCAUUAAUAAACCUGUUGAACAUAAUAACCAUCUACUCUCUCCCAAAUUUGAGUUCUCUAUGACCGAAGAUGAAGAAGAGGAGAAUGAAGAGACUCCAAACAAGAUCUCUCGCCCACUGGGGCAUCUUAGCCGUCAAAGCUGCAAACAAAAUAUAAAAGAAGAUUGUCCAAAAGAUUGCUUUCAUUUACAAAGACCGGCACGAAAUGCUACCAUUUGCACUUCAUGAGUAUUGUACUUCAGUACACACUUCAACAGGGGCAACCCCCUCUUUCAUUAACAUACAUCAUGAAGGCCAUACUUCCCGUGGAGGUCGAAGUCCCGACAAUAGAAGUUUUGCCGAAGUCCAAGCUUGAUUGAACUUAAAUUGCAUGACGACCUUGUACAAACAUGUCAAAAGAGGUUGAAACAAACUUCCAACAAGAAGGUUCGUCCUCUUGAAUUUCAAGAAGGAGACUCUGUGCCUAAAAAGGUAUUAUCUUUCCAACCAGACUCUAGGGGCAAGUGGACGCCUAACUAUGAAGGUUCAUGUGCAAUGACUUUUACAACUAUGGAUGGUGACAAACUUGCACUUCCUAUGAAUGCCGGUGCAGUCAAGAAAUAUUAUGUCAAAAAAAUAAAAGCUCGAUAAGUCGCAAACCUGAAAAAGGGGCUUAGGCAAAAAUGAGCGUCUCGAUAGACUGAAAACCUGAAAGGGCGGUCUAGGCAAAAAUUAGAGACAUGAACAAAAAUGAUUAUCCUGAUAGAUUGAAAACCCAAAUGGGCGAUCUAUGCAAAAGUUAAGGAUCAAAAGACAAAUUAACUGCAUCCGGCGGAGCACAAUCCACUUGGGGCAUCCGGUUGUCAAAAGACCUCCGAUUCGAAGCAUCUGCAGAUCAAAGACUCGGAACAUUGGCAUUCAAAGUUGUUAGGGAGAAUAGUGGUUAUGGUGUUCAAUGUACCAUCCCAUACAUUUACCAUUUUUCAAAAUUUCCAAAAAAUCUGUGGAGCCAUGCCCUUAGCAGGCCACCACUCAAUUCAUCAAAUUUGAGCUUAUGCCCAUUUAUUCAGAACUCUCAUUUAUUCUAUUUGCAUAAUUUCUUCUUUUUGAUGGCAAUACUUAAAGCAAAAAUUUUCAAAAAAAUACAAAAAACUUUUUUUUACAUCUUUUGAAAAGUGUGAACAACAAACACACUCACUUUGAACUCAUGAGUAGGUGAAGCAUACAUCAACAUUCGCCUCGAGAACGGUUACACUCCAUAAGAGAAACAGAGCUAAGCACUAUGGAAAUGAUCUCUGCCUUGAACAAGAUGUUGUCACAGUAAAAAAAAAAUAUACAAAAAAAUCAAAGCUCGCUAAGUUGAAAACCUGAAAAGGCGGCUUAGGCAAAAAUGAGCGUCCUGGUGGACUGAAAACCCGAAAGGGCGGUCCAGGCAAAAAUUAGGGGCAGAAAAAAAAGAAUAUAUUCCCGGUGGACUUAAAACCCGAAAGGGCGGUCUAGGCAAAAGUUAGGGAUUUUCAAAAAAAUAAUAUAAAAAAACAUGACUGCUGAGGCAUACCAAUGGAAGGACACUCUGUGCCGGUUCACAAAUGGCGACUCUUUCCAUACCUUUUUAUCAAUAAUGGGCUUAUACCGUCAACGGCUCGAUUUGUUCACAAUAAUAUCAUCUCCAAGGAAGUUUGCCGAGUGUUUGUACUGCGAUGUCAGUCCGCCUCCCAUCUUACCUAUCUUGUCUCGUCUCAUCGAGUCACUUGUCACAUAAAGUUUAUACAGUCAUGCAAGUUGUACAUUCAUAACAUUUGUACAUUCAUAAAAUUCAUACAUUCAUACAUUCAUGUACACAUCAUAUGCACAACAUCAGUUCACACAUAAUUGCAUCAGUCGUCCAGAAUCUCAAUUCGGUCGCGUCUCUUCGGUUCAGUCUUAACUUACCAUUGUGUCAAGCCGCAAGUUUCUACAAAUAAGCCUCUUCCAUUUACCUUCUUAUUGUCAAAGUGUCAUCCCCGGCGUGAAGCCGUGCUAGUCAUGACACUAAUCAAACUUCAAUUUCAAUUUCAAAAAGUGUCAUCCCCAGCGGUAGCUGUGCAAGUGGUGUCACCAGUCAAUUUCAACUCUCAAUGGUGUCAUCCUUAGUGUGACUGACCAAGUUGUCCUUUCAUUCUUACCUUUGUUAAGCUAUCUCAUCGAUAGUUAGGUAAAAGUAUCAUUUGUCUUUGUUAAGCUAUCAUUUCAACGGUAGUUAGACGAUGGUUUUUUCUCUCAAUCUUACCUUUGUUAAGCUAUCUCAUCGAUAGUUAGGUAAAAGUAUCAUUUGUCUUUGUUAAGCUAUCAUUUCAACGGUAGUUAGACGAUGGUUUUUUCUCUCAAUUUUACCUUUGUUAAGCUAUCUCAUCGAUAGUUAGGUAAAGGUAUCAUUUGUCUUUGUUAAGCUAUCAUUUCAACGGUAGUUAGACGAUGUUUUUCUUUCAUUCUUACCUUUGUUAAGCUAUCUCAUCGAUAGUUAGGUAAAAGUAUCAUUUGUCUUUGUUAAGCUAUCAUUUCAACGAUAGUUAGACGAUGGUUUUUCUUUCAUUCUUACCUUUGUUAAGCUAUCUCAUAGAUAGUUAGGUAAAAGUAUCAUUUGUCUUUGUUAAGCUAUCAUUUCAACGGUAGUUAGACGAUGGUUUUUUCUCUCAUUCUUACCUUUGUUAAGCUAUCUCAUCGAUAGUUAGGUAAAAGUAUCAUUUGUCUUUGUUAAGCUAUCAUUUCAACGGUAGUUAGACGAUGUUUUUCUUUCAUUCUUACCUUUGUUAAGCUAUCUCAUCGAUAGUUAGGUAAAAGUAUCAUUUGUCUUUGUUAAGCUAUCAUUUCAACGAUAGUUAGACGAUGGUUUUUCUUUCAUUCUUACCUUUGUUAAGCUAUCUCAUCGAUAGUUAUGUAAAAGUAUCAUUUGUCUUUGUUAAGCUAUCAUUUCAACGGUAGUUAGACGAUGUUUUUCUUUCAUUCUUACCUUUGUUAAGCUAUCUCAUCGAUAGUUAGGUAAAAGUAUCAUUUGUCUUUGUUAAGCUAUCAUUUCAACGGUAGUUAGACGGUGGUUUCUCUUUCAUUCUUACCUUUGUUAAGCUAUCUCAUCGAUAGUUAGGUAAAAGUAUCAUUUGUCUUUGUUAAGCUAUCAUUUCAACGAUAGUUAGACGAUAGUUUUCUCUCAUCCUUACCUUUGUUAAGCUAUUUCAUCGAUAGUUAGGUAAAAGUAUCAAUCGUCUGUGUUAAGCUAUCAAUACGAUAGUAGACAUUCAUUUUCCCCAGUGAAAUUACAUUCCCCUAGCGGAGUUGGACCCCUUUUCUUCAACGAAUUCGGGUAUCCCGUUUUUAUUUCUCAUUCGAGUCAAAUCAUCCUGCAUUCAUAAAUUGCACCAAAUGCAUCCAUAUCAUCUUAGGUCAAAAAUUGUGUAUUUUGUAUUUAAGUCUCUUCGACUCGUCAAAUCAAAGAUUUCAUCUUCAAAUCUCCGGACGAAGAAACUUAAAUAGGGGCAUCUGUCAUACCCCAAUUUUUGACCUAAGGUCCCACUGACAGUUGUCGUUUAAUCCUGAAUAGUCUUUGACUUUUCAAAAGGAAAUUUCGGCAGUAAGGUAUUUUAAAAUACCUCAUUUAGUUUGGUUUCUUAGCCCACAUUUUCAUUAUCACUUUAUUUUUAUUUUUAUUUUUUUUUAGUUAUUUUCUUUAAUUUUUUUUUUAAUAAGUCCAAAAUUGUCAAAAGAGCCGUGGUCCAAAGAUUCUUCACGCCACAAUUCCACAAUUCCAGGCAAAUUUACUCAGGUCUACUCUUUCUUUCCCAAUUUACCAGAAACGUGUUUCAUCCCUUUUAAUUCCAUUCAAGCACCAUUCAUUCCUAUUAAACAACAUUUCCUUUUGUUAUCAACCUUGAGCCUUUAAAUAGGAGUAAAAAUCAGAGAAGAAGGGGGACACGAUUCACACAACCUGAAAAGAGAAAAGAAAACCAGUAAUCACAAAUCAUCAAAACCUCUCUCAAACCCUCAUCACACACCAUCAUCGAAUCAUCAUCACAACAAUUCCAACCAACACAUCAAUUUUCCAGCCAUCAGUCACAAUUCCAAAACCCACACAAAAUCCUCACAACCGAUCCAACAAUUUUCCAAAGCCCUCCAUAAAAACCGACACAAAAACAUCACAGAAUACCAGCAUCAAAGGAACAACGCCGUACAUCAACCGAAACAGCCAUCACAGAACUGACCAGAGAAUCCGAAUCGAAAUCAAAAGGUAGUAUUUCAUUAACUUUUAGAUCUAGGCUCGUAUAUUCACUGUUUGAGAUUUGUGAGUUUAGAAUCGAGUAGAGGAGAAGAGAACAAGUAGAAGGAACCAAAAAAAUCAAAAAAAUAAGUUGUUAGGGUUCCGGCGCGGUGGCGCCGCCCCACAAGCUAGCCAACCGCCACCGGAACCCGCCUUACCUCCGCCGAGGAUGAUGAAGAUUUGCCGGAAUCUUCAUGUUUCAAACCCAGAACUUUGAACAAAUUAGAGAGAGGAGAGAGCUUUUGUGAGAGAAGGAGAAGUAAGAGAGAGAAAGAGAUGUAAAAAAAAUGAAGAAAAAACCGGACACACCACAUAUAUAUGGUACUAGACCGAGCCGGUUCAGCCUUGAACCGGCUUGAACCGGUCUAACCCAAAGAUCAACCCACGAGGCCCAACAGCGCGCCUCUGUCUCCCUUUAAACCCAAUUCCAUCUUUUGUUUCGUUUCUGCAACCCCCUGAACACUGCUGCACCCCCCCACCUUGUGAUUGAUCCCCUUUAUUUUAUUUCUCGCAUGCAUUUUAUUUUUGCUUUUAUUUUAGCAUUGUAAUUAUUAUUUUAUAUUCUCUCAUGCAUGUUUUAUUUAUAGCAAGAAUAUUAGAAUGCAAAUUAAGCUUUGAUGUAAAUAAUUCAUUUAUAUUCUUGUCAUUUAUUUUCUGCAGACCAUAGCAUGUAUCCUAGGCUUUAAUGUAAAUCAUGCAUGUGUGCGUGUGUGGGUGUAUGCUUUAUUUUAUGUUUCUAGCUUAGGUUACAAACGUUUUACUUUCCUUGCUCCGUUAGUUUACAUUUUAGUUUAGCUUUUAUUCAAAAACAACAAAAACAUGCAAAUAAUCAAAAAUCACAAAAAUAUCUUCAUAAACAAACCUUGAUCUUAAAUCAAGUGACCGUCUUUUGUUUUCAUUUUCUUAAUCAAACUUUAAUCAAUUUAAUCAUAUUUUGAGUCAUUUUCUUUUAAUAUAAAAAAUACAAACAAAUACUCAUUUGCCACUUGGCUUUUCAUUUUAAAACCUUUUUUCAAAACUAAUAAAAAACACUCAACAAAUCAAACGUCGUUUUCUACCCGGAACUACGAGGUUUUGAUCCCUCACGGGUACGUAGGCAGAGGACCAUGUCCUUCCAAAUCAAUAAAAUGUAGAUAACUAGGUCUUUUAUUCUUCCACUUUAAUUCCUUCUUUUCAAAAAUAAUAAGCAAGUUUAUAGCACAUUAAUUAAAUAAAAUCAAGAGGUUCUCGUAGAGUACUACGAAUAUUUAGGGUGCUAAUACCUUCCCUAAAUAUAACCAACCCCCGAACCCUAAAUCUCAAUAUGGGGUAGUUUGAACCUUUUUCCCCUUUUUCUUAAAAAAAUUAAAUGUUCAGUCGUGAAAUAAUUAGUGAGUCAAAAGCUAAUCAAAUAGCCUUGAUCUCCAAAAAAUGAUAUGACACUUAUAUUUAAAAACGGAUGGAGUAUGUCUUUUAAGUUAUUCUCCUUCCUCCUUCAAAAAAUAAAAGUUAUUUAAUUCUAACUUUUAGGCGUCGAAUAACUUACAUUUAUAAGAUCUGACAUCUCUCAAAUUUUUACGAUUAAAUAACUUAAAAGACUUAAUUGGUAUGAAAAUAAUUUAAAGGACUAAUUUGUUAAAAUUAAUUAAUUUAAAGAUCUAAGUGGUAAAAAAAUAAACUUAAACACUAAUUAAUUUAGCCAUAUUUUUAGAGCACCUGGACAAGAAGGUAGUAUCUGAUGUAAUCAAGGAGAGGAUUGUCUGCCAUGAGAUUUUCUUUUGUUUUUCUCCGGUCAACAAUAUUAGCCCUUCAUUUGUUUAAUGAUAGAUCAACGGGGGGCGGGGGCGUAGUAACAAGUGGCGAACGUCCUUCCUUCUCUAUUGUCCUUCUACUAGUAUAUGCAACCCGUGCGGACGCACGGGUGAAAUUCUUCCUUGAGCAGCAAAAAUUCAGACCAAACAAUUAUUUUUGCAUCAAAAAUAAUAUUUAUUUGCUCAAAACCAGAAAAAACUAAUACGAAAUACUUCCUCACAUUUUCAACCCUUUUUAAGUGUUUGGCAGCAAUGCAACGAAGCUAAAAUUUAACGAAGAGAAAUCUUAAAGAUAACAAAAAGGAAAAGAGCAGAAAAAUGAAGGAAGGUUAAGUAUUUAUAGACUGAACUUUAUACUAUGUCCGCACGGUUUAUACUGUGUUCGUACUGUUACCGUUGUUGUUACCGUUACUGUUUCAGUUAUCGUUAAGGUUAACGUUACUGGGGUGGUUAAUUUGAAUUAAUUUAUCUAUGGCUCACAAAACAGGCUUUUUCAUUCGACGCUUUAAAUUGAAUUCGCAAGCAAACAAUAAGUACAAAAGAGAAAAAUACGGUAGAAAGGAAAAAACUUUUAUACAACAUUAGACAACAUGUUUUUGUUUAGAUAAAUAGCGAAGCUAAGUCUUCGUGAGCUUAACUCAGUUGGUUAAGGACAAUACAUAAUAUAUGUAAGGUUCGAGGUUCAAACUCCGACUACCAAAAAAAAAAUAGCAAAGACCAAGUCCUACCAACUAAAGCCUAGCCAAAACAUAUAAAUAUAAAAACAACACUCAAAACAAUACACUAACUCUUCGUGGGAGAGACAUGAGAAACAGAUGCUCGCAUCCGAACUUUAAAAACAUGACCACUCUUUUUUGGGUUAACAAUCUCAAACUUGAAACAGAGAAUGUCACGAACAUUGAUCCCAUUUUCAUCACAAAAUUCCUUCCAUCUCAUUCCCAGCGCAGUUUUCCUCGAAGGUGCAUCCAUGUAGAACUAAUAUACCAACCAAGUGAGAACUGAUGGCACUUAAUGCAUUCAGCUGAAGAUAAAAGUGCAUUGUGCAUCCAACCCGCAAGCCUAUGCUAUGAUAAGUUGGAAUCUGGUCAGGGUUUUCAUGUUUCUUGCUAUGAUAUAUCCCAAAAAGAUUAUCACCAUAGUAACAAAGUAUAACCUUCUCGUUGCUAUGAAAACCAAAUACAUCAUGCAUCUCUUUCCAUCAUGCAUCUCUAACCAUGUGGCUUUUAUCUAAAUAGUUCAUUAUUGUCCACUCUUCACCAAGAUCAUCCUUGUGAUCUUCCAGAAAAAUUGGAUUAACCACGCCAAAUUCCUUAAAAAAAAAGUUUGCAAUGCAUAAGGUGACAUAAAACCAAAACAAUACUUAAAGAACAACAAAUAAAUACUUACCUUGCUGCCAAGAUAAAGAGUAGUAAAACCACCACAUGGUUGUUGUUCAAGGUAAAUCUAGUAAUUCUCCAUAAGCAUUGUCGCUUGAACUUGUGUUGUGUGCAUACCCACCAAACUACUUAUAUAGAGAGAGAGAGAGAGAGAGAGAAAAACGUACAUUUUUUGAUUAAUUUUUUUAACUAUUCCCAUCGUUUCCAUAAUAACGUAAAAAUGGAGUCUAAAACACGUGGUAAGUACACAAAUAUGAAAAGAAAAAAAAAUGGUGGAAGAAAACCUAACAUAAAAUAAAGUAGGAGGUGACAACACGUUGAUAUAUUUGUUCAUGUUGAGUAAUAGUGUACUUUUUGUUUUAUACAAAUAUAAAGUUUGAUAAAACCAAGAACCAAAAAUCUUAAAUUGAUGUUUAAAAUUUUAAGACUAAAUCAAAUAGAGUUUACUUGAUAUACCCAAAUUACAUGUGGAUUUUAACCUCGAGGAUAACCAUACACACCAUGUUUACUAUUCAAUAUAUUUACAAUGUAUGCACUAUAUCUUUUGUUUUUUUGUUUUGUUUACAAUCAACUAUAUUUACUAUAAUUAAUAUACUUACUAUUUGCCAUACUUAUUAUUUAAUCCAUAAACUAUAUUUACCAUUAAUUGUUUAGUAUUUUUAUAUUACUAAAUCAAUAUUAAUAUUACUAUAUUACCAUUACUAUAACAAAAAUGAGGAAUUAGACCCUGCUACUUUUUAUUUAGUGGUCCACAAAAACUUAAAACUAAGUAUCAAAAACAUCAAAUAGUACAUAAAAUAAAAAGAGUAAUAGAUUAAAAUAGGCUUAAUUACUCUUUUGGUUUCUUAACUUAUUUUUUGGUUUCGUUUUGGUUCCUUAACUAUUAAAAGUUUUGUUUCGGUCCCAUAACUUAUUUUUGAGUUUUCUUUUGGUCCCUUAACUAUUAAAAGUUUCGUUUUGGUCCCUUAACUUAUUUUUUUGUUUCAUUUUGAUCCCUUAACUAUAAUACAUUCAUCCUAACAUAAAGGACCAAAGUGGUUGACGGAUGAAGAGUUAAGGGACCAAAACGAAACCAAAAAAGUAAGUUAAAGGACGAAAACGAAACUUUUAAUAGUUAAGAGACCAAAACGAAACCAAAAAAUAAGUCAAGGGACCAAAAGAGUAAUUAAGCCAUUAAAAUAUUAGGCAAUGAUCAUCCAGGUUCUUAAAACUAAAAGCCAAGAGAAUUAAAUGUGAUAUGUGCCACAUCCAAGGGCGUUAGUCAAGCAAGAAAAUGGACAUGACUAAAGGUAAAUAACACCCGGGACAAAAGAAACAUGAAAGAAAGGUCAAAAAGCAAAUAGCUUCCAAGGAUAACUUCAAUAGUUGAAAACUAUUUUCUGUCAUUUUUAUGAUCUUCAUCAAGCAAUGCAUAAAAGCAAGGAGAAUUUGAAACAGAUACCAUUGACAAUGAUGUGAAUGAAAACGUGUAUAUCUUAUAGCAAUAGUUAUCCAUCACCGACAAUAAAAUUGGAUUCAAAAUAUUUUUCCAUCAUAGCAAUCAUGUUUUCUGUUAAGCCAAAGAUAAAUUAAAUCCAACAAAAGAGGUAGAAUGACCAUUAAAAUUAUAUUUCUUCGAACCACCAAUAACAUGGAAAUUACAGGCUUAUUAAAUUAAAAAUAAAACAAUAAAUUAACACCAUAAUAUAGAAAUAAUAAAAGUUAUAAAAGUAAGUUAGAUAAGAGUCGUUUAAAAAAAUUCGAACAGGACUCAAAUUGUUUUUGAUAACUUGGACGAUAUUUAUGUUGAUGAUUUGGUUUUUGAAUCCAUUUUUACGUGGUAGAGUUUUUCUGAGGCAAAACAGAUGGUGUUCCUCGUAGAACUAAAAAAUAUUAUGCCAAGCUAGCUCUUUAACUUACAGCUAUGUACCACUUUGUAUUGCACCUCUUAUUUAUAGUGAAAUGCAUUAGUUAUGCUCCUGUCAAAAACAGAAGUUGCUUAAAAAAUUCAAUCAUCACAGCAAAAUGUGGAUGACUGGAUUAAGUAUGAUAUAGCAUAUAAUGAUUUUUCCUUCUCCAAUUUAAAAUAAAAAACAUUACUUGGUACCACAAAACAAACUUUUUAUUACACACGAUUAAAACAUGUCUAUAAUUCUUAUAAGUAUAGCAACAUAGAACACAAAUAAACUAUAGCAUGGAAACAAUAGAUUAGAAAGUUCAGCAGCAACAUACGUAAACACAUCACAUUUCUCGUGAGACCGCAUGAGGAUAUAAAGCAAAAUACAUCACAUUUCAAUCCUUGACAACCUUAGCAGACUUGGCUGAUUUCUUUGACCUCUUCCGAGAAACCUCAUCAAAUCCUUCACCAAACUCCUCUUGGCAUGAUGACUGGAAGUAGCAAACAACAUUGUCGUCGUUCAAAUCAGGGGUGAGUAUUAAAUUGGAGGUCAAACCUCAGGAGAGCCAACAAUCUCCCCAGAUUCUGCAGCAUUAGAAGGUGAAAGGGCUGCACCCUAAACAAACAAUUUAUCCAUUUCAGCAGGAUAAAAUCCAUCAUUUUCACCCUAAAAUAAAAUUAACGAACACAGUAAAAGACAAUUAACACCCAGUAAAUGCCCGUCAUUACAAUCGAAGUAGUUUCUGUCAACUGAGGAUAUUUAUAUUCAUAUCUCUAUAAAUCAGAAAAAAACUUAGCUGUGGCAACCAUGGAGGCACCCUGCUUGUCAAUAAGGAAUAUAAAGCAAUCGUUUCCUGACAGUGGCAUUAAUCUUGCAACCCUUCAAAGAUGAACAGGCAAAAAGGCUUUAAAAGAAAAGCAAUAAUCAUUAACCAAAUUAACCAAAAUAAUAAUCAAAGGCAAACAAACAGCAAUACAAACCUUCUCAUCAACAAACACCAUCUCAAUUGAAUUGAUCUGUUAUGAUUGAAGAAAAUCACGCACCUCCCACAAACGAACAACACGAAGCUUGAAUCUCCAAGACUCUCUUCCAGGAAGAACAUCAGACAGCAAAUCAAAGCUGCGAUACCUCUGUGACCAGACCUAAGACCCUUGUUAUCAAACCUAACACCUUUCAACAUUGCAGAAGACAUUAAAAAAAAAGAUUUAAACCAGAGCAGAUUGGAAAUCGGAAAAAGAAAAGAAUGAGAUGAGUUGUGAGAAACAGAAAGAAAUCCAGGACUAUUUAUAGAGGAUUUGAAAAAGAGGGGGAAAGAUAAAUUCUCCUUUGAUGUGAAUGGACAUGUAAUUGAAUUAGCUUAAAUUAAUUGGAGGAAUUGAAGGAAUUCAAUCAAACCCCACGUGCAUCUUCAAAUCAUCCUUUAUUCCUUGAUAACGACAGCUUUUUUUUCCUGUAGAAGAAAAAUAGAGAAGUAAACGGUUGUCCAAUCAAUCCCAAAAAAAUUCAAAAAGGCUCAUUAAACCGCGAAAAUUUCACCAAAUAUGUUACAAAAGUCAAACCACCAGCAGAUGAAUAUCAAUGGUCUGCUGAACAAUCUCAUUAACAUUGGUAAGAUUAAGGAAGCUUGUACACCACACCCUCGACCAACUUAUUAUGGAAGAGGUACAACAGCUGCUUACGAAUAGUAGCGUGAAUCCUAACACCCUUCAAAAUCAACAUGACAUACAACCUUGAACAAAAGGACAAAUGACAAAAACAAAAGCUAAAACCAGGGCAGUUUAAAUAAAAACACCAACCUUCUCAUCAACCAACACCAUCUCAACCGAAUUCACCUGUUCAGGAUGAAGAAACGCAGGAGCCUCCCACAGACGCACCACACGAACAAUGAAUCUCCAAGACUCCUUUCCAGGAGCAGCAUCAGAUAACAGAUCAAAACUGCUAUCAGCACCAGCACGGGUCUGCAGACCAGACUUAGGUAUUUUACCACCAUGCCUAGAACCUUUCAACAUUGCAGAUGACAUAACAAAAAUUGAAGGAAAGAGAGAGAAUUGUGGAUGAGUGUGAAAACACAAAAACAAACUAGCCCAAUUUAUAGAACAACAGAGCACAAGCAGCCAAAACGGUUUUAAAAGGGGGGAAUUGAAGGAGUUGAUGUGAAAGGACGUAUGGAUAUAAUAUAUUAAAUAAAGGAAACUAACCAAAACCCAUGUGCAUCAGCGUCUCCCUCGUACCAAUUCGUUGACAACGACAUCCCUUGACCUUUGAGAAACCAGAUAAACUAUUGAGAGGUAAACGGCCCUCACAUCAAACCGCCACAAAAUUCAAAUUUAGAAAGGGGAAAACAACCGCGAAAAUUCCAGAAUUAAAUUGGCACAAAAGUCAAUCCACCAAAUUUCUAAAUCUACAGUGGACUUUUUUUUCACGUCUUGAUAAGAGUAUGGAUUUGAAAUGGUGGUUAGACCUAACACAAUCCCACAAAACCGAUUUGUGAGGUGAGGAUUGCCUCCACUUAUAAAUAAAUUGUCAGGCCAACUCCUAACCGAUGUCGGACUCUUAACACACCCCCUCACGCUUAGGAUUGCACAUCUGAAGCGUGAACAUAAAUGACGGGUGGCCUGAUAACGGAAACCUGAUAACAGGUGGCUCAAAGAAUCGUGAAGAGGCUCUGAUGUCAUAUUAGAAAUGGUGGUUGGGCCUAACACAACUCCACAAAACCGGCUUGUGAGGUGAGGAUUGCCUCCACUUAUAAAAAAAAUUGUCAAACCAACUCCUAACUGAUGUGGGACUCUUAACACCUGCUCCUCCGUUCUCAUAUUCUCCGUGUUUAUUUAUUUUUUCUCUAUUCAUUUUGCUUCUCAUUAGUUUGAUUUCUUUCUUGCUAAUUUUAAGAUUUUGUACUUUGAAAUUGUGAUCAUGGAAACUAAUUAUUAUUGUACAUGGUACUUGUUAUGUCGACAUUUGAAUUGAACCUGUAAUAUUGUGUGAAAGAUCCAAAGAAUGACAAAUAAAGUGGAAUUGAGUCUGAUCCUUGAUAAAUCAAUUUUCAAAUAAAAAACUGAACCAGUCAAAUUGUGAUCAAUGAAACCUAAUAAGAAGCAUGGAUUUUGUUUUCUCCGCUCAUGGCAAUCCCCCACUCCAAGUCUUCAACCGAUCAAAAAAUACAUUGACCUUCACAAAGCCUCUACCCCUAAACCGUCCUUUUGAGAAAAACUUUUGGGUUCUACCCAAGAGAUCCAUCCUAGAGAAAAAGAAGAGUUGGUAGAGAAGAAACUUGUCUGCAUUGAGCUUGAAGCUGGUAAUCGUCUUCUUCCCAAAAUCUAUUUGGAGUCGAAUGUAUUUCAGGAACUAUGUACCCCUUGGAAAGAUAUGCUUGUGUUGAAACUUUUAUGGAAACCAUUGGACUAAAACACCAUGAAGGAACGCCUCCAAAAAGUGUGGAAGCUACAAGGUGGAUUAAAUAUCAUGGAUAAUGAUAAUGGGAUUUACAUGGUAAAACUUGACUAGGCAGCAGACACAGAAAAAAUCAUCACGGGAGGGCCAUGGAUAAUAUUUUAUCAUUGUUUAGCGGUCUCUCAUUGGUGACCUGAAUUUGCUUCCCUAAAUGCUAAAAUAGAUCGCACGGUCGUCUGGGUACGUUUUAAUGGCCUCAAUUUAGUUUCUUAUGAGAAAAGUUUCCUCGUAGCCAUGGCUUCAGCAAUAGGAAGACCAAUCAAUGUGGACACUAAUACCUGAAAGGUUGAAAGAGGUAGAUUUGCUAGAGUAUGUGUCGAUGUAGAUCUUAUUGUCCUUGUUGUUGGUAAAAUUUGGGUCAAUGGUCAUUGGUAUAAAGUUCAGUAUGAAGGUCUUCAUCUUAUUUGCACAAAUUGCGGUUAUUAUGGCCACCUUGGUCGAAACUGCCCCACCACCCCAACCGUGCCGAAAGUCGCGGCACAACCUCAACAUACCCAUCCUCAUCGCCCCACACCAAGGUCAACCCCAAGUCAACCCCCAAAUUUUUCUGAACAUCUAAACAUCAGCCAAGGUGAAAAGGAAGACUUACAUGGUGAUUGGCUUAUAGUUACUAGGGAAAAAAACUAAACUAAACUCAAUCUGCUAGCCUCGUAAAACACACCAAAUGAAUCAAAUAGAUUUAUUUCUUUAUCCCUCGUGGCCCACAACAAUAAAGCUUCCACAUCCCAUCAUACUCUUCCUCCUAACAUUCUUUAUGCUACUUCCCAACCCAAAGACUCUCCCACUUGGUCUUCAAUCAUUCAUGCUAAAAAUGCUCUCAGAGAAGGUUUAUGUCGGCGUGUGGGUUCAGCUAUUUCUUCCUUCAAGUUUUGUCCUUGGAGCUCUCUAGGUCACAUAUGAUCGAUUGUUUCAGUCAUAGACAUACAAUCUCAGGUUUUAUACAUGCAACUUCUCUCAUCGGCAUCUGAUUCCAUCAACAACUUGAACAUUAAGUUCAACCCCUCCUUCGAUGAUGCUUUCAUCUAGGCAUCCAACAAAAAUGGCGCCUACACUACUAAGAGUGGCUAUGCCUGGCUGCUGUCCCAUUCAAACAUGAUUGCUCAUGGUCAAACUUCUUCCUCUUGGUCUUGGAUUUGAAAAUUAAAAUCUUCUGAAAUGCACAAAUUUCUUUUUUUGUUGGCUUGCCAAAAUUAUGUCCCCACUCUUUUAUUGCUCAACAAUAGGAAUAUGGAUUCAUCGACCCUUUGCUCUCGUUGUGGUCUUGAAGAUUAGACUUUUCUUCAUUGUGUCCGUGACUAUAAUUUCUCUCGUAUUAUUUGGAACCAUGUUGAAUUCAAUGAUACAAAUUUCUUCACAGAUAAGAAAGUGAGCCACUAGUUAAAGAAGGUCUCUUCGGGUACCAAGCCUUCCUUUUCAUGGCCACCGUUUGGUGGCUUGGCGUUGUAACACCCUAUUUCUAUUAAAGCGAUAAAACACACGAAUAAUAUAAAUAUUCAAGAAAUAGACGUCACAUCAUCAACAAAAUCCGAAACAACAUGCAUGUAUAAAAAUUUCCAACAGUCGCAGCAGAUAAAAAUCAUACAUCUCAAAAGUAUACAUGCCAUGAUAUCAAAAAAUCUCAAUAUAAAAAUUCUCCAAAUCCCGACAAGUGGGCAAAUCUCCAACACAUAAAUAAAUCCACAACAGAUAAUCUAGAAUAAUCAUAAACAGACACCUAGAUCAAAGCCUAUCCUAGACUCUAAGGACUUGAUAACGGAGAUGGCUUCCGCUAUCCAAGCAACCACCAAGCAACUCACAAAAGCGACUAACCCUGUACUUCGUCUACUCAUCCAUACAGACAGGUAGAUGGUCCAAACCACUAGGGGUAAGCUUUACAUCAAUCAUAAUCAAUAAAAUAAAUUUGAGCAUAUAUGAAUUAAAGUCGAUUCCGAGUACUUCACAUAAACAUUUAAUUCAAUAUGCACAUUCAUAUAACAAUCCCAAAUAUCACGAUCAAGUAUUCACCAAGCAUACUUAUAAUCAACAAUUAUCAUUCACAUCUCAUCACAAUCUUCAACAAUUAUCAUUCACAUGCAACAAUUACGACUCAUGUCAAUAUGCUAUGCGCCUAAUUCCGACACAUACAUGCAUGUGGUACCAAACAACAACAACAAGAUGCCAACCGCACAUCUUAUGUAAGAGUACACCUCCUCUUACGCACAACUAUGUAAAAGUACACCUCCUUUUACAUUUCUCAUAUGACUCGAUAUGACGAUGAUGCAUGGACAUAAGCAAAGACUCAAUAAUGCAAACUACUCAACAUAUACAUACACCAACACAAUGUAAAAGUACACCUACAAUUACAUUGUUCAACUUCAACAACAAUUGCAUUAUCAAGUAUUUACAUCCACACAAUCAACAUGUCAUCAUUCCAUUAAGAGUCGUCCCCAAAAUAUCACAAUUCAUCAACAUAUAUUCAUUAAUCAACUUCAACUAUAUUUUAUAGUUCAUGAACUUUGCAUAAUUUAUCAACAUCCAAGUAAAAUGGAAAAUACAACACCUUCUGAUAAACGUCACCUCAAACACUUACCAUUUACUCACAUAUCUUCAUUCAAACAUAUACAACUAAUCACAAAGGAAUGUAAGCAAUUGGCCUUAAAGAAUCAUUUUUGACAAAAUCCGUAUCAAGUGGCAAACGGCCAACAUUGAUAAUUUCCAAAAUAAAAUACCUUAUUCAAGUUUGAAAAUUCACAAAUCAAUCUUAAUCAAUCAUGUAGUCAUGAGCUUAAGCCACUUACAAACUAUUAGACAUUAGUUCAAAGUAUAGCUUAAGUUCGUAUGAGAAAACCCAAGUUUACAUUUUCCACAUUCCCACCCGAAAUUCAAGUUUAACAUGAUUAAGAUGUGAAACCAACUUUACAAGUCUUGUAUAAGUCUAUAUGAAUGAACUGUAGACCCAACUUGUAAUCCCAUUUAGUUCAAAAAAGUUCAUUUCGACGAAAAUCCAAAAUUUCCAAGAUCCAAGUUUCAACACAAAAUGGAAAAUCCCAAAUUCGAAUGAGUAAAACAUGUUACAAUAGGUUUAGGAGUUCAAACAGUGGUUAAAAAAGUUGAAAGAAACAUUUUACAAAACUCGGAUUGGUGUAACACUCCGUUUUUCCAACUUGAAAUUUUUUGCAUACAAAUCAGAGUAAUCAACUUAACAGGAUGUCACACUGAUCUAAAAGAUAAAUAGAGUAGAAUUACUAUUUAUUCAAAACAUCUCAUGUCAUCAAUUCAAAUCUCAUUGCAGCGGAAAACAUUAAUUAAACAACGUAAUGACACAACGACCUCAACAUAAACAAGUUAUUAAACUCCAUUCUAGGUGGUUCCUCAACAUAAAAUCAUAGAAAUAUGUAACACAAGGAAAACAAGCAAGAUCAUCUCGUUACGUAUCAGAGCGACCCUAAGACGACGCGUGAGAGAGUCGACUCACUUCAACAGCUAUUCCUGGUUAUCUACGCGUUACCCUCGUAGAGGCAAUAUUCAAACAGAAUGGGUGAGAUUUCGCAUCCAAUAAUAAUAAGCAUAUAAUUCAUCAACAUAAUUUAACAACAUAAACAACCACAAUAAAUAAUAUUGAUACUUCACAUAACUUAUCAUUAACAACUCAUUAGUAAUUGACAACUGGACAACAACGACAAUGCGAUAACAUCAACAUCUACUCGACAAUGCAACAACGACAACUUACACAUGAAUGUGGUACCAAUCAGGGCAUCAAACCCCCAACGUAUAGAGAGAAUAGGCUCACAGGGCAUCAAACCCUCAACAUAUAGAGAAAAUAGGCUCACAGGGCAUCAAGCCCCCAACUUAUAGAGCAAAUAGGCUCACAGGGCAUCAAGCCCUCAACUUUAAUGAGUAUGCAUGGACUUAGCAACCAACAACUUAGACAACUUAGACGACUUCAACAACUUAGAACAACAACUUACAACUUGGCGACUUUGACAACAACUUGCAACUUAACGAUAUUAACAAUCAACAACAACAAGGACAACAACAAUAACAACCUGCAACAUUAACCACAACAACUUGAAUGAUAUGAACGACUAUAUUUCUAUAUUAUACAAUAUUCGCAUAAUAUAUGUAUCUCAAAUCAUCCAAAAACAACAUUCAUAUUAAUUCAGACUCACUGAACAACAAUAUAAUUAUAAACCACUUUCAUUCCUACCUGAAAGACUAACUUAGAACGUCACGUGCGACAAGGAUCACAAGAACACUAAACAAGGUUGACUGCCACUGAGUAACUCGCGAGGCGAGCCACUCUACUCGCUAUGCCGAGCUAAAGCUGAUGGCUCUCGGGAGUUUUGACAUUUUUCACUCAAAAAUCUCAUUUUUAACUUCCCUAUGCCCAAAUUUGAUCAAAAACUUUCCUAAUCAUUUCUAAACAUGUUAAUGCACUCAAAACCAUAUAAAACUUUACCCCUAACAUUAAUUCACAAAAUCAUAAUUUUCUCACUGGGUAAUUCGCGAGGCGAAAGAGGUUACUCGCAAUGGCGAGCGAUGAAGAUGAUCACUCGCGAGGCGGGAAGGAUUACUCGCUAUGGCGAGCGAUGACGAUCUGCUCUACGGACAGAACACAAUUUCAGCAAAAAUUUACCUAAUUCCAUAAUUCUAACCUUAAAACUGAUUUUAAUCAUUGCUGUUGUGAUGAAUAUGAUCUACUUUGAUGAUUAAUGUGAGAAUAUUUAUAUAUUGUGAAAGAUGUUGAUAUGAAGUUGUAAUGGUUGUAUUAGAUGAUUAUUGUUGAUGUUGACUUGCUGUAAAUUAUUGAAUGGCGUUGCCUUGCUGAUGUGAUGUAUUAAUAUCAUUAAGAUGCUAAUGUUUAUUUAAGUUGUUUAAGUUGUAAGAUGUUGAUCCAAAUUAUUGGAGUCAUAAGAGAUGUCUAAGUUGUUAAGAUGUUGAGUCCAUUGCAUACUCAUUUACGAUGGGCGAGGGCUUGAUGCUCUGUGAGCCUAUUUACGCUCAAUAAGUUCGGGGCUUGAUGUCCUAGUUGGUACCACAUGCAUGAUUAAGAAGUUGAAGUUGCCUAAGUUGAAUUAAGUUAUGGAAGUUGUAUUGUCGUUGUCGUCGAGUUGUCAUUGUUAAUGAGUUAUUGAUAAAGAACUAAGUGAAGUGUUAAUAUUUAUUAAAUGUUGUUGUUUAUGUUGUUGUGAUAUUAUUAUAAGAUGAUGAAUACGUUGUUGUUUAUGUUGUUGUGAUAGUAUUAUAAGAUGAUGAAUAUGUUGUUGUUUAUGUUGUUGUGAUAUUAAUAUAAAUGAUGAAUAUGUUUCUGUUUAUGUUAUUGUGAUAUUAUUAUAAGAUCAUGAAUACGUUGUUGUUUAUGUUGUUGUGAUAUUAUUAUAAGAUGAUGGAUAAUGCUGUCGUCUAUAUGAUUAUGAAGUGAUGAUUAUGUAGUCUAUGUUGUUGUGAUGUGAAUAUUAUAUUGUGUCUAAUGAGAUGAUGACUAUUCUGUGUGUUAAAGAUGUUAUUUAUGAUGUGAUGAUCUAUGUUGGUUAAGAUUUGGUUGUUAUGUACUAUAUGAUAAUGUUUAUAAUGUGAUGAUUAUGAAGUUAUUUAUGUCGUUAAAAUUAAUUAAUGAAUUAUAUGUUUGAUAUUAUUGUUUUGCGAAAUCUCACCCCUUCUGCUUGAAAAUGUUGCUCUUCGUAUGAGUAACUUGCAGGUGAUCGAGUUAGGUUGCUGUGUUUUGCUGUCGUGAGUGGCUAUCCCUCACUGAGUCGUUUAGGUGCUCUGAUAGGUAAUAGGAUGUGAUCUUUUGUGGCUAUUUUCUAUUCCUUUACGUAUUUGAUUAUGAUUUUAUGAUUAAGUUGUUUAAAUGAAUAAUUAUGAGAUAUUUGAUGAGGCCUGCGUGCCAAGACUUAUUUAUGAUGUUGAAUUAAAUACGCUGCAAUGUUUUGAAAUUGAAUUAUAUUGAAGGAUAAUUAGUUAAUUAUCUCAUUUAUGAUUUUUAGAAGUGUAGCAUUCCGUUUCUAUGCUGAUUACUCUGAUAAUAUGUUUGAAAAUUUUAAGUUAGGAAAACGGGGUGUUACACGAGCGAGAGCAUCUAUCUAGGUUCAAUCUCAUUCUAAUCAUCUAAGGAUCAACUCAAAAGUCAAAAUCACGAAAUUUGGAUAGCUCUAUGGUCAUGCUCGCUAUGGCGAGUUCAUUUGCUCGCUAUGGCGAGCUGCGACGUGCAACUCGCGAGGCGGGUAAGUUGCUCGUGUGGCGAGCGAUGAAGUUCAUCACUCGCUAUGGCGAGGAUCAUAGCUCGGGAGGCGAGCGAUGAAUGUCGCUACGGGCAGAAGUGCGAUUUUUCACAAAAAUCACUAACUCUCAUGGUUUUAAGCCUAAUCUUGAUUCCAGAAUUCAUCAUAAUCAUUAUCUAAGGUCUAGGGACAAUUUCUACAUCAUUCUAACAAGUUUUCACCGUUUAAUCAUCAAUUCCAUCAGUUUUAACCUACUUUUCGAUUUCUCUAAAACUCAUUCUACUUCAUGUUAAACCUAACCAUUGAUUCACAUACUUAACAGAAUUGCAAAGUUAGUCUCACCCUUACCUUAACAAUGAAAAUUGCAGCUCUCUAAGUGCUUCUCCCUUCUCUUAGCUUUUACUCCCUUUUCUUCAAAAUUGAUCGUACGUUAUGUUUUUUCUAAACUAGGUCUCUCCUAUUUAUAAAAAUCCUUAACGUACUUAUUUUUCUCUUAUAUCUCAAAUCUUAAUAUUCUAUUAUAAUAUAUAUAUAUAUAUAUAUAUAUAUAUAUAUAUAUAUAUAUAUAUAUAUAUAUAUAUAUUAUUUCUAUAACGAAUAACAAAUAUAUCUCUAUAAUCAUAUAUAUUUCUACAUUAAAUAACAUAUAUUUCUACAACAAAUCAACAUAUAACUUUACAAAAUAUCACUCAUAAAAAAUAAAUCAUAUAAAUCACACAAAUCAUAUAAGUAUAUUCUAAACUCAUUUAAAUAAUCAAAUAAUUAAAGAGAGCGUUACACCACAUAACCAUUUAAAUCACAUAAAUCAUAUAAAUAGACUAUAAACCCAAUAAAAUAAUUAAAUAAUCAAAUAGGGCGUUACAAUUGACCCCCUAAAGUCCGGAACGAAAAUAAAAGGUGGCUGAAACUGGGCAAGUUCGCUUAAGCGACAACCUUGUUCGCUUAAGUGAACAAGUUCCAGAAGCUACAACAAAAGUUCGCUUCCGGUUCGCUUAAGCGACCCAGUCACAGAACCUAUUGUGAUUGUUCGCUUAAGCGAUCAGUCAUAGUUCUGCAGAAAAAAAAAUUACAGGUUUCAACCCUUUUUCACCCAAAAUUCCAAAUUUUGAUCUCCCCCAAUGCCCAAAUAUGUUUCCAAAGUAGGUUUACAGGUCAAAACAACAAAAAGGGUUCCCAAGCAGACAUCAAACAUGAAAACAAUUGCCAUUUGAACACAAUUCACCAAAUCAACCUAUUUUUACAAAACCAACGACAAUAAUUUAUUUCUCAACAUCAAAUCAUGAUUUAUGAACACCCAAGCCAUGAAUCAUCAACAACAAUAUCUCUUAGCAACAACAACAUCAGUUAAACAUGAUUCUCAUCAUAAUUCAACAACAACAUAACACAAUUCAACAUUUAGAGCAUAAUUCACAAUAUAUCCUGUUCACAUACUAUGAACAUGCAAUUUCACCAACAACAAUUCAAUUAUCAUCAAUUUCAUGUAUUCAAACAUAUCAUCAUAAUUGGAGCACGAAUUUCAACAACUAUGAACAAAAAAUCACUUAUUCAAUUAAGCAUUUAAUCAUGCAAUUAAUGAAAAGUUACAACUAAUUGAUUAUGGUUGAAAUCUAACCCCCUUACCUUAGUUAGUGAACAUCCUAGCCCAAACUUCAAUUUAGCUCUUGGAAAUCUCCACCACCUCUUAGGUCUUCAAGUCUUCUCUCUUCUAACCCUUUUCCUCUUCUCUUGCAUUUUCUCUCUCUCUCUCUCUCUCUCUCUCUCUCUCUCUCUCUCUCUCUCUCUCUCUCUCUCUCUCUCUCUCUCUCUCUCUCUCUCUCUCUCUCUCUCUCUCUCUCUCUCUCUCUCUCUCUCUCCAAAAAUCUCAUGAAAUGAAAAAAUGAAUGCUAUUUUAUCUUAAGACAAGGUUUAUAUAGGCUAUUCUCAAAUGGGCUUAACCCUAAUGCCUUAGUGGGCUUAACCCACCCAAUCACAAUUCUAAAAUGUUUCUACACACUUAACGGUAAAAUACUAACAACGGUCACUUAUCGGCUCACAACUAUUUAUCACACUAGUAACUUAGUAAAAUAAUGGCUCUCACUUGAAACACUAAAAAUACUCCUCACCAAAAAUUACUAAUUUAUCCUUACUCACAAAAUGACCAAAAUACCCACUGAAAGGGAUGCGAUUGGCGACGAUGGAAGUGGUGGUGGGCGGCGAUGGGAGGAGAAGAGAAGCUUCAGAUCACGUUAUUGGGGAAGAGGUGAAUGAAGGAAGAUAAAUUGCAUUUUUUUUUUUAAAGAAGUACUUUAUAAAAUUUUAAAAUAUGUUAAGACAUUUGUUACCUUACCCAACUUGUAGCUUUUGGGAAAGUGACGAGGUCAAGAGAUGAACUGAGUUUUGUACACCUCUAAUCAACUUAUACUCUACGAUCUUAAAUAUUUUUUUUGCAUUGUCAUUCCAUAAAUUUCGGAUUGUUUUUCCAAAUUGAGUCUUAAUUUCUAAGCAAACCAUCUAAAAAGAUACCAAAUAAUUCAGAACGAUUAUUCAAUAAAGUGAUCAAAGUACAUCUUGAAAAACCAUCAAUAAAAGUCAAAUGUGGUUGUUUUAGAUAGAGACCAAAUACAUUUUCCAUUUUUAACUAAGUAGUGUAAAAAUAGUGUUUUUAUUUAAAUUUUUUUUUAAUUUUUUUAUAGAAGUCAAAUGUAUUUGUUCUAAAUAUGAACCAAAUACAUUUUACUUUUUACUUAAAUUUAAGAUGAUAAAACAAUGUUUUUUUUUAGGGGUAGUUGUGUUUUUGAUAAGCAACUUCAAAUAACAUUUGAGCUUUUUAUUUUUUUCUCUAAAUUUUAGCCUAAUUAUCUUUUAAAUAAGUAAAUAAUCCUUAUAAAUAUCUAAAAUUUUGUUUAGUCAUACAGAAAUUACACCUUUUAGUCCUCGUAAGCAUUUUCAUUUAGCAAUUUUAAGGACAAAAAAUAUUGAUGAAUUUUUUUUCAGGAAUUAAAAAUGUUGAUGGAAAAUUUUACAAAGGUUAUAAAUGCUGACAAAUUUUUCUAUGAAGACUAAAACAUACAAUUUUGUUUUGAGGGAUUAAAAACAAAAAAAAUCUAAAAUUUUGUUUUGAGGGAUUAAAAACAAAAAAAUCUAAAUAUUUACAUGGAUCAAUUACUUGAUUAACCCUUAUCUUAAUUGAAAUAUUAAAUUUUUAAUUAAAAAUAGUUUUUUCUACGUCAUUUCAUAUUCAUUAACUAAUUUAAGCACUUAUUUUAUCAAAAGCUACAAAUUCAUUUCACUAUCUUAUAUCAACUACUUUGUCUACCCUAACUAUGAGACCACCUUCUACUUUUUUUUUUUUUUAAUAUAAAGACUAUUUUCAAAAUUCACAUGCACUUAUGUUUUUCUUGCAAAAAUACCCUUAUUUAACUUUUUGAUAAAUAUAUAAAACUAACAUAAAUUUUUGAUAAAUUUUUCACAAUUUUAUUUUAUUUUUUGCAGGAAUUUUUCACUACAAUUAUUUUUCUUAAUACCUAUUAACAUUGUUGGAGGAUCUCUCUCAAAAAUUUGUCAAAGGAGCUUUUUUUUUUCCUAAUAAAAAAAAUUAAAUGAUAAUAAAAAUUUGAGUUUUUCUACUAGCACCCUAGUUAAUCAUGGUUGCACCUCAAAAUAACAAGAUUACCCUUUCAUAAAAUUUCAUCUUAAACUUAGUUGAAGUAGGUCAUAUAAAUUGAGUUUAAGUGUAUAUACUUAAUCUCAGUUUAAGUAGGUUCAUGUAAACUGAGUUUAAGUAGGUCAUGUAAACUGAGUUCAUGUAAACUAAAUUUAAGUAAGUGUACCAACUUAAACUCAGUUUAAGUAGGUUCAUGUAAACUAAGUUUAAGUAGGUCAUGUAAACUUAGUUUAAGUGCACAUCUAAAAGUUCAAUCUUAUUCAAUGAUUAUACGUCAUCUCAGUUUAAGUAUGCACAUGUAAACUCAGUUUAAGUAGGUUCAUGUAAACUUAAUUUAAGUAGGUUCAUGUAAACUCAGUUUAUGUAAGUUAGGUCAUGUACACCCAAUUUAAAUUUAAGUAGGUCAUGUAAACUUAGUUUAAGUAGGUUCAUGUAAACUCAGUUUAAGUAUGUUCAUGUAAACUCAGUUUAAGUUUAAGUAGGUUCAUGUUAACUCAGUUUAAGUAGGUUCAUGUAAACUUAGUUUAAGUAGGUUCAUGUAAACUCAAUUUAAGUAGGUUAAUGUAAACUCAGUUUAAGUUAACCUUGCCAAUGUAAAUUAAAACCGUAAUCGUACAGUGCAUCAGUGCAGUUGAAGGAAAAAAAUUGAAACUAGCAAAUAGAAGAAAAAAUUCACUUACUUAUAUCCAAUUGAGUAUGGAUGAAAAAUAUGUUGAUUCACUCUUUAAUUUUCAUGGGGAUUGAUAUUGAACAUCAAAUUGUUUGAUCGAUCGCUUUGUGGGGUGAAAGAGGGUGAAACUCACUGGCAAUGAAUAAAAUUAGGGUUUUAAGAAAAUUUAUAUAAAAGGACAAUUUUGGUAUUAUCAAAAACUUUUAAGAAAAUUUGGAUGAUUUACUCCAAAUUUAUAUGUAAAAAAAAAAAAAGAAAAAAACACAUUUUCCUUUUAUUUUAUUUUUUUCAAAAUGAUUCCUAGGCAAAUCUCAUGCUUUGCCACGUGAAAAAUUCACACUUCCCAUCAUCACAACAAACACAUACUUUUGUUCCUGUUUUUUUUAACAUUAAAAAAUGGGGCAAUUGUUGAAUUCAUACAAAUAUUCCAUUUGAAACAAAUUUUCAGUUACAACAACUAUCUUCAUCUUCUUCAAUCAUUCUGCUUCCAAUGGAAAACCUUAGAAACAACAAUUCAAUGACGGAAGAAGAAGACGAUCCCGGAAGUGCAUUAUCCUUCGACUCAACCGAAUCAAGAUGGGUUUUUCAAGAAGACGAGGAUCCAUCUGAGAUCGAGGAUUACGAUGCUUCUGAUAUGCGCCAUCAAUCUAUGUUUGAUUCUGAAGAUGAAGAUAAUGCUGAAAUGAAGCUUAUUCGUACUGGUCCUAGAAUUGAUUCGUUUGAUGUUGAAGCUCUUGAGGUUCCUGGUGCUCAUACUCAUCACUAUGAGGUGUGUGGUUUUUUUUUUUGGUAGUUUUUUUAAUGCUUGGUUUUUGUAUUAAUGGAUUGAUUUUUAGUAAUUAUUAGUGAUUAGGUAUUUAAUUAAAUUGUUUCUCAAGUUGUAUUUGUACUAUAUUAUGUUUGAUUCCGCCUUUUGAGGAGUCGAAAUUGAUUCGAGUAAUGUAGAAUUGUUUUUGAGAGAAGACGUAUAGAUUCUAGAGGAGUAGAAUUGAUUUUGGAAGGGGAGAAAUUGAUUCUAGAGGAGUAGAAUUGAUUUUGCUUGUAGAAUUGAUUCUAGUUGAAGCUAGUAGCUUUAGGGUUCUUGUUGUCCGUUUUGAUUGGCUUAUUUUUGAGUUUAUGAAAAAUAGCUUAUGCAAAUAAAUAAGCUUUUAUAUUAAUUCAUAAGCUCUCACUAAAAAAAAUUGUAUAUGCAUAAGCUGUGUUUUCAUAAACUACCUUGACAAGCUUAUGAAUAAUACAUAAAAACUUAUUUAUUUGCAUAAACUGUUUUGCAUAAGCUCAAAAAUAAACCAUUUUACAUCCAACUCACUUUUACUCAAAAUCAAUUUAUUCAAUAUCAAUUCUCACAACCGUAGAACCAAACACACCUAAGGAGAGUAGAUCAAAUGAAAGAUAACCAAAGGUAGAGGAAGAUCUAGAAAAACUAUAAGAGAAACUAUUAAGAAAGAUUUAGAGAUUAACAAGUUGGACUGAAACCUGGUUUACGAUAGAACAUUAUGGCGUAAUUUGAUCCAUGUAGCCAACCUCACUUGGUGGGAUAAGCCUUGGUUGUUGUUGUUGUUGGUGUAUUUUGACAUGUUUGAUUGUUCUCUAGUAGAAUUGAUUUUGCCUCAAGAAUUGAUUUUAACUUGAAGCCAGAAUCUUUUGGCUUCCAGAAUUGAUUUUUUGCCUUGAAUUUAUUUUUCAACUCACUUUUGCAUCAAUGAUGUAUCCACACAUAAACCACUUUACAUUCAAAAUUAAUUUGUGUCACCGCGUAGAACCAAACAUACUUUUAGUGUAUGUUUACUUCCACUUUUUGAGGAGUCAAAAUUGAUUCUAGUAGUGUAGAAUUGAUUUUGACAUGUUUGGUUGUUCUCGAGCAGAAUUGAUUUUGUCUCAAGAAUUGAUUUUAACUUGAAGCUAAAAAUCGUAGCUUUUGGCUUCUAGAAUUGAUUUUUAUCUUUGAAUUUAUUUUUUAACUCAUUUUUGCAUGAAUGAAUGUAUCCAAACAUAAAUUACUUCACAUUCAACUCACUUAUAGUCAAAAUCAAUUUUACAUAAUCAAUUCAUUCAAAAUCAUUCAGAACUAAACACACACUGUGCUGAUCAUAAGAUUCGUUAUGCAGCUGUGAUGUGAAUUCUGCUAGUGUGUAUGGUUUUACAGUAGUGAGAGCCAAAAGUGAGUCCAAACAUAUUAAAUUGAUUCAACAUGUUUGGGUGAUGUCUAUUGGAAUUGAUUUUUCCCUAGAAUUGAUUCUAACUUGAAGCUAAGAUUUGUCGUUUUUAACUCAAAACGUGAUUUUUACACUCAAAUUUAAUGUUUAACUCACUUUACGCGAAUGUAUGUAAACAUAAACCACUUCACAUUCAAUUCACUUUUAACUGAAAUAAAGUUACAAAAUCAAUUUUUGUCAGUUUUAGUAUUUUUUUGUAUCUAUUUUCUUCAUUGUGUUUUGUUGUUGCAGGAUAUGACCACGGGAAAGAAAAUUGUGUUGGCUUUUCAAACUCUUGGUGUUGUCUUUGGUGAUGUUGGAACAAGCCCAUUAUAUACCUUCAGUGUUAUGUUUAGAAAGGCACCUAUUAAUGACAAUGAAGACAUUCUUGGAGCAUUAUCACUUGUCUUGUACACUUUAAUCUUGAUUCCUUUCCUCAAAUAUGUUCUUGUCGUUCUCUGGGCCAAUGAUGACGGCGAAGGUAUGGUGGUGAAUUUAGUCUUUUAAAGAUAAAAUAUUUCUUUCUCAUUUCCUCUUAUAUACUCUAUCUUUGGUUUUGUUUAUAGUUGUUUUGAAACCAUUGCAGGUGGUACAUUUGCAUUGUAUUCCUUGAUUUGUCGAAAUGCUAAGGUGAAUCUUCUUCCCAAUCAGUUGCCGUCAGAUGCCCGUAUAUCAGGCUUUAGGCUAAAGGUUCCGUCUGCUGAGCUUGAAAGGUCUUUAAAACUCAAGGAAAGGCUGGAGUCUUCAUUCACUCUGAAGAAGAUUCUGCUAUUAUUAGUUCUUGCUGGUACUUCUAUGGUGAUAGCUAAUGGGGUUGUUACACCAGCAAUGUCAGGUUACUUACUGCUCUAGUAUCAUGUAUUGUGUAACUUCUACACAAAUGCUUUUGUCAUAGUAUGUUUAGAAUUCAGAUUGAUAGAUAUAUCAUGCUUGUAAAUUCUGAUGACAUCUUGCUGCUUGUGUUCAUGGCCAGCUGUUGUUUUCAAUAAGCUCUUGUUUACUUCAUAUUGAUUCUUACUUUACAAAAUUUUCUUCUUGCAGUACUAUCAUCUGUUAAUGGCUUGAAGGUUGGGGUAGAUGCAAUUCAACAAGGUAUUGUGUUAACCUAUUAACAAGCUCUUGUGCGUUAAUACCUGCAUUUGAUAUUACCCACAGACACAUUAUGAUCAUAGCAUAUCUUUUGUCUUUCUUUCUACUUAGAAAUUAAUAAUUUUUGCUUCUCCAUUAAUAGCACUAGCUUUCGAGGUAUUAUUUUGGUGUGUAAAGUUGCCUGAACUAUGCUUUGGUCCAUUGGUGAGAAAAUUCAGUUAUGUGUUGAUAGGGUGCUUAUGCUUUGUAUAUUAAUUCAACCUAAGUGUGUACAGGAUGCCGUUCCUAUAGUUUAGGCAAAUCUGGUGGAAACUGGGAAAAAUUGGUUAAAUAUUUCAAUUUUAGAAUUACUUAUGUAGCUGGAUUAAUUUUUUCUACUUUUUCAUUGAUUAUGCAGAUGAAGUGGUGAUGAUUUCUGUUGCUUGCCUUGUCGUUUUGUUCAGUUUACAGAAGUAUGGAACAAGUAAAGUUGGGCUUGCUGUAGGACCUGCAUUGUUUAUAUGGUUCUGUUCUCUUGCGGGCAAUGGUGUAUACAAUCUUGUCAAAUAUGACAGCAGCGUUUUUAGGGCUUUUAAUCCUAUUCACAUCUAUUAUUUCUUUGCAAGGAAUUCAACUAAAGCAUGGUAUUCUCUUGGGGGCUGUCUUCUGUGUGCAACUGGUAAACACAUAUGCAGAAUCAUUGAUAUGGUAGAUGUGAUAAUAUAUAUUCUCUCUUGUCGUGUAUAUUUUGAUUCUAUUGAUGUCUCUGUUUUUCUCUAUUUUUAAACCAAUGUGCUGGUAGCAAUUACAAUGGCUAAUUUUGAUUUUUCCAUUUACUAUCUGAAGUUUAAUGAAAUGCCUACUGGCAUCUAUCAUGAUUUUGAGAUUCAAUGGAGUUUGGGACCUGAGUCUUUCUUUUCUUUGGUGCUUGAAAAAAGAUUCAGGUUUAAGUGCUUAAGUAUUGAUAGUUAAGAGUACCACUGAUCAACUUGGUAACAUGUCUUGCAUGAAUGAUCAAGGAAUAUAGGCUUCAAACCAUAUAUUGUCUUUGAAUUUAAAACACGCAAGAAAUCACCAGACCAUACAACAAAAAGUUUGAAAGCAAAAAAAUGAAAUGUAGUUUUUUAGCUGGUUUACUGUUUUUUUUUUUUUAACGACAAAUGUUUGUUUUGUUAAUAUUUAUGUUGGGAUGGAUGGGUGGCAGCUGGUUUACUAUAUAGGAGGGACUGCAUUUUUCUGUUAUAGCAGUCUGAGUAUGCAGAGACUAGCUGCUACCCAAAAAUGGGAUGCAUAUGAGCACCUGAGUGAUGCAAUGUGUAGCCGCUAUAGUGUUGCUUUUGUGUGCCAUAGAUGAUUCAUUAUUCUGAAUAAAAUACCCUGUCAUAGUGGUGACAUGCAUCUAGUAUAGAAAAGCAGGAGUAUUGAUUUGUGGGUUGGUUAGUUUUUUAUUUGAUUACCUGCUUGGGUAAACAGCUUACCCUGUUAUCAUAAUAAACGCUUAAGUAUAUGCUUGCAUAAGCUAUUUUUAUAGCAAAAGAUAAAAUAGCGUUAAAUUGUUUCUGUAUGUGCUAUAAGUUGUUUACAUAAGCUAUAUUGGAGAACUUAUGAAAAUAAGUUGAAAAAAACACAUGAACAUUGUCAUAAGCUGUUUUCAUAAGUUCUCCCAAACGGUCUCACAAAACUUUGCUAGUAGAUAAGCCCAAAUAAACCACAAUCCAGACAGGCCUGUGAAAUUCAUGGAAAAAUUAUACUAUUGUUUGAGAAACAUGUAUUAUUCCCAUUAGAGUUGGCUGAAUUAGUAUGAUUAGAUAGUGUCGAUAAAAUGGUAGUUUUGAUUCUAGCCAGUGGUCUUUCGUUGAUAGGUCAUUUGUAAGUACCACUGUAAGCUUUUGAUGAGGGAUAUGGGCAUCCAGACCUUGUAGCAAGAGACAAACUCCCCUUAAGGCUGUAUUUUGGAUUGUUUGAAAUAAGAUGAACUGUAAUAAAAUCUUAUGGGACAUAUUGCAUUCUAUUUCAUAGGCCACCUCUAUCUUUCUCUGCUCUUCUUGGGGUAUGUAAUUGAAAAAAAAUAAUAUUUAUUAAUCUUGUUGUCUACCCGUCUACUUUUUAUACAAUGGUAUGAAAAUUUAAACCCGUUUAUCAUAAAAAUAUAUCUAGACAAUGGUGUGAAAAAUUAUUUCAUUCAACUCCACUCUAAUCUAUUCCAUUCUACCCCAUCAUUAAAUAUCCUAACACAGUCUGAUUUUUGUACGCCAAACAAAAAAGCUAUUACAUUAUCCUCCCCAUCACGUUGAUGUUGAGAUGCGGUAAAUAUGUAUUUUUGAUUUAACUGUUGCUGGCAUGCACAAAUCCCAUCCACUAUGAAUUAACAUUGUUAUUGGAUCAUGUUACAGGCUCUGAAGCCAUGUUUGCAGAUCUUUGCUACUUCUCUGUUCGAUCAGUUCAGGUAAUGAAUCAUGUCUAUGUUUUAUCUAUCAUGGCUUCUGGUUGGAAUUCUUUCACAUCUUUUGUCAUAUCAACUUAUAUAUUGAUGAAACUGAUGGUGGUUUGUUUGCAGAUUACAUUUUUAUUUCUUGUUUUGCCGUGCCUAUUAUUGGGUUAUUUGGGUCAAGCUGCAUACCUUAUGGAACACCAUGCUGAUGCUGGUGAAGCCUUUUUUUCUUCUGUUCCAAGUAGGUGUCAGUAUGUUUGCAUGCUUUACAAUGGCUCGUCUCUGCACUUCCCAUAAACUUCGGUGUAAUACUAUUCUUUAUUUGCAGGUGGUGCAUUCUGGCCAACUUUUCUCAUCGCCAACAUUGCUGCACUAAUUGCAAGUCGGACUAUGACAACAGCUACAUUUUCUUGCAUAAAACAGUCAACUGCUCUUGGUUGUUUCCCUCGACUUAAAAUAAUUCACACCUCUCGUAAAUUUAUGGGUCAAAUCUAUAUCCCUGUCAUAAACUGGUUCCUGUUGGCUGUUUCUCUGGUGUUCGUCUGCACUAUAUCCAGCAUUGAUGAGAUUGGAAAUGCAUAUGGUAAUUCUUUUAUUUCAAAAUAUUUAUUUUAUCUUGAUAAAUUUUUCAAAUUUAUCAGCCGCAUGCAUUAAAUACUUGUCAAAUUGUAAGUUUAGUGGGAUCGACUAUGUAGAAUAGAUUGCUCGAGAAGCUUAUGGGGCUGCAAUUAACUGGAAAGGCACUGAGCUUCACUCUUGAUAUUUCUCUUUGGAAAUUCUUGAAUAUAGUCCAAGAAUACUAAUAGUGUCGGUGGAUCCUUGUUUAAGAGGACCCAAUUAGCUUUUGCUGGUUGACCUGAAUUUACACCAGUAUCAUAAAUUUACCUAGCUUAGAUACCAUAGAAAUCUGCUGAAUGUGUGAAAAUGUUCAUUUAGCAGUUUUUCAAACACUGGCUGUAUGCUCAGAAAAUAUGAUGUCAGUAUAGGUAUACAUGGUUUCAUCCAACAAUUCUAUUCCAAAUGGACGAGAUCAAGCAUUGCCUCCUCCCCAAGAUUUCAUAAUGGUUCGGGUGGAAGAGAGGUUUCCCAGUUCCAAGGUUAAGACCAUGGUUUCAAAUUGUGGUCGGUAUCAGCAAUUGUGGCUGCAGUAUUGCUGUUGUAUCCUCCGCAACGGCUUCGCACCGCAAUUGCAGUGGGAUCUCCAGUCACAUGUACAACCACAUCGUAACCGCAUCACAUAAAGUUCAAUAACUAAUAUAUUUUGGCCAUGUUUUUCCGAAUCAUCUGACUAAAAAUUAAAUUUUAGAACCCCGAAUCCCAAUCUGCUUUAGAUCUAAUGAAAAUCUUACCUUAACAAUUUCUCAACUGUGUAUUUCAAGGACUUCCCAACCAGUAUUUACAGAGAAAAUUGAGUCUCUGCUAUGGUGGGUAAGUAGUGUAGUGGGUGAAAAUUUAAAAUUAUUUCACGCCACAAAGUGUCGCAGCAACAACAAUGACUGCGAUCGCAACGACCGCAGCCACAAUUCAAAACCAUGGUUAGAACAUGCGGCAUGCUUCAACAAGUGUUAGGCUCUGAUACCAAUCAAAACCCAAGACCUUUUAUUUGUAUGCUACUCGAUCCUACUGGUUUAACCAAUUCUCAUUGGCAAAACAUUUCUUAUUUAUCCAGGGAAAAGCUUUAACCUCGCGGUUUGAGCUUGUAAAAUGAAUAUGUCGAUAAUAAUUGGAUCAUGCAAGCUUAGAUAGGGGAAGACAGUUUUUUCUUUGGUUCUAACUAAAACACUGAAUUUCUUCAAUAUUGUUGUAAUAUAUUAUAUAUGAAAAUGUAUUUGUUUUCAGCCUGUUCCUUUGUCAUCUUUCAGGCAUUGCUGAGCUGGGGGUGAUGAUGAUGACCACCAUUUUAGUUACUCUUGUUAUGCUUCUUAUAUGGCAGAUGCACAUCAUCAUAGUGAUGAGUUUCCUGGGAGUCUUCUUGGGUUUAGAGUUGGUUUUCUUUUCAUCGGUUUUGUGGAGCAUAACAGAUGGAAGUUGGAUUAUAUUGGUCUUUGCUGCAAUUAUGUUUUUUAUAAUGUUCAUAUGGAACUAUGGAAGCAAGCUCAAGUAUGAAACUGAAGUCAAACAAAAGUUGUCACCGGAUUUAAUGCGAGAAUUGGGCUGCAAUCUUGGGACAAUACGAGCUCCUGGAAUUGGUCUACUUUAUAAUGAGUUAGUCAAAGGAAUUCCAGGAAUUUUUGGGCAUUUUCUAACGACACUUCCAGCAAUACAUUCCAUGAUAAUAUUCGUGAGUAUCAAGUACGUUCCAGUUGCUAUGGUGCCUCAAAGUGAAAGGUUUCUAUUUCGGCGUGUUUGCCAAAGAAGCUAUCAUUUAUUUCGUUGUAUUGCCAGGUAAUAAGUGCUAUAAGUGCAUAUUACUUUUUAGAAACAUGCUAAUAGUGCUAUAGCUUCAAAUCUCCCUCUCUCCCCCCCUCUCUCUGGAAUAGGUUAGGAAACAAUUUGGGAAAAUUUAACAAAGAUAUUAGUAGCUCUUUGGGGUAGUUUGUUAGUUCAUGAGGAUGCAAUAUUUUCAUCUGAGACACCGUGUCUUGUAGUUUUGUGCUGACCCCACUUAGUGGGAUAAGGCUUGGUUGUUGUUGUUGUUGUACCGUGUUUUGUAAUUUUGUCUUUGUCAUUAAAAUGUUUCUUUAUCUUACGUGUCUGAUCUGAACAUUUAUAUCUCACAGGUAUGGUUACAAAGAUGCUCGCAAAGAAAAUCACCAGGCUUUUGAACAGCUUCUAAUGGAGAGCUUAGAGAAGUUUAUACGUCGCGAGGCACAGGAGAGAUCACUGGAAAGUGAUGGGGAUGAGGAUACUGAAUUGGAGGACGAGUACGCUGGUUCUAGAGUUCUCAUAGCUCCAAAUGGAAGUGUUUACUCACUUGGUGUUCCCCUUCUGGCUGAUUUUAAUGAAUCAUUCAUGCCCAGUUUUGAACCCAGCACAUCAGAAGAGGCAGGCCCUCCGUCUCCCAAACCCCUUGUGCUCGAUGCAGAGCAACUUCUGGAAAGAGAGUUAUCUUUUAUACGCAAUGCUAAAGAAUCUGGAUUGGUUUAUCUUCUUGGUCAUGGAGAUAUAAGGGCAAGGAAAGACUCUUGGUUUAUUAAGAAGCUAGUUAUAAACUAUUUUUAUGCCUUCCUGAGAAAGAACUGCAGAAGGGGGGUCACAAAUUUAAGCGUACCGCAUUCACAUCUAAUGCAGGUUGGAAUGACUUACAUGGUUUGACUUUGACCAUCAAUUUUGCAAUCCAAUAAUAUCCCCGCAUUGAACAUCGUUCCAGCUCUACCUUUGGAAAUUGUUUCAACUUUCCUUAUGAGCAUGAGCAUGUGCCGCGGAUAUAUGGAAUUGAAAUAGGCCAAGAACAGAAAUAGACAGAUACAUGUAGAAUUUGGACAAAAAAAAGAUAUAUGUAAAAUUAUAUUAUCAAAAGAAAAAAGAACCUGCAAAUGGCUAUGCACACAUUUCCUUAUGAGUAUGAAUAUGUUUAACAGAGUUUUGUACAUGGGAAGACCUAUCUAGACUAAUUUUAUUUUCAUUUGCAUUAAUUGUUUGCCUGAUCUCUUUUGAAGAGACCUUCUGUUGAUUGAAGCUUAAUUGAGAUUAUAUUUUCUUUUUGAAAUAUUACAUCGUGCCUUUCCCUUGGCAUUAUAACUAUAAAUUUAUGAUUGACAAAAACUUUUCUGACACUAGUUUACUCAUUGGAAUUGAGAAAGGACAGGAGGAAUCAAAACUUUUGGUGGGAUGGAAGUAUUGGUAGAUCUAGAAAUGUAUGUAACUUUUUUUGUUCACUAGAAUGUAUCCAACUUGAAACUAUUAUUAACUAAUCAAUGAAAGAAAAAUACAAUCAGGCACAAGACAAGAGGUGCAUAUCUCAACACUAAUAUAGGGUCCGUUUGUUUCAGAUUUUUUCCCUUAAAAAAAAAUCACUUUUUUCAUUUUUAAGUGUUUGUUUAGGAUUUUUAGAAAAAUCAUUUUAUCAAAAAAAUCUAUUUUGACCCUAAAAUGAAAAGCUAUUAGGAUUAGCUUUUCUCAAAAUCUAUUUUUUUUAACAAGGAGAUAACACAUGUGCAUGUUAUAACUUAUUUUAAAAUAAAAAUAAAAAGGAUUUUUAUGGAUAGUAGGCAAACACAAAUAACUUCAGAUUUUUUUUAAAAUCUCUAAAAAAAAUCUCUAAAUUCUUUUGAUAUAAAAUCCAUUUUUUUUUUUAAAACUGAAACAAACGCAUCCAUACUCCACUACCCCUAUUUCGAAUACAACAAAUUAAGGCAUUUCUGGUAACUGAUUCCAUUAAUCUCUAUCCAAGCCAAACUAUUAUCAAGUCCUUAACUCCAUUCUGCCAAGCAUCAAUCCUGUUGAUAGAUGAUAACAAACACCACCACCAACUCAUUGAUUUGAUGAGAUAUUGUGUAAUGAGUACUGGUAAACUUUCAGGAUAUAAAAUGCAGAUUGAAAGUACAUUUUAUUUAUUGAAGAAUUCCGACACGAAUUGAAAGUUUAGACAACAAAGGCUAGCUAGAAAAUAGAAAUCACUAUUUGAUAAAAAAAAUCGAUAAAAACAUGACUCAAUGAUAACCAAUAGGAGCUGGAGCCUCUUUCAGUUCUUUUCCUUGAUGGUGAAUAUCCUACAAAAAGAUGAACACAACAUUCAGAGCAAAUGAAGAGGAAAGAAAUUAAAAUCAAGAGUGUUUUAAACAAAUUAUAAUGACUUAAAAAAGUUUUUCAUCCUUUUUUUAGACUAAGAUAAUAUAUUUAUAGAGACGAAAAACACAUUUAACAAAAUUAAAAUUGACAGAUUAAAAAAUAAAUAAUUACGAUUGACACUCACCGAAGCAAAGUGAUUGACAUCCCUAUGAUGAGCCUCAUCAGCACGAAUAACAGUGAUAACAUCCUUAAGAGUUGCAUCCUUAGGAAGUCUCCAAUAAUCAAUUGCAAUAGCAGGAGCAGGUACAUUUUCAACUUUACCACUCUCAAUUGCAUUCAAAUGUUGUGUAUAUGAAAUCACAGCUUCCUCCUCUAAAUAACCAACAAACCUGUGUGCAGUUUUUGGUGAGAGUAUGUAAAAAACAAAGAAUGCAUUGAAGAAAACUCCUUGUGCAGUAAUAACCAAAAGCCUUUCAUGCCAACUUGGUUUUACAAGCUCUACCAUUGUCAUCAAAUGCAUCCUCUCAUUCUCUGCUUCUUCAAGUAAUGCUUUGAUCCAACCACCAGUGUGUUGAAAUUUUCUUAGAGACUUCAAGUGUAAAAGCAUCCCUCCCACCAUUGGCGGGACGGCUGCAAUUGUUUCCAGCAUCAUUGCAUGGCAUCCGUACCGUUCCUGCAGCAGUUAUAUUUCAGAUUAAUCAAACCCAUCAAUCAAAAUUCUUCUAUGUAUCAAGUUACACUUCACUACAACACAUCGAAUUACUAGGGAAUUAAAUUUUCUUUUGUUGUCUCAACACUCUCGUUCCUAGCGGGAAUAGGCUAUGGUAAUUUAGUGUUCGGUCCAAAAGUAAGUAAAUUCUAGUAAAAAGUUGUUCUAGUCAGAAUCGAAACAAGUGAAUCAAUAAGUUACCACUAAGAAUAAAUUUUGUUAUGGAUAGAAAUAUAUGUUAUGUAGCAGUAGAUAAGCCCACAAACCUUGAAAUACAAAUCAGAGAGAACCCUUAGAAACUUGACAGAUCUGAAAGCAAACUUGUCCCCAAAUGUUUUUGGUACAUGAUGCUUGGUCACAUCUAUUGACACAUCUGAGCUGUAACUUUCCCAUGGCUGCACCAGACAUCAUACAUAGAGAACAUAUAGUAUGAGACAUUAUCGAAAUACAAUACUGUUAGAUCAACAUUGAAUUUCAUUGAUCUAAUGCUUAAAUCAAAAGUUUUUAUCGAAUAGCUCAGCUCGACAAAUUUGAAUAAAAUUACUUGAUGCUCUAUUGAAUAAAUUCAAAUCAACAUAUAAUAUAAAUAAGUCUAUCUACAAAUUUUAGGUUCAUAAGAUUUUUUUUGUGUAUGAUCAUUAACAUAAAUAAAUUCAACAUUUAUAAUGAAUUAUUAAGCAGAAUAACUCAGUUCAGAUUUACUUAUGCAUACAUUAAUUUUGAUACCUCCUCUAUAUAGUAUAUAUUCUUACCAUGAAACAGUUCCAUGGCCACUCAGUUCCAUCCUCCCUUUUAACCUUGGGCCUAGUGAUUCCCCAGUAACUCGAAACGACGGUGUUGCUGUCAUUACUGUUCUUAUUCUCCUCUGAAUGCUGAUCCUUUUUCUCUGGCAGAGUUGACAUCUUCUGCCAGUAGAAGCUUCCACGAGUGCCACCGCCAUUCUGGUGUCUCGGCUGAACUAUCACCGCAGUUGAGAAGCUGCAGUGAUAGUUGCGACUACUGUGGAACAGAGCUCGUGCCGUUGACCUUAGUAAAGAGUUUUUCAUGUAGAAUGUUUUUGAAUGAGUUCUUGGAUGAAAAUAGUAGCUCAGAAGUCAGAAGUGGAGAUUUAUAACAAGGAGUGGAGAAUAUAUUAAUAAUUUAAUAUAUAGUUUUUGUAUUAAAUUUUGUAUUCGUCACAAAGGGAAGAAGAAAGGUAGUGGAAGGUCUCAACAAUGUGGUUUUGUUGCUUUCCAUGUUUAAUUAUUCGUUAAAUUAGUGAUUGAUUAGUACUUACUACAAAGUUGGAAUUGAAAAUGUUAGCAGCCACUAGCUUUUUGGAAUUUUCUCUUCCUUGAUCCCAUUCUUAAUUAUAAGAUUCUUUAAAAGAUUUAUUUAUCCUUAAAUAUAAGAUGAUCCAUUAGAUUCAUUUUUUAAAUAUAUCUCGUAGGACUACAUCAAACUAAGUUAACUCCAAAAUACUCACUACCCUUAUUUUGAAUACAAUAAAUUAAUUUUACUAAUAAUUGAUUCCAUUAAUCUCUCUCCAAAGCCAAACUAAUAUUGAUUUUACUAAUUCCAUUCUGUGAAGCAUCAAACGUGUAGAUACAUGAUCAUCACCAAGACCACCAAACAAUUCCUUGAUUGGGUGAGAUAUUGUGUAUUGAUAAACUUUCAGGUUACAAAAUGCACACUGAAAAUACAUUUUAUUUAUUGAACAAUUCAAGCACAAAUUGAAAGUUUAGAGACAAAAAAGGCUAGAAAAAAGAAAUUACUAUAUUUUGAUAAUUUUUUUUUGACAAAAACAGUGACUCAAUGAUAACCAACAGGAGCUGGAGCCUCUUUCAAUUCUUUUCCUUGAUGGUGAAUAUCCUACAAAAAGAAGAACACAACAUUCAGAACAAUUUAUAAUGGGUCAAAUAUAUUUAUGAAUUCAAUUGCAUGCAGUCAACAAUCCUUUGCAUUCACGCAGUUGACACAUACUUGACCAUUGAGUCGAGAAAGGAUAUGACGAUCCAUAAUUCAAUGCCCAUUUUAAUAUUUAUAAAAUUUAAAAUAUCGAUCUUAAAAUUUGAAUGGUCUAAUCUCAAUCCAACAUCCACAAAAGGACCGACUGUGUGAACGCGGAGAUUACCUAUCGUAGUUAAUUCAAAUUCUAUAUUUAUAGAGGGAUAUGAAAACAUAUUUAUCACAAUUAUAAUGAAAAUAUGGCAGACUUACAGAAGCAAAGUGAUUGACAUCCCUAUGAUGAGCCUCAUCAGCACGAAUAACAGUGACAACAUCCUUAAGAGUUGCAUCAUUUGGAAGUCUCCAAUAAUCAAUAGCAAUAGCAGGAGCAGGUACAUUUUCAACUUUACCACUUUCAAUUGCAUUCAGAUAUUGUGUGUAUGAAAUCACAGCUUCCUCCUCUAAAUAACCAACAAACCUAUGUGCUAUUUUUGGUGAGAGGAUGUAAAACACAAAGAAUCCAUUAAAGAAAACACCUUGUGCAGUAAUAACCAAAAGCCUCUCAUGCCAACUUGGUUUCACAAGCUCAACCAUUGUCAUCAAAUGCAUCCUUUCAUUCUCUGCUUCUUCAAGUAAUGCUUUGAUCCAACCACCGGCAUGUUGAAAUUUUCUUAGAGAUUUUAAGUGUAAAAGCAUCCCUCCCACCAUUCCAGGGACCGCUGCUAUUGUUUCUAGCAUCAUUGCAUGGCAACCAUAUCGUUCCUGCAAUAAUUAUAAUUCAAAUUAAUCAAUAAUUUAAUUUUGAUACAUUGUGUCGCUGUAAAAAAGUUUCGUAGAGGCUGAACUUGGAAUAACCAAGUCUCUUCUUCUCAUGUAAACCAAUCCGAUUUACUACAACACAUUACAUUGUUUUUUGGUCUUGACAAUCCGAUUUUUUCACGGAAAAAGUCCUUACCUGGUAGUAAUCCAAAGUCGGACAACGGAUUUUUUGGUCUUCAUGAAGCACCCUAAGUAAUUUUUAUGUUUCAUUUAUAUUUUAUAUAUAUAGUUGAUGGAUAGAAUUAUAUUUUAUGUAGCAGUAGAUAUUCCACAUACCUUGAAAUACAAAUCAGAGAGCACUCUUAGAAACUUGACAGAUCUGAAAGCAAACUUGUCCCCAAAUGUUUUUGGUACAUGAUGCUUGGUCACAUCUAUUGACACAUCUGAACUGUAACUUUCCCACGGCUGCGAAAAAAGAUCGUAUGAGAAAUCAUCCAAAUACAACAGCAUGCAAGAUCAAGUAACUCAUGCCCUAGAAUUAACUUUAAGAUAUUGUUUGAAAGAAUUUAUGAAAACAGUCAGUGAUUUUGUUCAAAAGUUGUUCAACUUAUUUUUAUAAGUUCUUCAAAAUAGUUAAUAAAAAUAUUUACUAGCUUAUACAAAAAUAAUUUAACUUUAUUUUACUUUUUGCUAAAGAAAUAGCUUAGUAAGUUGCAAAUAUCUAAAUCAAUUUAGAGUUAAUACCUCUUUCUAUAUAUGUAUUCUUACCAUGAAGCAGUUCCAUGGCCACUCAGUUCCAUCUUCCUUAAGAACCUUAGGCCUACUGAUACCCCAGUAACUCGAAACGACGGCGUUGUGGUUGGCAUCUUUUUUGCUCUCCUCUGUCUGCUGAUCCUUUUUCUCUGGCAAAGUUGACAUCCUCUGCCAGUACAAGUUUCCACAAGCACCGCCGCCAUGCUGGUGGUGUCUCGGCUGAACUAUCACCGCAGUUGAGAAGCUGCGGUGGUAGUUCCCACCAUUGCGGAACAAAGCUCGUGCAGUUGACCUUAAUAAAAUGUUUCUCAUGUUGAAUGUAAAUGUUUUAUGACUAUUUCGAUGAAAACGAAUUGAAGACUUAUAUUUAUACAAGCAACAAAUUUAGGAGUGUGUAUUAAUAAUUUAACAUAUAGUUUUCGUAUUCAACUUUGUAUUUGCCACAAGGACAAGGUAACUCCAAGAAGAAAGGUCGUGGAAGGUUUCAUGUGGUUUUGUUACUUUAGAUGUUAAAUUAUUGAAUUGAAUUUGCAUCAGUGGUUGUUGAUUAGUUGCCACAAAGUUGGAAUUGAAUAUGUUCAGUCAGCGUUGCCACUAAGGCUUUUGUGGACUUUUCACCUCCUUUGAUUAUUAUUGUAACUAUUUUCUUUUUGACUAGAUUAUUACUGCUUCUAUUAUUUUUGUUCAAUUCAAUUCAAUGGUUACUUUCUUUAGCGUGAUGCAAAUGUAACGCAAUAUCCCCAAGGAAGAAGGAACUAGAAUCUUGGGAAUAGUCUAAAUGCUGUUUUUUCUUUUGACUUUAGAGGAAAAUUCAUCAAAGGACGGUUUCAAGAGAAUUAUUACAAUUUACAAUCAAUUUGAAACCACAUUAUUUGUUAUUGCAUUACUUUUUUUUUGAACAAGCAUUAUUGCAGUACUUAAAUAUGUGUUUGUAUUUUUUAUUUUUUUGCAAAUACGUUUUUGUAAUGUUUCUUUUACUGAAUUUGUACAUGUAUUUUUCUUUAUUUUUGUCUUUAUCUACUUGAUAUUAAGUUCAUUAUAGAUAUCUGUUUCUAAAAUGCUGUUGAAGUUUGGAGUGGCGUUGUAUUUUUUAAAGAUGAGACGAAGAAUCAUGGUACCGUGAAAGCUAUGAAACAAAGGUUCUCUAUUUUCACGAAAGUAGCUCUUUUAGACGUGAAUUUGUCUUUUUCAUCGUCAACUCUUACUAUCCUUGGUGGAUAAAUCAGUUUUGGCAAAGAUAUUGCAAUCGUUUGGAGUUUUAACCUAACCAUAGAUUGAUUUACACAAAUUUGAGAAUUAGUGAGAUUAAUGAUCACUAAGAUUAUAAAUAUUUGUUUAAAUUAAUCAUUAUGAGAGCAUCCUAUUCUUUAUUAUAAACUCAUUUGUUAUAAUUAGGUUAGUUUAUCGGUCAAAUUAUAGAUAUAAGUCGACUAAGUUGAUUCACUUAUGAUGUAAAAGAUUCAAAUCUCAUUGUCAGAAUGAAAACUUCUUUAAUGAAUAACUUGUAAGUAUAUUUUUGAGUCUUAAAAUUUGUUGUGACCCUGAUUAACCCAAAUUCUAAUCCACGAAACGAAAUGACAAUCACCAUUAAAAAUUUACACACAUAAAUAGAAGACCCUAACUUUGAUCCAAUCACUUACAUCUACUCUAACAAUUUCAACAUUUUUGUUAGUUGAAUUAAUUUUUUUGGACCGUGUAUAUUUAUUUAAAGGGUCUUGUUAAUGAAUGCUCUCGAAACCUUAUAUAAAGAUUUAAAAAAAAAAAAUUAUUUUAUUAAAAUGUCAAAACAUUUCGAUUUCUAAUGCAUUGGUUAAAAAAAAAAUGUAUUUCGUAAAAAAUUAUCAUUUCCCUUAUCUUAUUUGAAUAAAUGGGAAAGUAUUUUUUUGAGUGUAUCUCCAAAACUGGAAAAACACCUCCCCAGGCUUAAAAAUCAAAACCCUUUCUGCCCAAAACCCAGUGGCAGAGCAUAUCAGAGCUGAGCAGUGUCACUCUACAAAUCUAUAUCUAACAUACUCAACUGCCACCGUCGAUUCUCGAACCUUCCAAUUCUUCCCACCCCCGUCACAAACGAUGUCGGAAUCAAUUUGCAGAUCCUUACGCGACGGCGCGUUAGAAGGAGAACUCUCUCCCACUCUCACUAUCAAAGACACUCUCUCUUCACCUUUCGCAUUCAACGUUUUCUCUCACAUUCUUCUUCAACUUUCCUCACCAAAAUCUCACUCCAACACUGCUAUUCUCAUCGUUGCACUUUCUCGGAGUCCCUCAUUUUAUGCUCAUUUGUUGAAAAACAAGGGAAUCGAACUUUCUUCUUCUAACAAAUGGUAAUUAUGUUCAAUUUUUAACUUCCUUCUUGUUUUAUAUUUCUGGUUUUUACUGUUUACUCUCUAUUAAAAUUUUCAAUUUUCAUUUUUAAUGUGGAGAUUGAAAUGACAUUUAGGCUCUGUUUGUUAAAAAGUAUAGAUAGUUGAUAGUGGAUGAACUUAUAAGUGAAUUGAAUUUGUAGUAAUUGAUUAAGAUAGUUCAAACAAGCUGUUGAACUAGCUGUUAAAUUUAUUAUUUUUUUAUUAACGUUAGAAAAGAUGCUGCUAGAGAGAUAGUUGAGGUAUAUAAUAGAAAAGAUGGUGGAAAAUAGGCUUAGGUGGUUUAAGCCUAUAGAGAGAAGACCUGUAGAUUCGGUGGUAAGGACAGUAGAUUGGAUGAAGGAUAGUCAGAUCACAAGAGGUAGAGGAAGACCUAGAAAAACUGAGAAACUAUUAGGAAUGAUUUAAUGAUUAAUGAGUUGGAUUGAAAUAUGAUUUAUGUAGAACAUUUUGGUGUAAGUUGGUCCAUGUAGCCGACCCCACUCAGUUGGAUAGUAAUAAUUGGUUGUUGUUGUAUUAACGUUACUUGAAGUAGCCUAGAAAAACACAUUAUAAGCUCACAAGAAACCGCUGUUAACAAAGAGGUCUAUUUUGGUCCUAUGAGCUUUUAAGCUAUAAGCUCAAACGUUCAUCUUGCCAAACAGAACCUUAGUUGUAAAACAGUUUUACACUGACUUCCAACACGAAUCCAUUAUUUUGUUAUGUCACCCCACUUUUCAUAUGGUUGGAUGCUGAUUGUGUGACGUGGAAAAAUGGUGGCUUCUCAUUGGAUGUCAGUGUAAAAUUGUUUUACCCUGGCAGAAUACAACCGUUAAACUCUUUUAGAGUUUCAUUUUUGAAAACAUGUAUAAUGUCUUCUCUAAUGUGUUAUGUUGCAGGAUUCAUGUUUUGGAUUGUUAUACAGAUCCUCUUGGUUGGAAGGAUAAGACAAGGAAAUCUGGAAAUGUUACGAUUCCUUCUGACCAAAUUUCACUUGCUACUACUUCUUACAAAUCUGUCAAGGAUAUGGAUAAGUUGUUUUUGGCGAUUACUGAAUUGGGAAGAGGUAUUUUUUGCUGUUAGGUUGUGAAUUGUGAUCUUUUUUCGCUUCAAGAAACAUAUUUAUGUCGCCUAUUGAUUUUUUUUUUCUUUUCAAUUCAUAUACUUGCAGGUUUAGUUGGAGAAAAUAAAGUCCGCUUUUGUGUUGCCAUAGACUCGGUAAAUACCGUUGACUUAACAUAGCUCUGAGUGAAGUUGAAUUUACUGUGUUGGUCUAUUCUAGUCAAUGUUUAUGGCUUUGUAAUGUAUACGGUGAUUGGUUUUUUUACAUGCAUUUAGCUGAAAAUUUUAUGAUUAUGUAACUUGUAAGAAGGAUUUUUUUUUCUUUCAUUUAUUUUCAAGCUAAAUCAAAUAACCUUGAUACAAUAAUCUUUUUAUGAUAUUCUCCAUCAGUUUCUGAGAUUUUUACCUUAUCUAUGACUAGUAGCUUGAGUCACAAACUUGAACAAUAGAUUCUCAUCAUAAGAAGAGUCUGUGUGUUUACAUUGUAGGGGAUUCAUGCUGCUUUAGUUGUUAAUUUAUUUUGUAUUUUAUAAAGUUGCUAAAAAGGUGAUUGAGACUUGAGCUCUUUGAUAUUGUUCUAUCUUUACACUUUUGAGCCCACUUCUGAUCUGGCAGGUAACCCGACCCAAUUUGUUGUUACUUAGUUGAAAAUGAUUAGGUUGAGUUGGUUAGACAGUUAGGAUGGCAGUAGAGGUAUGGUAUCUUGUCAUUUUUGAGAGAAUUGGGGCCUUUGGCUAGGAAGAUUAAGACUCUCGAAGUUCUACAAUAUCUUUGUUAUUGGACAGUUUAUCUCUAUUCAUUUUCUAAUAAAAACCAAUUUGUGAUAAGCUUCAAAGAAACUUGAAAGUAUGGAUGGAAUAUGUCAGUUUGCCUCAUCUCUUAAACUCCCCAGAAAUAAACGAGCCAUUGAGGCAUUAUAAAGAUAUCAUGUUACAACUUAAUGAUGGAAUUGGAAACUUUUUUUUGUGUAUAUAUAUGUAUCUGACUAUCUAACUUUCUUGUGCCCAUUGUCAAAAAAGAAAAAGAAUUUUUGUGCCUGCAAGUUUCCAAAAUUCCUUUUACACUAGAAUUCCUGAGCAAGAAGUUUUACAAUUACUUUCAAUUCCAUUAAUAUUCUAAUCAAGACUGUUCGGUUUCUAUGUUUUUCUUGUAUUAUUUGUUUGUGUAUAUAUAUAAUCCUAAUGGAUUCUUUUUGGAUAUUAUCAGCUAAGUGAACUGUUGAGACAUGCAUCUUUGCAGUCAGUCGCAGGCCUUCUAAGCAAUCUGCGUAGCCAUGGUAUUUUCUCUUGUACUAUUUUGAAUACAGUUUUUUGUACAGUAUGUCUAAUUUGUUUUUAUUUGAUUGAGUAAAUAUUUUAGAGUACCAGAAGUCUAGAAUGUGAGUUAGUUGAUUAUUUCAGUAGAUAAUAUUUAUGGCACGGGUUGGCUUGACACUAACAUUAUCUUCUCUUAAAUCAUUGCUGUUGUAUGAUUGCAGAUCAAAUUUCAAGUAUAUUUGGAUUAUUGCAUUCUGACCUUCAUGAGGAGAGGGCUGCAACUGCUCUUGAGUACAUGUCCUCGAUGGUGGCUAGUGUAGAAUCAGAUCAUCAUUCUUCCGAGAACUCCUUAUCGGAGAAAAACUUUACCCAAGGAAAAUUUAAUGUCAGACUCAAACGCAGAAAUGGACGAGUUAGAGUGACGGUGAUCUCUUUAUUCCUUAUUGCGAACAUAUUUGGAAUUGCUAAUCUUCAAAACCAGUGAACUGAUGUAAGAUCGCUUUUAUUCAGUGUGAAAAGUUUAAAGUUGAAGCAGGAGGAAUCAGCUUUACUUCUGUUUCAGCAGAAGAUGGAACGACCGUUGCAGGCUUACUGCCAAAGGUCAGUCAUUACUCUUUAGUUUCCUGUGAAGUCAUGUCUCUUUCACUAGAAGCAAUGGCCCAACUCCUAAUAGCCUUGUUAUUAUUAGAUAUUUAUUAUUAGUUUUCAGAUAAAAUAUAUCCAUUAAAGAGAUCUUAUUUUUGUUGUGUCCCCCUUUAUAAAAGAGAGCAUAUCAUUCAAUGGUAUUUUUUCUAAGGAAAUGAAAAUUUAGAUGCUAGGUGUGCCUAUUUGAUGCUUUGAUUGAAAUGCUGAGUGCUUCUAACAUUAAAUUUAGGAUUUUAAAUUGUGGGCCGAUUUAGAUCAUUACAGCAGAUGUAAUCUGCCCUCAUAAUCAGAUGUAGUUGCUUAGAGCACCACAACCUAGUUGAUUGUACAGGACAGUUUUUAUGAUAAAAUCUAUCAAUGUGUUAUAUAUAAUUUGCAAUUGGUAUAAUCUGUUUUGAAGAAACAUCUCAUGUGCUGAUGCCAUGCCUGCACAUGCUAAGCACUUAGUUUGUUCACCUUCUCGUAUACACAUGACGGUACUUUUACAGAAUAUACACGUAUAUGCAUCGUAAACACAGUCACAAACAGUUGUAACAGAGACCAAACAAGAUAUGGUGUGUGAUAUGAAGCUGAAAACUUUGCAUUGACCGCAAAUAAAUAAUAGGUUGAAACUUUAUGUUUUUAACAGGUACAAUUCAAUCUCCAACUGUCAGAGAAGGAGCAAGUUGAUAGGGCAAAGGUUGUGCUUCCUUUUGAACACCAAGGUAUGAUAUAGAUUUGUAAUUGAGCCAUUUCUUACGGUGUUUAAAUCAUAUAUGUCCUCUUAUGCCUAAGCUCUUCUCUUUUAGGAAAUGGUGCACCGAUUCAAAUUUAUGAUGGUAGAAGAUCCCUUGAAGAGAGCAGCAGUGACGGGGCACCUCUUUCAAAGGGUAAAAAGGAGGACUCAGACCUAGGUGAGAUUAUAUAUUUUCGUGAUUCAGAUGAUGAGAUGCCAGAUUCCGAUGAAGACCCAGAUGAUGAUUUAGAUAUAUGAAUGUGCUUUAGUUAGUGUCUUAUGUAUUUCUAGGUGACUUAGAUUAGGAUUGUGAUCAAACAAAAUUAUUUAAAAAAAAAUCUGCCCGAUAUUGUUUAGCCAAUGUUGUCAAAAUUGCGCGUUAAAACGUAAAAUUGCCCUAUUUUGAGCGACUUGACUUGCAGUGAAAUCGAAAUACAAUCCGAUUUUGAGCAAUUUGAGUGAAAUCAGAAUACAUUCUGAUUUUGAGAGAUUUGAGUGAAAUCGGAACACAAUCCGAUAUUGAGGGAUUUGACUCGCAGUGAAAUUGGGUAAAAUCGAGGUACAAUUGAGUUAAUUUAUUUUGAUUUUACUCGUUUUUAUUACCCAAUAUUGAAGAAAUUAACUUUUUUUGGGGUUUGUUUUAACUUUUAACUGUUGACAACUUUAGAAACUUAUUAAACUCUUCUCUUUUGGGUAGUUUUUUGUGUGGAUGUUUUUAUGAUUUGGAUUGAUAAUUUAUGCUGUUUGAUACAAGUUACGAGCUUGACACUUCAUUAUGGAGAUUUGGUAUGUUUAUGAUUUAUAAUUAAGUUGAAAUUUUGGAUUAUUGAUGCAUUUAUAGUUUUUUUAGUAAUGCAUUUAUAAUAUUAUAUAAGUAUGUGUAAUUUAUAUAAUAAUUUUAAUAUUAUUUUAGUUUACAAUUCGAUUCCAUCUAGGCAAAACGAGUUCAUAUAAAAACUCGAGUUGACAACCUUAUGUUUAACUCAACUGAAUAAUUCAUCACAUUCGUCAUAUUGUACAGCCUACAUAGAAACCUGAAAUUGAUUUUAUGAUUUCGACAACAUAUCUAUUUAGUGCUCAGUUUUUACUAUUAUCUCUCUGUCACUACGCUCUUCGUUCCCUCGUUUCUAAUCUAUCUUAGCGUGGUUAUUGACCAAAUUCCUCUACGUUUUUGUCGCCGUAGAAGUUUAUGUCAUCGACUGGUCUUCAACCAAACCAAACCUACUCAUAAGUCACAACCAGGCAGAGAUGCCAAACCUACUCACAACCAGGCAGAGAACUGAAAACAUAUGUAUAACAGACCAUUGUGCCACCAUAUUGACAUGUAACAAACUGCAAAAACUGAAUACAAAUCUACAAACGAUUAUACCAAAAUUGGACAGGUAGCAAAAUAAAAACCUCAAUUAUGUUUUAAUUUUUUGCAGUAAAGAAAGCCUGAAUUAUGUUGAUAUAAGAUUCUGUUGAGGUAUUUAUAUGCCAUACAGCAGACUACAAAAUUACUCCAGUUACAAAAUUGCUCACAGUUACAAUCUAAACACCGUAAACAACACCAUAGAGCUCAUCUAAACCCUUCAUAUGAUGAAGAUUGUUCUUUUGACACCGAAAAAUUGCUCACAGGCACCUAAAACACGUCGAACGAAAGUUAAUUGCAGUUCAGGCACUUUUUAAAUCAGUUAAACUGAUUUAAAAAGUGUUCUCAAAAUAUUGGUUUUCGGCAUUCAUCAUUUUCAACUUGAUUUGUACAUAGCAUUCAUGUUUUUGAAAAAUCUGUAUGGUAAGCAAAUGGCAUUUAUGAAUGUCUAGUCUAAUGUGAGAGAUUUGGCCCCCUAAUUGUUCGGUCGGUCCUAAUAACAUAAUAACUUCUGUAUGGUUAGUACCGUAUAUAUCUCUUACACAUCCACAAAUCCAUAAUCAAACACAUCACUAGUUUAGAGUCAGACAAAAAGGAGUUCUUGAUAAUCCUCAACCUUAGUACUUGAUCCAAACCAAACCAUUCAUUGUAGAGAUGUCUUCUGCAGCAAUAACAACAGUACUUGCUUUCCUUAUCUUCACUUUCACAUAUUUUUUAUCCAAACUAUUCUUGCAUCCAAAACAAAAAACCAUCAAUCAUAAAAAGCCACCAGGUCCACCAUCACUACCAAUAAUCGGAAACCUCCACAUAUUAGGCACCCUUCCACAUAGAACACUUCAAUCACUCUCCAAACAAUAUGGUCCAAUCAUGUCCUUACAACUAGGUCAAGUCCCAGCUAUUGUCAUUUCAUCUUCAAAAGCCGCAGAGUCAUUCGUCAAAACCCAUGACAUCGUUUUCGCAAACCGACCGGAACUUGUAGGAGCACAGAUCAUGUCUUAUGGUUGCAAAGGGUUGGCGUUUUCUAAGUACGACUCUUAUUGGCGUAGUGUGAGAAAACUUUGUACUUCAAAACUUCUUAGUGCUUCGAAAGUUGAGAUGUUUGGUCCUAUUAGGAAGGAGAAGUUGGAUGUUUUGGUUAAAUCUUUGGAGAAAGCUGCUCUGGAGGGUGAGGUUGUGAAUGUUAGUGAGGCUGUAGAGAAUGUUAUAGAGGAUAUUGUGUAUAAGAUGGUGUUGGGUCGGAGUAAGUAUGAUCAUAUUGACCUAAAGAGGUUGGUUCAAGACGUAAUGGCUUUGAUUGGAGCUUUUAAUAUGGCUGAUUAUGUUCCUUGGUUAGGCACAUUUGAUCUUCAGGUAAUAUUUUUUUUAAGUAUUCAAAGUAUCUGCAUUGUAAAAUCAGUAUGAUUAACAUAUUUGCAUAUGACCAAAAUCAAAAUGAACUAUAUGUUAUAAAGACUAAAACCGAAACACCAAAAAAGAAAAUAUUUAAUGUUUUCAGUUUUAAAAACAAAUAAAACAUUUAUGGUUCCAUUAAGUUCACUGAAAAUAUUCAAUUAGAAAUUAACGUUAUCAAUUUGACUAUUUGUUAGGGCUUAACACGAGCCUGCAAAAGAACCAACAAAGCACUUGAUGAGGUGUUGGAGAUGAUAAUAUCAGAGCAUGAACAAACCACUAAUACAGACAAAACUCGUCAUGAAGACUUUGUAGACAUACUUCUCACUUUUAAGCACCAAAACAUUGAUCAUGGGAGUGAACAAAAUCAUGUCAUUGAUCGAACUAACAUCAAAGCUAUUUUACUAGACAUGGUUGUGGCAUCAUUUAGUACAUCUGCUACCACAAUUGAGUGGGCUUUAUCCGAACUUUUAAGGCAUCCAAGAGUGAUGAAAAAUCUUCAAGAUGAAAUACAAAAUGAAGUAGGAAAUAAGAGAAUGGUUGAAGAAAAGGAUUUGAAGAAUUUUAAUUACUUAGAUAUGGUGGUUGAUGAAACUUUAAGACUUCAUCCAGUUUCACCCUUCUUACUCCCUCGUGAAUGUAGAGAGAACAUAACAAUUGAUGGUUAUUUUGUAAAGGAAAAGACACGAGUUAUAGUAAAUGCAUUUACAAUAGCGAGAGAUCCUAAUGUUUGGUCAGAAAAUGCUGAAGAAUUUUGUCCAGAGAGGUUUAUUAAUAAGAAAUUGAAUUAUGAAGGACAAGAGUUUGAAAGUAUACCAUUUGGAUUUGGUCGUAGGCGUUGCCCUGGAAUUCAAUUGGCUUUGAGGACUGUUAGGUUAAGCAUAGCUCAAUUGGUGCAUUGCUUUAAUUGGAAACUUCCAUAUAAUAUUAGUCCUUCUAAUUUGAACAUGGAUGAGAAAUUUGGACAAUCUAUACAUAGAGCUCAACACUUACACGCAAUACCAAGUUAUCGUUUGGCAGGUGAUGGCAAGCUUGAAUAGUAGUUCCAAGAGGGACAAUAUUAUGUUUGCAUUCAACAAGGUUAUUACUAGUAAAGAUGCUUUAUUUUUAAUUAGUCUAAUGGUGUUUGUAUAAAAUAUGUUAAUGAAUACUUUUGAUGGCUGAUUCUGCACACAUAUGUGAGCUAACUUAUGAACUACAGUGUAUUUGGGCUAAACAACCUAAUAGUUAAAUGUUUAUGAACUAAAAGCUUAUUAUAGGAAAGGAAGAGAUAUUGCAUUAAAACUAUCUUUACAUAAAUGCCAAUUAUCGUGGUAUAUGUGUAUGAAUUACUUGUAGCCUUGUAGGGGAAUUUUCUCCCCCCAUCACUAUCCAAAUUUAGAAGUGGCAAAACAGAUUUAUCCUUUGAAUUGGUCCGUUUAACCCACCAUUUUAAGCAAAUUGAGUUGACGUUUUAAGUUCAUUCUCUAAUUUGUCCGUCCCAUCUAGCCUGAUGAAAAAGUGGGUUUUGAGCUGCAGGCUUAUGAAAAAUUGUUUCUUUAUUUUUAUUGUACUAUAGUCAAUAAGAAAGUGGCCAAAUUUUUAAAGAUUGUUUUUACCCUUAAAAAUAGUCGGAGGAUUUUUGUUUUAUUCAUACAAGAGAAUUUAAGACAAGAAGCAUAUUUUAUCUAAUUAUGCUCCUUUAGUUUAUAGUUAAAUAUUUACAUAUUUUCUUAAAUAACUAAGAAGUUUUUUUUUGAAGGAUUAAAUAACUAAGAAGUUAGAGAUUUCACGUACUUAAAAAAAAAAAAAGUUUGAGAUUUCAUUCUUUGACAAAAAUUCUAACUCAAUUUAAGUUCGAAAGAACACCAAGUCACCAACUGUACAUGAUUUAUUAAAAAUAAAAUAAAAAGAGGCGACAUAAUAUUCCUAUCGUAGAUGCAUAAUUUUUUUUAGAUGUAAUGUAAUUGAAUAACUACUAUUUCUCUAAUGUUUCUUUGGAGGGAACUAAAUCGUCAAUAUCUUUGGAGCGGAGUUAUUUGCAUCGAAUGGAAUGUGUACUUUUUUUUGCAGCACAAUAUUUGUUUUUGUCAAAACAACAAUAAUAAAAGAAUAUUUAAACCAAAAAUACAAUUAUUUUUUUCUUAUGUGUUUUCAAUAAUUGAUACUAUUAAUGUAACUCUCUGUUAGGGAUUAACACGAGCCUGCAAGAAAACAAGUAAAUCACUUGAUGAGGUGCUGGAAGUGAUAAUAACAGAGCAUGAACAAACAACUAAUGUAGACAAAACUCAUCAUGAAGACUUCGUAGACAUACUACUCUCAAUUAAGAACCAAACCAUAGAUCAAAAGAAUGAACAGAAACAUGUUAUUGAUCGACCAAACAUUAAGGCAUAUUACUAGACACGGUUAUGGCAGCAAUUGAAACAUCUGCUACCGCGAUUGAAUGGGCUUUUAUCUGAACUUUUAAGGAAUCCAAGAGUGAUGAAAACCCUUCAAGAUGAUAUACAAAAUGAAGUAGGAAAUAAAAGAAUGGUCGAAGAGAAAGAUUUAGAGAAGUUAAGUUACUUAGAUAUGGUGGUUCAUGAAACUUUAAGACUUUACCCUGUUGCACCCUUGUUACUCCCUCGUGAAUGUAGAGAGAGUAUAACAAUUGAUGGAUAUUUUAUAAUGGAAAAGACACGAGUUAUAGUAAAUGCAUGGGCUAUAGAGAGAGAUUCUAGUGUUUGGUCAGAAAAUUAUGAAGAAUUUCAUCCAGAAAGAUUUAUUGACAUGAAAAUGAAUUAUGAAGGACAUAAGUUUAAAUCUAUACCAUUUGGUUCUGGUCGUAGACGUUGUCCUGGAAUUGAAAUGGGUUUGAUCACAAUUAAAAUGGUUAUAGCUCAAUUGGUACAUUGCUUUAAUUGGGAACUUCCAUGUAAUAUUAGUCCUUCCAAUUUGAAUAUGGAGGAGAAAUUUAGAUCACUCUAUUCCAAGGGCUCAACACUUGCACGCAAUACCGAGUUAUCACUUGACAUGUGACAACAAGCAUGAUUAGGUUCAAGAAGGAAAAUGCUAUGUUUAAUUUGUAUUCGUCAAAAUAUUAUUAAUUACUAAAUACAUUAACUUUUUUUAAAAUUUAGAUCGAUUAAUAACUUGUCUUUGCGUCUGAUUUGCAGUAGGGAAGAGGGGUAUGUUAUUCAUAUUAUGCAUAGUUGUCCAAUGACAGUUUUGGCUUGGAACCACUUUGUAGAUAAUAAAUGGAAGCUUGUUUCUAAUAGGAAUUUGUUUUACAGAAUUGAGAUGAACUUUUAUAUUGGGUAAGCUUCGGAGUGUGCGGUUAUGGUGCUUAAGGAACCAUUUCCAUAGUAAAAUGGUUUUGACAUAAUUGGGUUGAGAUUUAUACAGGGUGCUGGAAACCAUUAAGUACAUCUAAUAGUUUUUGAGUAUAACUCACAAAAACCAUUUCUAAAUUUAUGCAGGAUCGUAAGGAUUUCUUUAUGCACCAUAACCACGCCAGCUUUAAAGUCAUUUGUUAUUUAUUGUUGAGGUGAAGAGAUAAUUUAGUGCAGUCCUCUUCAUGCUCUACUUGGGAUUUGAAUAAACUAUCAAUUAAUUCUUAAUUAUGACUCCAUCUUCAACUUAGUCUUUUUUUUUUCUUUUUUUUUUGAGAGAGUCUUCAACUUGUUCUUAAACUAUAUAAAUUUAGUCUUUAACAUAUACUCAUUUCUGUCCUUAUUAUAAAAAGAAAAACACUUGAUCAAAAAAAUAAAAAUAAAAAGAAAAACAAAAAAAAUAUCAAAACCAAUGCAAUCAUUAUUUAAUGUAACUUUUUUGAUAUUUUUACAAAUAUACUCUAAUAAAAAAUUAUAAAACAUUAAAUACACUCAUUAAUAUUAAAAAUAUAAACAUUAAAUAAAGGAGUAUUAAAACUUUUUAAACAAUAAAUACACCUUAAAAUUUGCCAAAAAAAACUACAUUUUAAAAGUUGUGACGUUUUCUUAUAAAUAUAACCAUUUAAAAAAAAAUUAUAAUAAGAAUAAGAGGGAGUAUAAAAUAUAUGUCAGUUUAGUCUUUACUCGUAGAAUUUUCAUUUACUUUAAGUAUUGUUAUGAAAUUAAUCUAAAGUAUGGCAAGAUAUUGUGCAACAUCGAAGAGUAGAGAGAAAAUGAUACAGGGAGAACAAAAGAGUAUAUUGUAUUGCUUUUCAAGUGUGUUUUCACACUAAAAUACGAGUAUUAUUUAUAGGAUACAAUCUGAGCAAGUGAAUGAUCAAAGUAAUUAAGGACCAGUAACCAUCCCUUCACUUAUAGGACUUAUAGGAAUGUGGAAGAUUAAGGAUGGACAUCCACUAAGUUAAUUAUUCAUAACACUCCCCCUUGGAUGUCUAUCAUGAUAUGCAUCGUUAAAACCUCACUAAACAAAACCCCGUUGAAAAAAAAUUCUAGCAAAAGUUCUUAAAUUCACUUGAUAGUGAAAUAUGAAACUCCCUGAAGGAUUUCAUAUGAAAGAUGUGUUACAAUUUAUAUAUAUGGCUCACUUGAUAGUGAAAUAUGAAACUCCCUAUAAGAUUUCAUAUUUCACUAUGAAAAAGUUCUUGAAUUCACUUCUGGUGAAUAUAUCUGUAAAGAAUAUAUGUCUUUUAAAAAUAAAUGGUAGACAUUUACCCAUUCCUUCUUUGAACUUUCAAGAUAUCAUUGGUAUAUUAUUACCUAAAGUAAUAUUAAAAACACUCUCUUUUGAACACUCUCUAAUACUUAGAUUUAAAUCAUUGUGGGUGGGACAUCCCAACAAAGUGGUGGGAUAUCCCGUCAUCCAUCUCAACCAUCCCUCAUACCAUGCAGUCAUGGGCAUCCAGUCAUCCACUUAUACAAAAUGGUGGGACAUCCAGUCAUCCACAAACACACCACUCGUUUAGAGAUGAUACCGGUUCUUAUAGCCCUCACUCCUCACUCUUGGUACUUGAAUUGUAGACAUGUCUUCAGCAACAAUAAUAACUACAUUACUUUAUUUCCUUCUCUUCACUUUCACAUGCUUUUUAUUCAAACACUUCUUACAUCCAAAACAAAAAAACAUAAACCAUAAAAAGCCACCAGGUCCACCAACACUACCAAUAAUUGGAAACCUUCACCUAUUAGGUAAACUUCCACAUAGAACACUUCAAUCACUCUCCAAAAAAUAUGGUCCAAUCAUGUCCUUACAACUUGGUCAAGUUCCAACAAUUAUAAUUUCUUCUUCAAAAGCUGCAGAAUCAUUCCUCAAAACUCACGACAUCAAAUUUGCAAGCCGGCCAAAGAUUCAAGGAACUGAACUCAUAACAUAUUGAUGUGAUCCUAAAAAUUAUCUCUCUUGACAAGAAUAAUAAAGUCAUUGUGGAAUAAAAGAACCAAAUUAAUUUUGGGUUCAAAGUUUUAUUUUCGUAGGUCAUGAUAUGUCUGUCUUGUUUUGGCUAUAUCUGGAGCUCUGGAUGUCCGUUUGAGGUGAUCUUUAACUCGUUGGAAAGCUUACGAAAUUCUCUACAUUUCAUCUAUUUGAUUCAAGAUCAAAUUCGGAAUAUUUAAUGGUGUAAAAUGAGUUGUAAGUUGAAAACGUGGUUAAAGUGUGUAAGCUGAAGAAUUAAAGGUGUUUGUGGAAUUGUAACGUCUAGAAAUAAUUAGCCUUCACAAAUCAAUGUGCAAAUGAAUAUGUAACCUCCUCAUGCAUUGAUUAGCCACCAGCUUAGAGAGUCAUUUUGUAACAUUUUAUUUGCAUUAAUCAGCCACCAAAACAUUAUUGUAAUUAGUGGUUGCAUUUCCUUUCAUUUUCUAAGAGUUUUAGAGUCAAAAUCAUCAUGUAAUAAGCUCAUAUAAAUAGAGCACGAAAAUGAUAUGAAAAAGAAGUUGAAUAUUAUAGAAUUUUACACAUAUGUGUAUUGAGAGCUUUGUCUCUUGUGGUUCUGGAUUGAACCAACCUUGAUCUUAUCAAGAAAUCAUAUUUCUUGUGGCGAUCCUCGCAUCCAUAGACUUAUCACUUUCUUGGAUUAGAAAGUGUGGCGUCCCUGUCUAUCCAUUACAUUUCUUCAUUUUUUAGUCUUUUCAUCAUUUCCACCAACAAUAUUCAUAAUUCACUUCCGACGGCUCCGUGACAUUCAUCAUUUGGUAAUCAGAGCUUAGGUUCAAAUCAGGUGUUUUCUAUCCUUUUAAUUUAUUUGAUUUUUGUUGUUCUACAUCAAAGUUUGAAAAAAAAAAAUGUCUCAAGAAAUCCAAGCUUCAAUAGAAUAUUUUGAUAAAGUAUGGAGAGAGAAAAUGCUUGAGGAUAUCAAGAGGAGAUCAAGUCAUUCUUCUCCUCUUAAAGAGUUACAAAGAAAUAGGAGAGAGAAAAUGAUGGCAAUAAUUGAUAGAGGAAUGGCUGAUAUCUCUAAAAUACUAGAGGAAAAUCUCUUUCAAAUCCAAAAUCAUUAUAUAGAGCCUAAAAUAGAUAUUGAAGAAAAAGAGAGUCUCAUUGUAAAGGAAACUCACGAAGAAGAAUGUGAAAAGGAAAGAGAAGAGACAAAAGAAAGUGACGAAAAACAAGUAGAGGAAAAAGGAGAAGAAAAGGAGAAUGAGAAGGAAAAGGAAGAGAAAAAUGUUAGGAAGUUUUGGCCUACUAUUACAUUAGUACCUUCUUCUAAGUUGGUUUGUGUUUUUAAAUGUUGGGAUUCUUCUUCUAAUAUUAUUCAAUUGCCUAACAUUUCUUUAUGUCAUGAAGGAAACAAAGAGAAUGAAGAAACUUUUUCUCAACAAGUGGAAGAAAAUUAUGAGAUUUGGAACGAUGAUCAUGUCCAUAAAUCAAAAGUGGAUGAAAAGAAAACUAAUUCUUCCAAUAAAAGUGAAGAGCUCUCUAAAGUUAAAGUUACAUGUGAUGGAUUCCAUAGAUUUAUUUUUGACCCAGGAGGUAUUCAAGCUAUAAAUUCGAGGUCGAAUUCUCUUGAAGAGGGAGAGUAUGAUGUGAUCCUAAAAAUUAUCUCUCUUGACAAGAAUAAUAAAGUCAUUGUGGAAUAAAAGAACCAAAUUAAUUUUGGGUUCAAAGUUUUAUUUUCGUAGGUCAUGAUAUGUCUGUCUUGUUUUGGCUAUAUCUGGAGCUCUGGAUGUCCGUUUGAGGUGAUCUUUAACUCGUUGGAAAGCUUACGAAAUUCUCUACAUUUCAUCUAUUUGAUUCAAGAUCAAAUUCGGAAUAUUUAAUGGUGUAAAAUGAGUUGUAAGUUGAAAACGUGGUUAAAGUGUGUAAGCUGAAGAAUUAAAGGUGUUUGUGGAAUUGUAACGUCUAGAAAUAAUUAGCCUUCACAAAUCAAUGUGCAAAUGAAUAUGUAACCUCCUCAUGCAUUGAUUAGCCACCAGCUUAGAGAGUCAUUUUGUAACAUUUUAUUUGCAUUAAUCAGCCACCAAAACAUUAUUGUAAUUAGUGGUUGCAUUUCCUUUCAUUUUCUAAGAGUUUUAGAGUCAAAAUCAUCAUGUAAUAAGCUCAUAUAAAUAGAGCACGAAAAUGAUAUGAAAAAGAAGUUGAAUAUUAUAGAAUUUUACACAUAUGUGUAUUGAGAGCUUUGUCUCUUGUGGUUCUGGAUUGAACCAACCUUGAUCUUAUCAAGAAAUCAUAUUUCUUGUGGUGAUCCUCGCAUCCAUAGACUUAUCACUUUCUUGGAUUAGAAAGUGUGGCGUCCCUGUCUAUCCAUUACAUUUCUUCAUUUUUUAGUCUUUUCAUCAUUUCCACCAACAAUAUUCAUAAUUCACUUCCGACGGCUCCGUGACAUUCAUCACAUAUGGUUCCAAAGGGUUGGCUUUUUCUAAGUAUGGUCCUUAUUGGCGUAGUGUGAGGAAACUUUGCACUUUAAAACUUCUUAGUGCUUCAAAAGUUGAGAUGUUUGGUUCUAUUAGGAAGGAAAAGUUGGAUGUUUUGAUUAAGUCAUUGGAGAAAGCUGCUUUGGUGAGUGAGGUUGUGAAUGUUAGUGAGGUUGUAGAGAAUCUUAUUGAGGAUAUUGUGUAUAAGAUGAUAUUGGGUCGGAGCAAGUAUGAUCAAUUUGACUUAAAGAGGGUGGUUCAAGACGUAUUGGCUUUGGUUGGAGCUUUUAAUCUGGCUGAUUAUGUUCCUUGGCUAGGUGUAUUUGAUCUUCAGGUAAUUUUUUCAAGUAUAAAAUCAAAAAUAAAGGAUUAAAUAUCGAAUGUGCAAUUUUAGUCAUGAUCUUUUUAAUUGUACGACUUUGUUCUGUAAAUAUUGUUGUGAGAUAUUAGUCUCCACUUUUAAUCCUAAGCAUCAUCAAACAUCAUGGUUGUUUGUAAUUGAAAAGAGAAUGGUAAAUUGCAUGACACUAGCCAUCAUGAAUAAUUAUGAUGUACGAAUCAAGGGUACUUCUGGUUGGUGUUAGAGGGAGAGGGGGUCUUUAGAGGCCAUGGUCUGGUCCCUCCUAUAUUUUUAAUAAUUUUUUUAUUUAUAUACUAUAAUUAAACUAUAUUAUAAUAUUUCAUAAAAUAUAUUAGGCUAUAGUCCCCUCAAUUGAUUUAAUUAAAACGUUCACCAUAUUAUUAGAUUUAUUGACAACUAGUAUUAUUAGUUUGAUAUGUUAUAUUUUAUUUUAAAUUAUCUCACAUUGUCCUUUCCUCAACAUAUUUUAAAUGGAAUAAAACACAAUGAUAUAGCGUUGCAAAAUAAAAGGUGAUUACAAUUAUUACCUUUUUUGAUAGUAAAUGGAUGGAUAAAUAAAUGUUAAAGACGAGUUAAUGUUAUGCUUAUAUGCAUUUGUAUAUAUUUUGACUAUAAAUUUAGAUCUUUACGAAUAAUAUUAAUAUUUUAUUUAAUUAUAAUAAAUAAAUUAAUAUAUGUGUAGUGGUGUCAAUGUCCUAAGUUAUUUACAUUAAUAGUGUUGACGUGUCAGGUGUUCGAGUCAAAGUCCAUGCUUCAUAGAUUAAGUGGUUUGAGUUAUGUAGGUUUUGAUUUUGUAACAUCAAGAAACUUGAUUUAAAUUUGACUAAGAGUUGUAAAAUGAAUAUUAGUGUCACCGUUAUUGAUAAUAAUUUUUUUAAAUGAUAAAUAACAUUUAAAUCAAAAAUAAAAAUCAUAUUUUAAUUUUGUGUGUUUUCAAUUUUUGUAUGCUCAUAUGGUUCUGUUAAAUUAGGUGAAAAUAUUAAAUUAGCAAUUGACAUUAUUAAUUUAACACUUUGUAUAGGGAUUAACACGAGCAUGCAAGGAAACGGGUAAAGCAAUUGAUGAGGUGUUGGAAGUUAUUUUAACAGAGCAUGAACAAACCACUAAUGUAGACAAAAAUCGCCAUGAAGACUUUGUUGACAUACUUCUUACAUUUAUGCACCAAACCAUUGAUCUAGAAAAUGAAGAAAAUCAUUUCAUUGAUCGAACUAACAUCAAGGCAAUUUUACUAGACUUGACUGUGGCAGCAAUUGAUACAUCUGCUACCGUGAUUGAAUGGGCUUUAUCCGAACUUCUAAGACAUCCAAGGGUAAUGAAAAUCCUUCAAGAUGAGAUACAAAAUGAAGUAGGAAAUGAAAGAAUGAUUGAAGAGAAAGAUUUAGAGAACUUAAGUUACUUAGAGAUGGUGGUUCAUGAAACUUUAAGACUUUACCCUGUUGCACCCUUAUUACUCCCUCGUGAAUGUAGAGAGAGUGUAACAAUUGAUGGAUAUUUUAUAAAGGAAAAGACUCGAGUUAUAGUAAAUGCAUGGGCUAUAGGGAGAGAUUCAAAUGUUUGGUCAGAAAAUGCCGAAGAAUUUUACCCAGAGAGAUUCAUUGGCAAGAAAAUGAAUUAUCAAGGACAAGAGUUUGAAUCUCUACCAUUUGGUUCUGGCCGCAGACGUUGUCCUGGAAUUCAAUCGGGUUUAGUGACCGUUAAGUUGGUUAUUGCCCAAUUGGUGCAUUGUUUUGAUUGGGAACUUCCAUAUAAUAUCAGUCCUUCCAAUUUGAAUAUGGAGGAGAAAUUUGGACUCACUAUACCAAGAGCUCAACACUUGCAUGUAAUACCGACUUAUCGUUUGGCAUGUGAUGACAGGGUUGAAUAGGUUCAAGAAGGACAAUAUUAUGCUUGUAUGCAAUAAGUUUAUUACUAUAUUAAAGGACAAUCUUAAAACCCUCUUUUAUUCUACUAACCCUCUCUCAUCAUGUUUUUUGUAACUUGGUUUCGAAUCCGUACGCGGGUUCGCUGGAUUGCGCUCAUGGUGAGAGUUAGUUUGUUAGGAUUGAUUAGGGUAGUUUCAUUUUUCUGUUUUACACGAUGUAUUUCCGUUUGGGUUAUUUCUGGGUCAGGUGCAAUGUCCCCCCAGCUCUUUACCUUUUGUUCUUUUAUGUUAUUUUAUUUCUAUUUUUGCUAUAAAAAAAAAAAAAAAAGUAUAGUAGGUCUAAUGGUAUUUUUCGAUGAUUCUAGGGUGAAGAGAACUAGACUUGCUUUUCUACAUUUGAGCACAUACUUUAAAUAAUUUGAAGGAGCAUUUAUACUUUAAAAUAGACUACAUAAACAAAAUGGAUGAUUUUCAUACUAUUUGUUAAAAUUAAAAAUUAUUUUUCAAAACUAGAUAUCAUAAACUUUCCAGUAAAUGGUCAGUUGCUUAAUUCUGACACCGUUUUCUAUAUUAAUAUAAUCGAUGAAGUUUAUGAUAAAAUGCAGAAAAAUGUGAGAAAAUGAUCAAUAAUUAAAGUAUGCAUACCAUAUUAUUUAUAUUUUCAUACAGGUUGCAAAAUGAUUUCUGUUAUCAAAAUAUGUUUUGAGCUAUGAGUUCCUUAGAAGACUAGACAAAAUAAGGAACCAAGUUGUGAGCCUCCCAUUUAUGGGGAGGACAAGUUCCAUGUCCCAGCAUACUAACUUAUUUAACUUAAUGUUUUAAUUUACUUUAAGAAGAUAUUUAAUUGCAUUUGCACCCAAAACCAAUGUCUUAGUGUUCAAGAGUUUUAGAGUUUGAAAUUCAUAGCACUAUUUAGAUGAUGCGAUGUGAAGGUACGAACUUAAUAAAUAAAGACAGUGAAAUGUUUGUUGUAAUUUAAACCUUCAACAGGUAAGGGGACCUACUCACAUGCUAAGAAUAAUAGAUAUGUUUGGUUAUAUAUACCGUUGGUGUACACAUCUGAUGCGGUGUAUUCUAUGAUUCUUGUAUACACAGGUCAUUAGUUUAUUACUAUAAAUAUAAUAAUUUUUUGUUUUAAUUUCUCUAAAUUUGUUUUUUGAUUGUUAGUUAUGAAAAAUAUUUUAAUCACCAUUUUUUUUUUAAAGAAAUAUGAUUAUAACAUUUCAUUAAUAAUAAAAGAUUCAAUACAAUCAGGUAUGUUAAAAUAAACAAUGAGACUAGUUAGAAACGUGACUUCUCUUACAAGCACAUGAGCAACCAUAUUUGUUUGUCGCCUAGCAAACUCCAUAGAGUUGGUAAAAGAAGAGCUGAAUAGAGAUCGACAAGAAGAAAUAAUGCAUGCAAAUCCAGAAAUGUCGUCUCGAGUAAUCUUGGAAUCAGUUUCAAAAUCAACAUUAUUUAUCAAAUUGCAUAUCACUCAACCAGUGCAUAGCACUAUGUAACAUGAAUGCUUCACCAACAUCAACCGAGUAAAUACAUGGAAAACUGGCAACUUUUGCCAAGACAAACGCACCUUCAAAAUCCCGAACACAAAUGUCAAUUCUAGUUUGGUUAAGAUUAGAUGAGAACGCAACAUUGAUGUUACACUUAUACCUACCUGACAAAGGACGUUCCCAGCAAUUGGAACCCGCGGGUCCUGUACUGCUAAUUGUAUCCAAAGUUGCGGCCGAAUGCUCCCCACCAUGAGGUUGUUGCGCUUGCUGCUGAGUUGUGGGAGCAGCUAUGCUAGAGGCAUUUGCAAGAUGCCAAUCGUUGACAAGUUCUUUGCACGCUCAACAAUCGUGGCACUUACCUAUAUGACAUCAUCCCAAACUUUUAGAUUACCAUGCUUCCAAAGGCUCCAUAAUGUUGCUGCCAACCGUUGGUUUUGUUCGGAAUAUAAUGUAUCCAAUAACAAAAUGAUAGUUUCAGUUGUUAAAGUAGUAAAUUGAAUAGCAUGUUGAAUAGCUCCCCAAAUAUUUGUCAUAUGCCAUACCUGGACAUGAUCAAAAGAACAAUAAAAAUAAUUAAGUGAGCAAGAUCCUCAUGGUUUGAGUUACAACUAACACAAUGUGUAGGACAUUGGAUUCCUUUAUCAAGGAGACGAACACGAGUCGGUAAGUAGCCCCGGCACAUACGCCGCACUAAAUUUUUAACUUUAGGAGGAACCUUAACCUGCAAAAUUCCUGACCAAGAACCUGGACAACGAGAAUGAGAAGAAACAACGGGCUCGUCCAAACAAAGCGGAUAAUCACUACACACAGAAUAACGACUAUUCUUUUCCGCUUUCCAGAUUAAACGAUCAUCUUGGAACUAGGCAAUAAGUGGCGUGUUAAAAAUCUUAUCAGCUAUAUCAACACUAAGAACCUAGCGAACUACCUCUUCAUUCCAGCUCUAGUCGUAUAGAUUAAUCAAAUUAUUAAUGGUAACAUUCUAACCAAAACGAGCUCCUAUAAUACUUCCAUCAAUACACUCUCCGUCAGAUAACCAAGGGUCAUUCAAAAUAGAAAUAGAAGAGCCGAAAUCAAUACUCCACCAAGCACCUCCACAAACGAUAAAUCGGGUGCGCAGAAUGUUGUGCCACACAUAGCUAGGAUUGUGGCCAAGUUGUGCCAUGAGAUAGGUAUGGAAGGGAAAAUAUUGUGCUUUAAAAAUACAAGCGACAUGAGAGUCAGGUUCCAUAAGAAAUUCCUAACCUUGUUUACCCAACAUAGCCAAGUUGAAAGCGGGGAGGUCCUUAAAACCCAUUCCCCUAUGAACCUUGUGUACUAACAACUUCUCCCAACUCAUACAGCUAAUAUUGCGUUGUGUAGUUCUACCAUGACGCCACCAGAAGGAAUUCAUCAUCUCUUCGAUACUGUUAAUUAACGUAAUUGGUGAUAAAAAAAUGCUCAUAACAUAAAAAGGAAUGACCUGCAAGACAAAUUUAAUCAUAACCUCACGCCCUGCCUUAAUUAGUUAAGCAUUUACUACUCUAGGAAUUAAUUUUCUGCCAAACUCGAUCUUUGAUAUAAGCAAAAGUUGCAUUUCGAUCCCUAUACCAAUCAUAGAUGGUAAACCAAAUAUUUGCCGAUUCCCAAUAUCGCCUGAACCCGAAGAAUGUUAGUAAGAGUCAGUUUGAGAAGGUCAGGAACAUUUCGACUACAAUAAGUUUCAGACUUAGGCAAACUAAUGGCAUGGCCUGAAGUUAAUUCACGUUUAAUCACCAAUUUUAGUCCUUACUUUUAAGUCAAUUCAUAUGUAUCAUUCAUGUUUUUUAAUGAAAAUUACCAAGAAUGUUUACAAUAUUAUAAGAAUCUCUUCAAAAAAAACAAUAAUUUAGAAAGAAAAAAAAAAGAAUUAUAUAUGUAUUUGUAUGUACCAAAAACAUAAAAAAUAAAAUCAUGUUUGUUAAAAAAUUCUAAAUUUGUUUGGAAGAUAUUCUUAUAAUUGUUGAUAUAAAAUCUAAAUCCCCAUUUUUAGUUUUAAAGAUAACAAACUAAUUAAAUUAAACUUUAUUAAUUCUGAUUUUAAUUGUUAUAUAACUUGUGCUCUUGAGUAUCUUUUUUAAGUUAAAGGUAUAAAAGCAUUGUACAAUUAUCAAGGAAAGCAACAAGUUAUGAUGGAGAGAUUGAUCUCAAGCAUUGGUUUCAAAUAUGGAUUUAAUGUUCAAAUAAGGCCAAGCACGUACAGGGAAAUGGAAUGUUACAUUUGAGGAAGCAAUAAAUAUUUCAAGCAUAAACUAUAUCAUGACAAGGAAAUAUUAUUUGAAGCUUACUACAAAUGAACAUAUGAACAAAAAGAACAUAUUUAAUGUCAUGUGCAAAAAUAGUUGGCAUGAGAAUGACCACUAUAUUUUCGACAACACAUCAAGAGUGUAAGACAAAUACAAAACUAUGAACCUUUGGAUAUUCACUUUAUGGUCACCUCACAACAUGACAAGAAAGCUGCCUAGUACAAGAAAAGCCUUUUCUUUGGGCUCAAGUCUUAUGGUACAGCAACAAGUGAAAAGGAAAUGAGCUGUACAAAGCUCAUGUCUCACGUAGCAAGCAACAAAGUACAAAGGAAAGCUUCAGCAGAUUUAGAGAUCGAUCUCAACUUUGAAAGGAACAGUUCCAUCUCAAAGGCUCCCUUGAAUCUUGUGCUGCAAGAAAGGAAGAAUUUAACAAGGGUUUUUCUCCUAUAAAUAGAAGACUCCAGCAAGUGAGAAAAACAACUUUUGAGCAAAAGAAAAAAGACAACAUUCUUUAAGAAUUUCUUUGUUUACAAAUCACUCAAGAAUCAUAUCUUUGUUUUGAGCAAGCAGCUCUUUUGUGUAUUAAAUCUUUGAAGAAGUUUAAUACUUUCAAAUACUAUUGUAAAAGAAUCUGCAAGUGUGCAGAAAGGUUGUAAAAAUUCUUGCUCGUAACGGCAAGUGACUUGACCAAGUGAAGGUUGAAAGAAAGUGUUGUAUAGAUCAGAAAGAUCUAAAAAGAAAGAAGGAAUUGAGAUUAAGUCAUAACUCAAUUACCUAGUGGAAAAUCUCACAAGUAUUGUGGGGACUGGACUAACCCACGUUGGGUGAACCAGGAUAACUCUUUUUGUGUGAUCCUUCUUCCUUAUCUAUUUUUAUUUGCACUAAUCACACACCUUCACUAUAUCUAUUUAAAAUUCCAUUUAAAUCACUAACGUUUUUUUGUUGAGAAUUUUUAAUAGGUAAUUUUUAUUACAUCACAAUUCAAACCCCCUUUCUUGUGAUAAUUAUUUAUCUUCAAUAAUACUUUAUGAAUUUCUGAAAAUUUAAUUAAAAAAUAUGAAGACUACACAAGAGUUCACUUAAAAGUAGAGAUCAGAAGUAUUGAUGAAAAUUUUAAGAAGACUAAAUAUUGAAGAAAUUUUUAGAGGAACUAAAACUAAAAAUUAAUAUAUUUAUAAGGACUAAAAACAUAUUUAACCAUAUCUUUUAUUCUCUAUUCAAAAUAUACCGUAUUAGAUUGCUUUCUUUAAAGAUUAUCGAUAUAAAACAUAAUUAAAAAUUAAUAAUUAAAUAUAAGUGGUUUCAUAGCCAGUAGUAAUAUAUUCAUUUUGAUGUCUUAAAAAAAAUAUUAAUAAUUAAAUAUAAAUAUAAAGAGAAAAGCAUUUCUUUAUGAUGGGAAAGAAAAAAAAAUGUAUCAUGUGUCAAAACUCAACUCAUUUUAUUUUUCAACAAUAUUCUUCUCAUAUAAUUGUAAUGUUUAUACAUUUUAUUUUACCAUCAAUAUUCUUUUUUUACCGCCAUGAGAAUUACACCGACCAAGGAAACAUGUGGUCCCCGCCCAUAUCGCCAAAAUAACGUUGUCCAUUCUUUUUUUAAUGAAAUACAUGUAGAUUUGACUUUGUAUGGAGAGGUGGAGUUGUGGGACGCCUCAUCUAUGUUAGCUUGCUCACUACUCUCCACCUCAUCCACAUUCAGUCAGUCACCCACUACCUCAUAUGAUCAACUCUAUAAAUAUGGGGAUUUCCGGCCUCCAUAAUUCAUUCACUCCUUCUUACCAAAAAAACACUAAUAACCUAAGAGCUCCUCACUGUCAUCACCAUGGCCAGGAGGGUCUCUACUACUGUACACAGAACAAGUACAUUUUUAAUUUAUUUUUAGGCAAAUUCUAUGGUACACCUAAUAUAUUUGAGUGUAUCAGUACACUCACUCUUUAAAUUAAUGGUUAAAUGAGUUGUAUUUUGAAGAAAAAUAUUAUUUUCUAUCAUUUAUAUUUAUAAUAACUAAAUCUUAUUCGUCAGAAGUGUUAACGAAAUAAAAUUAAUUUUUUUUUUGAAUUUUUAGCACUCAUAAUUGAGAAUAUUGAUUAUAUUUUACGAUUAUAUGUAAAAAAAAUUAUUAUGAUUCCUAUAAACAAUGAACUGAUGUUUUUUCUUAUGAAAUAUAAAUAUUGAUAAAUAGUUAUUUAUUUCAUAAAAAACGAUCGUUAAUUUAUAAAAUUAUGAAGAAAGAGUACCGGUACACCUCAUUUUAUGAGUGUACCGUAAAAGUUCCCUUAUUUUUAUUGGAAAAAGGAAAUUAUUAAUAAUGGUGACAUCAAUGAACAUAUUACAAUUGUCCCACGUUGGGUUUGGACCAAUAUUUCAUUUGUGAUUACAGUAAAUCUCUUUCCACAGAUGUUGGACAUAAUAUCAAAUGUAAUAAUCAAACAUAUACUCUCUCCGUCCCAAAAUAUAAGCAAAAAUAGUUUAAACCAAAUACAUUAACUUUUGUUGUCUAAUUUUUGUUUACAUUUUGGGACGGGAAGAAAUACUCGUUUAUAAUUAGAAUAUUUUAUUUUAUAUAAAAAAAUGAUCAUUCAAAUUGAUUGUGUACAUCCGAUACAAACAUAAAUUCAGCAUUUCUAAAAAUGAAAAUAAAUUUAAGAAUAAACUCACAUCAUCCAAAUUAAUACCAUAAAACAACAACAAAAAUUAUAAAUAAUGUGACAAAAUUAAAGGAAUUGGAAUAUUCAUGUAUUCAAAUCUGCAAUUGACGACUUAAUCAUUUGUUGAAUCAGAAAUUGUUUGAAGUUGAUAUGUUUAUCUAAGUCAAAUGAACACUACACCCAGAUGAAAAUUCAAACAAACACUACAUCAAAACGAGAAAUCAAACAACGUCGCACUGAGAUGACGAAAUCAUAAAAGAAACUUAGGAAAAAUAUGUACUUUAUAGAAAUAUCUUCAAGUUCGCGCAUUGUACAUCUUUGUUUUUUUCCUUCAAAUCUGUUAGAAUAUUCCUAGGCGCCGCCAAACUCUUUGUCAUGUCGAUAACCUUUUCUUCUCCUCCGCUUUUAGUCUACCUGCAAGAAGGUGGCCGUCUAACUUUGGCGCCAACUCAUGGUUGUGCAUUCCACAAAGCAUUGCAAUCCACCAAUCUUUUGUAUCCUUAUCAAAGAAACCUUGCAACCUAAGCGAACAUUCCCAUUUCCUUGAGCCCGUGUCUUCAAGGUUUGGUUUCUUCCUCGUCUUAGGUGGCUUGUAUUCACCACUGCUUUCACAUUGUGUCGUCAAAUAUGACCUUUUUAAACUAGAUUUAUCUAUAAAAAUAGUAAAUCCGGCCCUUGCCACUUGUGGCCAACCUAACCAAGUAAAUCUUCUCGGUCUUUCCAUCUUUUAUUUGUUGUAAAAAACGAGUCGGUGUCUACUUCAAUACCACGAUCAUUGGUAGCCAUUUGUCAUGGUCUGACCUCUAUAAUAUAUUGUCUACAACAAUCACUAUAUACAUGUAAUUUUUUUUUUUUUAAAUUCAUUAAAUAAUUAUUAUAUCUAAUUUAUUUAUAAAUGAGAUACAUUAAUUAUUCAAUAAAACUAAAAAAUUAUUUUUUACUUGUAUAUUUAACCGACUAAGAAUGGAAGGUGGAUCCAGUUUUUGAGGGAUGAAUCCAUUCAUCUGCAGUGUCUACCUUUACUUCUUCAAUUUAAUUUCUUUGUAUAGUUAGUCUUAAAAAAGUUAUGUAGCGAAAUAGUUCAAUCUAUUUGAAUUAAUGGUUUAAAGGAAUUAAGGAGUUAAAAAUCUUGGUUCAAGUCUUAUAAGAAAAUAAAUUAACAUAGGCUUAAAUGCUCUUUUGGUCCCUUAACUAUUUAAUUGGUAUCGCUUUGGUCCAUUAACUAAAAAAAAGAUUGUUUGAGGAUUUUAAAUUUUUUUUAAGUCUCGUUUUGGUCCCUUCGGUUAGGUUUCCGUUAGUUUUAAUAAAAAACGUUAAGUGUGGACACAUGUCACCUUGUCAUUGGUUCUGAGAUUUUUUUUUUACAAAAAAAAUAAUAAUUUUUUUUGUAAAAAAAAAAAAAAAAACUCAGAGCCAAUGACAAGGUGACACUUGUCCAAGAGUUAACUUUUUUUAAAACCCUAACGGAAACCUAACAGAAGGGACCAAAACGAGACUAAAAAAAAACUUAAAGUCCUCAAACAAUCUUUUUUUUAGUUAAGGGACCAAAGCGAUACCAAUUAAAUAGUUAAGGGACCAAAAGAGCAUUUAAGCCAAUUAACAUAUUUGAUAUUUGUCAUUUUCUUUGAAGGAUUGAUAUUUGUCAUUUAAAAAUACUUUCUAUUAAGGAGAAAAAUACUUCAAUUAACAUAAUCAUAUUUUAUCAUAUCUUCUUGAGCUUAGCUCAGUUGAUAGAAACAAUGUAUAAUAUAUGCAAGGUUUGAGUCAAACCUCGACCACCACAAAAAAUAAAUCAUAUUUUACCAUCACGUCAUUUUAUUAUAUUAGUUUACUGUAAAUAUAUUUUAAAAGAAUUCAUGAAAAUCCCCUAAAAAAAGAAUUCAUAAAUCUUCUCCUACAUAAUAUAAUAUAUAUAUUGUAAAACAUGAUUCAACUUAUAUGUAAGUUUUUGUUAACGGAAAGCGAUACCAAUUAAACAAAUCAAAAUUAUUUGUUUCCACCUUUAUUUAACUAAUAAUUAUUCUAUCACUUGCACGGCUGCACCAUCUUCAAAUCCUCAAUCAAGCAACACUAAUAAUUCUUUAUAGUUCUCAUCCUUAGAACUUAGAUCCAAAGAAUUCACUGUAAACAUGUUUUCAACAACAAUAAUAAUUCCUUUCAUUCUCUUCACUUUCACAUACCUUUUAUUCAAAUUCUACUUACGUGAAAAACAAAACACCAUAAAUCAUAAAAAACCACCAGGUCCACCAACACUACCAAUAAUAGGAAACCUUCACAUGUUAGGUAAACUUCCACAUAGAACACUUCAAUCACUGUCCAAAAAAUAUGGUUCAAUCAUGUCCUUACAACUUGGUCAAGUUCCAACAAUUGUUAUUUCAUCUUCAAAAGCUGCAGAAUCAUUCCUCAAAACUCAUGACAUCAAUUUUGCAAGUCGGCCAAAGACUCAAGCAUCUCAGCUCAUUUUUUAUGGUUCCAAAGGGUUGGCUUUUUCUGAGUAUGGUCCUUAUUGGCGUAGUGUAAAGAAACUUUGCACUUUGAAACUUCUUAGUGCUUCAAAAGUUGAGAUGUUUGGUCCUAUUAGGAAGAAGGAGUUGGAUGUUUUGGUUAAGUCAUUAGAGAAAGUUGUUUUGGUAGGUGAGGUUGUGAAUGUUAGUGAGAUUGUAGAGAAUCUUAUUGAAGAUAUUGUGUAUAAGAUGAUAUUGGGUAGGGGUAAGUAUGAGCAAUUUGAUUUAAAGAAGUUGGUUCAAGAAGGAAUGGCUAUGCUUGGAGCUUUUAAUCUGGCUGAUUAUGUUUCUUGGUUAGGUCCUUUUGAUCUUCAGGUAUGUGUGUAAAAGUUGAAGAAAUUAGUUACCUAUUGACUUGAUUUUAUUUUAAGUCUCUUAAGUAUCGUAGCUGUACAUUUUUCAUUGGUCACUUUAUUAUAUUGCACAGUUUUGGGUCCUUCAUGUUUUUUCCUCUUAUGUAUUAAUUGAGGGGUCCUUCAAUAUUUUAGUAUUACAAGGGAGAAAAUAGGGAAGAAAAAAAAAGAGGAUCAUGUAAUUGAACAACACAAUAACACUAGGACACAAUAACACUAGGGUUACCGUCUUUUUUUUCUUCUUUCAAAUAUAUACGUAUGUGAAGAAACUAGACAUUGCAAGUUUAAAUUUAUGUUCUAAGGUGUUCCACAAAUCCUGCGUUAACUUGUAACCUCGUACAACUCGUACAAAUUUACGUUUUUAUGUGUCAAAAAUAUGUUAAGAGCAUGUUUGGCCCUGCUUAUUUGCCACUUAUCUUUUACUUCUAAAGAGAAGUGGGGCCAAACAUAAUUUUGAUAAAGCUCUUAAUAAUAGAAGUGACUUUUUUGUAAAGAAGGAAAUCCAACAAAAGUGACUUUGAAAAUAAGAUAAAAAAAUGAGCUUUGAGAGUGACUUUUCGGAGGUUAUACCUGCUUUUCCUCCUUCGAUUCCCGCAAGCCACUAUAUUUUUUAUUUUAUUAUUAUUUCUGGCAAAUCGGAGGUAAAUUUGAUUUUUGGUGAAAUUGAAUGUUUGACAAGUUUGACCAAGUUAACACAUGUUAAAUUCGGUAAAUUAGAUCGAGUUUAUGAGUUUACUUUUUUUUUUGGCAAACACUUUUUAUAUUUUUUAUUUUUUAUUUUUGGUCCCACUAUGUAAAUCUUAGAAAAUCAAUGUCAUGACGACCAUGUCCCUUAAUUAAUUCUAAAUUUGAGUAAAAAUAAUGGACUACAUAAAGUGACAGAAAAUGGAGGGAUUUGAGGAUUUGUGUGUUGACUUUCACUUUAGUCUCUAGAUCCAUGUUACACAUCCUUGUCGGCAUUUAACGGUCAAUUUUAACGUCAAGCACUAAACUAACCAACGGAGGUAAACAUCCGGGGACCAUUUUGCAUUUUAUCAUAAGUCAAGAUUAUUGUAACAGUGAGGUGCAAAGUCAGAGACUAAAAUGAUUAUUUCUUCAUUUUUUUAUUGUUCCAGUAAGGUAUGUAAAAAUAUCCAAUUAGUAAUUGUCAUUCUUAAUUUAACACUUUGCUAGGGAUUUACACGAACCUGCAAGAAAACCGGUAAAGCACUUGAUGAGGUAUUGGAGAUGAUAAUUACAGAGCAUGAACAAAGCACUAAUGUAGACAAAGUUCGUCAUGAAGAUUUCAUUGAUAUACUUCUCUCAAUUGUGCACCAAACGGUAGAUCCAGAAAAUGAACAAAGUGGUGUUAUUGACAGAACUAACAUCAAGGCAAUUUUACUAGACAUGAUUGUGGCAGGAAUUGAUACAGCCACUACCACGAUUGAGUGGGCUUUAUCUGAACUUUUCAGACAUCCAAGAGUGAUGAAAAAGCUUCAAGAUGAGAUACAAAAUGAAGUAGGAAAUAAAAGAAUGGUCGAAGAGAAUGAUUUGAAGAAGUUGAAUUACUUAGAUAUGGUGGUUGAUGAGACAUUAAGACUUUACCCUGUUGGACCCUUAUUACUUCCUCGUGAAUGUAGAGAAAGCAUAACAAUUGAUGGAUAUUUUAUAAAGGAAAAGACACGAGUUAUAGUAAAUGCAUGGGCUAUAGGGAGAGAUUCAAAUAUUUGGUUAGAAAACGCUGAUGAGUUUUAUCCAGAGAGAUUUAGUGAUAAGAAAAUGAAUUAUCAAGGACAGCAAUUUGAAUCUAUACCAUUUGGUUCAGGUCGUAGACGUUGUCCUGGGAUUCAAUUGGGUUUGGUUACGGUUAGAUUUGUUGUAGCUCAAUUGGUGCAUUGCUUUAAUUGGGAACUUCCACAUAAUAUUAGCCCUUCCAAUUUGAAUAUGGAAGAGAAAUUUGGAGUCACUAUACCAAGGGCUCAACAUUUGCACGCAAUACCGAGUUAUCGUUUGGAAUGUGAUGAGAAGCUUGAAUAGGUCCAUAAAGGACAUUAUUAUGCUUGUAUUCAACAAGUUUAUUACUAGUAAAGAUGUUAUAAGUUGGUCUAAUGGUGCUUGAAUAGAAUAAGUUAAUGAGUAUUGCUAGUUUUUAUUAUAUGUUAAUAGCCAACAUAUGAAUAAAUUAGGAGUGAAGAAAUUAGAGAAAUUAUCAGUUAAUUGCUUAUUGAAUAAGUGUUUAUCAUACAAGUGUUUAUGUAUAUGAUCAGUUAUUCCAAUAAUUAAAGUGAUAAUCCGGUCCACUAUUUUCAACUAACUUGUAACUGAUUUUCUUAAAUUUGUCAUAGAGUGCUAAUUCAACCUAUGACAUCAGGUUCACAAUGGUAUGAAGAAUUAGUUCACUGGUUUAUGCUUGCUUUGUAAUUGUUUUUAGAAAUUUGAAUUAAUAAUAGUCUCAAUUUUAAUUUCAUAAUAAUCAUGAGUAGAGAAUAAUGCCCAGUACCUUAUUGUAAUGAUACCAAAGUUUGGGUUUGGAAUCUCUCCGGUGGUCACACGAGAGUCCAGUGAAAUCUUGUCCAUUAAAAAUUAAUGUAUAUGAGAAUUUUAAAUGUUGAAAAUAAAAGAGAAGACAAUUAAUGGUGCAGAUUGUAUCACUGCAGAAAACUGGAGAGAUUUUCACAGGAGGAAAUCCAUUUCCCCAAAAUUUUAUUUGGAUUUGUUAGUUCAAGACAACUUUUAGGUUGUGAAAGUAUAAAUACAGAUUUUCAUGCAAUUAUAACAUAAGGGAUGCCUAAAAUUCUAGAAAUUAGAGGAACAAAUAAAUAAUUUGAUUAGAGGAAAUAUUGGAAGUAGUGUUUUCAUAGUACUGAAUAGUUUGAUUCACCAUAAAAAACUCCAUCAAUUUUAAAAAUUUAUCAUUAGCUGAGUUAAGGUUUGUAUCUCUGUUUCUUUGAUUAACUUCAUCUUAUUUGUCGUUCUACAAUCUCCAUAGUAACAUUCUAGUUUUGUUGUCAUGUGUGAUAUGUUGUGUUAAAAAAGCUUUAGAAUUUGAAGGUCUACCUCAUUUCUAGAAUUGAUAUUAGCAUGUUUGUGCAAGCGGUUGAUUUAUCAAUUCAGUGAUAAAAACCCACGUUUGAAGAGAAGCUACCUUUUGAAGCUUCUUUAAAUCACGUCUUUCCAGCACACUGGCGGCCGUACGUACGUCCGCUNNNNNNNNNNNNNNNNNNNNNNNNNNNNNNNNNNNNNNNNNNNNNNNNNNNNNNNNNNNNNNNNNNNNNNNNNNNNNNNNNNNNNNNNNNNNNNNNNNNNGGAGACAUCCCAGACACUUGGCAUGAUCAUGAUUGAACAGAGAAGCUUUGCACAGCUUGAUGUGUAGAGGUACCAGAGGAGUUGCGACGUUGCGGACAUCAAGUCUCGGAGCUUCUUCACACACUUCGAUCAUAUUCACAGCGGCAUGAUUUGGUAGCGGAUUGUCGAGGACAUGUGGGACAUUAUUCUCAAAAGUCAGCUUCCCUUGAUCGAUGAGCUUCUUCACGAUAUACUUCAAAGCAUAACACCCCUCGACGUCAUGACCCAAGGCACCUUGAUGAAAGUCACAUUUGAGAUCAGACCUGAACCUUGGAGGCAACGGAUCAGGUGGGGGCUUACCCUGUCUAGUUGUACAAUGACCUCUCUGGAGUAGAGUUGGAAGAAGUUCUGCAUACAACAUUGGUAUAGGAGGGAAGGUUGGCCUGGCUUGCUGAUUUUGUUGUUGUUGUUGAACCGGCAUCUGUUGUUUCAUCUGUUGGGCAAUUGCAUUGACGGGCACUUGAGGCUGGCCCGGCGGCAAAGGGUACUGAUGAUAAAACGGUGGGAAGAACGGAUGCUGAGAAUACGGCAUAUAUGGGUAUGACGGAGGCAUUUGAGCUGCAUUGAUAGGAGCAACAGUAGCCAUUGAUUGCCCGGCUCCAGCUGACACCAUCCCCACUUCCGUUUCUUUCUUUUUGUGGUGUCCAUUACCAUAUCUCUUCGACGCAUUCACAGAGGAUUCAGCUUUCUCAAACACGAUGAUUCCAUCCCUUACGGCUUCCUCAAGACGGGUUCCCAUGGUGACCAUCUCCGAAAAGUUGUUCGGGGCAGCGAUGAUCAUCCUCUCAACAUAAUCUUUCUUCAACGUUUUUAAGAACGUCUGGGUCAUUUCUUCCUCAUCUAAAGCAGGAGUGAUACGGGCAGCCGCCCCUCUCCACCUUUGCGCAUAUUCACGGAAACUUUCCUCCUUCUUCUGAGAUAGGGACCUGAGAAACUCCCUAUUUGGCCUCAGUCGAGUGUUAAACCCAUAAUGGCUCUUGAAAGCGGUGGCUAACUCAUCAAAGGUAUGGAUGUCAUUCUUACUCAAACUAGUAUACCACUCUGCGGCAUCCUCCAUCAGACUAUCCUGAAAACAGUGGAUCAUAAGGGAAUCAUUGUCUUUGUAAUUGCCCAUCUUCCGGACGUAUUUGAUGAUGUGAUUUUGAGGACAAGUUAGCCCGUUGUACCGGUCGAAGUCCGGAAUCUUGAACUUUUUAGGAACAUCCACUUUUGACACUAAGCAAAGGUCUUGAGUUUUGACAGAGUUUGCACUCCCUCGAUUGGCCUGGAUCUCGUGACGGAGUUCUUUAGCAAGUUCCUCCAUCAUCUCUUCCAUAGUCUUGGUUACGGGGAUGCUUCUGUGCUGUGUGUUGACGUUAAUACCUUGAGGCAGAGUGUGUACCAGAGGCUCAGUGACAGCUGCUGUUGUUUGUGGCAAAGUAGCAAUGAUGGAGGCGGCAUUUGUUGCAGGGAUCAGAACAUUGUUAGCAGUGCCCGAGGUGCUUGCUGUAGCAACGGGAGUGAAGAACGGUGGAAGCCCAUACGGAAACCCCACUGGCAUAGUAAAGCGGUUGUCUGCAGAAGUGGUAGGGAGCACGCUUGUAGUUACUGGUGCAGCUGUGGUUGUAGGGAUAGCUGUAGCUGAUUGCUCUUGAGCAGCUAGUAGAGCAGUCAUGACGUCAUUAGCUUUAGCCAAUUCCUCCUUUAGAGAGGCCAACUCGGUGCGAAGCUGAGCGUUCUCUUCUUCCAUAGCCCUUUUCUUUCUUCUGUAUUCUCUGGUUCGAUCAAUUCUAUCUGGUUCGUAAACUCUCUGAGCACGAGCCACUUUUCACACUGUGGCAGAGGAACCAGGAGAUAGUGAGCACUUGGAAGCCUUUGUGACCAAUGCAUGAUGCAUAUGAUGCAUGAUGUGCAAAUGCGAAUGCAAAAGACUUAUUUUUUUUCAUCGAAGGAAUUUUGAACCAAUUAGAAAUCUUUGCAAAUAAUCAAAACUACAUAGUAUUUUUUUUUAACAGGAAGACUUUGAAAUUUCAACAAGAUAAACACAUGGAGUCCUCAAGCAUAGGAAGUAGUCGGAGGAUCAUCGGACUCGGAAUCUGAAUCACAGUAUCUGGCAAAGAAGUCUCGUCGUCCUCGGGCUCUCUUGGAAUCCCUCAUAAGCAGCUCGUCUUUCUCUUCUAGUUCCCUCCGGGCCUUAGCUAGCUCUUUCUUCAACAUCAGAUUCUCAUGAGUCUUCUGCUCAUCUCUACCAUCCAAAGUCAUGAUUAGAUUCUCGGCUUGAUUGUACCGAGCCUUCCACACUUGCUUCUCACGACUCUCCAUAGCUAGAUGCUCCUGAUACAUAUCCUGAGUCGCGGGGAGCAAAGGUAGAGGCAUAGAUGGGGUAGAUGAAGACACAUAUCUCAUAGCUGGAUAAGGCAUACCAAUCUCCUCAGCUCGAUCUAUCACCCACUGGGUAUAGGCCUCAUGAGCGACACCGGAUCUCACACCUAGAUGCUUCACACUCUUCCUUCGAACCUUGGACCAAGCAUCCACGAAAGCUUUCCUUUGUCCGGUAGGAGCAUUCGUGUAGAAGAAGAACUCUGGAGAUGUGGCAAGAUUGAUGGGCUUCGACUUCAUAGGGAAACCAAACUGUCUCAUAGCAAGCUCGGGAUUGUAGUUGAUUCCUCCACGAGUACCAAGAAGAGGUACAUUGAGAAAGUCUCCACAACCCAUAAUGAUUUCCUUCACUUGAGCGGCAGGAGUGAGCCAGACGACCUCAUCAGGAGUGAGAGCCAUAAUCCGCUGAGAGUAGGACCAAUUUUCCGAGUUAUCAUGGAAGGAACUCGGAAGGUGCGAAAUAAACCACCUAUACAAAAGAGAUGUGCAGCAAAGAAUAUACCCACGGCCCUUGAGAGUCCUGUCAUGAAUGGCGUGGUAGGUGUCCGCUAGCAAAGUAGGAACCGGGUUCUUAGAAUGAAAGAUCUCGAUAGCAUUCAUGUCCACGAAGUUGUCAAGGUUCGGGAAGAGAAUGAGCCCGUAGAUAAGCAAAGCAAGAAUAGCCUCGAGUGUGUCCUGGCGAGUGGUACCGAGAUUAGCCUGAUCAAGAAGAUACUUCGAAGUGAAACCCCGGAUGUGAGACUUGGUAAUAAGAUGGUUGGAGACGUCGGAAGUCUUGAGGUAGAGAUCCUUAGCAACAACCAGAGGAGUAAGAGGAGUCCCGGGACCGGCGAAAGGCGUCUUCUCGGCUAUAGGUAACCCCACUAGAUUGGAGUAAGCCUCGAGAGUAGGAACCAACUGGAAGUCCGGGAAAGUGAAGCAGCGGAAGCUCGGAUCAUAAAAUUGCACCAGAGUGUGCAUUAGCUUCUCGUCCACAUCGGUUCGGAGCAAAGUAAGCAAUCCCCCAUACCGGAGUCGGAACCCUGUUUGACUCUUGACCUUGAGCGCCAACUCUCUCAAACUAACCAAAUCCACUUCCUUGAACUUGUAGCACUUAGUCUUCUUCAUACCUGUGAUUAUUUACAAAAAUUCUCAUUUGUUUAAACCCUUCGAUGAAUGCAUGAAAAAUAUUUAUGCAUGAAUGCAUGUAUGCAUGAUUGUGUUGUUUAGUUACAAUGUGGGUUGAGAUUCAAAGUAACAAGGCCACGGAUGGACACGGCGUCCGGUGAACUAAGGCUUUGGAUAGUAGUAACCAAGGUUCUAACACAGUUCCCAAACUGCAACCUCUCUCACAUAUAUCAUGGUAGUACAGGACGACACCCGUUCCACGAUUAUUUGUGAGAAGGUCUAGUUUGAGUGUAGUAUCGCGUGACGACUAAAGUUUUGAGACAACACUCAAUUUAGCCACCGCACUACGUCCUAAAAAGGCUAGGAUGGGUUUGGUAACUACGGUUCAUAGCUUCGUCGAACAAUUGAAAGUGAAGUGCCUAAGCAUGACGACACACGCCGACAAUAUCACCUUCAAAAUGCCUCAGCUAUGUGAGAUUGAUCGCAUAAUCCAAUACACGAGGCAACCCCCGGAUCGAAUUGUCGAUUAUAUCUCUACCUAAACAUAAGUUCACUCAGCCCGGGUAUAGGACUUUUGAUAUUCUCACCCCACACGUCAAAUGAAAGUAAACAAAUAUUCACAUAUGUAAGCAAUAAAAUAAAACAUAAAUAUAAACUAAGGAAAACUAGGCGCGACCCGCUUAAAAAAGUCCCCAGUGAAGUCGCCAUUUCUGUUAUCAUGGUUUUUGGGUACCAAGUCAUUAAUUGGACUUGUACCUUUCGACCGUUGAUAUCUCUCUUUUUUCUUGGGAAGGGAAAAAUUGAGAAAAAACCCUUAGAUUCUAAGUUCGGGGGUCGGUUUUACUACGGGAAGGUGUUAGGCACCCGGAGUAACUAUAGUCCUCUAUAGGAGCCGUUUUCCUAAGUCGAUUUUUACGCUUUAUUUUUACCUACUUUUGAAAAUGGGAGGUUUAUUUAGUUAAGAGUGGGGGUGAGAAGAAGUAGAAUUUUGAUUUUAUUUCGGCUUGGAUGAGUUUUGACUCAUUGCCUACGUACCCUUUUAAGGGAUCAAAACCGUUCGUAGUUCUUGCUAAAAAGACUUGUUUUUGUUUUAAUUGUUUGAUUUUAAGUUUUGAAAAUGGUUUUGAAGAAGGAGAUUGGGAGGCUUCAUGAGCAUUAGAUUUAGCAAAAAGUGAGGUUUGAUUAGUGAUUAAAAAAGAAAGUCUAAAUGAUUAAGAUGAAUUGAAUUUUUCUCAAGAAAAAAAAGAAAGGAAAAGAAAUGAAGUGUUGACUUCAUGUUUAUUAUGAAAAUUUUUGAAGUGAAGUUCAAUUGUUUUUUUUUUGGAAAAAAGAUGGAUUUUCUCUAGGUGUUUAAAACCUAAACGCUUAUUUAACCAUACAAUCCUAUGCAUACAUCUAAGGUGAGUGUGUGCGUGUCGGUGCGUCAUAGUGUCCAUAGUCCAUAUUACAAAAAUUGCCUAAAUACAUUCUAUGGCCCCUUUGCCAAGCUACAAACCAAUGAUGACAAAUUACAUCACUAAAUGAAUUAAAACUUGCAAAAAUAAAUGCUAGGCUAAAGAGGGUGGAGGGAAUGCUAAAUGGGAUGCAUGAAACAUGGGAAUAAACUUGUUAGUCAAAAGAAAAAACAUAAUAAGCACUAAGAAAUAAAAUCAUGCAAGAUGACACAAAAAGUUAACAAAAUGACAUUAAACCCUAAAAACUUAGGUAUGAAACCUAAAGCAUCCUUGGCCUCUAAUUCUCAUGCUUUAACAAAUUUUGAAAGAGUUUUCUUUAUCUCAAGUUAUAGCAUGAAAUUAUUGGAAACAUGCAAGCAUGGUUUCAUGCCAUAUUUUCUAGAAUAAACUUGGCAUUUUAUAUCUUUCAAAAUAUGCAUAUAUUGCUCAUAAAAUCAAGCACUCAUGAACCAAAUCAAAACAGCAAAACAACACGAAAUUAUAGGCACAAAUUUCUCAUAUUAACACAUCAAAAAGCUUUUAUCACAUAUUCGCACAUCAAGGACAAAUGUAUGAAGAAGAAUCCAUAACAAAUAAUUCAAAGAGAAUUAAAAUGCUAUGAAUUAACCAUACCAAAAUUUCAUAGAUCCUUAAUGUGCAAAAAUGUCAUAAAAACACUAAGAAAAUAUCAGGAAACAUGCAUGAAUUUUUCUAGGAAUUUUAUCACAAUUUUAAUCAAGACAUAGGUACAGGUAGCAAAAAUAGAGGUGUGAAAAGCACAGGAAUAGCAAAACGUAAAGAUCCAAAGGAAACAAAGGCCCAACCCAAAACCCUAAGGAACCGGAUUCACAGGAGCCACAGGAUUGAUCCAGGGUCCUGAAACCCUAGAUCAAACGGCCUGGAAUCAACAGGAUUGGACCGGUCUUGGACCGGUCUGGUUCACUAGCUUAUUUAAAAGGCAUGGCACCGGUUUUCUUCAUUUUUCACUCCCCUUUCUCUCUCUAGCUCUUCUCUCUUCUCUCACCUCUCACCUCUCUCUAAACCUCGCCGCCGGCGAGGAUGAAGCUACGGCGGAGACCUUGAAGGUCCGCCGGAAACUUCAUCUUCUCCGGCGAGUUCAUGCAGUUUCCGGUGACCUAAAUUUCCAGAUUUCAAAGAUUCUUACUUCGUUUGACUCGUCCUUUAACCCUAAACACGAAUCCGGCAUUUGUUUUUUCAAAAACGGCUUUGAACGACGUAGAUCUUGAAAAAGCUUUUACGGUUUUGAAAUGAUUUUUGAUUUUUUUGAAUGAGAUCAUUUAGAUCUUUAAAGAUCUACAUCGUUUCGUCGUUUGAUUACUUUUUGACGCCUGUUUUCGCUUUCAAAACGUUGAUCCUUACGGAUCUGGAUUUUGAUGUUUACGGUUAUAGUUUUCUUUGAAUUCUGGAACCUUUGGAUCUGUUUUGCUUGCGUGAUUUUUAGGUUUAACAGUGAUAUUGCUUUUGAAAAAGAGUAUGAGUUUUACCUAAGGUUUUGGUUGAAACCUUUAAUGGAGAAAUUCUUUGGAAAACUUCAAUCUCUGAUGCUACGUGAUUUGGCUUUGAAUCCGGAAAUAAACCGGUGUUCCUGCUGGUUUCUUGCUUUAUCGCCUUCUUCGCCGGUUUAAACCUUCAUCAUCUUUCUUUCUUCUUCGUCUUCCUCACUGUAUCUUCGUGAUCGGUGCUGGAGUUUGCCUUUGGCGAAUUCGCACUUCGAAUUGCGAAGAUAUUGAUUCAAUGAUGAUGAUUCUUCAAAGAAUCACUGAGAAUCCAUGAAAAAUAGCUUGAAUUUGUGUAGUUUCUGUUUCUGGAAAACGGUUAGGUUUUUUGUUCUUGGUGUUCUUGAUGAAUCUGAGGAAUUUUUUCUGUUUUGAUUCAGUUGCUGAGAAAGAGAAAAUUUGGAAUGUGUUUAUGAGUUGGCGUGUGUUCUCUGGCUCUGAGUGGCACUGUGCACCUUUUAUAGCUUGACAUGUGUGUAUCUGAACAAAUGAGAAAGUGACACCUGGACCUGAAAAAAAAAGAUGGCACGGCCUUGGGCAAAAAAUGAAAUUGGACCUUUCUGCAAAAUUGAAAAAAUAAGGGACUAAACUGCAAUUGACAAAAAGGACUGAAAUGUAAAAAAAGAAAAUUCUGGACUGAAAUGCAAUUUUGGGACCUCACUUGAGGGACCAAAAUGCAAUUAAAAAAUAAAAUUGAAUAAAAAACGUAAUUUGACCCAACGUAAAGCGAAACAAAAAAAUAAAAUUGACAAAACGGACUAAAACGAACCAAUGGCCUAAAUGAGGUACUUCAAAGUAACCUCCCCAUGCCAAAAUUUUAUGUGAAAUGACCAAAAUGCCCCUAGGGCUAAAAACGACCUAAACAGAUUCAAAUUGACCUGACACUGACUCAGACGCAAGUUUGAAAUGAAUUUUAACAAAGUUUACUGAUGAAAUGUUUAAAAGUAAUCUGAAAAGACUCAGAGACAGUCACAAGGAUGAAAAUGGGUCCCACUGCAGGAAAUGACCAAAAUACCCUUCUGUAUGACUUUUUGCAAAUUUUGGAAUAAACUGUAGAAAAAGCAAUGUAAUGAUCCAGAGACACUUUUGAAUGACUUACAAGACAAGUAAAGACAUUUUGAAAGGUUUUAUGCAAGAAAAACAUAGGUAAAAUUGUGAUUGAAAAUACUGCGAGGCAGAGACAAAUUGAACUGUGCAGUUGAAAUUUGAUAAUUGACAAAGUUUGAAAUGAAAUUGGGCCCAGUAUUUUUAGGUCCAAAAACAGGGUAUAACACCUCUAAUCCCAACAAAGGAGAUUUAGCUACUCAUUGUCAUGGAAGCCUUGCAAGAAUGAAUUGAAGAAGCAAGAUUCAUUACAACUUGUGAUGUCUCAACAAAGGAUGAAGAAUCCACUCUCUAUCACUCUCACUCUAUAAAGCACAAGCCCUAUCUCUCUCUCUCUAAGAAUAUUACAAGUGAAAAACUAAGAGAAAAACUAUCUAAAAACUAUAUAAAAAACUAUCUUUUUCUGAAAUGGUUGAGUGGGCUAUUUAUAGAAUUCUGAGUCUGCCUUCACUCGCCUCGCGAGCUGCUUCAUUCGCCAAGGCGAGUUGAAGUUUCUUCCCCAUUGGGUUUGUGCCACGUCAGCAUUUAGAGGCUAAACCGCCCUUACUCGCCUCGCGAGUCCUUCCAUUCGCCACGGCGAGUAAGCUCGCCUUCUACUCGCCAUUGCGAGUUGGUGGCGUGUGAUCUUUGUUGCAUUCUGGAAUUGCUCGCCUUUUCUGCUUGCCAUGGCGAGUUGGAGGCGAGUGAUCUCCUUUUUCUGCCUUUUUGUACUUUUCUCGAUUUUCUUCUCUUUGCUUGAUGUCUUGAGUUCGAAUCCUGCACAAAUGGGUGAAGUAAGAUAGAUAAAGCGUAAAAGGGCAAUAAUCACUUAUUUCUCGGCUUUUCCCUUAAUAACUUGCAAAACAAGUAACAAAAGUGCCUAAAAUAUAUCACUUAAAUUACAACUUUCUAGCACUUAUCAAACUCUCCCCAACUUAACUCUUUGUUUGUCCUCAAACAAAAUCUUGAAAAUCAAACAAGUUAAUAUGACAAGACACAAGUACAAAAGGUUUGAAAACAUUUUUAGAUGAAUGAUUCAAAGAGAAUGCGCGGGCAAGUCUGAGUUUCCAACUAAUCUGGAAUUCUACCACAAAUAUGAAAUGAGUUCUAUGCACAAAGUUCAUGUCAAAUAGUUCAAGUCAAUAAAACAUUUAUUCACGAACCACACCUAACACACUUCUUUGUAAGUAGAUAUGCAAUUGAAAUCAAAUGAGUGAGGGUUAUGAACACACAUCCGGCAAUCAAGUUAACAUCCAAAUCAAGUUAUAUGUCCAUCCAAUUAUCAUUUCAAAAAGCAUAAAAACAUGGAUCAAAAGGUCUUUUAGGGUUGUAAUUUGGCUUGGCUACAAAAGAAAGGACAUUUGUGGGUCAAUUGAAUUCAAAUGGUCAAGCAUAAGGGAACAUUCCUUCUAUUCACAUUCAAAAGACAAAUUUACUAGAAUUCCCUAACAAACCCUUGGUGUUAAAACAUGAUACUCCUUGAUCUUGACAACUUAUUCUAUUUUUGGAUUUUUCUUUCUUUUUCUUUUUCUUCUUUUCUUGUUUUUAUCAUGUACACAUUUUUCUUUUUCUUUCUUUUUUCAUAUACAAACAAUGUUGUCUUGAUCAAAAUUUCUGAUUACACCAAUUCACUUGACAAAUGAUGAACAUCUACCUUUUCUCCCCAACUUGAAUGAAAACAUACCCUAUUUGAAUGUUCCCUUAAUCUAUGGCAAAAAGGGACAAAUAACAAUGAAGGUUUAGGGUUCAACAAUUAAAACAUAUCAAGGUCCGAUAGUGCAACAAAAAUGAACUGGAUUUUGAAAAAUAUAGGGCGAAUUCAUCAAGCAUUGUGCUUAUGAAUUGACAGUUCAUAAUUGAGGACCUUGCUUCAUUUGGCUCAAGUGGGUUAACAAAUACUCGCUCUUCUCACAAGGUAGGCUAUUUGUGGUCAAGUAUGUUUCUCUCAUUAAACAAAAUAUGCCUUGAUCCUUUCCAUGUCUUUACACAAUUUAAAACAAAUAUUAGAUUUAACAUAAAAUGACCGAGUUAAAACAAUGAAUGCCGGUCUCCUUGCAUAUAGUACAAAUAUUUGAGGUUUCCUCACUUUUUAGCUAGUACUAAGUGGUUCACAAACAAACACAUUAUCGAGGAGAACUAAAUGAAUUGAAAUUUGUGCAAAGUACUCGUUUCCUAUUCAAGUAAAAACCUAGAAAAACUGGAAACUUGUACCUUGGCUUUGCGCUUUAUCACAAACCAUCUGUUAUUAUCAAUCAUCUGAGAAUUUUGCUCAAGUUUUGGCUCUUUCAAGCGCUUUGAAAUUUGAAGCUUUGAGCAUUUUCUUUUCAAUAAGCAAGAGUGAUAAACUAAAGAAACUUCCACAAUUUUCAAAACAAAGUACUUGAUAUAAACCAAAAGUGCUAAUAUAAAACAACACAAUACAACUUUGAACAAUACGAAUAUGAAUACGAAAAUACCAAAAUAAUUAAACAAAAUGCUAACUAAACAAAGUGAGUCAUUGUGCUAAAUUUAAAAUAUGAACAGAAGCAAAUAUUGUCAGAAGAAAUGAAAGAGAAAGAAAGAAUAGACUGAAAGCUUUAUAAAAAUGUCACUCAAUAAACGGUGAGCUUUCAAAGUCAUUCUUUUCCUCUUUCAACCCUGCAUGUCAUGAUCAUCUGAACCACCAGUUGCACUUGGGACUCUGUCUGGAUCGUCUCUGUCAGAAUCUCCCAUCAAUAUAUCGUCAGAAAGCGUCCCGAACGAUGAUCCACCCCCUCCGUAAGGAUCUGGCCUGCCCUCAGGCCAAGAAACAUGAGCCUGAUAGGCCUCUGGUGUCAUGAAUUGUGACAUCACCUCCGGUGGGUACCCAGCCUGCUGCUGCAUCACAUACUGAGACUGCUGAAGAUAUGUAUUAGCACGGUUGGUUGCGUCCAGCAUGUUCCAUGUAUGGGUAUGGCACUGGUAUUGCCAUUGAGCGAAGCUUGAAAAGUCAAAAGCAGCAGUGUGUGGGUCUAGAUGUGGUGGAAAGUGGGGUUGUGGUUCAGAUGAUGGUUGAGGUCGUGGUGGAGGUGCCCCAGAAGAUGAUGCUUGUUUGCUUUUAUCCUUCUUUGUUUCACCCAUAAUGUAUCGGGUGAUGAAAGCAUCAUUGAUCGGGUUCCGGAUCUUCUCAUGGACACUGGUUGGUAGGCGCAUGCCGGUAUCUUUAAUGAGUCCCAUGAUUAAACCGGGAAAAAAGAGACGAGCUUCUCUUUCACCUCUUCCUUGCAGGGUGACCAUUCGGAGUUCCCAAGCAAUGGUCCGGGCAAUAUCUACCUUGAUCCCCUUGAGGAUGUAGUAGAUUAAAGGACACACCUCGACAACACAAUCAGACAGAUGACUAUUGGGCCUGACAUUAUAAAGAAUGAAUUUUUGGAUAAUUUUGGCCUCAUUGGUCAUGAAUUUGUAUUGGGCCCGAUACUCUCUCCCUGCAUCACUGAUGUCAUAGUUAUAGUCUCCCAACAAGAGAAAUCGUUUGAUUUCUUCAUGGGGGCCCGGGAGGAUAAAGUGGCCAAGGUUUUGCUUCUCAUGAAAGUCAUCAAGGUCGUCUGGGUAGGCUAACUCAAAGGGGUUGCCAAGGUAUGUAUUUAUUGCCUCACGGUCAAACCGGAUAGUUCGACCCCUCACAAAAGUUUCGAAUGUAAAUGGGUCAGUGUGUGGAUUUUCAGGUAGGGCAUUGGCAUAAAACUCACGCACUAACUCGGCAUUAAUAUCUGUUAUGGGUUGAAGGAGUCGUUCCCAUCCUUGAUCGAGUAAAAGUUUGGCAAUUUCUUUAUAGGGUCCCUCGGGAUUAAGGUUAAAGACCCUCUCACACCACAUGGAUUGGUCAAGCAGUUCAAUAUAUCUAUCUUGAUGGUAGCGAGACCUAAAUCUCUCCCUCUCAAAGGCUUGGUUUCUAGGUGGGGGUCGGGUUGCGGAUGUUUCUCCUUUCUUGCGUUUACCAGUGUUAACGGGUUUCUUUGGAGCCAUACCUGCAAACACAACCAGGAAUUCCACAAACACCAAACAGACAAUUAAAUAUCAGUAUGGAACAAAAAAUAUUGCAUGUUCUGUUACCACUCGCCUCGCGAGCAGGUGCACUCGCCAUGGCGAGUAGUUGAAAUUUUCUGGGUUUCAGAUUGCUCACUCGCCUUGGCGAAUGAUGAAGCUCGCCAUGGCGAGUUGCCCAGAAAAUGACAAAAAUCGACCCUUUUUCAAAAUUUCUUUCAGUUUCAACAUUCUUAACCCUAAAUAUAGUAAUUCCGACCCUGAUAAUGACAAAGAGAUGAACUAAAUCAUGCUUUUGAGUUGAAUGUCGAAUUAUACCACAAAAACCCUAAUUUUAAUUUUAUUUUUAAUUUUUACAAAAGGGUUAACAAAAAUGUGGAUUGGAAUCAGAACAACCACGAAUUUGGGCAUGAUUAUGUUUCAUCUGAGUCAUGUAGGUAUCAGUUUGAAGAACAUUACACUAUCUACUACCCUAGGGUUUUUUUUUUUUUUUUUUUUUUUUUUUUUUUUUUGCAUGCAAAUUUGAAAUGAAUGGCAACAAAGUGAAUACAAACCUGAAUCAGAAGUAAUCUAAGUGCAGAAAUGAGUAUGCAAUAAGCUUGACUUGGAUUGACUUGAUAAAUUGGAAAAAGGGUAGUGUUGAGGUGUUAGGGUUUGAGAGAAGGAAGAAAAAAUUUGUGUGGUUGAUGAGAGAGAAAUGCAAAACCGAAAAUGAUGAAUUAAAGUUGGUAAAGGGUGGUUAAGAGAGAUUAAUGAGGGAGUUAGUGGCUUUGAAAACUGAAACUGUCAGAACUGCUGCCAUUCGCCUCGCGAGCAUAUGUAUUCGCCAUGGCGAGCAAUUUGGUGGUCAACGCAGUCAAAGGACAGUUUUACUCGCCAUGGCGACUAGUUGUACUCGCCUCGCGAGUAAUGACAGUUCAGACUUUGCUUUCUUUUGGCUUCUGAUUUGUGAAUGGUUUUGGUAUGCACAUGACUCCUACACCUAGUAUGCAUUAUAAAAAUAAAUAACUUACAAAGUUGGGUUGCCUCCCAACAAGCGCUUGUUUAACGUCGUUAGCUCGACGCCUUUUUCGUUAGGGUGGCCAAAAUGAAACGGACAACACAUCAUCUUUUGUAAUCCUGCGUGUUGGGAGGAAUUCCAUGAAUUUGAAGUAUAAUUGAUGUGGAGUCCAUAUCCUCCCUAACUUUGGUUUAUUGAACAAGGCACAAAUCUCAUCUAUGAUCCGAUCAAUCUCCAACUUGUUCACUUUCUUCCCCUUUCCUUCCAUUGAUUCUUCCUUGAUUAGUAUCCGAUCCUCUUUCUCUGUCACCUCCAUCACUUCUUCAUUUUCAACAGUUUCGACCUCUUCAGUAUAUGGCCGUUCUUGAGGAAAUUCUUCUGGAUGUAGUGGCUCUAAUUCUUCCACCAUUUUCAUUGUGCUACAUUCUUCUAGUAUUAUGUCUUCCUCGGUAUCAUCAACACCUUCUUCAACAAUCUUUCCGACUUCCACAAAUGUAUUUGAAUUAUUUUCUUGUUUUCUGUGAGUGGAUUGAAUGUUGGCUUGAAUAUCCAUGAUUUGUUCUUGCAUUAUUUCCAUCUGCAAGGAUAGAUUCUUCAAUCUCUGAUUGGUAUCCUGCAUGUUUAUCAUGGAUUGCUGCAUGAAGAUAUUCAAAGUAUUUUCCAUCUUUGAUAUUCGUUCAUCUUCAUAGGGAUGUUGUUGAUACUGUUGAUAUGAUUCAUACUCCAAUGGAGUGUAGAAGUUGUUAUAACCAUGAUCAGCCAUGAUUGCAUUUAUGUAGAGAAUCUGAAACGGAUAUAACUAACAAGAAAUUUUUCUUUGUAUGCAAAGAGGGGUUAGUACCAAUAACUAUACAAAAGAAAAUAUAUUUACAGAGUAUUUACUAAUGCUUAAAAUGAUAAAAUAGUCGCGAUGUCUACGAUAUCUAAACGCCAGUCCCCGGCAGCGGCGCCAUUUUGAUGUAGUAUUUUUNNNNNNNNNNNNNNNNNNNNNNNNNNNNNNNNNNNNNNNNNNNNNNNNNNNNNNNNNNNNNNNNNNNNNNNNNNNNNNNNNNNNNNNNNNNNNNNNNNNNUUUUGCAUCAAACAAUUGUAAGUAUUUAUAUCGUCUCCUCAGGGACUAGUGCGAUAUCGCGGACCGUUCGACACCAAAUAUCAUUUCAAGUUAAACGAUAGUUGAUUGUUUGUUUUAGUAACUGAAUUGCAAAUGAUACAAUUGAGAUUAAUAGGGCGUAAAACUUGUUAGGAUUAGAGUUCCUUGAUCGAGCGUCGCACGUAACCUAAUGAUCAUACAUGGAUUCUAGCUUUUCUUUGAUAUUAUCACGUAUCCCUCGACAACACCAUUCGUGUCCAAACAAUAUUGUGAAAUCAAUUGUAUCAUUCAAUGGUCGAUGUCUCAAACUAUUGAAUGAUUCAAGAGUCGAUCUUAUCGUUCAAUCGAUGAUUUCUCAAUCUAUUAAAUGAUAAGAAAGCUUUAGGUUUGGAUACUCAAGGUGAUUAUCAAAACAUCGAUUCCAUGUCUAGAAACUAUGUUUUGAUAGAUGGUUAUUCUAAACCUAGAUUCAAAAGUAUUUCUCAAUCACAAUUAAAUCAAAGAUAAAGAUUAAAGUGCAAGAAUAACCUCAAUAUCAAUUCAAAUGCUAGAACCAUAUAUUUAUAGAUCAAACGAUUACAUGUUAAACUAUGAUCAAGUACCUCUAAUCCCAACAAAGGAGAUUUAGCUACUCAUUGUCAUGGAAGCCUUGCAAGAAUGAAUUGAAGAAGCAAGAUUCAUUACAACUUGUGAUGUCUCAACAAAGGAUGAAGAAUCCACUCUCUAUCACUCUCACUCUAUAAAGCACAAGCCCUAUCUCUCUCUCUCUCUAAGAAUAUUACAAGUGAAAAACUAAGAGAAAAACUAUCUAAAAACUAUAUAAAAAACUAUCUUUUUCUGAAAUGGUUGAGUGGGCUAUUUAUAGAAUUCUGAGUCUGCCUUCACUCGCCUCGCGAGCUGCUUCAUUCGCCAAGGCGAGUUGAAGUUUCUUCCCCAUUGGGUUUGUGCCACGUCAGCAUUUAGAGGCUAAACCGCCCUUACUCGCCUCGCGAGUCCUUCCAUUCGCCACGGCGAGUAAGCUCGCCUUCUACUCGCCAUUGCGAGUUGGUGGCGUGUGAUCUUUGUUGCAUUCUGGAAUUGCUCGCCUUUUCUGCUUGCCAUGGCGAGUUGGAGGCGAGUGAUCUCCUUUUUCUGCCUUUUUGUACUUUUCUCGAUUUUCUUCUCUUUGCUUGAUGUCUUGAGUUCGAAUCCUGCACAAAUGGGUGAAGUAAGAUAGAUAAAGCGUAAAAGGGCAAUAAUCACUUAUUUCUCGGCUUUUCCCUUAAUAACUUGCAAAACAAGUAACAAAAGUGCCUAAAAUAUAUCACUUAAAUUACAACUUUCUAGCACUUAUCAGGGGCAUCUGCAGACCCGGUUCGGUUGACAAGUUUACGGAAGAAGAUGAUUGAGUUAAUGCUAUGGAGCCUGUUAUUUCUGCAAAAGACAAUGAUUUUCUCACAGCUUCGUUUCAGGUCCAGGAAUUUAAGGAUGCAAUGUUUUCUAUGCUUCCGGAUAAAUGUCCAGGUCCAUAUGGUUUUAAUCCUGUAUUUUUUCCAUCAUUUUUGGUCUAUCGGUAGUCUUGAUAUCUUUAAUGAAUGUUUUCUUUAAGAAGCUAAAUUAGCCCACUAAAUUGGCAUUGGAGAGAAUCGAACCUGAGAUCUUGAAGAUCUUUAAUGAAUGUUGCUCGUGGCUUAAUCACAAUCACUUUCUACCUUCACUUAAUUCCACAAAUAUAGCUUUGAUUUCCAAAGGUACUGAUUGGCAGCCUAUAACUUUGUGUAAUGUUCAAUAUAAAUUGGUUGUCAAAGUCCUAGCUAAUAGACAUAAGAGUAUCCUCCAUAAGUGCAUCUAUGACAAUCAACCAACUUUUGUUAUGGGGCGCUCCAUCAUUGACAAUGACAUGAUAGCUAUCGAAGUUGUGCACCAUAUGAAAGUUAGUAAGCGUGUUAGAUAUGAAAAAAAAAUCUCUCAAGCUUGAUACUAGUAAUGCCUAUGAUCGUAUUGACUGGUUAUUGUGGUGUGUAUCGAAGCUGUUGACUAUUCUGUUAUUGUGAACAAUGAUUUGGAAGACCUAUUAUUCCCGGAAGAGGUUUACUUCAAGGAGAACCUUUAUCACCUUAUCUUUUUAUUUUGUGUGUUGAACGAAGAUGGGAUAUCCACGACAUUUCUAUUUACAUAAAUGCACUUGUUAUUUCUCACCUUUUAUUUGUCGAUGAUUGUUUCUUAUUUUUCAGGGCUAAAGAGCGAUAAGCUCUAACCAUGAAAAGUAUUCUUUAGACUUACGAGGUAGCCUCCUGUUAAGCUAUUAGUCUCCCAAAGUUUGAGGUUUAUUAUUGUAGCAGUGUAUCAAAUCCGUUGAAGGAUUCCAUAACCCUCAUCUUAGGAGUUAGAGCUGUUAUGGGAACAGGGAAAUAUCUUGGCUUGCCAUCGAUGGUUCGUCGAAGUAAAGAAGCAACUUUUAGUUUUAUCAAAGACCGUAUUUGGCAUAAAAUCAAUCCAUGGAGAAGAAAGUAUCUAUCCAAAGUGGGUAGAGAGGUAAUGAUCAAGUCAGUGCUUCAAAAUAUUCCAUCUUAUAUUAUGAGUAUCUUUCUUUUUCCAAAUAAGUUAGUCGAAUCCAUGGAAAAAAAAUUAUAAAUUCUUUUUGGUGGGGCCAUGGAUGAUUAAUGAGAAGAGGGAUGCAUUGGUUGUCUUGGGAGAGAUUAUCAAUUCAUAAAAAUUAUGGAGGUAUGGGUUUCAAGGAUCUCACAUCUUUUAAUGUGUCUAUGUUGGGGAAACGAGGUUGGAAGUUCCACACUGAUACAUCGAGUCUUAUUUCCCAUCUUUUUAAGGAGAGAUAUUUUUCUAAUUGUGAUUAUUUGAGUUCUCGAAUUGGUCACAAUCCCAGAUAUGUGCGACGUUGUAUUUUUCGUGUUAAGAUUGUUGUGAAUUAGGGUGCAAGGUGGCAUAAUGAGGGAAUUGCAUUAUCUACUAACAACCCUAUGUAUGCCUCCCUAGCCCAUUUUACGGUGAAAGAUAUUAUUCACCCAUUCAGAAAGGUAUGGAACACUCCUUUAAUUUAUAAUCUCUUGAUCCGAUUACAGCAUGACUCACUGUGAACACACCACUCCAACCUCUUGUCACUGAAGAUAAAUUGAUUAGGAAAGUGGAAAAGAAUGGUAAAUAUUCUGUUCAUAGUGCCUACUGCCUUUGAGUUACAGAAAUUGCAGAUAACUCUCAUUUACUCUGGAGCAAUGGAGUUCCAUGUGAAAGUUAAAGGUUCCUCCUAAGGUAAACAAUUUUUUAUGGCGAGUUUUUAGAGGAUACUUUUCCAACAAGAGCCCAUCUUAGUAGUCAAGGGGUGCGUUGUCCUAUUGAUUGUGUUCCUUGUGGGAAUAAUUUUGACGAUGGUAUCCAUGUCUUAUUGAAAUGUCUUGGUGCUAUCCAAGUAUGGCAUCAUGUUAAUCUUUGGGACAAAAUUAAUAGUACUCUCUGACAAGAUUAUAAUAUGAAUGCUAUGAUUUUUCAUUUUUUGCAUCAAUUUUCUCCAGCUCAGAGUGAGCUGUUUGCCACAAGUGAAUCUUUGCUCCAUUUAGCUAUACUUUAUUUAGUUCAUUUAAGAUUAUGUCUACAAAACAUGUGGCACAAAAAUAUCUACUGGCUGAAAUUGAAAAUAAUACAAAAAACAAGUAAAACAUUGUUCCAUUGUAUUCACGCUCCUCCCUCUUCAUCUACACACAACCGCUGCUCUUCUCCCUUUCUCUCAUAUCGUCAUCAACCACCAUCCAGCCGUCGUCCGUCGCCGACCCUUUGCAUCAAUCGAGUCAUAAGUUCGUGUCGAAUUUCCAGUAUUUGGUCUGUGUGAAGACAAUAACCCCCUUACUGCAUCCUCAUUCUCAUUCCAAUUUCCCAUUCAGAAUUUUAAGGUUUAUCAUCUGAUUCCAAACAUAUCAUUUGACUAAUUCUUAAACAACAACAACAAACAAACAAACAUUGCUAUUGCAGUUUAAUAUUCCAAUUUCAUAUACAUAAUAUCAAAAUUAACAACAUUAACUGACUAAAUAACUAAGAAUGAAUAUUUCUAGGGUUUCAAAAAAAAGAAACAAUAAACAAAAUUAAGAUGAGUAAUGAAUGACCUGAUGCAUUUGUAGGAGCGAAAGUGCAUUUAACGAUUGCAAUUUUAGAAUUGAACAACGGAAAGAACGGAGUCUCAGGAACAAUGAGAGAAGGUGUAGAGGAAGGAAGAUGUUUUUGCUUAUGUGGAGCGGUAGGGUGGGACGACGGUACCCUGGUGGCAACGCCGGCGCUGACGAAAGGGUGAUGGUGGGGCGGCGUUUUUAGGAGAUGAAGGAGUGUGUUGUAUCAUAGGAGGAAGAGCAGAGGCGUGUGUUUAUUUUCCAAUAAACAAGUAUUUUUUUCGAAGCCUUUUAAUCUCAGCCAUUGGUUUUUUAUUUUUCACAUGUCAAACAUCCAUGAAGUGAAUUGGUAUAAAUGGAGGCUCUCUAAAGGAAGCAAAGAUGCACUCGUUAGCCACGAGAAUGUGGAGCUUGUGAAAACGGCGGAGUCUCAAACUAUGGUAGCAACAAAAUGAAACAAAUAUGCAGGUUGUUGAACGUGCUACACAUCUUCUUGAUGAAUGGAGAGCAGCCAAAAAUAUUAGGUCCCGAAUUGCGGCAAAUUCUAGUAAUGAUAAAAACGGGCAUGUGGAGCUUGUGAUAAACAAAUUCUAGUAAUGAUAAACAAAAUGUUAGGUCCGUGAAUUGUAACAUUGAUGCCUCUUUUUUCUAGUCAACGAAUAUGGUUUGUAUAUGCAUAUGUUUGCGAGAUUUUGCAUGUAAUUUGUGAUUGCAAAAAUUGAUUGCUUCUCUCCCCUUUGUCAAGUUGAUAUAGGAGAGGCUUUUGGGAUGUCUACGACUUUAAAUUGGAUAUCAAACUUUCAAUAUGAUAAUGUUGGUUUUGCUUUAGAUUCUAAGAAUGUCGUUGAUCAGUUUAGGUCAGUAAUAGAAGAUAAUAGUGAAUUUGGUUGUAUUAUAUCUGACUGUAAAAACUUGUUCCAUCAUAGGUAUCAGAACUCUCAUGUCGAGUUCAAUAGAAGACAAGCUAAUGAGGUCGUUCACGAGUUAGCUCAGGUAGCCCUAGGUCAUGUUAGCUCCCACAUUUACAAUAACGCAUCGUCAUGUAUUUCGUACAUUAUAGCUAAUGAACAACACUGUAUUUUCUUUCUUAAAAAAAAUUAUUUGGUGCAAAUCAAUAGUACAAAUCAACGAUGUUAGUAUCAAUGAUUUAUUUUUUGUUGAAGAAGUUAGUAUCAAUGAUUUUCAGGUAUAUUUAGAACAAUACAAAAAGUUCUUAAAAAAUGAUUUUUUUUUUUUUAAGAAGUUAUUAUCAAUGAUUUUCAGGUAUAUUUAGAGCAGUACAAAAAAGUCUUAAGAAAAUAUUCUUUUUUCACAUGAAAUGAAUUAAAUAUAAAUAUUUGAAACACAAAAUAGUGUUUUCUGGAUGAGUUUUGGUUUAUCCAUAAAAAAAGGUUUGAGAUUCUCCCAUAUCAUUUGAAGAUUCUUUGUUUUUAGAGCAUACUAACAAAUGACUAUAUAAAUUAGCUUAUAAUUGAUAAAAACAAAAUACAAAUUAGCUUAUGGGACACCUAAAAUCGGAAUUUUUCUAUUAUAAAAAGGGCAGGCCGGUCUCACCAACUAGUGUAUUGUAGCAGUUUUAUCAUAUUUUUACAUAAAAACCGUUUUCAAAAUUUGAGCUUGUGACCUUUCAAUCAUGUUACGUGGCAUUUGAAAAAUAUCUUAAUCAACAUUUUUUCAUAAAUAAUUCAAAAAAAACUAUUUAUUUUUAAAAUUCUUUAUCACAUCCAUCAACAAACUUUGAAUUAAAAAAAAAAAAUCAUCAAUAAACUCAUGAAAAAAACGAAAAAAUUCUACAAAAAAUAAAUAAAUAAAGUCGUUUUUUUAUGACCUAUUAGGGGGUAUUCCAAAAAAAUAAAAUUACAGCGGGUAAAUCAAAAAAAAUAUUUUACAGGGAGGAAAACAAAAAAUGAUCUAUAUUACAGGUAAAGCCAGUGGCAGAUCUUAGUAGAGACCCUUGGGUGCCAUGGCAUCCCCUGGGUUUUCAAUAUAUACCAUAUUAGACAUAUUAUUUUAGUAAGUUUUGAAUUGUCGCAGCAGUAAGCUAGUCUUAUAGUCCCACCAACGGUCGCGAGUGAGUUCGACACUCACGCCAUCUUUUUUGACAUUUUUCUCUCGUAUUUACAUUUUUUAUUCAAAAAAAACCACUAGCAGGGAUUCAAACCUGCAUCCCACUUGGUGCUUUCAAACAAUUUAAACCAUUACAGCAAGUGAUUAUUUUUAUCUACUUUUUGAAACUGGUUUACAUAUAUUUCAUGGUGGUUUGGCACCCCCAAUAAAUUUACUCAAGAUCCGCCACUGGGUAAAGCACCAUUAACCCCAAAAUAAACGAAAAUCUACAUUAACCAAAUUACAACACCACAUCAAAUCUACAUUUGACAAACUCAAAAAAUUCUAGAUAUGAGAUUAAUACAAUAAAAACCUAGAAUCCAAUUCAAGAACUGUUAAAUUUGGUAACAACCUUGUACAUUCCAAAACAACAUUCAAUGAGAAACUCGUCAGUAUCAGGGGUAAAUUCGUCGGUGUCAGGUAUUAUAAAUCUCCCUUUUUGAUUCUGCCCUAUGAAGCAUGCAAAUAUGGCCGUUGAAUCACACCUGAUAUGUUCUGAUACAUUGUCGAUACAUAUUUAAAGAGUGUCCAAAUUUUUUAAUUUAAACUAAAAAAUAAAAAUUUGGAUUCGUCACCGACACGUUGUCGUCAACACGUUUCUAAUAUGCCUUUGAUACAUCUCAUGAUUGUUCAAUUUUCCCCUCCUUAAUUAGAUGAAUGUAAAUUAUAAUAUAUACCCAGUUAAUUUAUUAGAAUUUUUUAAGUUUUCUUUCUUUUUCCCAUAAUUCUCUUACGGUUGCAAAUUGAAAUCACAGCUAACUAAGAGUGCAUAUAAUAUGUCAUACUUACCAAUUGUGAACAAAUCACUAUAGAGGAUAGAGUUCCGAGCUUUAUUUUAAUUUUUAUGUGUAUGUUAAAUGCAUCGUAUUCUAUAUUUUUCAAUGAUUGAUGUCCGUAUUUAUACGUGUGGUAUCUGAUACUCGUAUUAUGUCCAUGAAUAAUAGAUUCAACCAAACAACUAACAACCAUACCUUUAAAAUUCUAUCUUGGGGCACAUGAGAGUGCACCCAAAGCCAUGAUCUAGGCGCAUAAACCAUGCUUUAGGCGCAUGGUGCUGCCUCAUGGGCACAGGUUCUCCGAUUUCCCGUCUUUUUAGGUCUUCGUCUUCAAAUAACUUGCCUCGGAACUUAGGAACAUAAUUCCUCCCACUGUAAAGUCUCAUGAGGUCUCUUGAAUCUUCAUUUUUGGUCUUCCCAAAGUCUUCACAAAUCUUCAGAUGGUCUUGAUUUGUCGAUUUGCAUGAUUUCUUCGUGAAGUACUUCAAAAAACCCCUAAAAUUGUUAUGUUUCGGGAAAACUAGAAUUACAUACUAAAAUAUAGAAAACAUUACAAAAGUCCCGAAAUCAUAUGCAAUCGUUCUAAUACUCCACCUUUUUUGCUGCUAAAAUCUACUAAAAAUGACUGAAAAACAUGCUAAAAAUAACGUAAGAUGACCUGUCAUCAAAAUCAAAACUAACUAAUAGUGCAUAUAAUAUGCCACACUUACAAAUUAUGAACAAACCACUAUAAAGGAUAGAGUUAUGAGUUAUGAGUUUAGUUGGAAGUUCGCCACUUCUAUUAAGCUUGUGUUGUGAUUUCAGUUUAAAAUUUGUAACUAACGUUUACUACUUUAUUUUAAUUUUUAUAUGUAUAUAUUAAAUGUAUUGAAUCCUAUAUUUUCAAUGACUGACGUAUCGAUACGUGUUGUACCUGAUACUCGUAUUGUGUCUGUGAUUAAUAGAUUAGCCAAACGACCAACAACCACAACCUUAAAAUUCUCUCUCCCACCCAUUUUUAGAAACGACCCACAACCAUAGUAUUUUUCUUUGACCUUUUGGAAGCUAGUUUACUAAGUAAUGAAUAAGAUGAGCACCAUACUCCUCAGUUAUUUGUGACACAAGCAAUUGAAGCUUAAUAUAGUUUUAGACUUGGAAGUUUUAUUAUAACUACUGAUGACAUAUCAUCUUUCAAUUUUGAACAAUCCACUAUAAAGGAUAGAGUUCUAAGUUUAGUUGAAAAUUCGCCACUUCUAUUGAGUUUGUGUUGUGAUUUUAGUUUAAAAUUUGUAAUUAAUGUUUACAACUUUGUUUUAGUUUUUACAUGUGUAUGUUAAAUGUAUCGUAUCCUAUAUUUUUCAAUGACUGACAUAUCAAUAUGUGUUGUAUCUGCUACUCGUAUCGUGCCCCGUGAUUAAUAGAUUCAGCCAAACGACCAACAAUCACUGCCUUCAAAUUCUCUCUUCCACCCAUUUUCAGAAACAACCCACGACCAUGGUUUUUGUCUUUGACCUUUUGGAAGCUAGUUUACUAAGUAAUGAAUGAGAUGAGCACCAUACAUAGUCCUCAGUUACUUAUGACACAAGCAAUUGAAGCUUAAUACAGUUUUAGACUUAGAAGUUCUGUUAUAACUACUGAUGACAGACCAUCUUACGUUAUUCUUAGCAUAUUUUUCAGUAAUUUUUAUUUAGUUUUGAUCCGAAAUAGAGGAGUUUUAGAGCUAUUACCUAUGGUUUUGGGGAUAUUUUGUAAUGUUUUCAUUUAUAAUCAUGUAAUUCUAAUUUCUCAAAAACAUAACAAUUCUAAAGUAUUUUGAUGUAAUUCAAAAAGAAAUCAUACAAAUAUAUUUGCUAACAAAAACAAAAGGUGAAUAUUGUUAUAAGAUCAAAUUGAUCUAAAAUUUAAAUUAUUUAAGUUUAUAUAGACAAAUAGUAACCUAACAUACUUAAUCUACUCUAAAAGAAACAUAACAUACUUAUUCUACUAGCUAGUACUACUAUAUUACUCUCUUAGUUUACUAUGUAUACUAUUCAUACAAGACAUUUUAUCAUAUAUGUUUCUAUUAAUAUAAAGAUAAAUAGUAAGAUAAAGAUGUUAGGGUUAAUAGUGUUUUUCACCCCUGUAAUAUAUGUCAUUUUUUGUUUUCGUCCUUAUAAAAUUUUUGGUUUGAUUUGCACCCUCGUAAAAAUUUUAUUUUUCGAAAAACACCCCUAAUAGGCCAUUUUCAGAUUUUUUUUUUUCAAGAAAUUUUGGUUUUUGAAUGGCCUAUUAAGGUUGUUUUUCGGAAAAUAAAAAUUUUACGAGGGUGAAAUCAAACUGAAAAUUUGAUAGGGGCGAAAAAUGAAAAUGACAUAUAUUACAGGGGUGAAAAACACUAUUAACCCAAGAUGUUAUUAGAUUUUUCUUAACAAAAUACUUUUAAAAUAUCUACUCUUAAUUAUCUUUUGUUAAUAUUCCUCUAAUAAAAUAAAUUUUUUUGUAAUUGUCAAAAAUGUGCAUCGCAUGUAAGAAAGUUACACAAACAAACCACUUUUUCAAUAGUCAUAAACAUUUAACCAAAAUCAAUCAUCUUGAUAGGGGGUAGUAUAUGGGACACCACUUGUGUACCAUUAAGGUAUCAAUGUUAUAUAACAUUGACCAAUAAGAGUGUGCCACAUACCAAUGUUACUUUAUAAAUGUUUUAUUUGAUAUAUGUUUUUUAAAGUGUGUGCCACAUGUCACACCUUAAUUGGCUAAUGUUAUAUAACAUAAUGGUACACAAGUGCUAUCCGUAGUAUAUGGCCCUGGCGAAAAGGGGGCCGUCGUAAAAUUCUUAUAAGUUAAUACUCUCUUUUUCGGGGAAAUAUCUUAAUAGCCAAUACUUUUUUUCACAAACACAUGCCAAAAAAACAAUUUCACAAACAAACACGUACAUCACGAGUUUCAAGAUAAUAAGAGAUCAACUUGGAGUUCUAUAUAGUCUUCAACUUCAACAUUGUUACGUACAACCAAACCAUUCAUUGUAGACAUGUCUUUUGCAGUAACAACAACAAUAUUUGCUUUCCUUCUCUUCACUUUCACAUACUUUCUAUUCAAACUAUUCUUGCAUUCAAAACAAAAAACCAUUAUCCAUAAAAAACCACCAUGUCCACCAACACUACCAAUAAUAGGAAAUCUUCACAUAUUAGGCAAACUUCCACAUAGAACACUUCAAUCACUCUCCAAAAAAUAUGGUCCAAUUAUGUCUUUACAACUUGGACAAGUUCCAACAAUUGUCAUUUCAUCUUCAAAAGCAGCAGAAUCAUUCCUCAAAACCCAUGACAUCGUUUUCGCAAACCGACCGAAACUUAUAGGAGCAGAGAUCAUAUCUUAUGGUUGCAAAGGGUUGGCGUUUUCUAAGUACGACCCUUAUUGGCGUAGUGUAAAGAAACUCUGCACUUUGAAACUUCUUAGUGCUUCAAAAGUUGAGAAGUCGGGUCCUAUUAGAACAGAGGAGUUGGGUAUUUUGGUUAACACUUUGAAAAAAGCUUCUUUGGUAGGUGAGGUUGUGAAUGUCAGUGAGAUUGUAGAGAAUGUUAUUGAAGAUAUUGUGUAUAAGAUGAUAUUGGGUAGAGGUAAGUAUGAGCAAUUUGAUUUGAAGAAGUUGGUUCAAGAAGGAUUGGCUUUGAUUGGAGCUUUUAAUCUGGCUGAUUAUGUUCCUUGGCUAGGAAUUUUUGACCUUCAGGUAAGUUUGUCAAAUUAUAUAUAGCUUUUUUAAGCUUAAAUAUGAAAAUGGUCCCUCCAAAUAUUUGGCGUUUGUUUUAGUCCAUAUAAAAAUAUUUUUUUGAUUUUAAUCCCUGCAAAUAUAAAAUAUUUGGUUUUGGUUCUUGGUAUUUUGUUUUAAUCCUUGUAAAAUCAUUUCAUAUUGAAAUUGGUCCCUAUAAUAUUCAUUUUAGUCCUCAUUUUAAGGGACUAAAAUCAAAUAUUCUACAUACUACAAGGACCAAUUCCAAUAUGAAUCAAUUUUACAAGGACUAAAACAAAAUAUCAAAGACCAAAAUCAAAUUUUUUAUAUUUGUAGGGACUAAAAUAAAAAAAAAAUUUACAGGGACUAUAACCAAUCAUAUUUAAGGCCUCUUUUUAAUACAUGGUCAGAUUAAAAAAAUAUAAUUAGAUUUGUAUGAGAAAACGAAAUUAUGAGUCAUUUUAUAAAAUUACCUUUUAUUAAUGAAUGAUAUAGAAAAAAUAAAUUAAAAAAUUUAAAAAAGAUAAAGUAAUAAAUAUUUAAGAAUAUGGAAUAAUUAAUAUGCUAUUGGUUAACGACUAAUAAUUUGAAACAAUUUCCCCUAAAAAAAUUUAUAAUUUAGGCUCUUUUUGUCAAGGUCAAGAACAUAAUUUAUAAAUAAUUUAAAACAAAUUAUGCUCUUUUUGUCAAUUUUCUUAAAUUGUCAUGUUUGAUAACAAUCUUUUUACCAUAAAUUUAUAGCUUAUUUUACUAGCUUAUAACUUAUCUUUCAUAUAGCUUAUAGCGUUUGAAUUUAUAGUGUAUAAUUUAUCAUCUUUUAUUUCAUUGGAUUGAUUAUUAUUUUUUUAUUUUUUAAGGAAACCAUUGGAUUGAAUUAUUUCAGCGACUUAUGUUCCAAUUUGAUUAUUUCUUUUGGCAAUCUUCUAAUUCUAACGAUAACAAACAUAUACUUUUUUCCACUAUAUUUUACUUUGGCUUGUGUAUGUAUUAUAUUAAGAAUUUAAUUCUGUUUUUUUUUUUUUUUUUUUUUUUUUAUCCCUAAUGAUUUUAUUAAAUUUUCUUUUUAAUUUCUGCAAAUCGGAUAUUAUUUUGUUUGUGGGAUAAAAAUAUUAAAUAUUGAUAACAUUUUUAUAAAGAAUUAACAACAUCCUUUGAAGUCAUUUUACAUUUAUCAGCUAGUUAAACCGCGCUACUUUUAUCAAAUACUUCAAUCAGCUUAUAAGUUAUCAGUCAUCAGAUAUCAGCUAUUAGCUAUCAGACAUCAACCAUAAACUAUAAAUUAUAAGUUAACUUUUCAGCUAUUUACUAUUUUUAUCAAACAAAACCUAAAAAAGAGGGAGUAUUAUGUAUAAGAAAUAAAAGAUUAAUCAUUGACUUUAGUUUUAUUUUAAGUCUCAUAAACAAAUUUCCUCAAAAAAAAAAGUCUCAUAAAUAAAUAUCGUGAUUGUAUAUAAUUUUGGUCACUCAAACGUGGUAUUGCACUGUAUUUAUCCUUUACACUGUGUUUGGUUGAGGUGAAAUAGGAAAGAGAAAGAGCAGGCAGAGAAAAAGGUGAGAAGUUCAAAACUUCUCCUGUUUGGUUAGAAAAAGAAAGAGAGAUAAAAACAUGUGGAACCCACAUCUCCUUUUUUUUUUUUGGUAGAUAACCCACCUCUCCUUUUAGUCUCUCCAAAGUAGUGAAGAAACAAAGAAGAAACCCACUUUUUAUUUUUUAUUCCACUAAUGCCCUUGUGAAAUUGUUGCAAGUUUGCAACACGGCACGGACAAAACGGAAGCAUUGGUGUGAUUAGUGAUAAAUUGAUAAUGUGUCCCUUGCCUAAUAUACAGUGAGUAAGCAAACUUUUUAAAUGUACUUAAUAAUUGAUUGAUUGAAUUACAUAAAAACUAUAAUCUGUUUAACUUAAUUCAGUUAAACUAAUUAGUUUAAUUUACCACAAAAAAAAAAAAUUUAAUUGAUAUAAAGUUUAAAUAAAUAAUUUAAUUAAUUAGAAUAAAUUUGAAUAAAAGAUUAAAUAAUUUAAUUUUGACAAAGAUUAAAUAAUUUAAUAGAUUUUUUUAUUGUAGGGGUAUCUUUGUACUUUUAUAAAUAAUCAACACUUCUCUCUCUUCUAUCUCUCUUUUCUCCCUUUUAUGCCAAACAACACAUCAAAUCUACUUCAUUUCUCACAUAUCUCUCUCUCUCUCUCUCUUCACAACUUCUCUUCCAAACUAAACAAACCCUUUAGUGUUUUUCUUCUAGUUCAAUAAAUAAAAGGCUUAAACGCACUUUUAACCCUCUAAGUUUGCAAAAGUUGUAAUUUUGGCACCCUAUUAAAAAAAUGGCAAAAGUGACCCCCCAUGUUUAUCCCAUUUUGCAAAACCUCAAUUUUGACUUAGUCAAAUUUAUGUGUCACGCCACAUCAGUUAAAAAAUCGCUACGUGUCUACUUUUUGAAUUUAAAAUAAAUGUAAAUACCACAAGUGUAUAUGUAGAAUUAAAAUAAUAAAAAAGAAUAAAAAAAUAAAAGGAAAGAAUUAAGGAGAGAAGCGCUUGGUUUUCUUCUCUUCUUCCUCUGUAACAUCAAACUCGGGUAAGAAAGGAAAAUUAAACCCAGAAAGCAACGUGAGUCUUCAUAUCUUCAUCUCCAUACUUCAUAGCAAUCUUCAUAUCUUCUAAUCCAACCCAGAAAGAAAGAAAAAAAAAAACGAAUCCUUCAUUUAUUAAUUGGAAAACUAAACAUGCAUACACUUUAACUCUCAUUUCUUUAGGACAGUAUCAAUAGUGAUGAUAAAAUAAAACCGUAGGUCUGUUGAAAAAUAGUGUAUUAGGUCAAAAUCACCCAAUUUCAUCUCCAACUAUACCUCCAGCACCAAUUUAUUAUCCAAGUGAAGAUGAAUUCAAAGAUCCAUUAGAAUUUAUUCACAAAAUCAGACACGAAGCCGUACCGUAUGGAAAUUGAUUUGGAGUUUUCAAAUUUUGAUUUUGAGAGAAAAAAUAGCCCAUUUUUUUUUAAUUUCCAAAAUUUUAAUUCACGUGCUCUUUUCUUCAAAAAACAUCACGUGCUCUUAUGUUUUUUUUUUGCUUUUUGAUUUAUAUUUAAUUUCAUUAAUUUAUAUCUGGCUUUUUUAUUUAAUUUUUAAUUGGAAAAAACACAUGUGGUGUGCCAUGUAGGCUUGAUCAAAUCAAAAUUAACGUUUUGCAAAAAGAGAUAAACAUGGGGUCACUUUUACCAUUUUUUUUAAUGGGGGUCAAAAUUACAACUUUUGCAAACUUAGGGAGUAAAUAGUACGUUUAAGCCUAAAUAAAAUGAUUACCUAAUUUUCAAACUCAACUGCCCUUCACUUGUAGUUAAGGUAUUCUGAUGAUUUUAGUUACAAAUACCUUAAAUACCAAGUGAUGGUUUGAAAUUGGGGGCUAAAUUUCACAAUCUCAAUAUUUGAGGUACUACGUAGGAGAAAUUUUGAAAAAAAUCAGACGACCCCUUCUUUGCACAAUGGAAAAAUAUUAAGGUCAUGAUAAUUUAUUUUUGAUAAUUUUUUGGUGAUGUAAUUUUCAUUUUGUGGUGUUUAAUCUUUAAUAAUGAAAGGUUGCGUUAACUUUUAAGUGGUUGAAGGUGAAGUUUCCUUUUCUUCCCUUCAAUUAUCAUGGUUGGUGGCUUAAUCCGUUUACUGUUUUAGGCAUUGGCUAUUUUCUGUUCUUUUUGGCUUGUUUUCUGGUGUUGGCUCUUGUCUUGUAUAUAUGUUUUGUUCUUUUGUUGUAACUUGCUGGGUUUUUAUUCAUUUGUACAUCUUGUGCUAGGAAGACCCUCGUGGUGUUAAUAUAUUUCAUUAAUUUUAGUUUCUUCAAAAAAAUAAUGAGAGGUUGCCAUAAUUUAGAAACCAAAUUGAAUCAAGUUUUAAAUAUUUUAAAUUUCCUUAAAUAUAUUGUUAUCAAUUUUUCAAGCCCAGUUUAGUUAGUAAGAUGCUUCAACUAUAUUCAUAGGGCUUCGAGUUCUAGUUAUGAAGGGGGAAAAUGGAGAACAUUGAUACUCUUUUAAAAAAACUUGCUCUAAUGAUUUUGUUAAGUACAAUGAAAAUAUUUAUUUAGUAAUUGAUAUUUUAUGUUUAACUCAUUGUUAGGGAUUAACAAAAUCUUGCAAGAAAGUUAGUAAAGCAAUUGAUGAGCAGCUAGAGGUGAUAUUAACAGAACAUGAACAAGCUGCUAAUGUAAACAAAACUCAUCAUAAAGAUUUUGUAGACAUACUUCUUUCAAUUAUGCACCAAACCAUUGAUGUCGAGGGUGAACAAAAUCUCGUCAUUGAUCGAACUAACAUCAAGGCUAUUUUGCUCGACAUGAUAGUGGCAGCAAUCGAUACAUCUGCUACCUCGAUUGAAUGGGCUUUAUCUGAACUUUUAAGACAUCCAAGAGUGAUGAAAAAGCUUCAAGAUGAGAUACAAAAUGAAGUAGGAAAUAAAAGAAAGAUUGAGGAGAAAGAUAUGAAGAAGUUGAAUUAUUUAGAUAUGGUGGUUGAUGAGACCUUAAGACUUUACCCUGUUGCACCAUUACUAGUCCCUCGUGAGUCUAGAGAGAGCACAAUAAUUGAUGGUUAUUUUAUAAAGGAAAAGACACGACUUAUAGUAAAUGCAUGGGCAAUAGGGAGAGAUCCUAAUGUUUGGUCAGAAAAUGCCGAAGAAUUUUAUCCAGAGAGAUUUAUUGAGAAAAACUGAAUUAUCUCGGACAAGAGUUUGAAUCUAUACCAUUUGGUUCUAGUCGUAGGCGUUGUCCUGGAAUUCAAUUGGGUUUAAUUACGAUUAAGUUGGUUAUAGCUCAAUUUGUGCAUUGCUUUAAUUGGGAACUUCCACAUAAUAUUAGUUCUUCUAGUUUGAAUAUGGAGGAAAAAUUUGGACUCACUAUACCAAGAACUCAACAUUUGCAUGCAAUACCAAGUUAUCGUUUGGAUGAUGCUAAACAUGAAUAGUUCUAAGUACAAUACUAUGUUGUGUUCAACAAGUUAAUUGCUAGUAAAAAUGCCAAGUAUGGUAGCUUAGUCCACUAAAGCUCUUGCAAACGGAAAGUUCGGAAAGGGGGUCUAACCAAUUAGUGUAUUAUAACGACCUUGGUACUUUCCAAAACAACAUUUAAUGAAGAAUCGGUUCCAGAAUCAGACAUGUGAGUUCAAUUGCACGAGAGGGGUGAAUUCGCCAAUGCCGGAAUUAGAAAUCUCCCUAAUUGAUUCAGCCCUAUGAAGCAUUCAAAAUUACCGUUAAAUCUCACCUGAUAUGCUCUCGUCCAUACGUAUCGAAGAAGUAUCCAAAUUUUUUAAUUAAAAAUAAAAAAUAAUUUUUUUUAACACGUCACAUAUACGUUGCGAUACGCUGCCAACACGUCUCUGAUACAUCUCAUGAUUGUUCAGUUUUUAGUUUUCCCCUAAUUACAUUCUAUCUUUACUAUGAUUAUGAUUGAUGCAUGUCAAUUAUAAUGUGGCAAAUUCUAUGGUACAUCCAAAAAUAUGAGUGUAUCGUUACAUCAAAUCGUUAAAUCAAUAAUUAAAUGAGUUGUUUUUUGAUUUUUUUAUUAUCAUUGAUAAUUAUAAUAAUUAAAUCUUAUUGAACAAAAACUUCGACGAAAUAAAAAAAAAUUGAAUUUUUAUUACUCAUAAUAAAGAAUAUUGAUGAUUUUUUAUGAGAAAAUGUUAAAAAUUUAAUAUGAUUCUUAUAAACAAUGAAAUGAUGUUUUUUCUUACGAAAUGAUGUUUUCUAAAAUAUAAAUAUGGACAAAUAUUUUUUUUAUUUCAUAAAAUGAUCGUUAAUUUAUAAAUUUAUAGAGCAAGAGUACCGGUAAACCUUAAUUUGUGAUGUGUACCGUAGAAGUUCCCUUAUAAUGUACCCAUUUAAUUUAUUAGAAUUUUCUAAGUUUUCUUUCUUUUUUCCAUAAUUAUUUUACGGUUGCAAAUUGAAAUCACAGCUAACUAAGAGUGCAUGUAAUAUGCCAAACUUACCAAUUCUAAACAAACAACUAUAGAGGAUAGAGUUCUGAGUUUAGUUUGAAAUUCAUCGCUUCGAUUGAGUUUGUGUUGUGAAUUUAGUUUAAAUUUUUUAACUAAUAUUUAUAACUUUAUUUUAAUUUUUAUAUUUGUAUGUUAAUUAAAUAUAUCAUAUCUUAUAUUUUUCAAUGACUGAAGUAUCGAUUUGUGUCGUAUCGGAUGCUCAUAUUGUGUCCAUGAUUAAUAGAUUCAACCAAACGACCAAUAACCAUACCCUUCAAAUUCUCUCUCCUACCGAGUUUUAAUUGAUGUUUACAACUUUAUUUUAAUUUUUAUAUGUGUAUGUUAAUUUUAUCGUAUCCUAUAUUUUUAAAUGACUGACAUAUCGAUACCCUUAAAAUUUUCUCUCCCACCCAUUUUUAGAAACAACCCACAACCAUGGUUUAUUGUCUUUAUCCUUUUGGAAGAAGUAUUUGUUAAAGCAUAUCACAAAAGAAAUGGAAGCAAGUUUUCUAAGUAAAGAUGAAGAUGUGCACCAUAGUCCUCCAUUACUUGCGACAAAAGCAAUUGAAGCUUAAGACAGUUUUAGACUUAGAAAUCAUGUUAUGACUACUUUGCUCAUGUUUAGGAAAGUUAGUUAUGAUACAGUGAGGUGAAGAUCACAGUAGUUUAUGCUGAUCUAUCACUGAAAUACCAUAAGUACAUGUAAUUGCUUCUAUUACAAGUUAAUGUGAAAUAAUGGUUCAUUGAACCAAUUCUUGAUUCUUUUAUUUGUUUUUAUCUCAUUUUUUUAUCAAUCUUUUGUUAUCUCAACAUUAUUUGUCUCGUGUGUUUGUAAGAGAACCCAUGGUGGCUGGUUUAUUACACGCUUGGAGGAGAAGGAGGUAGAAGGGGCAAUCCGCGCGCGUGUUUUUUUAGGGUUCUAGGUAGAAGUUGAUUUUUAAUUGAAGAAGCUUGAUAAAAUUGGUGUUUUAGAGUUUCCUAAGAAGAGGAGUGUAGCAGAAGUAACAAAAUUGAAAAGGGAGGAAGAUUAAAUCACCAAUGUAGCAUAUUUGUGUUUGUUGUUUUUUUUUUCUUUUUGCAUAAACAUGGCAAACAAAGACGAAGAAGAAAAAAAUACACAGGACAGAAGAAGAUUUUGGAAAUUGUUUUUAUUAAUGUUGUGAUGAAGAUUUAUGUAUGAAGAUUAAAAGAAAAGCAACAGUGAUCUGGGUUUCUCUUUAAACAUUCUAGAAAAAGGGGUUUUAAAUAAUUUUAUGUUUUUAAAAUUAAUGACUUUUUUUCUGCAGGAUUAAAAUUAAUGACUUGGUAACCAAUAUUCAUGUGGAAGUUUUUUUUUUUUUAAAGAAAUAUAAAUACACACUCAACUACGUAAUCCAUUGUACACAAUCAAAAAAUCUUAAAAUGGAAGAGGAAUCUCAAACUUUUCUUUUUUAAACCAAAAUUCGCUCGUGUAAACAUUAUUUGACCCUAAAAAUAAUGAAUAUUUAGACUUAAAUAUGCAAUUUAACCUUAGUUUUUUUUUUCGUCAUUCGAGUUUUUUUUUAUAAGCAAGAGAGAGGACAGGCAUCAAGAGACAUCAUCGACAUCCCAACUAGGUUGGCAUCUCAAGAGACCUCCAUCGUAUGCCGCCAAACUCAAAAGAUUUUAUUAAAAAAGGGGGAAAAAUAAUUACAAAAGGAGGGUGGACAAGACCAAAACUCUCAAAAUGAACGGAAAAGAAAAGCAACAGUGGAAACAACAAAACAGUCCAAAGAACAGAUCAAAGAAAUCUGUAAUUAGGAAAUCCACAAUAAAAAUUAGAAUUUGUGACAUAUAUAAAUUUUUAAAGCAAUCCAAGUAUCAAAGUUAUUGAUACCUCUAACAUUCCAAUGUGUGCCAAAUAUUGUAUUCAAAAAUUGUGAUCAACCAAUACUUUUUCAACAAGGAAUAGAUAAAUGGAGCACUCCUUGGUGGUAUGGUGACAUAUGUUGUAGCUUCUCUGUCCACAGAAAAACGUGUACACCAACUUGGAGUUCUUGAUAUCUUCAACCUCGUUACUUCAGCCAAACCAAAUCAUUCAUUGUGGUCAUGUCUUUUGCAGCAACAACUAUGCUCUAUUUCCUUCUCUUCACUUUCAUAUACCUUUUAUUCAAACUCUUCUUACAUCCAAAACAAAAUACCAUUAACCAUAAAAAGCCACCAGGUCCACCAACACUACCAAUAAUAGGAAACCUUCACAUGUUAGGUAAACUUCCACAUAGAACACUUCAAUCACUCUCCAAAAGAUAUGGUCCAAUCAUGUCCUUACAACUUGGUCAAGUUCCAACAAUUGUUAUUUCAUCUUCAAAAGGAGCAGAAUCAUUCCUCAAAACCCAUGACAUCGUUUUCGCAAGCCGACCGAAGAUUCAAGGAUCAGAGCUCAUGUCCUAUGGUUCUAAAGGGUUGCCUUUUUCUGAGUAUGGUCCUUAUUGGCGCAGUAUGAGGAAAUUUUGCACUUUGAAACUUCUUAGUGCUUCAAAAGUUGAGAAGUCGGGUCCUAUUAGAAAAGAGGAGUUGGGUGUUUUGGUUAACACUUUGAAGAAAGCUUCUUUGGUAGGUGAGGUUGUGAAUGUUAGUGAGAUUGUCGAGAAUCUUAUUGAGGAUAUUGUGUAUAAGAUGAUAUUGGGUAGAGGUAAGUAUGAGCAAUUUGACUUGAAGAAGAUGAUUAAAGAUGGAUUAACUUUGAUGGGAGCUUUUAAUCUGGCUGAUUAUGUUCCUUGGCUAGGCAUUUUUGACCUUCAGGUACAUUUGUACUAUUUAUUACUACUAUCUCGUUAAAUAUAAGAUCAUUUUGUGUUUUUUCUGUCGCUUUUUAUAAGAACCCUUUCAAAUUUUAAUGUAGAUUAAUUAUUUCUUUAUCAAUAUAUCCUUAUUUAUGUUGCAUAUUUUUAUACAAUAUAUAAUAAAUAUUCUACGAAAACAUCAGCUAAUUUCUUUCAUAAAGGAUAAAUAUGUAAAACAAUAUAAAUUGUAAACAAAAUUAAUUCAACAAUUAAUUUUCUUAAUUCCUGUGUUUUUCACGAAAUGGUUCUAUAAUUAAGGACGGAGGUAGUAUUUAUAAGAAAGAAAGAUAUUGAAUAUUAACAUACAUUUAUUUUAGUCUGAUGAUUUUGGCUUGGGAUCCGGGAGUAUGCACCUCCUCGAGGUCUCAGGUUCGACUCUCUCUGAUGCCAAUUUAAGUGGGUUAAUUUAACUUCUUCAAAAAAACAUAUGUUUAUUUUUAACACACUUAGAUUGGCCUGAUGGUAUUGGCUUGAGAUCCGGAAGUGUGCUGUUUCAUAAAUAGAGUGUUCUUCAAAACAAAACAAAAAACUCAUAAAUAGAGUGAUUGAGUGAUUUUGGUCACUCAAUAUUUAAUAGUUCGGUAUUGGUCCUUUAGUGUUUUUCCCUCUAUGGCUUUAAAAGGGUUACCUGAUUUUAUCUCAAUUGCCCUUCACUUUUAUAUAUGAAAUUGGAAACUGGGUCAAAUUUCACAAUAUCAAAAUAUUUUAGGUACUAGAAGUAAGAGAAAUUUGAAAACAAGUUAGAUAAUCCCUUUACUAUACACAAGGGAAAAUUGAAUUAACUCUACAAAAAAAAUGAGUUAACUCUUAAAUAUUUUCCAUUCGGUUAAAUAUUUCAGUUAUCCAUUUCAUCCUCAAUUUACUUAUGUUUUUACGGUUUUGUUAAUAACAACAAUCAAGUCUUAUCCGACUGAGUAAGAUCAACUAUAUAGAUCAAAUUACCCCAUAAUAGGUUAUCAUAAACGUGGGUUUGUUAAGUUCAAUGAAAAUAUUCAUGUAGUAACUGAUAUUAUUAGUUAACUUUUUGAUAGGGAUUAACACAAGCUUGCAAAAAAACCAGUAAAGCUCUUGAUGAAGUUUUGGAGAUGAUAAUAACAGAGCAUGAACAAACUACUAAUACAGACGAUCCUAAAGAUUUUGUAGACACAGUUCUUUCAAUUAUGCACCAAACCAUUGAUGUUGAGGGUGGACAAGAUCUCGUCAUUGAUCGAACGAUCAUCAAGGCUAUUUUGCUCGACAUGAUAGGGGCAUCAAUUGAUACAUCUUCAAACGUGAUAGAGUGGGCUUUAUCUGAACUUUUAAGGCAUCCAAGAGUGAUGAAAAUUCUUCAAGAUGAAAUACAAAAUGAAGUAGGAAAUAAGAGAAUGGUUGAAGAAAAGGAUUUGAAGAAUUUUAAUUACCUAGAUAUGGUGGUUGAUGAAACCUUAAGACUUUAUCCUGUUGCACCUUUAUUAAUCCCUCGUGAAUGUAGAGAGAACAUAACAAUUGAUGAUUAUUCUAUAAAAGAAAAGACACGAGUUAUAGUAAAUGCAUGGGCAAUUGGGAGAGAUCCUGAUGUUUGGUCAGAAAAUGCUGAAGAAUUUUACCCAGAGAGAUUUAUUGAGAAAAAAAUGAAUUAUCUCGGACAAGAGUUUGAAUCUAUACCAUUUGGUUCUGGUCGUAGACGUUGUCCUGGAAUUCAAUUGGGUAUGAUUACGGUUAAGUUGGUUAUAGCUCAAUUCGUGCAUUGCUUUAACUGGGAACUUCCACAUAAUAUUAGUCCUUCCAAUUUGAAUAUGGAGGAGAAAUUUGGACUCACUAUACCAAGAGCUCAGCAUUUGCACGCAAUACCAAGUUAUCGUUUGGAUGAUGCUAAGCUUGAAUAGUUCCAAGAAUAAUUACUAUGUUCGUGUUCAUCAAGUAUAUAAUUGGUAAAGAUGCUUAGGAGGUCUAUUAAUGAUGUUUUAAUGUAUAUUGCUUGUUCUUUAUAUAUGUUUGAUAGCCAACAUUUGAGUCUUCAUUGGGACAUGGAGGUCAAUAAAAUCACAUACCUUCAUGAUCAAUGGUAUGGUGCAAGUCUAUAGUACAAAUCUCCUUCAUCUCUACCCUAUCUCUUUCUUUUACUCAGUAUUUGUUUCAAUUCUCUGUUAUUAUUAUUACUAGGGUUGUUCGCGGUGCGGUUUGGUUCGGUUUCAAGCAUAAUAAUAAUCCAAACCGCGAGAGAAAAAAGCAUGCGGUUUGGUUUGGUUCGGUUGUUUUUUAAAAAGUCAUCCAAACCAAACCAAUGCGGUUUGGAUUGGUUCAGUUGAUGCGGUUAAUCACGAGAUAAAUAAAAAAAUUACAUUAACUUAAUAUUGCCAACUAGUACCAAGCAAUUUUAAUUAUUCAAAAAAAGAAUUUGAAGUUCCAAAAUAGCAUUACAAUACCAAUAAAAGUUAUUUAUCUAAAAUAACAUUACAGAACCAAAAUAAUAGCUGGAUAGUGUUGGGCUUGGACUUGGGUUCACUUUGGUAUUGGGCUAGUACAAUACUUACUUAGUUUAAUAACAUUGAGUAUUUUUGCGGUUUGGUUUGGUUUGGUUCGGUUGCUGAGAUGUAAACCGCAAACCGAACCGAACCGCGCGGUUCAGUCUAAAAAUCAUCCGAACUCAUCCGAACCAAGUGCGGUUUUUUGCGGUUUCAGUUUGGGUUGGUUCGGUUUGCGGUUUUUCUAUUGGGUUGGUUCGGUUUUGAACACCCCUAAUUAUUACUGAUUUUAAAAUUGGUAUGGCACACUUUAGAAAUGAGGUAGACCUGAAGUUCUAAAGUUUUUUUAACACAACAUAUCACACAUGACAACUUAAUAACUAGAAUACUGCUCCAUUAAGAUUGGAGAACAACAUAUAAAAGAUGUAAAUACUUAUUAUUCCUCUAUGGUUUUCCACAAUGUACAUGUAUAAUAUACUGCACAUUAACUAUUAUUUGAUUCAAAAAGUAUUAAAGUAUGUUUAUAUUUUUAUUUGUAUUAUGUAUUGAUAUCAAAAUAAUGAAUAUCAUUCAAAAAAAAAAAAAAAAUCAAAAUAAUGAAUAUGGGUGGCAUUUAGGGUGGGAAGGGGAAAGAUUUUCCCACCAUAGGUCAGUUGACAUUUUACCGUUAAAUUAAAAAGGAAUACUGAUUUUAUUAUGGACUGUCUACACCCUAUCUUUUCCCACCCACCUUUCUCUCUCCUCCUUGCUCUCCACCACCCGCAACAUCACCUACAGCCACUAUCACCACCGGUUCCUUCCAUUCUCGUCCAAAGCAAGCUUCAGAUCCGACGCACCUAGCUCAAUCUCUCUUUUCCAGUUUCUCUUAAUCAUUCAAUCGCCCCAUUUAUAUCCCCCCUUCGUAAAAAAUUCCAUGAUGUGAUAAUCCAAAUAUGGGCUAUAAUAUUACUGUAAUAUUUAUUGUUUGCUACUUAAUUUUAGUUCAAUGGGUCACUACAUAUAUAUUAAUUAUCGAUUCUUACAGGUUUGAUUGAAGCCUAUGAAGAUUGAUUUUUAACUUUUUUUAGAUUGCAACUCAUGAAGAUUGAUUUUGAUAAUUGGUUCCAUAAAAAGCAUGUUUCUUAAUUGUAAGCACGUGAAGAUUUUUGGGUUGUAGUUUCAUGGUGGCUGGUGGUGGUGGGUGAGUGGGGGUAUGGAGGAGAGAGAAGAAUGGUGAGGUGAGUGAGGUUGGAGACAGAUUGAAAAAAUAUAGUGUGGGUAGACCAUAGUAUGAUUAGUGUUCCUAUUUGAUCUAAUGGUCAAAAUCAACUUUUUUAUGGUAGGAAACUCUUUCCCUUACCCACCCUAAAUGCCACCAUGAAUAUGAGAGAGUUUUGUGUAACUUUUUUGCAUGUGUUGUUUUCUGACUCUAGAUUUGGAUAACAAAACAAUCAAGUCUUUUGUUCUCUUUCUCUAUUAUAGAUCUACUUUCUCUCUCUCUCUAUGAUUCCCGUGCUAUACUAGAUCUGACAACUGAACUCUUGCGACUCAAUAAUUUCUUUCUUCAAUAUGAACUUUAAGACCAAAUUUAGUUUCUAAAUCUUAAAAAAUUUAAUCAUAAACAAUAACAUUUUAGUACAUAAAUUAAUUUCCAAAACCUGAUCUUUCUCCUGUAGACCAAAUAUAUUGUCUAUCCUGUUUCAUGUUUGUAAAUUGUAACAAGUUAAUUUUUUUUUUUUUAAGUUGUAACAUUCUAGUCAAAUACCUCACUGGAUCUUCUAAGUUUUACGUUUGUUUCAGAUAGGUCCUUUAAGUUUUUAAGGUUUUAGAUAUGUCAUUUAAGUUUCGAGUUUGUUUCAGAUAUGUCUUUUAAGUUUCUAAGGUUUCAGAUAGGUCCUUUAAAUUUCGAAUUUAUUUCAGAUAGAUCAUUUCUAUCGAAUCAACUUUAAAAAAUUAACUUAUUAUAAACAACCAACUUAAAAAUCGCUAGAAGUAUUUGACCUUUCCAUAACCAAAAUCUAAAAAACAAAUGUGGUAUUUUUCCUAUAAGACCACUUUCAAAAUCACUCAUGCUGCUGUAUUACUCGAGAUAAGAUUUAAAUUGCAAAUGUAAAUAUUAAAAAGAGGGUUAAUUAAAUUUUUAGUCCCUUUUUUUUUUUUAAAAAAAAAAAAGAAUUUUUAGUCUCUAUAAAUAUUCACAGUUUUGUUUUUAGUCUAUACAAAAUAAAAUCACACUUUUUAGUCAAUGUGACAUUUUAAGGACUAAAAAUGCUGAUGAAAUUUUUUUAUAUAGACGAAAAAUGCUAAUGAAAAAUUUUAUAGAGACUAAAAAUAUUGAUGGAAAAUUUUAUAGGGACUAAAAAAUGUGAUUUUACUUUGUAGGGACUAAAAACAAAAUUAUGAAUAUUUAUAAGGACCAUUUACUUAUUAACCCUUAAAAAGAUGAAUGUUAUUUGAACAACCGUUUGGUUGACAACUUUUGGAACAACUAUAAUUUACAAAGAAAAAGUAGGUAUGUGAACGAAAACCAUAGUAGAAAGAUAAAGUAAAGAAUAACGUAAGUAUGAUUGAGAAAGUUGUCAAAAAAAUUAUUAAAAAAUGGAUGUUCUAAUAUCAUUCCUCUAUUAAAAAACGUUACUAUUUGAUCACAUUAUUAGUAAGUUAUCUUGCUCAGCUAGUAAAUUAUUAUACCGAUGGAGUUUUCACGGUGAAUCAAAUUACACAGUGCUUUGAAAACGAGGAGGAUAACAUCCUUCUUUUACUUUUUAAAUUGACAAGCAUGCACAACGAGAUGGAUAAAAGAAUAUUAAAAUAAUGGUAAAUCAUAUCCAACGUGUGCAUGUACAUUGUCGGUUGUAACAAAUCGACGUUCAUAAAAUGUACGUGCAUAGUUGAUCAUUUAAAAAAAAAAAAAUAUUUGAAUGAUGUUUUUCAUAUUUGCAAUUAGGUGUCAUUUAAAAAUUAGUUCAUAUAAUUGCUAAUCCUGACAAUUUACAUUUGCAUUAUUUAAUCAUUUAAAAUUUUAUCUUUUGACCAACUUAAUCACAAAUUAGCAAAAUGAUACGGAAAUGGACAAAUAUACCCUCGUCGUUAUUAUGAGAAGAAGACUAAGACAAGGGUAGAAAUACAUAAAUAUCUCCAUAAAUAUCUCACUAGCUAGAUAUACAAACCAAACACGUACACCACCGGUUUCAAGAUAAUCUGAGAUUAACUUGGAGUUCUAUAUAGUCUUCAACCUUGUUACGUACUUCAGCCAAACCAAAGCAUUCAUUGUAGACAUGUCUUUUGCACUAACAACAACAAUGUUUGCUUUUCUUCUCUUCACUUUCAUGUACUUUCUAUUCAAACUCUACUUACAUCCAAAACAAAAAACCCUAAACCAUAAAAAACCACCAGGUCCAUCAACACUACCAAUAAUUGGAAAUCUUCACAUAUUAGGCAAACUUCCACAUAGAACACUUCAAUCACUCUCCAAAAAAUAUGGUCCAAUCAUGUCCUUACAACUUGGUCAAGUUCCAACUAUUAUCAUUUCAUCUUCAAAAGCUGCAGAAUCAUUCCUCAAAACUCAUGACAUCGUUUUUGCAAGUCGACCAAAGGUUCAAGGAUCAGAUCUCAUGUCUUAUGGUUCCAAAGGGAUGGCUUUUUCUGAGUAUGGUCCUUAUUGGCGUAGUGUGAGGAAAUUUUGCACUUUGAAACUUUUUAGUGCUUCAAAAGUUGAGAUGUUUGGUCCUAUUAGGAAGGAGAAGUUGGAUGUUUUGGUUAUAUCUUUGGAGAAAGCUGCCUUGGAGGGUGAGGUUGUGAAUGUUAGUGAGGUUGUAGAGAAUCUUAUUGAGGAUAUUGUGUAUAAGAUGAUGUUUGGUCGGAGUAAGUAUGAGCAAUUUGACAUGAAUAAGUUAGUUCUAGAAGCAAUGGCUUUGAUGGGAGCUUUUAAUCUGGCUGAUUAUGUACCUUGGCUAGGCGUUUUUGACCUUCAGGUACGUCUUGACAAUUUCAUAUUAAAAAUUCUAAUUAAUUUUAUGAGAUUAUUUGAUUAUAUGGAAAAGAGGUUAACAUUGGCGCAACUGAUAAAUUUGUUGUCAUGUGACUGAAAGGUCAUAGAUUCAAGUCCGGAAAACAACCUCUUAUAUAAACAACAGGGUAAGGCUGUGUACAUUACACUAAAUGGUGGGACCCCUUCCCGGGGCCUAUGUAUGCGGGAGCUUUAGUGCACCGGGUUGCCUUUUAUUUGAUGAUAUGGAAAAAAGAAAAAUAUUUAUAGUUUAUUGAUAUUUAAUUGGUGGUUAAGACUUGAGAGUAUCUUUGUGUUGAUUUUUUAUAAUUUUUAUAAAGAUGUAUCUUUGUGUUGAUAUCGCUAUAUAAGAAAGAAAAAGAUUGAAUAUUGUGCGUUGUGUUUGAAUGGAGGGUUUAAGAAGAAAAGGGAGGAGAAGAUUUACUUUUUUUUUUUUUUUAAAUUAGUAACACUAAAAUGUUUUUCAAAAAUUGAAAUAACAUGUGAUUUUUCCUCUAUGGCAAUAAAUUGGGUUACCUGAUUUUAUUUCAAUUGCCCUUCACUUUUAAUUAAACUUCUUCAGAUUCUUUCUCAUGUAACCAAAAUAAAUAGAUAGUAAAUAAAUAAAUCAGCUAUCGAUUUCAUACUCAAUUUACAUAUGCUUUUGUUAAGUUCAGUGAAAAUAUUCAUGUAGUAGCUGAUAUCAAUUAUAAGUUUAAUUUUUUGUUAGGGAUUAACACGAGCUUGCAAAAAAACCAGUAAAGCCCUCGAUGAGGUUUUGGAGAUGAUAAUAACAGAGCACGAACAGACUACUAAUACUGACAAAACUCGUAAUGAAGACUUUGUAGACAUACUUCUUUCAAUUAUGCACCAAACCAUUGAUGUCGAGGGUGAACAAAAUCUCGUCAUUGAUCGAACUAACAUCAAGGCUAUUUUGCUCGACAUGAUAGCGGCAUCAGUUCAUACAUCUGCUACCACGAUUGAGUGGGCUUUAUCUGAACUUCUAAGGCAUUCAAGAGUGAUGAAAAUUCUUCAAGAUGAGAUACAAAAUGAAGUAGGAAAUAAAAGAAUGGUUGAAGAGAAGGAUCUGAAGAAGUUUAAUUACUUAGAUAUGGUUGUUGAUGAAACCUUAAGACUUUAUCCUGUUGGACCCUUAUUAAUCCCUCGUGAAUGUAGAGAGAGCAUAACAAUUGAUGGAUAUUUUAUAACGAAAAAGACUCGAGUUAUAGUAAAUGCAUGGGCUAUUGGGAGAGAUUGUAACGUUUGGUCAGAAAAUGCUGAUGAAUUUUACCCAGAGAGAUUUAUUGACAAGAAAAUGAAUUAUCAAGGACAUGAGUUUGAAUCUAUACCAUUUGGUUCUGGUCGUAGGCGUUGUCCUGGAAUUCAAUUGGGUUUAAUUAUCGUUAAGUUGGUUAUAGCUCAAUUUGUGCAUUGCUUUAACUGGGAACUUCCACAUAAUAUUAGUCCUUCCAAUUUGAAUAUGGAGGAGAAAUUUGGACUCUCUAUACCAAGAGCUCAGCAUUUGCAGGCAAUACCGAGUUAUCGUUUGGAUGAUGCUAAGCAUGAAUAGUUACAAGAAUAAUACUAUGUUCUUGUUCAACAAGUUUCUACUAGUAAUAAAGAUGCUAAGUAUGGCAGGUCUAUUAAUGAUGUUUUAAUGCAUAUUGCUUGUUCUUUAUAUAUGUUCAUAGCCAACAUUUGAGUCUCCAUUGGGACAUGGAGGUCAAUAAAAUGAAUAAUACAAGCAUAUCACAUGCCUUCAUGAUCAAUGGUAUGGUGCAAAGUAUUUUACUCAAAGUAUUUGUUUCAAUUCUGUUUUAUCAUUAUUAUUAUUAUUACUGAAUUUAAAAUUGGUAUGGGACAUAUGGUGUGUUUGGAUUCACGGCCAAAACACCUUUUCCACGUCCCGAGGUAAUUUUUAACGUGAUUUAAAGAAGCUUCAAAAGGUAGCUUCUCUUCAAACGUGGGUUUUUAUCACUGAAUUGAUAAAUCAACCGCUUGCACAAACAUGCUAAUAUCAAUUCUAGAAAUGAGGUAGACCUUCAAAUUCUAAAGCUUUUUUAACACAACAUAUCACACAUGACAACAAAACUAGAAUGUUACUAUGGAGAUUGUAGAACGACAAAUAAGAUGAAGUUAAUCAAAGAAACAGAGAUACAAACCUUAACUCAGCUAAUGAUAAAUUUUUAAAAUUGAUGGAGUUUUUUAUGGUGAAUCAAACUAUUCAGUACUAUGAAAACACUACUUCCAAUAUUUCCUCUAAUCAAAUUAUUUAUUUGUUCCUCUAAUUUCUAGAAUUUUAGGCAUCCCUUAUGUUAUAAUUGCAUGAAAAUCUGUAUUUAUACUUUCACAACCUAAAAGUUGUCUUGAACUAACAAAUCCAAAUAAAAUUUUGGGGAAAUGGAUUUCCUCCUGUGAAAAUCUCUCCAGUUUUCUGCAGUGAUACAAUCUGCACCAUUAAUUGUCUUCUCUUUUAUUUUCAACAUUUAAAAUUCUCAUAUACAUUAAUUUUUAAUGGACAAGAUUUCACUGGACUCUCGUGUGACCACCGGAGAGAUUCCAAACCCAAACUUUGGUAUCAUUACAAUAAGGUACUGGGCAUUAUUCUCUACUCAUGAUUAUUAUGAAAUUAAAAUUGAGACUAUUAUUAAUUCAAAUUUCUAAAAACAAUUACAAAGCAAGCAUAAACCAGUGAACUAAUUCUUCAUACCAUUGUGAACCUGAUGUCAUAGGUUGAAUUAGCACUCUAUGACAAAUUUAAGAAAAUCAGUUACAAGUUAGUUGAAAAUAGUGGACCGGAUUAUCACUUUAAUUAUUGGAAUAACUGAUCAUAUACAUAAACACUUGUAUGAUAAACACUUAUUCAAUAAGCAAUUAACUGAUAAUUUCUCUAAUUUCUUCACUCCUAAUUUAUUCAUAUGUUGGCUAUUAACAUAUAAUAAAAACUAGCAAUACUCAUUAACUUAUUCUAUUCAAGCACCAUUAGACCAACUUAUAACAUCUUUACUAGUAAUAAACUUGUUGAAUACAAGCAUAAUAAUGUCCUUUAUGGACCUAUUCAAGCUUCUCAUCACAUUCCAAACGAUAACUCGGUAUUGCGUGCAAAUGUUGAGCCCUUGGUAUAGUGACUCCAAAUUUCUCUUCCAUAUUCAAAUUGGAAGGGCUAAUAUUAUGUGGAAGUUCCCAAUUAAAGCAAUGCACCAAUUGAGCUACAACAAAUCUAACCGUAACCAAACCCAAUUGAAUCCCAGGACAACGUCUACGACCUGAACCAAAUGGUAUAGAUUCAAAUUGCUGUCCUUGAUAAUUCAUUUUCUUAUCACUAAAUCUCUCUGGAUAAAACUCAUCAGCGUUUUCUAACCAAAUAUUUGAAUCUCUCCCUAUAGCCCAUGCAUUUACUAUAACUCGUGUCUUUUCCUUUAUAAAAUAUCCAUCAAUUGUUAUGCUUUCUCUACAUUCACGAGGAAGUAAUAAGGGUCCAACAGGGUAAAGUCUUAAUGUCUCAUCAACCACCAUAUCUAAGUAAUUCAACUUCUUCAAAUCAUUCUCUUCGACCAUUCUUUUAUUUCCUACUUCAUUUUGUAUCUCAUCUUGAAGCUUUUUCAUCACUCUUGGAUGUCUGAAAAGUUCAGAUAAAGCCCACUCAAUCGUGGUAGUGGCUGUAUCAAUUCCUGCCACAAUCAUGUCUAGUAAAAUUGCCUUGAUGUUAGUUCUGUCAAUAACACCACUUUGUUCAUUUUCUGGAUCUACCGUUUGGUGCACAAUUGAGAGAAGUAUAUCAAUGAAAUCUUCAUGACGAACUUUGUCUACAUUAGUGCUUUGUUCAUGCUCUGUAAUUAUCAUCUCCAAUACCUCAUCAAGUGCUUUACCGGUUUUCUUGCAGGUUCGUGUAAAUCCCUAGCAAAGUGUUAAAUUAAGAAUGACAAUUACUAAUUGGAUAUUUUUACAUACCUUACUGGAACAAUAAAAAAAUGAAGAAAUAAUCAUUUUAGUCUCUGACUUUGCACCUCACUGUUACAAUAAUCUUGACUUAUGAUAAAAUGCAAAAUGGUCCCCGGAUGUUUACCUCCGUUGGUUAGUUUAGUGCUUGACGUUAAAAUUGACCGUUAAAUGCCGACAAGGAUGUGUAACAUGGAUCUAGAGACUAAAGUGAAAGUCAACACACAAAUCCUCAAAUCCCUCCAUUUUCUGUCACUUUAUGUAGUCCAUUAUUUUUACUCAAAUUUAGAAUUAAUUAAGGGACAUGGUCGUCAUGACAUUGAUUUUCUAAGAUUUACAUAGUGGGACCAAAAAUAAAAAAUAAAAAAUAUAAAAAGUGUUUGCCAAAAAAAAAAGUAAACUCAUAAACUCGAUCUAAUUUACCGAAUUUAACAUGUGUUAACUUGGUCAAACUUGUCAAACAUUCAAUUUCACCAAAAAUCAAAUUUACCUCCGAUUUGCCAGAAAUAAUAAUAAAAUAAAAAAUAUAGUGGCUUGCGGGAAUCGAAGGAGGAAAAGCAGGUAUAACCUCCGAAAAGUCACUCUCAAAGCUCAUUUUUUUAUCUUAUUUUCAAAGUCACUUUUGUUGGAUUUCCUUCUUUACAAAAAAGUCACUUCUAUUAUUAAGAGCUUUAUCAAAAUUAUGUUUGGCCCCACUUCUCUUUAGAAGUAAAAGAUAAGUGGCAAAUAAGCAGGGCCAAACAUGCUCUUAACAUAUUUUUGACACAUAAAAACGUAAAUUUGUACGAGUUGUACGAGGUUACAAGUUAACGCAGGAUUUGUGGAACACCUUAGAACAUAAAUUUAAACUUGCAAUGUCUAGUUUCUUCACAUACGUAUAUAUUUGAAAGAAGAAAAAAAAGACGGUAACCCUAGUGUUAUUGUGUCCUAGUGUUAUUGUGUUGUUCAAUUACAUGAUCCUCUUUUUUUUUCUUCCCUAUUUUCUCCCUUGUAAUACUAAAAUAUUGAAGGACCCCUCAAUUAAUACAUAAGAGGAAAAAACAUGAAGGACCCAAAACUGUGCAAUAUAAUAAAGUGACCAAUGAAAAAUGUACAGCUACGAUACUUAAGAGACUUAAAAUAAAAUCAAGUCAAUAGGUAACUAAUUUCUUCAACUUUUACACACAUACCUGAAGAUCAAAAGGACCUAACCAAGAAACAUAAUCAGCCAGAUUAAAAGCUCCAAGCAUAGCCAUUCCUUCUUGAACCAACUUCUUUAAAUCAAAUUGCUCAUACUUACCCCUACCCAAUAUCAUCUUAUACACAAUAUCUUCAAUAAGAUUCUCUACAAUCUCACUAACAUUCACAACCUCACCUACCAAAACAACUUUCUCUAAUGACUUAACCAAAACAUCCAACUCCUUCUUCCUAAUAGGACCAAACAUCUCAACUUUUGAAGCACUAAGAAGUUUCAAAGUGCAAAGUUUCUUUACACUACGCCAAUAAGGACCAUACUCAGAAAAAGCCAACCCUUUGGAACCAUAAAAAAUGAGCUGAGAUGCUUGAGUCUUUGGCCGACUUGCAAAAUUGAUGUCAUGAGUUUUGAGGAAUGAUUCUGCAGCUUUUGAAGAUGAAAUAACAAUUGUUGGAACUUGACCAAGUUGUAAGGACAUGAUUGAACCAUAUUUUUUGGACAGUGAUUGAAGUGUUCUAUGUGGAAGUUUACCUAACAUGUGAAGGUUUCCUAUUAUUGGUAGUGUUGGUGGACCUGGUGGUUUUUUAUGAUUUAUGGUGUUUUGUUUUUCACGUAAGUAGAAUUUGAAUAAAAGGUAUGUGAAAGUGAAGAGAAUGAAAGGAAUUAUUAUUGUUGUUGAAAACAUGUUUACAGUGAAUUCUUUGGAUCUAAGUUCUAAGGAUGAGAACUAUAAAGAAUUAUUAGUGUUGCUUGAUUGAGGAUUUGAAGAUGGUGCAGCCGUGCAAGUGAUAGAAUAAUUAUUAGUUAAAUAAAGGUGGAAACAAAUAAUUUUGAUUUGUUUAAUUGGUAUCGCUUUCCGUUAACAAAAACUUACAUAUAAGUUGAAUCAUGUUUUACAAUAUAUAUAUUAUAUUAUGUAGGAGAAGAUUUAUGAAUUCUUUUUUUAGGGGAUUUUCAUGAAUUCUUUUAAAAUAUAUUUACAGUAAACUAAUAUAAUAAAAUGACGUGAUGGUAAAAUAUGAUUUAUUUUUUGUGGUGGUCGAGGUUUGACUCAAACCUUGCAUAUAUUAUACAUUGUUUCUAUCAACUGAGCUAAGCUCAAGAAGAUAUGAUAAAAUAUGAUUAUGUUAAUUGAAGUAUUUUUCUCCUUAAUAGAAAGUAUUUUUAAAUGACAAAUAUCAAUCCUUCAAAGAAAAUGACAAAUAUCAAAUAUGUUAAUUGGCUUAAAUGCUCUUUUGGUCCCUUAACUAUUUAAUUGGUAUCGCUUUGGUCCCUUAACUAAAAAAAAGAUUGUUUGAGGACUUUAAGUUUUUUUUUAGUCUCGUUUUGGUCCCUUCUGUUAGGUUUCCGUUAGGGUUUUAAAAAAAGUUAACUCUUGGACACUNNNNNNNNNNNNNNNNNNNNNNNNNNNNNNNNNNNNNNNNNNNNNNNNNNNNNNNNNNNNNNNNNNNNNNNNNNNNNNNNNNNNNNNNNNNNNNNNNNNNNNNNNNNNNNNNNNNNNNNNNNNNNNNNNNNNNNNNNNNNNNNNNNNNNNNNNNNNNNNNNNNNNNNNNNNNNNNNNNNNNNNNNNNNNNNNNNNNNNNNNNNNNNNNNNNNNNNNNNNNNNNNNNNNNNNNNNNNNNNNNNNNNNNNNNNNNNNNNNNNNNNNNNNNNNNNNNNNNNNNNNNNNNNNNNNNNNNNNNNNNNNNNNNNNNNNNNNNNNNNNNNNNNNNNNNNNNNNNNNNNNNNNNNNNNNNNNNNNNNNNNNNNNNNNNNNNNNNNNNNNNNNNNNNNNNNNNNNNNNNNNNNNNNNNNNNNNNNNNNNNNNNNNNNNNNNNNNNNNNNNNNNNNNNNNNNNNNNNNNNNNNNNNNNNNNNNNNNNNNNNNNNNNNNNNNNNNNNNNNNNNNNNNNNNNNNNNNNNNNNNNNNNNNNNNNNNNNNNNNNNNNNNNNNNNNNNNNNNNNNNNNNNNNNNNNNNNNNNNNNNNNNNNNNNNNNNNNNNNNNNNNNNNNNNNNNNNNNNNNNNNNNNNNNNNNNNNNNNNNNNNNNNNNNNNNNNNNNNNNNNNNNNNNNNNNNNNNNNNNNNNNNNNNNNNNNNNNNNNNNNNNNNNNNNNNNNNNNNNNNNNNNNNNNNNNNNNNNNNNNNNNNNNNNNNNNNNNNNNNNNNNNNNNNNNNNNNNNNNNNNNNNNNNNNNNNNNNNNNNNNNNNNNNNNNNNNNNNNNNNNNNNNNNNNNNNNNNNNNNNNNNNNNNNNNNNNNNNNNNNNNNNNNNNNNNNNNNNNNNNNNNNNNNNNNNNNNNNNNNNNNNNNNNNNNNNNNNNNNNNNNNNNNNNNNNNNNNNNNNNNNNNNNNNNNNNNNNNNNNNNNNNNNNNNNNNNNNNNNNNNNNNNNNNNNNNNNNNNNNNNNNNNNNNNNNNNNNNNNNNNNNNNNNNNNNNNNNNNNNNNNNNNNNNNNNNNNNNNNNNNNNNNNNNNNNNNNNNNNNNNNNNNNNNNNNNNNNNNNNNNNNNNNNNNNNNNNNNNNNNNNNNNNNNNNNNNNNNNNNNNNNNNNNNNNNNNNNNNNNNNNNNNNNNNNNNNNNNNNNNNNNNNNNNNNNNNNNNNNNNNNNNNNNNNNNNNNNNNNNNNNNNNNNNNNNNNNNNNNNNNNNNNNNNNNNNNNNNNNNNNNNNNNNNNNNNNNNNNNNNNNNNNNNNNNNNNNNNNNNNNNNNNNNNNNNNNNNNNNNNNNNNNNNNNNNNNNNNNNNNNNNNNNNNNNNNNNNNNNNNNNNNNNNNNNNNNNNNNNNNNNNNNNNNNNNNNNNNNNNNNNNNNNNNNNNNNNNNNNNNNNNNNNNNNNNNNNNNNNNNNNNNNNNNNNNNNNNNNNNNNNNNNNNNNNNNNNNNNNNNNNNNNNNNNNNNNNNNNNNNNNNNNNNNNNNNNNNNNNNNNNNNNNNNNNNNNNNNNNNNNNNNNNNNNNNNNNNNNNNNNNNNNNNNNNNNNNNNNNNNNNNNNNNNNNNNNNNNNNNNNNNNNNNNNNNNNNNNNNNNNNNNNNNNNNNNNNNNNNNNNNNNNNNNNNNNNNNNNNNNNNNNNNNNNNNNNNNNNNNNNNNNNNNNNNNNNNNNNNNNNNNNNNNNNNNNNNNNNNNNNNNNNNNNNNNNNNNNNNNNNNNNNNNNNNNNNNNNNNNNNNNNNNNNNNNNNNNNNNNNNNNNNNNNNNNNNNNNNNNNNNNNNNNNNNNNNNNNNNNNNNNNNNNNNNNNNNNNNNNNNNNNNNNNNNNNNNNNNNNNNNNNNNNNNNNNNNNNNNNNNNNNNNNNNNNNNNNNNNNNNNNNNNNNNNNNNNNNNNNNNNNNNNNNNNNNNNNNNNNNNNNNNNNNNNNNNNNNNNNNNNNNNNNNNNNNNNNNNNNNNNNNNNNNNNNNNNNNNNNNNNNNNNNNNNNNNNNNNNNNNNNNNNNNNNNNNNNNNNNNNNNNNNNNNNNNNNNNNNNNNNNNNNNNNNNNNNNNNNNNNNNNNNNNNNNNNNNNNNNNNNNNNNNNNNNNNNNNNNNNNNNNNNNNNNNNNNNNNNNNNNNNNNNNNNNNNNNNNNNNNNNNNNNNNNNNNNNNNNNNNNNNNNNNNNNNNNNNNNNNNNNNNNNNNNNNNNNNNNNNNNNNNNNNNNNNNNNNNNNNNNNNNNNNNNNNNNNNNNNNNNNNNNNNNNNNNNNNNNNNNNNNNNNNNNNNNNNNNNNNNNNNNNNNNNNNNNNNNNNNNNNNNNNNNNNNNNNNNNNNNNNNNNNNNNNNNNNNNNNNNNNNNNNNNNNNNNNNNNNNNNNNNNNNNNNNNNNNNNNNNNNNNNNNNNNNNNNNNNNNNNNNNNNNNNNNNNNNNNNNNNNNNNNNNNNNNNNNNNNNNNNNNNNNNNNNNNNNNNNNNNNNNNNNNNNNNNNNNNNNNNNNNNNNNNNNNNNNNNNNNNNNNNNNNNNNNNNNNNNNNNNNNNNNNNNNNNNNNNNNNNNNNNNNNNNNNNNNNNNNNNNNNNNNNNNNNNNNNNNNNNNNNNNNNNNNNNNNNNNNNNNNNNNNNNNNNNNNNNNNNNNNNNNNNNNNNNNNNNNNNNNNNNNNNNNNNNNNNNNNNNNNNNNNNNNNNNNNNNNNNNNNNNNNNNNNNNNNNNNNNNNNNNNNNNNNNNNNNNNNNNNNNNNNNNNNNNNNNNNNNNNNNNNNNNNNNNNNNNNNNNNNNNNNNNNNNNNNNNNNNNNNNNNNNNNNNNNNNNNNNNNNNNNNNNNNNNNNNNNNNNNNNNNNNNNNNNNNNNNNNNNNNNNNNNNNNNNNNNNNNNNNNNNNNNNNNNNNNNNNNNNNNNNNNNNNNNNNNNNNNNNNNNNNNNNNNNNNNNNNNNNNNNNNNNNNNNNNNNNNNNNNNNNNNNNNNNNNNNNNNNNNNNNNNNNNNNNNNNNNNNNNNNNNNNNNNNNNNNNNNNNNNNNNNNNNNNNNNNNNNNNNNNNNNNNNNNNNNNNNNNNNNNNNNNNNNNNNNNNNNNNNNNNNNNNNNNNNNNNNNNNNNNNNNNNNNNNNNNNNNNNNNNNNNNNNNNNNNNNNNNNNNNNNNNNNNNNNNNNNNNNNNNNNNNNNNNNNNNNNNNNNNNNNNNNNNNNNNNNNNNNNNNNNNNNNNNNNNNNNNNNNNNNNNNNNNNNNNNNNNNNNNNNNNNNNNNNNNNNNNNNNNNNNNNNNNNNNNNNNNNNNNNNNNNNNNNNNNNNNNNNNNNNNNNNNNNNNNNNNNNNNNNNNNNNNNNNNNNNNNNNNNNNNNNNNNNNNNNNNNNNNNNNNNNNNNNNNNNNNNNNNNNNNNNNNNNNNNNNNNNNNNNNNNNNNNNNNNNNNNNNNNNNNNNNNNNNNNNNNNNNNNNNNNNNNNNNNNNNNNNNNNNNNNNNNNNNNNNNNNNNNNNNNNNNNNNNNNNNNNNNNNNNNNNNNNNNNNNNNNNNNNNNNNNNNNNNNNNNNNNNNNNNNNNNNNNNNNNNNNNNNNNNNNNNNNNNNNNNNNNNNNNNNNNNNNNNNNNNNNNNNNNNNNNNNNNNNNNNNNNNNNNNNNNNNNNNNNNNNNNNNNNNNNNNNNNNNNNNNNNNNNNNNNNNNNNNNNNNNNNNNNNNNNNNNNNNNNNNNNNNNNNNNNNNNNNNNNNNNNNNNNNNNNNNNNNNNNNNNNNNNNNNNNNNNNNNNNNNNNNNNNNNNNNNNNNNNNNNNNNNNNNNNNNNNNNNNNNNNNNNNNNNNNNNNNNNNNNNNNNNNNNNNNNNNNNNNNNNNNNNNNNNNNNNNNNNNNNNNNNNNNNNNNNNNNNNNNNNNNNNNNNNNNNNNNNNNNNNNNNNNNNNNNNNNNNNNNNNNNNNNNNNNNNNNNNNNNNNNNNNNNNNNNNNNNNNNNNNNNNNNNNNNNNNNNNNNNNNNNNNNNNNNNNNNNNNNNNNNNNNNNNNNNNNNNNNNNNNNNNNNNNNNNNNNNNNNNNNNNNNNNNNNNNNNNNNNNNNNNNNNNNNNNNNNNNNNNNNNNNNNNNNNNNNNNNNNNNNNNNNNNNNNNNNNNNNNNNNNNNNNNNNNNNNNNNNNNNNNNNNNNNNNNNNNNNNNNNNNNNNNNNNNNNNNNNNNNNNNNNNNNNNNNNNNNNNNNNNNNNNNNNNNNNNNNNNNNNNNNNNNNNNNNNNNNNNNNNNNNNNNNNNNNNNNNNNNNNNNNNNNNNNNNNNNNNNNNNNNNNNNNNNNNNNNNNNNNNNNNNNNNNNNNNNNNNNNNNNNNNNNNNNNNNNNNNNNNNNNNNNNNNNNNNNNNNNNNNNNNNNNNNNNNNNNNNNNNNNNNNNNNNNNNNNNNNNNNNNNNNNNNNNNNNNNNNNNNNNNNNNNNNNNNNNNNNNNNNNNNNNNNNNNNNNNNNNNNNNNNNNNNNNNNNNNNNNNNNNNNNNNNNNNNNNNNNNNNNNNNNNNNNNNNNNNNNNNNNNNNNNNNNNNNNNNNNNNNNNNNNNNNNNNNNNNNNNNNNNNNNNNNNNNNNNNNNNNNNNNNNNNNNNNNNNNNNNNNNNNNNNNNNNNNNNNNNNNNNNNNNNNNNNNNNNNNNNNNNNNNNNNNNNNNNNNNNNNNNNNNNNNNNNNNNNNNNNNNNNNNNNNNNNNNNNNNNNNNNNNNNNNNNNNNNNNNNNNNNNNNNNNNNNNNNNNNNNNNNNNNNNNNNNNNNNNNNNNNNNNNNNNNNNNNNNNNNNNNNNNNNNNNNNNNNNNNNNNNNNNNNNNNNNNNNNNNNNNNNNNNNNNNNNNNNNNNNNNNNNNNNNNNNNNNNNNNNNNNNNNNNNNNNNNNNNNNNNNNNNNNNNNNNNNNNNNNNNNNNNNNNNNNNNNNNNNNNNNNNNNNNNNNNNNNNNNNNNNNNNNNNNNNNNNNNNNNNNNNNNNNNNNNNNNNNNNNNNNNNNNNNNNNNNNNNNNNNNNNNNNAUUGCAUACUCAUUUCUGCACUUAGAUAACUUCUGAUUCAGGUUGGUAUUCACUUUGUUGCCAUUCAUUUCAAAUUUGCAUGCAAAAAAAAAAAAAAAAAAAAAAAAAAAAAAAACCCUAGGGUAGUAGAUAGUGUAAUGUUCUUCAAACUGAUACCUACAUGACUCAGAUGAAACAUAAUCAUGCCCAAAUUCGUGGUUGUUCUGAUUCCAAUCCACAUUUUUGUUAACCCUUUUGUAAAAAUUAAAAAUAAAAUUAAAAUUAGGGUUUUUGUGGUAUAAUUCGACAUUCAACUCAAAAGCAUGAUUUAGUUCAUCUCUUUGUCAUUAUCAGGGUCGGAAUUACUAUAUUUAGGGUUAAGAAUGUUGAAACUGAAAGAAAUUUUGAAAAAGGGUCGAUUUUUGUCAUUUUCUGGGCAACUCGCCAUGGCGAGCUUCAUCAUUCGCCAAGGCGAGUGAGCAAUCUGAAACCCAGAAAAUUUCAACUACUCGCCAUGGCGAGUGCACCUGCUCGCGAGGCGAGUGGUAACAGAACAUGCAAUAUUUUUUGUUCCAUACUGAUAUUUAAUUGUCUGUUUGGUGUUUGUGGAAUUCCUGGUUGUGUUUGCAGGUAUGGCUCCAAAGAAACCCGUUAACACUGGUAAACGCAAGAAAGGAGAAACAUCCGCAACCCGACCCCCACCUAGAAACCAAGCCUUUGAGAGGGAGAGAUUUAGGUCUCGCUACCAUCAAGAUAGAUAUAUUGAACUGCUUGACCAAUCCAUGUGGUGUGAGAGGGUCUUUAACCUUAAUCCCGAGGGACCCUAUAAAGAAAUUGCCAAACUUUUACUCGAUCAAGGAUGGGAACGACUCCUUCAACCCAUAACAGAUAUUAAUGCCGAGUUAGUGCGUGAGUUUUAUGCCAAUGCCCUACCUGAAAAUCCACACACUGACCCAUUUACAUUCGAAACUUUUGUGAGGGGUCGAACUAUCCGGUUUGACCGUGAGGCAAUAAAUACAUACCUUGGCAACCCCUUUGAGUUAGCCUACCCAGACGACCUUGAUGACUUUCAUGAGAAGCAAAACCUUGGCCACUUUAUCCUCCCGGGCCCCCAUGAAGAAAUCAAACGAUUUCUCUUGUUGGGAGACUAUAACUAUGACAUCAGUGAUGCAGGGAGAGAGUAUCGGGCCCAAUACAAAUUCAUGACCAAUGAGGCCAAAAUUAUCCAAAAAUUCAUUCUUUAUAAUGUCAGGCCCAAUAGUCAUCUGUCUGAUUGUGUUGUCGAGGUGUGUCCUUUAAUCUACUACAUCCUCAAGGGGAUCAAGGUAGAUAUUGCCCGGACCAUUGCUUGGGAACUCCGAAUGGUCACCCUGCAAGGAAGAGGUGAAAGAGAAGCUCGUCUCUUUUUUCCCGGUUUAAUCAUGGGACUCAUUAAAGAUACCGGCAUGCGCCUACCAACCAGUGUCCAUGAGAAGAUCCGGAACCCGAUCAAUGAUGCUUUCAUCACCCGAUACAUUAUGGGUGAAACAAAGAAGGAUAAAAGCAAACAAGCAUCAUCUUCUGGGGCACCUCCACCACGACCUCAACCAUCAUCUGAACCACAACCCCACUUUCCACCACAUCUAGACCCACACACUGCUGCUUUUGACUUUUCAAGCUUCGCUCAAUGGCAAUACCAGUGCCAUACCCAUACAUGGAACAUGCUGGACGCAACCAACCGUGCUAAUACAUAUCUUCAGCAGUCUCAGUAUGUGAUGCAGCAGCAGGCUGGGUACCCACCGGAGGUGAUGUCACAAUUCAUGACACCAGAGGCCUAUCAGGCUCAUGUUUCUUGGCCUGAGGGCAGGCCAGAUCCUUACGGAGGGGGUGGAUCAUCGUUCGGGACGCUUUCUGACGAUAUAUUGAUGGGAGAUUCUGACAGAGACGAUCCAGACAGAGUCCCAAGUGCAACUGGUGGUUCAGAUGAUCAUGACAUGCAGGGUUGAAAGAGGAAAAGAAUGACUUUGAAAGCUCACCGUUUAUUGAGUGACAUUUUUAUAAAGCUUUCAGUCUAUUCUUUCUUUCUCUUUCAUUUCUUCUGACAAUAUUUGCUUCUGUUCAUAUUUUAAAUUUAGCACAAUGACUCACUUUGUUUAGUUAGCAUUUUGUUUAAUUAUUUUGGUAUUUUCGUAUUCAUAUUCGUAUUGUUCAAAGUUGUAUUGUGUUGUUUUAUAUUAGCACUUUUGGUUUAUAUCAAGUACUUUGUUUUGAAAAUUGUGGAAGUUUCUUUAGUUUAUCACUCUUGCUUAUUGAAAAGAAAAUGCUCAAAGCUUCAAAUUUCAAAGCGCUUGAAAGAGCCAAAACUUGAGCAAAAUUCUCAGAUGAUUGAUAAUAACAGAUGGUUUGUGAUAAAGCGCAAAGCCAAGGUACAAGUUUCCAGUUUUUCUAGGUUUUUACUUGAAUAGGAAACGAGUACUUUGCACAAAUUUCAAUUCAUUUAGUUCUCCUCGAUAAUGUGUUUGUUUGUGAACCACUUAGUACUAGCUAAAAAGUGAGGAAACCUCAAAUAUUUGUACUAUAUGCAAGGAGACCGGCAUUCAUUGUUUUAACUCGGUCAUUUUAUGUUAAAUCUAAUAUUUGUUUUAAAUUGUGUAAAGACAUGGAAAGGAUCAAGGCAUAUUUUGUUUAAUGAGAGAAACAUACUUGACCACAAAUAGCCUACCUUGUGAGAAGAGCGAGUAUUUGUUAACCCACUUGAGCCAAAUGAAGCAAGGUCCUCAAUUAUGAACUGUCAAUUCAUAAGCACAAUGCUUGAUGAAUUCGCCCUAUAUUUUUCAAAAUCCAGUUCAUUUUUGUUGCACUAUCGGACCUUGAUAUGUUUUAAUUGUUGAACCCUAAACCUUCAUUGUUAUUUGUCCCUUUUUGCCAUAGAUUAAGGGAACAUUCAAAUAGGGUAUGUUUUCAUUCAAGUUGGGGAGAAAAGGUAGAUGUUCAUCAUUUGUCAAGUGAAUUGGUGUAAUCAGAAAUUUUGAUCAAGACAACAUUGUUUGUAUAUGAAAAAAGAAAGAAAAAGAAAAAUGUGUACAUGAUAAAAACAAGAAAAGAAGAAAAAGAAAAAGAAAGAAAAAUCCAAAAAUAGAAUAAGUUGUCAAGAUCAAGGAGUAUCAUGUUUUAACACCAAGGGUUUGUUAGGGAAUUCUAGUAAAUUUGUCUUUUGAAUGUGAAUAGAAGGAAUGUUCCCUUAUGCUUGACCAUUUGAAUUCAAUUGACCCACAAAUGUCCUUUCUUUUGUAGCCAAGCCAAAUUACAACCCUAAAAGACCUUUUGAUCCAUGUUUUUAUGCUUUUUGAAAUGAUAAUUGGAUGGACAUAUAACUUGAUUUGGAUGUUAACUUGAUUGCCGGAUGUGUGUUCAUAACCCUCACUCAUUUGAUUUCAAUUGCAUAUCUACUUACAAAGAAGUGUGUUAGGUGUGGUUCGUGAAUAAAUGUUUUAUUGACUUGAACUAUUUGACAUGAACUUUGUGCAUAGAACUCAUUUCAUAUUUGUGGUAGAAUUCCAGAUUAGUUGGAAACUCAGACUUGCCCGCGCAUUCUCUUUGAAUCAUUCAUCUAAAAAUGUUUUCAAACCUUUUGUACUUGUGUCUUGUCAUAUUAACUUGUUUGAUUUUCAAGAUUUUGUUUGAGGACAAACAAAGAGUUAAGUUGGGGAGAGUUUGAUAAGUGCUAGAAAGUUGUAAUUUAAGUGAUAUAUUUUAGGCACUUUUGUUACUUGUUUUGCAAGUUAUUAAGGGAAAAGCCGAGAAAUAAGUGAUUAUUGCCCUUUUACGCUUUAUCUAUCUUACUUCACCCAUUUGUGCAGGAUUCGAACUCAAGACAUCAAGCAAAGAGAAGAAAAUCGAGAAAAGUACAAAAAGGCAGAAAAAGGAGAUCACUCGCCUCCAACUCGCCAUGGCAAGCAGAAAAGGCGAGCAAUUCCAGAAUGCAACAAAGAUCACACGCCACCAACUCGCAAUGGCGAGUAGAAGGCGAGCUUACUCGCCGUGGCGAAUGGAAGGACUCGCGAGGCGAGUAAGGGCGGUUUAGCCUCUAAAUGCUGACGUGGCACAAACCCAAUGGGGAAGAAACUUCAACUCGCCUUGGCGAAUGAAGCAGCUCGCGAGGCGAGUGAAGGCAGACUCAGAAUUCUAUAAAUAGCCCACUCAACCAUUUCAGAAAAAGAUAGUUUUUUAUAUAGUUUUUAGAUAGUUUUUCUCUUAGUUUUUCACUUGUAAUAUUCUUAGAGAGAGAGAGAUAGGGCUUGUGCUUUAUAGAGUGAGAGUGAUAGAGAGUGGAUUCUUCAUCCUUUGUUGAGACAUCACAAGUUGUAAUGAAUCUUGCUUCUUCAAUUCAUUCUUGCAAGGCUUCCAUGACAAUGAGUAGCUAAAUCUCCUUUGUUGGGAUUAGAGGUGUUAUACCCUGUUUUUGGACCUAAAAAUACUGGGCCCAAUUUCAUUUCAAACUUUGUCAAUUAUCAAAUUUCAACUGCACAGUUCAAUUUGUCUCUGCCUCGCAGUAUUUUCAAUCACAAUUUUACCUAUGUUUUUCUUGCAUAAAACCUUUCAAAAUGUCUUUACUUGUCUUGUAAGUCAUUCAAAAGUGUCUCUGGAUCAUUACAUUGCUUUUUCUACAGUUUAUUCCAAAAUUUGCAAAAAGUCAUACAGAAGGGUAUUUUGGUCAUUUCCUGCAGUGGGACCCAUUUUCAUCCUUGUGACUGUCUCUGAGUCUUUUCAGAUUACUUUUAAACAUUUCAUCAGUAAACUUUGUUAAAAUUCAUUUCAAACUUGCGUCUGAGUCAGUGUCAGGUCAAUUUGAAUCUGUUUAGGUCGUUUUUAGCCCUAGGGGCAUUUUGGUCAUUUCACAUAAAAUUUUGGCAUGGGGAGGUUACUUUGAAGUACCUCAUUUAGGCCAUUGGUUCGUUUUAGUCCGUUUUGUCAAUUUUAUUUUUUUGUUUCGCUUUACGUUGGGUCAAAUUACGUUUUUUAUUCAAUUUUAUUUUUUAAUUGCAUUUUGGUCCCUCAAGUGAGGUCCCAAAAUUGCAUUUCAGUCCAGAAUUUUCUUUUUUUACAUUUCAGUCCUUUUUGUCAAUUGCAGUUUAGUCCCUUAUUUUUUCAAUUUUGCAGAAAGGUCCAAUUUCAUUUUUUGCCCAAGGCCGUGCCAUCUUUUUUUUUCAGGUCCAGGUGUCACUUUCUCAUUUGUUCAGAUACACACAUGUCAAGCUAUAAAAGGUGCACAGUGCCACUCAGAGCCAGAAAAACACACGCCAACUCAUAAACACAUUCCAAAUUUUCUCUUUCUCAGCAACUGAAUCAAAACAGAAAAAAUUCCUCAGAUUCAUCAAGAACACCAAGAACAAAAAACCUAACCGUUUUCCAGAAACAGAAACUACACAAAUUCAAGCUAUUUUUCAUGGAUUCUCAGUGAUUCUUUGAAGAAUCAUCAUCAUUGAAUCAAUAUCUUCGCAAUUCGAAGUGCGAAUUCGCCAAAGGCAAACUCCAGCACCGAUCACGAAGAUACAGUGAGGAAGACGAAGAAGAAAGAAAGAUGAUGAAGGUUUAAACCGGCGAAGAAGGCGAUAAAGCAAGAAACCAGCAGGAACACCGGUUUAUUUCCGGAUUCAAAGCCAAAUCACGUAGCAUCAGAGAUUGAAGUUUUCCAAAGAAUUUCUCCAUUAAAGGUUUCAACCAAAACCUUAGGUAAAACUCAUACUCUUUUUCAAAAGCAAUAUCACUGUUAAACCUAAAAAUCACGCAAGCAAAACAGAUCCAAAGGUUCCAGAAUUCAAAGAAAACUAUAACCGUAAACAUCAAAAUCCAGAUCCGUAAGGAUCAACGUUUUGAAAGCGAAAACAGGCGUCAAAAAGUAAUCAAACGACGAAACGAUGUAGAUCUUUAAAGAUCUAAAUGAUCUCAUUCAAAAAAAUCAAAAAUCAUUUCAAAACCGUAAAAGCUUUUUCAAGAUCUACGUCGUUCAAAGCCGUUUUUGAAAAAACAAAUGCCGGAUUCGUGUUUAGGGUUAAAGGACGAGUCAAACGAAGUAAGAAUCUUUGAAAUCUGGAAAUUUAGGUCACCGGAAACUGCAUGAACUCGCCGGAGAAGAUGAAGUUUCCGGCGGACCUUCAAGGUCUCCGCCGUAGCUUCAUCCUCGCCGGCGGCGAGGUUUAGAGAGAGGUGAGAGGUGAGAGAAGAGAGAAGAGCUAGAGAGAGAAAGGGGAGUGAAAAAUGAAGAAAACCGGUGCCAUGCCUUUUAAAUAAGCUAGUGAACCAGACCGGUCCAAGACCGGUCCAAUCCUGUUGAUUCCAGGCCGUUUGAUCUAGGGUUUCAGGACCCUGGAUCAAUCCUGUGGCUCCUGUGAAUCCGGUUCCUUAGGGUUUUGGGUUGGGCCUUUGUUUCCUUUGGAUCUUUACGUUUUGCUAUUCCUGUGCUUUUCACACCUCUAUUUUUGCUACCUGUACCUAUGUCUUGAUUAAAAUUGUGAUAAAAUUCCUAGAAAAAUUCAUGCAUGUUUCCUGAUAUUUUCUUAGUGUUUUUAUGACAUUUUUGCACAUUAAGGAUCUAUGAAAUUUUGGUAUGGUUAAUUCAUAGCAUUUUAAUUCUCUUUGAAUUAUUUGUUAUGGAUUCUUCUUCAUACAUUUGUCCUUGAUGUGCGAAUAUGUGAUAAAAGCUUUUUGAUGUGUUAAUAUGAGAAAUUUGUGCCUAUAAUUUCGUGUUGUUUUGCUGUUUUGAUUUGGUUCAUGAGUGCUUGAUUUUAUGAGCAAUAUAUGCAUAUUUUGAAAGAUAUAAAAUGCCAAGUUUAUUCUAGAAAAUAUGGCAUGAAACCAUGCUUGCAUGUUUCCAAUAAUUUCAUGCUAUAACUUGAGAUAAAGAAAACUCUUUCAAAAUUUGUUAAAGCAUGAGAAUUAGAGGCCAAGGAUGCUUUAGGUUUCAUACCUAAGUUUUUAGGGUUUAAUGUCAUUUUGUUAACUUUUUGUGUCAUCUUGCAUGAUUUUAUUUCUUAGUGCUUAUUAUGUUUUUUCUUUUGACUAACAAGUUUAUUCCCAUGUUUCAUGCAUCCCAUUUAGCAUUCCCUCCACCCUCUUUAGCCUAGCAUUUAUUUUUGCAAGUUUUAAUUCAUUUAGUGAUGUAAUUUGUCAUCAUUGGUUUGUAGCUUGGCAAAGGGGCCAUAGAAUGUAUUUAGGCAAUUUUUGUAAUAUGGACUAUGGACACUAUGACGCACCGACACGCACACACUCACCUUAGAUGUAUGCAUAGGAUUGUAUGGUUAAAUAAGCGUUUAGGUUUUAAACACCUAGAGAAAAUCCAUCUUUUUUCCAAAAAAAAAACAAUUGAACUUCACUUCAAAAAUUUUCAUAAUAAACAUGAAGUCAACACUUCAUUUCUUUUCCUUUCUUUUUUUUCUUGAGAAAAAUUCAAUUCAUCUUAAUCAUUUAGACUUUCUUUUUUAAUCACUAAUCAAACCUCACUUUUUGCUAAAUCUAAUGCUCAUGAAGCCUCCCAAUCUCCUUCUUCAAAACCAUUUUCAAAACUUAAAAUCAAACAAUUAAAACAAAAACAAGUCUUUUUAGCAAGAACUACGAACGGUUUUGAUCCCUUAAAAGGGUACGUAGGCAAUGAGUCAAAACUCAUCCAAGCCGAAAUAAAAUCAAAAUUCUACUUCUUCUCACCCCCACUCUUAACUAAAUAAACCUCCCAUUUUCAAAAGUAGGUAAAAAUAAAGCGUAAAAAUCGACUUAGGAAAACGGCUCCUAUAGAGGACUAUAGUUACUCCGGGUGCCUAACACCUUCCCGUAGUAAAACCGACCCCCGAACUUAGAAUCUAAGGGUUUUUUCUCAAUUUUUCCCUUCCCAAGAAAAAAGAGAGAUAUCAACGGUCGAAAGGUACAAGUCCAAUUAAUGACUUGGUACCCAAAAACCAUGAUAACAGAAAUGGCGACUUCACUGGGGACUUUUUUAAGCGGGUCGCGCCUAGUUUUCCUUAGUUUAUAUUUAUGUUUUAUUUUAUUGCUUACAUAUGUGAAUAUUUGUUUACUUUCAUUUGACGUGUGGGGUGAGAAUAUCAAAAGUCCUAUACCCGGGCUGAGUGAACUUAUGUUUAGGUAGAGAUAUAAUCGACAAUUCGAUCCGGGGGUUGCCUCGUGUAUUGGAUUAUGCGAUCAAUCUCACAUAGCUGAGGCAUUUUGAAGGUGAUAUUGUCGGCGUGUGUCGUCAUGCUUAGGCACUUCACUUUCAAUUGUUCGACGAAGCUAUGAACCGUAGUUACCAAACCCAUCCUAGCCUUUUUAGGACGUAGUGCGGUGGCUAAAUUGAGUGUUGUCUCAAAACUUUAGUCGUCACGCGAUACUACACUCAAACUAGACCUUCUCACAAAUAAUCGUGGAACGGGUGUCGUCCUGUACUACCAUGAUAUAUGUGAGAGAGGUUGCAGUUUGGGAACUGUGUUAGAACCUUGGUUACUACUAUCCAAAGCCUUAGUUCACCGGACGCCGUGUCCAUCCGUGGCCUUGUUACUUUGAAUCUCAACCCACAUUGUAACUAAACAACACAAUCAUGCAUACAUGCAUUCAUGCAUAAAUAUUUUUCAUGCAUUCAUCGAAGGGUUUAAACAAAUGAGAAUUUUUGUAAAUAAUCACAGGUAUGAAGAAGACUAAGUGCUACAAGUUCAAGGAAGUGGAUUUGGUUAGUUUGAGAGAGUUGGCGCUCAAGGUCAAGAGUCAAACAGGGUUCCGACUCCGGUAUGGGGGAUUGCUUACUUUGCUCCGAACCGAUGUGGACGAGAAGCUAAUGCACACUCUGGUGCAAUUUUAUGAUCCGAGCUUCCGCUGCUUCACUUUCCCGGACUUCCAGUUGGUUCCUACUCUCGAGGCUUACUCCAAUCUAGUGGGGUUACCUAUAGCCGAGAAGACGCCUUUCGCCGGUCCCGGGACUCCUCUUACUCCUCUGGUUGUUGCUAAGGAUCUCUACCUCAAGACUUCCGACGUCUCCAACCAUCUUAUUACCAAGUCUCACAUCCGGGGUUUCACUUCGAAGUAUCUUCUUGAUCAGGCUAAUCUCGGUACCACUCGCCAGGACACACUCGAGGCUAUUCUUGCUUUGCUUAUCUACGGGCUCAUUCUCUUCCCGAACCUUGACAACUUCGUGGACAUGAAUGCUAUCGAGAUCUUUCAUUCUAAGAACCCGGUUCCUACUUUGCUAGCGGACACCUACCACGCCAUUCAUGACAGGACUCUCAAGGGCCGUGGGUAUAUUCUUUGCUGCACAUCUCUUUUGUAUAGGUGGUUUAUUUCGCACCUUCCGAGUUCCUUCCAUGAUAACUCGGAAAAUUGGUCCUACUCUCAGCGGAUUAUGGCUCUCACUCCUGAUGAGGUCGUCUGGCUCACUCCUGCCGCUCAAGUGAAGGAAAUCAUUAUGGGUUGUGGAGACUUUCUCAAUGUACCUCUUCUUGGUACUCGUGGAGGAAUCAACUACAAUCCCGAGCUUGCUAUGAGACAGUUUGGUUUCCCUAUGAAGUCGAAGCCCAUCAAUCUUGCCACAUCUCCAGAGUUCUUCUUCUACACGAAUGCUCCUACCGGACAAAGGAAAGCUUUCGUGGAUGCUUGGUCCAAGGUUCGAAGGAAGAGUGUGAAGCAUCUAGGUGUGAGAUCCGGUGUCGCUCAUGAGGCCUAUACCCAGUGGGUGAUAGAUCGAGCUGAGGAGAUUGGUAUGCCUUAUCCAGCUAUGAGAUAUGUGUCUUCAUCUACCCCAUCUAUGCCUCUACCUUUGCUCCCCGCGACUCAGGAUAUGUAUCAGGAGCAUCUAGCUAUGGAGAGUCGUGAGAAGCAAGUGUGGAAGGCUCGGUACAAUCAAGCCGAGAAUCUAAUCAUGACUUUGGAUGGUAGAGAUGAGCAGAAGACUCAUGAGAAUCUGAUGUUGAAGAAAGAGCUAGCUAAGGCCCGGAGGGAACUAGAAGAGAAAGACGAGCUGCUUAUGAGGGAUUCCAAGAGAGCCCGAGGACGACGAGACUUCUUUGCCAGAUACUGUGAUUCAGAUUCCGAGUCCGAUGAUCCUCCGACUACUUCCUAUGCUUGAGGACUCCAUGUGUUUAUCUUGUUGAAAUUUCAAAGUCUUCCUGUUAAAAAAAAAUACUAUGUAGUUUUGAUUAUUUGCAAAGAUUUCUAAUUGGUUCAAAAUUCCUUCGAUGAAAAAAAAUAAGUCUUUUGCAUUCGCAUUUGCACAUCAUGCAUCAUAUGCAUCAUGCAUUGGUCACAAAGGCUUCCAAGUGCUCACUAUCUCCUGGUUCCUCUGCCACAGUGUGAAAAGUGGCUCGUGCUCAGAGAGUUUACGAACCAGAUAGAAUUGAUCGAACCAGAGAAUACAGAAGAAAGAAAAGGGCUAUGGAAGAAGAGAACGCUCAGCUUCGCACCGAGUUGGCCUCUCUAAAGGAGGAAUUGGCUAAAGCUAAUGACGUCAUGACUGCUCUACUAGCUGCUCAAGAGCAAUCAGCUACAGCUAUCCCUACAACCACAGCUGCACCAGUAACUACAAGCGUGCUCCCUACCACUUCUGCAGACAACCGCUUUACUAUGCCAGUGGGGUUUCCGUAUGGGCUUCCACCGUUCUUCACUCCCGUUGCUACAGCAAGCACCUCGGGCACUGCUAACAAUGUUCUGAUCCCUGCAACAAAUGCCGCCUCCAUCAUUGCUACUUUGCCACAAACAACAGCAGCUGUCACUGAGCCUCUGGUACACACUCUGCCUCAAGGUAUUAACGUCAACACACAGCACAGAAGCAUCCCCGUAACCAAGACUAUGGAAGAGAUGAUGGAGGAACUUGCUAAAGAACUCCGUCACGAGAUCCAGGCCAAUCGAGGGAGUGCAAACUCUGUCAAAACUCAAGACCUUUGCUUAGUGUCAAAAGUGGAUGUUCCUAAAAAGUUCAAGAUUCCGGACUUCGACCGGUACAACGGGCUAACUUGUCCUCAAAAUCACAUCAUCAAAUACGUCCGGAAGAUGGGCAAUUACAAAGACAAUGAUUCCCUUAUGAUCCACUGUUUUCAGGAUAGUCUGAUGGAGGAUGCCGCAGAGUGGUAUACUAGUUUGAGUAAGAAUGACAUCCAUACCUUUGAUGAGUUAGCCACCGCUUUCAAGAGCCAUUAUGGGUUUAACACUCGACUGAGGCCAAAUAGGGAGUUUCUCAGGUCCCUAUCUCAGAAGAAGGAGGAAAGUUUCCGUGAAUAUGCGCAAAGGUGGAGAGGGGCGGCUGCCCGUAUCACUCCUGCUUUAGAUGAGGAAGAAAUGACCCAGACGUUCUUAAAAACGUUGAAGAAAGAUUAUGUUGAGAGGAUGAUCAUCGCUGCCCCGAACAACUUUUCGGAGAUGGUCACCAUGGGAACCCGUCUUGAGGAAGCCGUAAGGGAUGGAAUCAUCGUGUUUGAGAAAGCUGAAUCCUCUGUGAAUGCGUCGAAGAGAUAUGGUAAUGGACACCACAAAAAGAAAGAAACGGAAGUGGGGAUGGUGUCAGCUGGAGCCGGGCAAUCAAUGGCUACUGUUGCUCCUAUCAAUGCAGCUCAAAUGCCUCCGUCAUACCCAUAUAUGCCGUAUUCUCAGCAUCCGUUCUUCCCACCGUUUUAUCAUCAGUACCCUUUGCCGCCGGGCCAGCCUCAAGUGCCCGUCAAUGCAAUUGCCCAACAGAUGAAACAACAGAUGCCGGUUCAACAACAACAACAAAAUCAGCAAGCCAGGCCAACCUUCCCUCCUAUACCAAUGUUGUAUGCAGAACUUCUUCCAACUCUACUCCAGAGAGGUCAUUGUACAACUAGACAGGGUAAGCCCCCACCUGAUCCGUUGCCUCCAAGGUUCAGGUCUGAUCUCAAAUGUGACUUUCAUCAAGGUGCCUUGGGUCAUGACGUCGAGGGGUGUUAUGCUUUGAAGUAUAUCGUGAAGAAGCUCAUCGAUCAAGGGAAGCUGACUUUUGAGAAUAAUGUCCCACAUGUCCUCGACAAUCCGCUACCAAAUCAUGCCGCUGUGAAUAUGAUCGAAGUGUGUGAAGAAGCUCCGAGACUUGAUGUCCGCAACGUCGCAACUCCUCUGGUACCUCUACACAUCAAGCUGUGCAAAGCUUCUCUGUUCAAUCAUGAUCAUGCCAAGUGUCUGGGAUGUCUCCGUGAUCCUUUGGGUUGCCACGCUGUUCAAGACGACAUUCAAAGCUUGAUGAAUGAUAAUCUUCUGACUGUCAGUGAUGUUUGCGUGAUUGUGCCAGUUUUUCACGAUCCACCUGUCAAGAGUGUAACUUUGAAGAAGAAUGCUGAGCCUUUGGUGAUAAGGUUGCCAGGACCAAUUCCUUAUGUUUCGGACAAGGCAGUGCCAUACAAGUACAAUGCUACUAUGAUAGAAAAUGGAGUAGAGGUGCCUCUAGCCUCCUUUGCCACAGUAAGCAAUAUUGCCGAAGGGACUUCUGCAGCACUAAGAAGCGGGAAGGUCCGUCCGCCGUUAUUUCAGAAGAAAGUAGCUACACCGACCAUUCCACCAGUUGAAGAAGCAACUCCAACCGUUGUUUCACCCAUUGCUACAGAUGUGAACCAGCCAGGCAAAUCUAUAGAGGAUUCAAAUUUAGAUGAGAUUCUGAGGAUAAUAAAGAGGAGCGACUACAAGAUCGUUGAUCAGUUGCUGCAGACUCCUUCAAAGAUAUCUGUAUUGUCGUUACUCUUGAGCUCCGAGGCUCACAGGAAUACCUUGUUAAAAGUGCUGGAGCAGGCUUAUGUUGACCACGAAGUUACGGUAGAUCGUUUCGGUGGCAUAGUGGGAAAUAUUACUGCUUGUAACAAUCUCUGGUUUAGUGAAGAAGAGCUGCCGGAAGUGGGAAAGAGUCACAAUCUGGCUUUGCACAUCUCGGUGAAAUGUAAAUCAGACAUGAUAUCAAAUGUGUUGGUGGAUACUGGUUCCUCUCUCAAUGUAAUGCCUAAGACAACCCUAGAUCAGUUGAGCUACCGUGGGACCCCGUUGAGGAGAAGUACUUUCUUGGUCAAAGCUUUUGAUGGAUCUCGAAAGAAUGUGCUGGGAGAGAUAGACUUGCCGAUAACCAUUGGCCCUGAGAAUUUCUUGGUUACUUUCCAAGUGAUGGACAUUAAUGCAUCCUACAGUUGCCUGCUGGGAAGACCGUGGAUACACGAUGCAGGUGCGGUUACUUCCACCUUACAUCAGAAGUUGAAAUUUGUGAAGAAUGGAAAACUCGUUACAAUCCAUGGUGAAGAAGCAUACUUAGUCAGCCAAUUGUCUUCUUUUUCUUGUAUUGAAGCAGGGUCUGCUGAAGGGACUGCUUUCCAAGGUUUGACCAUUGAAGGUGCAGAGUCUAAGGAAGCUGGGGCUGCUAUGGCUUCAUUAAAGGAUGCUCAGAGAGCCAUCCAAGAAGGUCAGACUGCCGGCUGGGGCAAGGUGAUACAGCUCUGUGAGAACAAGCGUAAAGAAGGUCUCGGGUUCUCCCCGUCAUCAAGGGUUUCCUCGGGAGUCUUCCACAGUGCAGGGUUUGUUAAUGCUAUCUCUGAAGAAGCCACUGGAUCUGGUCUCAGACCUGCAUUUGUUACACCAGGAGGCAUUACGACAAAUUGGGAUGCCAUUGACAUUCCUUCAAUCAUGCAUGUUUCUGAGUAAUGUGUCUUGUUGCUUUAAUGCUUUGUUUUCAAAAUAACAAUCCUCUCGCUCUGCCCAAAGCGAGAGUGAUAUUUUCUGUAAGGGCAUGUUUGUUUCGGCAUUGCCGUUGAUUAAUAAAAUUUUGUCGUUUCUUCCACGACUAUUUUUUUUUAGUGCUUUUUCCCUUGGAAACAAUGGUAAUGCCAGAAAAAAAAACCAAAACGUCUGUAUUUUCUUAUUAAUUUCAAAAAUCUGCAUGAAAAAAAAAAAAAAAAAAACUCUUUCUAAAAUCAUCCAAUCAUUAUAUGCAGGUUGAACCAUAAUAAACCCGUUGAACACAGUAAUCCUACGGUUCCUCCAAGUUUUGAAUUCCCUGUGUAUGAAGCCGAAGAUGAGGAAGGUGAUGACAUACCAUAUGAGAUCACUCGGUUACUUGAGCAAGAAGAGAAAGCCAUUCAGUCUCACCAGGAAGAGAUCGAGCUUAUCAACAUAGGUACCGAGGAAAACAAGCGAGAAAUCAAGAUUGGUGCCACUCUAGAGGAAGGGGUUAAACAGAAGAUCAUCCAGCUCCUCCGGGAAUAUCCGGAUAUUUUUGCAUGGUCCUAUGAAGAUAUGCCAGGUCUAGACCCUAUGAUCGUGGAGCAUCGGAUCCCUACCAAGCCUGAAUGUCCUCCCGUCAGGCAGAAAUUGAGAAGGACUCAUCCUGAUAUGGCUCUCAAGAUCAAGAAUGAAGUUCAAAAGCAGAUUGAUGCGGGUUUCCUCAUGACAGUUGAGUAUCCCGAAUGGGUUGCCAAUAUUGUGCCCGUGCCAAAGAAGGAUGGUAAAGUCCGGAUGUGUGUUGACUUCAGAGACCUGAACAAGGCCAGUCCAAAAGACAACUUUCCAUUACCUCAUAUUGAUGUGCUUGUUGAUAAUACUGCUCAAUCUAAGGUGUUUUCCUUCAUGGACGGUUUUUCCGGUUAUAAUCAAAUCAAGAUGUCUCCUGAAGAUAGGGAAAAGACAUCUUUUAUCACUCCAUGGGGUACUUUCUGCUACAAGGUGAUGCCGUUCGGCCUAAUCAAUGCUGGUGCUACCUACCAAAGGGGAAUGACCACUCUGUUUCAUGACAUGAUUCACAAGGAAGUUGAGGUAUAUGUGGAUGACAUGAUUGUGAAGUCAGCAGAUGAGGAGCAGCAUGUUGAAUAUUUAACAAAGAUGUUUGAAAGGUUGAGAAAAUACAAGCUGCGAUUGAAUCCCAACAAAUGUACAUUCGGUGUCAGGUCCGGAAAGUUAUUAGGCUUCAUUGUCAGCCAAAAGGGCAUUGAAGUCGAUCCUGAUAAAGUCCGGGCCAUCCGAGAAAUGCCAGCUCCACAGACAGAGAAGCAAGUCAGAGGUUUCUUGGGACGUUUGAAUUACAUCUCCCGAUUCAUAUCUCAUAUGACCGCAACCUGCGGGCCGAUCUUUAAGCUGCUUAGAAAGAACCAGCCUAUUGUAUGGAAUGAUGAAUGCCAAGAAGCUUUUGAUAGCAUCAAGAAUUACCUGCUGGAACCACCUAUCCUUGUCCCACCCGUGGAAGGAAGGCCUUUGAUUAUGUAUUUGGCAGUGUUUGAUGAAUCCAUGGGAUGCGUGCUUGGUCAACAAGAUGAAACUGGAAAGAAAGAGCAUGCUAUCUACUAUCUAAGCAAGAAGUUCACCGAUUGUGAAACUCGGUAUACAAUGCUUGAGAAGACUUGUUGUGCUUUAGCUUGGGCUACCAAACGCCUGCGUCAUUAUUUGGUGAAUCAUACAACUUGGUUGAUAUCCAGAAUGGAUCCGAUAAAGUAUAUCUUUGAGAAGGCUGCUGUUACUGGAAAGAUUGCACGCUGGCAGAUGCUUUUGUCAGAAUAUGAUAUUGUGUUCAAAACUCAAAAGGCAAUCAAAGGCAGCAUUCUUGCCGAUCACCUUGCUUAUCAACCUCUUGACGAUUACCAACCAAUUGAAUUCGACUUCCCUGAUGAAGAGAUCAUGUAUUUGAAAUCCAAAGACUGCGAAGAACCGUUGAUUAAUGAAGGUCCAGAUCCCGAUAGCAAGUGGGGUUUAGUCUUUGACGGUGCUGUCAAUGCUUAUGGCAAGGGAAUUGGGGCAGUCAUUGUAUCCCCGCAGGGGCAUCACAUUCCUUUUACCACCAGAAUCUUGUUCGAAUGUACCAACAAUAUGGCGGAGUAUGAAGCAUGUAUCUUUGGGAUCGAGGAAGCAAUUGACAUGAGAAUCAAACACCUCGACAUCUAUGGAGAUUCUGCGCUCAUCAUCAAUCAGAUAAAGGGUGAAUGGGAGACCCACCAUGCUAAUUUGAUUCCUUAUCGUGAUUAUGCGAGACGUUUGCUGACAUAUUUUACAAAGGUUGAGCUGCACCAUAUUCCUCGUGAUGAGAACCAAAUGGCUGAUGCUCUUGCUACUCUAUCCUCCAUGUUUCGAGUAAACCAUUGGAAUGAUGUGCCAUUAAUCAAAGUGCAACGCCUUGAAAGACCUUCGCAUGUGUUUGCUAUUGGGGAUGUGAUCGAUCAGGCUGGUGAGAAUGUGGUUGACUAUAGACCCUGGUACUACGACAUCAAACAGUUCUUGCUGAGCCGUGAGUAUCCGCCGGGUGCUUCCAAACAAGACAAGAAGACCUUGAGAAGAUUGGCCGGUAGAUUCCUGUUAGAUGGAAAUAUUCUGUACAAGAGGAACUAUGACAUGGUAUUGUUAAGGUGUGUUGAUGAACAUGAAGCAGAGCAGUUAAUGCAUGAUGUACAUGACGGUACCUUCGGGACCCAUGCUACAGGGCAUACUAUGUCAAGGAAGUUGUUACGAGCAGGUUACUACUGGAUGGCCAUGGAGCAUGAUUGCUACCAGCACGCCAGAAAGUGCCACAAAUGUCAAAUCUAUGCUGAUAAGAUUCAUGUGCCUCCGCACGCCCUCAAUGUUAUGUCAUCCCCAUGGCCGUUCUCAAUGUGGGGCAUCGACAUGAUUGGAAGAAUUGAACCGAAAGCUUCAAAUGGCCAUCGUUUCAUCUUAGUGGCAAUUGACUACUUUACCAAAUGGGUUGAAGCGGCAUCUUAUACCAAUGUGACUAAGCAAGUGGUAGCUAAGUUUAUCAAGAACAACAUCAUCUGUCGAUAUGGUGUUCCCAGCAAAAUUAUUACCGACAACGGUACCAACCUGAACAACAAUGUGGUGCAAGCUCUUUGUGAAGAAUUCAAAAUUGAGCAUCAUAACUCUUCUCCUUAUAGACCUCAGAUGAAUGGUGCAGUUGAGGCCGCCAACAAGAAUAUCAAGAGAAUCGUCCAGAAGAUGGUAACUACUUACAAGGACUGGCAUGAGAUGUUACCCUAUGCUCUGCAUGGCUACCGCACUACCGUGCGCAGUUCAACCGGGGCAACUCCUUUCUCUCUUGUAUAUGGUAUGGAAGCAGUUCUUCCUUUGGAAGUGGAGAUCCCAUCUCUCCGUGUGAUCAUGGAAGCAAAGUUAUCCGAGGCUGAAUGGUGCCAAAGCCGGUAUGAUCAGUUGAAUUUGAUUGAGGAAAAACGUAUGGAUGCCAUGGCUCGUGGACAGUCAUAUCAAGCAAGAAUGAAGACUGCCUUUGACAAGAAAGUCCAUCCUCGAGAAUUCAAGGUAGGGGAACUUGUAUUGAAAAGGAGGAUAAGCCAGCAACCCGACCCAAGGGGCAAGUGGACGCCUAACUAUGAAGGUCCUUAUGUUGUCAAGAAGGCCUUCUCCGGUGGUGCUUUAAUCCUUACACACAUGGAUGGUAUAGAACUUCCAAAUCCAGUGAAUGCCGAUAUAGUCAAGAAAUACUUUGCCUAGAAAUAUGAAAAGAACAGCGUGGUAGGUCGAAAACCCGAAAGGGCGGCCUAGGCAAAAAUGCGCUUCCCGGUGGAUCGAAAACCCGAAAGGGCGGUCCAGGCAAAAAUAAGGGACAAAAAACAAAUAUGAAAAAGCUCGCUGAGAUUGUUCGCAACUCAGGCAAAAAUGAGCGUCUCGAUGAAUCGAAAACCCGGAAGGGCGGUUCAUGCAAAAAUGAGAUUGAAGCAAAAGGCAAGUAACUAUAUCUGGCUAACCACCGUCCCCUUGGGGCAUCUGCAGCUGUUAAUGACCAUCUUCAUCAAAAGCUCCUAUGCUUGCGAAUUCAAAGUUUCUAGGAAAUGUCAUGAUUACUGUGUUCAAUGUAUCACCAACCAAUAAAAUUACCAUUUUCCAAGCUUUGUAAAUCCGUGGAGUCACGCCUUCGGCUGACCACCACUCUUAUACAUCAAAUUGAGCCUGUGCUUUUGUUUAAAAUUCUAUUUUCUUCUACUUUCAAAGCUAUAUACAAAACAUUUUCUUUCUAUUUUGAUAAUGGCAAUGCUUGAAACAAACAUUUUUGAAAACUGAAAACUUUUUGUUUAUUUUGAAAAGCAAACCUGAGCAACAGGGUACAUUCAAAUGAAACAUGCAUGAGCGAGAGUAUGUUGGUGUCUAUUUCAAUAUAUGUUACCAGCAGAUUCUCCUCCAAGAUAAUCUGUGGUCAAUGGCAAGAAUGAAAAAAACAGAAUGAAAAUGCAUGAAAAUAAAUGAGCUCGCUAAGUUGAAAACCCGAAAGGGCGGCUUAGGCAAAAAUGAGCACCCCGCUGGAUUGACAACCCGAAAGGGCAGUUCAGGCAAAAAUGGGGCAUUGAAAAGAAUUUAUUUCCCCGGUGGACCGAAAACCCGAAAGGGCGAUCCAGGCAAAAAUGGGAUGCAAAAAAUGAUGAAUGAAAAUGAGAAUAUAACAUGCAAAAGCAUUGACCACAGAUGCAAUGUCUACAACAUACCCAGCGCUGAAAUGCCCAGCACAACGGCGUUUUCCCCAGUCGGGUCUUCCAAGAUUCUAUCCCCAGCAAGAUGCAUAGCUACCUGCCCUCAGCCAUGGUUCCGAUACGUCUCCCAACGACGUCAUCCCCAAAGAGGAUUUCCAAGAAUGUGUAAUAUAGCACGAGCCACUACGUGCCCAAUACUCUGAUGUCUUGUCUUCCCCGUGAAGUCGUGCCUACAAAAUGCCAACAGUCAUGCAUUACAAGCAUUCAUACAUGCAUAAUCAUGCAUAUUACGUACCCAUGCAUUUAAUGAAAUUGUUAUAUCAUCCAUGCAUAUUGCAUUUCCAAUGUCAACAUCAGUCUCAAUUCAAUACUCAUGUCAGGUUCUCUGUCAAAACCUUGUGAGCCAAUAAUACCGGUCAAUUUCUGCCUUUCAAUUCAAAUCGAUGUCAAGUCAACCUCAAUCUAUAUUUUGUCAACAAACCAAUCCCCAGUGAAUAUGUUUCUAUUUGGUCAAGUGACUAGUUCAAGUCCAAGAACAGCUUGUACCUAUCAAUUUGCUUAUGUUAUCGGUCGAGUGCCCAGCUCAAUCCAAGAGCAGCUUGUACCUAUCAAUAUGUUUCCGUUUGGUCAAGUGGCUAGCUCAAUCCAAGAGCAGCUUGUACCUGUCUAUCUGUUUCUGCCCGGUGGAGUAACCAGUUCGCAUCCAAGAACAAGCUCGCACCUGUCUAUUUGCCUUGCUUUCAGUCGAGUCACCAGUUCGAAUCCGUAAGAACAACUUGUAAUUGUCAGUUUUCUCUUUCUUCCAGUCGGGUUACCAGUUCGAAUCCAUAAGAACAACUCGCACUUUCCAAUAUCCCCAAGUGAGUCACCAGUUCGAAUCCAUAAGAACAACUCAUGUUGGUCCAGUAACCUCUAUCCCCUGUGAAGUGACCAGUUCGAAUCCAUAAGAACAACUCGCAGUUGUCUGUUUGUUUCAUCCCCGGUCAAGUGGCUAGUUCGAAUCCAAGAACAGCUUGUACCUGUCCAACUUGUUUCUAGUUUCCCGUUACUCUGCUAUUCACUAUCUUUGUCAAUGUCUACCAAUCCCGCAAUGGAUACGACAUAUUUUGUUAAUUCCAAUCCCCAUGAAGUCUUGCAUUCAUAAUCCAAGUGAUGCAUGGCAUGCAUAUUAUUUGAAAAUGGGUAGGCGUAUUUUUACGUCCAAAUACAGUGCAAAUGCUAAUAUUUAAGUACCUUCGUCCUGUCAAGCCAAAGACUCCAUCUCUUGACUCUCCAGACAAAGAAACUUAAAUAGGGGCAGCUGUUAUACCCUGUUUUUGGACCUAAAAAUACUGGGCCCAAUUUCAUUUCAAACUUUGUCAAUUAUCAGAUUUCAACUGCACAGUUCAAUUUGUCUCUGCCUCGCAGUAUUUUCAAUCACAAUUUUACCUAUGUUUUUCUUGCAUAAAACCUUUCAAAAUGUCUUUACUUGUCUUGUAAGUCAUUCAAAAGUGUCUCUGGAUCAUUACAUUGCUUUUUCUACAGUUUAUUCCAAAAUUUGCAAAAAGUCAUACAGAAGGGUAUUUUGGUCAUUUCCUGCAGUGGGACCCAUUUUCAUCCUUGUGACUGUCUCUGAGUCUUUUCAGAUUACUUUUAAACAUUUCAUCAGUAAACUUUGUUAAAAUUCAUUUCAAACUUGCGUCUGAGUCAGUGUCAGGUCAAUUUGAAUCUGUUUAGGUCGUUUUUAGCCCUAGGGGCAUUUUGGUCAUUUCACAUAAAAUUUUGGCAUGGGGAGGUUACUUUGAAGUACCUCAUUUAGGCCAUUGGUUCGUUUUAGUCCGUUUUGUCAAUUUUAUUUUUUUGUUUCGCUUUACGUUGGGUCAAAUUACGUUUUUUAUUCAAUUUUAUUUUUUAAUUGCAUUUUGGUCCCUCAAGUGAGGUCCCAAAAUUGCAUUUCAGUCCAGAAUUUUCUUUUUUUACAUUUCAGUCCUUUUUGUCAAUUGCAGUUUAGUCCCUUAUUUUUUCAAUUUUGCAGAAAGGUCCAAUUUCAUUUUUUGCCCAAGGCCGUGCCAUCUUUUUUUUUCAGGUCCAGGUGUCACUUUCUCAUUUGUUCAGAUACACACAUGUCAAGCUAUAAAAGGUGCACAGUGCCACUCAGAGCCAGAAAAACACACGCCAACUCAUAAACACAUUCCAAAUUUUCUCUUUCUCAGCAACUGAAUCAAAACAGAAAAAAUUCCUCAGAUUCAUCAAGAACACCAAGAACAAAAAACCUAACCGUUUUCCAGAAACAGAAACUACACAAAUUCAAGCUAUUUUUCAUGGAUUCUCAGUGAUUCUUUGAAGAAUCAUCAUCAUUGAAUCAAUAUCUUCGCAAUUCGAAGUGCGAAUUCGCCAAAGGCAAACUCCAGCACCGAUCACGAAGAUACAGUGAGGAAGACGAAGAAGAAAGAAAGAUGAUGAAGGUUUAAACCGGCGAAGAAGGCGAUAAAGCAAGAAACCAGCAGGAACACCGGUUUAUUUCCGGAUUCAAAGCCAAAUCACGUAGCAUCAGAGAUUGAAGUUUUCCAAAGAAUUUCUCCAUUAAAGGUUUCAACCAAAACCUUAGGUAAAACUCAUACUCUUUUUCAAAAGCAAUAUCACUGUUAAACCUAAAAAUCACGCAAGCAAAACAGAUCCAAAGGUUCCAGAAUUCAAAGAAAACUAUAACCGUAAACAUCAAAAUCCAGAUCCGUAAGGAUCAACGUUUUGAAAGCGAAAACAGGCGUCAAAAAGUAAUCAAACGACGAAACGAUGUAGAUCUUUAAAGAUCUAAAUGAUCUCAUUCAAAAAAAUCAAAAAUCAUUUCAAAACCGUAAAAGCUUUUUCAAGAUCUACGUCGUUCAAAGCCGUUUUUGAAAAAACAAAUGCCGGAUUCGUGUUUAGGGUUAAAGGACGAGUCAAACGAAGUAAGAAUCUUUGAAAUCUGGAAAUUUAGGUCACCGAAAACUGCAUGAACUCGCCGGAGAAGAUGAAGUUUCCGGCGGACCUUCAAGGUCUCCGCCGUAGCUUCAUCCUCGCCGGCGGCGAGGUUUAGAGAGAGGUGAGAGGUGAGAGAAGAGAGAAGAGCUAGAGAGAGAAAGGGGAGUGAAAAAUGAAGAAAACCGGUGCCAUGCCUUUUAAAUAAGCUAGUGAACCAGACCGGUCCAAGACCGGUCCAAUCCUGUUGAUUCCAGGCCGUUUGAUCUAGGGUUUCAGGACCCUGGAUCAAUCUUGUGGCUCCUGUGAAUCCGGUUCCUUAGGGUUUUGGGUUGGGCCUUUGUUUCCUUUGGAUCUUUACGUUUUGCUAUUCCUGUGCUUUUCACACCUCUAUUUUUGCUACCUGUACCUAUGUCUUGAUUAAAAUUGUGAUAAAAUUCCUAGAAAAAUUCAUGCAUGUUUCCUGAUAUUUUCUUAGUGUUUUUAUGACAUUUUUGCACAUUAAGGAUCUAUGAAAUUUUGGUAUGGUUAAUUCAUAGCAUUUUAAUUCUCUUUGAAUUAUUUGUUAUGGAUUCUUCUUCAUACAUUUGUCCUUGAUGUGCGAAUAUGUGAUAAAAGCUUUUUGAUGUGUUAAUAUGAGAAAUUUGUGCCUAUAAUUUCGUGUUGUUUUGCUGUUUUGAUUUGGUUCAUGAGUGCUUGAUUUUAUGAGCAAUAUAUGCAUAUUUUGAAAGAUAUAAAAUGCCAAGUUUAUUCUAGAAAAUAUGGCAUGAAACCAUGCUUGCAUGUUUCCAAUAAUUUCAUGCUAUAACUUGAGAUAAAGAAAACUCUUUCAAAAUUUGUUAAAGCAUGAGAAUUAGAGGCCAAGGAUGCUUUAGGUUUCAUACCUAAGUUUUUAGGGUUUAAUGUCAUUUUGUUAACUUUUUGUGUCAUCUUGCAUGAUUUUAUUUCUUAGUGCUUAUUAUGUUUUUUCUUUUGACUAACAAGUUUAUUCCCAUGUUUCAUGCAUCCCAUUUAGCAUUCCCUCCACCCUCUUUAGCCUAGCAUUUAUUUUUGCAAGUUUUAAUUCAUUUAGUGAUGUAAUUUGUCAUCAUUGGUUUGUAGCUUGGCAAAGGGGCCAUAGAAUGUAUUUAGGCAAUUUUUGUAAUAUGGACUAUGGACACUAUGACGCACCGACACGCACACACUCACCUUAGAUGUAUGCAUAGGAUUGUAUGGUUAAAUAAGCGUUUAGGUUUUAAACACCUAGAGAAAAUCCAUCUUUUUUCCAAAAAAAAAACAAUUGAACUUCACUUCAAAAAUUUUCAUAAUAAACAUGAAGUCAACACUUCAUUUCUUUUCCUUUCUUUUUUUUCUUGAGAAAAAUUCAAUUCAUCUUAAUCAUUUAGACUUUCUUUUUUAAUCACUAAUCAAACCUCACUUUUUGCUAAAUCUAAUGCUCAUGAAGCCUCCCAAUCUCCUUCUUCAAAACCAUUUUCAAAACUUAAAAUCAAACAAUUAAAACAAAAACAAGUCUUUUUAGCAAGAACUACGAACGGUUUUGAUCCCUUAAAAGGGUACGUAGGCAAUGAGUCAAAACUCAUCCAAGCCGAAAUAAAAUCAAAAUUCUACUUCUUCUCACCCCCACUCUUAACUAAAUAAACCUCCCAUUUUCAAAAGUAGGUAAAAAUAAAGCGUAAAAAUCGACUUAGGAAAACGGCUCCUAUAGAGGACUAUAGUUACUCCGGGUGCCUAACACCUUCCCGUAGUAAAACCGACCCCCGAACUUAGAAUCUAAGGGUUUUUUCUCAAUUUUUCCCUUCCCAAGAAAAAAGAGAGAUAUCAACGGUCGAAAGGUACAAGUCCAAUUAAUGACUUGGUACCCAAAAACCAUGAUAACAAGAGGUACUUGAUCAUAGUUUAACAUGUAAUCGUUUGAUCUAUAAAUAUAUGGUUCUAGCAUUUGAAUUGAUAUUGAGGUUAUUCUUGCACUUUAAUCUUUAUCUUUGAUUUAAUUGUGAUUGAGAAAUACUUUUGAAUCUAGGUUUAGAAUAACCAUCUAUCAAAACAUAGUUUCUAGACAUGGAAUCGAUGUUUUGAUAAUCACCUUGAGUAUCCAAACCUAAAGCUUUCUUAUCAUUUAAUAGAUUGAGAAAUCAUCGAUUGAACGAUAAGAUCGACUCUUGAAUCAUUCAAUAGUUUGAGACAUCGACCAUUGAAUGAUACAAUUGAUUUCACAAUAUUGUUUGGACACGAAUGGUGUUGUCGAGGGAUACGUGAUAAUAUCAAAGAAAAGCUAGAAUCCAUGUAUGAUCAUUAGGUUACGUGCGACGCUCGAUCAAGGAACUCUAAUCCUAACAAGUUUUACGCCCUAUUAAUCUCAAUUGUAUCAUUUGCAAUUCAGUUACUAAAACAAACAAUCAACUAUCGUUUAACUUGAAAUGAUAUUUGGUGUCGAACGGUCCGCGAUAUCGCACUAGUCCCUGAGGAGACGAUAUAAAUACUUACAAUUGUUUGAUGCAAAAAUACUACAUCAGCCCCUUGGUUCCAACAACGAGUUAGAUCACGACGACAAGCAUCCAUCUCCUCUUUUAGACCAUUGUGAUUCACUUUGUUCCAUGUGCUAAGCUCUUAUGCACAAUGAUCUAGUUUUUCAACAAUCAACAAACCUGCACUAGAAACCCAGCUAUCAGAAACAACAUCAUGAAUACAUGGUUCAACACACCAAGCAUUCUCAAAUUUAAAAUUUCUUUUAGGUAUCCAGACACGAGCAUUCGGUAUCCCUAUUUAAUAAAAUUGGAUAAUGAUCAGAAGUUGAAGCCACUAAAUUCUCUUGCUUGGCAUUAGGAUACAACUAGAACCACUCUUCAUUUGCAAGAGCACGGUCCGAUCUUUCUUUAACUGCUCUAGGAGUACCUGAACUCUUAAACUAGGUAAAAGAAUACCCCCUCCUUUAACAUAUCAAUUAAACCUGCAUAAAAAACAACCUAUCUUAAAUCGUUAAUCAACCACCUAGCACGCUUAAAGCCCCCUCACUUUUCAUAGAUAUCCAAAAUAUCAUUAAAAUCACCAAGGAUACACCAUUGAAGCGAAGUACCACAAGAUAAAUUUCUCAAAAAAUCCCAAGAAUUGCGUCUUCGACUCCCUUAUAGGAAUCCAUAAAAACUUGUAAAUGCCAUCUCCCUUGACUAGGAUCACGGACUUCAACAUUAAUAUAAUUUUCAGAAUAAUUUAUCACUCUACAGUUAAAAGAGUGUCUCCAAAGUAGUGCUAAGACACCACUUCGACCAUUACUAAUAACAGUUAAACAUUUAUCAAAAUCAAGCAAAUAACGGAAUUCUUCAGUUUUAUUGGCAUGGAUUAAAGUCUCACUGAGAAAAAGAGCAUCCGACUUAUAAUAGGUACUAGGUAUUUUAGGUUAAGAACUACACUCAGGUUCUCUAGGCCUCGGCAAUUCCAUCCUAUAAGACUCAUUCCCCUCAACAAUAUUCAACAAAGACAUGACAGUAUCAUCAUUAACGGUAUCUGUAGCGAAAACUCUCUCCUUUUUCUUCAAGUACAAUUUGAUACAAACCUUCCAACAUAUCAAACUCAUGACACAUCAAUUUCAUCAAACACAGGUUAUUCAUAGUAUUCACCACCAAAUGCAAUCCCCAAAACCACUAAUUGUAUCAAGAAAGAACCGACAACAAUUUGAUCUCUAAUAAAAUGUGUAAUUAAAAGGAUUAUACCUUGUAUGAAAAUAUAGAUGAUGGAAAUUGCAACAAGACAAAGCACAUGAUCGAGAAGGCAAAGGAAUCAGCGUCAUCUUUAUCUCUGGAAAAGGAGUAAUAUCGAAGGAAAUAGAACAACGCAACAACAAACACGUUCAGGGGAGACUAUUUCUCAUCGAACGACGGCAAAAUCCUUCACAAAGGGAGCGGCGGCGCUAACCCUAGAAGCGACGGCAAUUUCUGUUAUUAUUCUUAAUGUCAAAAAAUAAUUUGGUUCAAAUCAUUGAUCAUGAAGGCCUGUGAUGGGCGUGUAUUAUUCAUUUCAAUGACCUCCAUGUUCAAUGGAGACUCAAAUGUCGGCUGUUAACAUAUAUAAAUAAGUAAUAUACAUUAACUUAUUUUACACGAACAUCAUUACUAGACGUACAAUACUUGGCAUUUUUACUAGCAAUAAACUUGUUACACAACAUAAUAUUGUUCUUGAAACUAUUCAAGCUUAGCAUCAUUCAAACGAUAACUCGGUAUUGCGUGCAAAUGCUGAGCUCUUGGUAUAGUGAGUCCAAAUUUCUCCUCCAUAUUCAAAUUGGAGGGACUAAUAUUAUGUGGAAGUUCCCAGUUAAAACAAUGGAUAAAUUGAGCUAUAACCAAUUUAACAGUAAUUAAACCCAAUUGAAUUCCAGGACAACGCCUACGACCAGAACCAAAUGGUAUAGAUUCAAACUCUUGUCCAAGAUAAUUCAUUUUUUUCUCUACAAAUCUCUCUGGGUAAAAUUCUUUAGCAUUUUCUGACCAAACAUUAGGAUCUCUCCCUAUUGCCCAUGCAUUUACUAUAAGUCGUGUCUUUUCCUUUAUAAAAUAACCAUCAAUUGUUGUGCUCUCUCUAGAUUCACGAGGGACUAGUAACGGUGCUACGGGGUAAAGUCUUAAGGUCUCAUCAACCACCAUAUCUAAAUAAUUCAACUUCUUUAGAUCCUUCUCGUUAACCAUUCUUUUAUUUCCUACUUCAUUUUGUAUCUCAUCUUGAAGCUUUUUCAUCACUCUUGGAUGUCUUAAAAGUUCAGAUAAAGCCCAUUCAAUCGAGGUAGCAGAUGUAUCAAUUGCUGCCACUAUCAUGUCGAGCAAAAUAGCCUUGAUGUUAGUUCGAUCAAUGACGAGAUUUUGUUCACCCUCAAUAUCAAUGGUUUGGUGCAUAAUUGAAAGAAGUAUGUCUACAAAAUCUUUUUGAGUUUUGUUUACAUUAGCAGCUUGUUCAUGUUCUGUUAAUAUCACCUCUAGCACCUCAUCAAGUGCUUUACUGACUUUCUUGCAAGAUUUUGUUAAUCCCUAACAAUGAGUUAAAACAUAAAAUAUCAAUUACUAAAUGAAUAUUUUCAUUGUACUUAACAAAACCAUUAGAGCAUCCUUAAAAAAAAUAAAAAAUAAAACCAUUAGAGCAUGUUUUCUUAAAAGAGGAUCAAUGCUAUCCAUUUUUCUCCUUCAUGACUAGAACUCAUAGCCCUAUGAAUAUAGUUGAAGCAUCUUACCAACUAAACUGCACUUAGAAAAUCGAUAACAAUAUAUUUAAGGGAAUGUAAAAUAUUUAAAACUUUAUUUAAUUUAGUUUCUAAAUUAUCGCAAUCUUUCAUUGUUAAAGAUUAAACACCACCAAAAAAUUAUCAAAAAUUAAAUUAAAUUAUCACGACCUUAAUAUUUUUCCAUUGUGCAAAGAACCGGUCGUCUGAUUUUUUUCAAAAAUUCUCCUACUUUUAUCACCUCAAAUAUUGAGAUUGUGAAAUUUAGCCCCCAAUUUCAAACAAUCACGUGGUAUUUGAGGUAUUUAUAAGUAAAAUCAUUGGAAUACUAUAUAACUACAAGUGAAGGGUAGUUGAGUUUGAAAUUAGGUAACCAUUUUAUUUAUUGAACGACAAAUAUCGUGCAAUUACAUAUUGAGUGAAGAAAAUUAUAUACAAUCACGAUAUUUAUUUAUGAGACUUAAAAUUAAACUUAUGUCAAUAAUUAAUCUUUUAUUUCCUAUACAUAAUACUCCCUCGCUCCUAAAUUAUAAGUUGUUUUUGAGGGAAAUUGUUUCAAAUUAUAAUAAGUAAGUUUUACAGUAGCAUAUUUUUUCUAUCAUAUUCUUAAAUAUUUCUUACCUUUCUAUUUUAUUAAUGAAAGGUAAUUUUAUCAAAUGACUCAUAAUUUCGUUUUCUAAUACAAAAUUAACAAGGUAGAAUUUAACAAACAUACCUGAAGAUCAAAAAUUCCUAGCCAAGGAACAUAAUCAGCCAGAUUAAAAGCUCCAAUCAAAGCCAAUCCUUCUUGAACCAAACUCUUCAAGUCAAAUUGCUCAUACUUACUCCGACCAAACAUCAACUUAUACACAAUAUCUUCUAUUAGAUUCUCUACAACCUCACUAACAUUCACAACCUCACCAACCAAAGCAGCUUUCUUCAAAGUGUUAACCAAAAUACUCAACUCCUCUUUUCUAAUAGGACCAGACAUCUCAACUUUUGAAGCACUAAGAAGUUUCAAAGUGCAAAAUUUCCUCACACUACGCCAAUAAGGACCAUACUCACAAAAAGCCAUCCCUUUGGAACCAUAAGACAUGAGCUCAGAUCCUUGAAUCUUUGGUCGGCUUGCGAAAACGAUGUCGUGGGUUUUGAGGAAUGAUUCUGCUGCUUUUGAAGAUGAAAUGACAAUAGCUGGGACUUGACCAAGUUGUAAGGACAUGAUUGGACCAUAUUUUUUGGAGAGUGACUGAAGUGUUCUAUGUGGAAGGGUGCCUAAUAUGUGAAGGUUCCCUAUUAUUGGUAGUGUUGGUGGACCUGGUGGUUUUUCAUGGAUAAUGGUUUUUUGUUUUGAAUGUAAGAAGAGUUUGAAUAGAAAGUACAUGAAAGUGAAGAGAAGAAAAGCAAAUAUUAUUGUUGUUACUGCAAAAGACAUGUCUACAAAUGAAUGGUUGGGUUGUACGUAAUAAGGUUGAAGAUAAAGACUAUAUAGAACUCCAAGUUGAUCUCAUAUUAUCUUGAAACUGGUGGUAUACGUUUGUUUGUGGAAUUGUUUUCUUGACAUGUAUUUGUGGAAUUGUUCGUUGUGAGAUAUUUCUUCCCCGAAAAUAAAAGAAUAAAGAUAGCUUCUGUAACCAUAUUUUUUCAAUUGCGGCCACUAUUUUUUCAAAAAAAUAUAAUGACGCAACUAAAAUACGCGUGACCACUAUUUUUCCAUUUAAUUAACCAAAUAAAUUCGGUGAAAAUAAUGGUCACACAACUGAAAAAUAUAGUCACACAUACCAUAUAUUUAGUUGACUUUAAAUUUUUAAGAAUGGUAGAGCAAUCUAUCAUUGCUCAAAAUAAAAGUAUUGACUAUUGAGUUAUUUAUGACGGGCCCCUUUUCUGCAGCGCCAUAUACCCAAUCAGGAUGAUUGAUUUUGGUUAAAUAUUUAUGACUAUUGAAAAACUGGUGGUGUGCAUGUUUGUUUGUGUAACUUUCUUAAGGGAAAAAGGAACGUGCUCAGUGCCGUAGUGUUCUCAAAACAUUUAUUAAUCAACCUACUCCCUCAAUCAUUGCUUCUUUUUUUUUUCCAUACAUUUAUUAACAAAAUAUAUAUUUCCUCCGGUCACAUUUAUAAGUAAAAAAAACUACUCUUUAGAUAUAUUGAAUAGUUAAUGUAUCUAACCUAUAAAUGUGGCCGGAUACAUUAAUUAUUCAAUGUAUCUAAAAUGUGAUUUUUUGCUUAUAAAUGUAACCGGAAUGAGUAAUUUUUUAGAUUAACAAAAAAUAAUUAAAGUAAAUAUUUUGUAAGUAUUUUGUCAAGAAAAAUCUAAUAACAUCUUUAUCUUAUAUAUUAAUAGAAAAAUAUAAUCAAAUAUCUUGUAUGAAUAGUAUACAUAGUAGACCAAGGGAGUAAUAUAGUAGUAGCAUUAGUCAAAUUUGAGUUUGAGUUGGACUGUCAAAAUUACCUAUUCUUGACGUGAAGAUAAAAGAAGUGUAGAUUGGCUCGCUAAUUUCAACAUUUUGAUGGAUUUUCUAGAUUUUCAUAUUAUGGAGAAUCCCCCUAGUGAGUUUCAGAGUCUUUUGUUUGAUGAUAUUUUCAAAGCUUGCAUACCUAGGAACGUCCGUUUAAUUUCUUAAUGUAGAUUUCAAGUCUUUUGUUUGUUUAAUGUAGAUUUUCGUUGAAUUUGUUUGAUGGGAUUUUUUUAUGCAUUUUUUUCAUGAGUUCAGUGAUGAUUUUUUUAAUUCAAACUUUGGAAAUGGAUGUGAUAAAGGGUAAGAGAGAGAAUUAUAAUAUAUAUAUAUAUAUACAUUUGAAUUAUUUAUGAAACAAAUUGACUAAGAUAAUUUUCAAAUGCCACAUAACAUAAUUGAAAGGCCAUUUGUUCAAGUUCUAGAAACAAUGUUUUAUGUAAAAAAUAGGAUAGAAUUGCGUACGAUACGCCAAAUGUCGAGACCUCUUCUUGACUUUGCGUAUGCGGAAGCUUUAGUGCACCAGACUGCACUUUUUAUAAUAAAAAAAAUCCUGACUCGGUGCCCCACAUAAGCUAAUUUGUAUACUAAGCUCUAAAAUCAAAUAAUAUUCAAAUGGCAACGAAGAAUCUCAAACUUUUUUUCGAGGAAUAACUAAAACUCGCCCAAAUGACAGGAAAAACACUAGGACAGAUCAUGUUAGUUUUAAUUCAAGUUAGAUGGUUUUAACUCAAGUUAGUUGAUCUUUAGAAAGAAAAAAAAAAAACUCAAGUUAGUUGAGAUUAAAUCAUGGUUAGAAUGUUUGUUGGAAGACUUGGCUAUUAGUUAGCAAAAUCAGUUCAGUUUGUUUUGAUUGCUUACUAAGCAAGCUAUGUAAAUAAGCUCUUUAUAAGCAUGUUGUAAAUAUUUUUUCACAACUUAAUGAGAAUACAAUUUUACAACAAUCAAUUACUCUUCUUCUUUCUCUCAGUUCUCUCAAUUUCUCAACCCUAAUUUUCAUAGAAACUCUUGCUUGCAUUGCAAGAAACUUAAGUUACAUUAUCAAAUUGGCAUCUAGAGCCACUAGUUCUAAUCUAAGGGAAAAAGAAUACUUCAAUCACGCAAAGAUUUAGGAGCAUAAAUGGUGUAACUGAAACCACGAAUGGUAAUAAUAGUUUCAAUACUCAUCUUCCAAAUCUUAAAGGUGGAAAUUGGGAAAGAUAGAGUCGUGUGAUGAAGAUUGUGCAAAAUGGUUUUGAUGAAUUGGGUUGGAAUGCAACUGAAGUACAAAGAAUUGCACAUAAGGAGUUAAAGAAGAAGGAUUGCAAAGCAGUGUUCUUCAUUCAACAAGGUGUUGAUGGAGGAAAUUUUGAUAAAAUUUCUACGGCUACAAGAUCAAAGGAAGUUUGGAUAUUCUAGAGAAAUAUCAUGAAGGAGAUGAGAAGGUGAAGGAGAUAAAGCUUCGGUCUUUAAGAAGGAAAUUUAAGUUGAUGCAAAUGGAAGAGGAGCAAAAGAUUCUUGAUUACAUCUUUAAGUUGAUUAAUGUUGUACAAAUGAAGGCAUGCAGUGAAACAAUCUCUGAUUAACAAAUUAUUGAGACGAUCAUAAGAACACUAUCUCCAAGAUUUUAUUUUAUAGUGGUGGCCGUAAAAAAAUCAAAGGAUGUGAAAACUUUGAAAAUUGAAGAAAUGCAGAGUUCAUUGGAGGCACGUGAAUUAAUAAUGUCUGAAAGAAGUAGUGAAAGAUCAAUUCAACAAGCUUUACAAGUUCAAACUGUGAAGAAGGAUGAAUAUGAUAAAAAGAAUUUCAAGAAAGGCAAAAGUAACUCUAAGGGCGAAACUGGUCAAAUUCUAAAGAGAAGAACAAAGCCAGUGAUAAAACUGAAUCUUCAAAAGGAGGAGGUUCUGGUAAUUAUCAAGGCAAGAAGAAAGGCUUUGAUAAGAAGAAGAUAUGUUGUUAUAAUUGUGAAAAGUUUGGUCAUUAUGCUUCUGAAUGUUGGACCGGUAAACGGAAGCAAGUAAAGAAUGAAGAGGAACAAGCCAAACUUUCACAAGAAGAUUUAGAUUAUGAUGCAGUCUUGUUAAUGGUGAAAACAACCAAUAAUGAAAGUCGUAAGUCAGAUAGAUGGUUUUUAGAUAAUGGUUGUUCUAAUCAUAUGACUGCAAAUAAGAAUUGGUUGAAAGAAAUCAACACGGGAAGAAACAGCAAGGUGAAGCUUGCAUAUCAUAGAACACUAGUUGGAAAAGGCAUGGGAAAGAUUGUUAUUGAAAGAAAGAAUGGAAAAUUAAUAGUAAUUUAAGAUGUGAUUUAUAUUAUGGGGAUGUAAUGCAACUUGUUGAGUGUAGGUCAAUUGGUGCAAAAGGGCUAUUCAGUAACAAUGAAGGAUAACUCUUUGAAAUUGUUUGAUAAAAAUCAAAGGUUAGUUCUGAAAACUCCCCUUGCAAAGAAUAGGACAUUUCAAACUGAUAUGAAAACUACUGAUCUGAUACUAUAAAAAAUGAAGAUAGUUAGUUAUGGGACUACAGAUUUGGUCAUUUAAAUUUUAGAAGUCUUAAUCAGUUAGUUGACGAAGAAUUGAUUUUAGGAGUACCAAAGUUGAAUAUACCAGAGAAAAUAUGUGAUAUUUUUUUUGAUAAACAAGCAACCUAGAAAUGCAUUCAGUGCAAAUACAACUCAUAGAUUAACAGAGGUGUUGAAUGUAGUAUAUUCUGAUGCAUGUAGUCCAUUAGAAGUUCCUUUAAUGGGAGCAGGAAGAUUUGGCUAUUUCUGAUUAAAGCAAAGAGUGAAGUUUUUGGUAUAAUCAAGAAGGAGAAGUGCUCUAGUUGUUCCUGCAAUAUUGAUGAAGAACGAGUUCAACAAGAAGUUGAGAUUCAGCAGGAGCCUCCCAUAACAGUUAAUCAAAACAUCAGAGUCUCACAAAGGAAAAGGUUUGUAUCUUCUAGACUGAUCCACUUUAACCUUUAAAACGUGGCCGACAGAAUAAUUAUCUUUGGAGUAAUUAGUUCUGGUGUGUGUCAUUUACUCAUAUUUGUUUUAUGCAUCCACUUUAAUUCAAUGUAUUGAGAACAUCUUGAACAAGUCUUAUCUAUUAUACCAAUGUAUGAACCACUAAAAUUAUUUAUAAUAUAUAAACACAAAUUUAAGUUGAAAUAAACAUUCAAGUUGAAACAACGGAGUUCGACUAAAAAUUAGCAUGAAUACUUAAAUCAUUACAUAUUUAACAACUAUUAUAAAUUAUGAAACUUUUUUUUUCGUACAUUACAAUUGUUAACGGAAAGAAUUUCCAGUUGACAGAACAAUAUACGGGAGAUUUGAAACUCAUGUAAAUUCGAAAGUCUAUAAGUCUUCGCUAACAUGCCAAGUAUAAGUAUCACAAAACUCACGUAUGUCACUUUUGAAAUUGCGGAAAACUAUAAUCGUUAAAAGAUAGAUCUAUAAUUAUUUAAAUUUUUAGGUUGGCCACUACACCACUUUACGAAAAUUUGAAUCAACCGUAACCAAAAAUUGACACAAAAUUGUAUAAAAUAUCGUAAAAUAGACCUAUAAUCGUUAAUUUUUUUAUUUUUCCGGAUGCCCCAUAUGGCUCCACUUGAAAGAACACCAUUCUUGUGUAAAAAAUAAUAAAAAUAAAUUUAUAAUAGUAACCGUACUUGUGUUUUUGACAACUGUUUUUUUUUUCCUAAACAUAAAUUCUUUUUUUUUUUAAAUAAAUUUUUUUAUACACUUUCAUUCAUUAUAAAAAGUGAUAAAUUGUUAUUUCUCAACUAUAUUUUAUUUCUGCAUGCCAGUUUAUUGUUAUGAGUUUUUUUUUUAAAAGACUUUAUUGCACUACAAGAAAAUUGCCAUAUAUCUAUGGAGGUUUAUAGUGACGGACUAAAAUCCGUAGGUAUAUAAGUUUUACCUACGGAAGUGGCCAUAGGUCUAUCUUAAAAAAAAUAAAAAUAAAAAAUAAAUAGUAAUACAAGAGAGUGCGCCUAAUGAAAACUAUAGACCGGGAAAGAUCCCGCUUUUUCCAAUUUUUUCCACCUCUAAAUUGAAAAUAUAUAAAAAAAACUCUAAUAAAAACAAAAAAAAAACCCAACUCUUCACGUUCAAGAACACAAUUUCAUUUUUCACCCGUUUCAGAAUCCAAAUCAAAAUCUCACUCUUCCAAAUCCUGAAAUGGCCAAAUCAAAACCUCACCUUUUUUUCCCUGAUUGAAACCUCAGCCUCUCUUGUUCUUCCCCGUUCCCAAAUUGCAACACUUUUCACACCCAAAUCGAAAUCCUUGAAGAUCAACUGAAAGAAUCUGAAGUCAAAUCCCUCUGUCUCAAAGCAAACGAGAUCCUGUAAGCCAUCAAUUUUCACGUUUCUUCUGUUUUUACUUUCUGUAAGUCAUCAAAGGACAAAAUUCUGUUAUUAGGUUUUCACUAUUUUUACUUGAUUUUUUGAUUUAUUUUUACUAUAAUAUUUGUUGAUUUUUUGAUUUGUUUUGAUUAUGUUUUUAGUAUGAUAGUAACAAUUAUCUUUCAAGGGAAGUUAGUAGGUUUAUUUUUUGAUUUGUGUUGAUUUUUUUAUUUGUUUCUUUUUACAUAGUAGCAACAAUUAUUUUAAUGAAAAGUUAUUUUAUUUUUAGGAUAUCUUUCAAGGAGAUUUAGUAGGUUUGGGGAGUGUCGUUCGAAGAUACAAUUAAUAGAGUGGACGGUUGUUGUUAUUAGUCAAUUAUUUGAAUAUAAUUUUUAUAUCUUCUAAAUAAAAAUGAGAAUAAUUGAUAUAUAUAUAUAUAUAUAUAUAAUCGAGUCAGUUCAUGAACUAAACGAGUCGAACUAUAUAUAGUUCAUGUUCGACUCAUAUAAUUAACAAACUUAAUUUUCAUCUCAAAUUCGAUUCAUUUGAAAAUUCUAUGUUUUAAACUCAUAUUGUGAAUCUUCAACGUUGUAAAAUGAAAAUCGAACGAUUACAAAUUACUCUUGGGGUAAGAAUAAUAGAAGAUAACUAGCAAAGUUAAAAAAAAAUGUUUAGGUUGUUAUUUGUGUCCUACUAGAGUACUAGUAUUUCUUGAACUCUAGAAAUUAACUAAUUUUUCAAUUGUAUUAAUACCAUAUUUUGUUUUAUACAUGAGUUAAUUAGCUGACUACCUCAUUUAUUUCUUUUCAAUAUUUAUUUUCUUUGUUUGAAGUUUAAUAGUUUGUUGUUCUCUACGAAAGCAAAAACUAUUUUUAUAUUUUAUUUUUUAUUCUUGAAUUGUAAUGUCAUCUUGUGUAUUUCAAGUCCAAAAUGAGUUGAUUUUGCAUGGUUGACCUGAUUUGGUAUUCUCUCAUUGCUUUAGUCCGAUCUUUUAAUUUACCACACAAAUAUUGUUUAUCCUCUAAAUUACCACACCCUUCCCAUACAAGAUUGAGAGGUAGUCAUAAUCACUCCUCUCACAUAUAAAUUGUCAAUCGUUGGAAGGCGGUUGAGAAGAAGACGCCACAUAAAAAGAUUGAUUUGCAGAGGAACAUCUUUAUGUCAGAAUACACGGGAAUAGUAAGUUGUCGCUGAAUUGAAGCACUAAGUAGAAGAAAUAGCACUGCCUCUUCUCUGCUAACAUUCAUAUCAACAACAUGAGAUGGUGUGGUAAAGGAGCCAUGAAAAAUCAAUCGGAUCCUUGAAGUGCAUAGAUAUUAAGAUGUGCUCUUCAGCCCAAGAAAAAGGCACACCACGAUGGAACAUGAUAAAAUGGACAAAGGAGAGGAAUGCAAUAUAGGCACAUACAAAGCUUCCCUAAGAACAUAUUUCAAAUCAUUAUUAGAUAUAUGAAUAAUUUUUAAAAGAUAUUUUAGUUUACAUUCAAUACCAAAUUAUUUUUUAAAUCAAUAUGAAUUAUAUAAUUGGUUUGAAUGAUAAUGUAUAAUAAAUCAUGCAAUUACAAAAUUAAAUACACAUCCACAUUUUUUUUAAUGAUUUUAUCAACAACAUAAAUUGAUCCUACCAUACAUUAUAAAAAAAAUCUUUUUUUAUAUUUGAGAGGCAUACACUACAAAUAUAAAAAAUUCCUUGCUAUCUUCUUCCAUAUUGAAAGGAACACAUCAAUUAGGCAAAUAAUUGUCGAAUUAUUAACAGAAAAUAACUUCAAAUUCAGCUUUGCAAGCCAUCUACUUGGAAAAGCAUCGAAAUCCAUCCAAGAUUCAACAAUGAGAGAUAAUUCAAACCUAUAUUUGACAAUAAGCCUUUUGAGAGCUAAUUUUGAUAGGGAACUUGCUAUACCUGUAAUAUUCUAGAAUUGGAAAAGCCAACCUUUAAUCUGGUGUUGUAUUGCUUUCUUAAUUUCUCAGUUUUGUUUUGUUUGCACCAGCAUCUGAAUUCGCAUUUCAAUACGGUUUAUAGCAUUGACGAGUAAGUUCAUUCAUAUUCCUCAAAUAUUCAUGAUCACCAUUGUCACAUUCGCAUUUUAAUACGGUUUUUAGCAUCAAUACUAUGUUCCGAGUUAGUUGUUCCACAAGCAUAAGACAUGUCAUUAACAUUGCCAGAAUUAUUCAAAGUGUUGUUAUAAACCAUUUCAGCUCUUUUUUUUUUUCCUUUUCUAUAUGUAUCCUUUAGGUUCACAGCUCCAAUAUUAUUAUCUGUGUAUAUUGUCUUUAGAUUACACAAAGAUUUUCUUCUAAUCCUAUUUAGGUUUUAUUCUAUUAAGGGUCCGUUUGCUACAGCUUUUUAUAAAAAAAAAAAAAAUCACUUUUUUUAAUCUUGCAUCUUUUUAUUCAGAUUUUCAAAAAAAAUUAAAAUCUGAAAAUAAUCUAAAAACAGCUUCAAAUGAGUAGCUGUUAUGAGCAGCUUUUUUUUUUAUAGAUUAUUUUUAGAGGAGAGAGAAAUUUGUUACGAGAUUUUAACAAAAAAAAAAGAUAUGUUUAAAACAAACUAAAAUUCCAAUCAUAUCCUUGUUUUGCUAUAUAUACGCAAAGACUAGUCUUCCUUUUUUCACAGCCUAUUCGUUAUUCUUCUCUCUAUUCUCUAAACAAGUGAAGGUUAGCAAUUUUAUUAUCUUUUUGAUUCAUUCAUAAUUGAACCUGUAUAUUUUUUUUUCAUGUUUCUCUUCCCAUUAUCAUAUAUUUUGUGUUGUUUUUGUCUAUUUUGGAUGUUUUUUAUGUUUGUAUAUAUCAUUGUUGCUUCUAUUUUGCGGUGCUGUUGAUGUUGGGUUUUGAGGGUAAUUGUUUGGGUGCCCUGCCAUGGCGUGGGGCUCGUAUAUAUAUCAUAAAUUGGAACCACUAUAUAGUUAUUAUUAUCAAGGAAAAUGCUAUUUUUUUACGAAAACCAAUGGCAAGAAAUCGACAAACGCUUUUGUAUUGUGCUAUUUCACCCACUGCUUGUCUCCUACUCUUGUAGUAUUCUGUCAAAUGCUAAUUAAACUGAUGAAUAUUUGUUAAAUUUUUAUAAAAAUAUAAUAUGAUACUUUGUAUUCGGCAAUAUGAGUGUAUGUAUACAAGCAGAUUAAAUUAUGAACAAAUGCUAGUGAUAAAUUUAUCAUUCUUGUGUUUCUUGUGCAAAAUAUAUGUGGAGUAAUAAUUUGGUAAAUCAACAAUUUUAUGGCAUGCUUAACUAUUCAUAUUUUGUUUACAUAUAUAACAUUGUUUGAUCCCUAUUGUUAGAUCACUUUAGUUAGGUAUUGAUUCAGGUUAAAUUAUGAACAAAUGCUAUUAUCAAUAUGUAGUAGCUAAAUAUCAUAUAUAUAGUAUCAUAGGAUAUGGAAGAACAAUCCAUCUUUUUCAACUAAUCAUUUUGCUCGUGUUUUAACAACGUAAAUGCAUUUUUAAUUAACAUACUUGUUUUCAUACAUAAAAAAGUAUUUUUUUUUUUUUUGGACAAACAUGUUAUAUUUGAAAGAAUUUUUUUUUGUGUCCUUUAUGGUAAUUUUAUAAUAAAAAAUCACUUUUAGAAAGUUGUAUCCAAAUAAACUAAAAAUCACUUUUUUUUUAAAAAGUGAUAUUUGACAUGGUAAACAAACAUAAAAUAGAUUCUGAUUUUUUAAAGAAUCUCUAAAAAUUAUCUCUAAAUUAUUUUAUUUUAAAAUCACUUUUAUUUUAAUCCGUAACAAACGGACCCUAAUUCUCUUAAACUUCACCAUAUCCAUGGUGGAAUCAGAGAAAAUGCAGAAGCUCAACGAAAAAGAAAGAGAGAAAAUUAGAUCAAAUUCUAGAUUCAUUGAAUUGAUCUGAAAUUGGUUACAACAAAGCUAUAUAUAGCUGUAUAUGAUCCUAACUAACUCUAAAAAACUAUUAGCUAGCUAGGAUUAGAAUCAUAUGAUGCUAGUACACAGUAAAGAUCUAUGGAAUGGCAGAGUAAUAUGCUGCGCAAGCUAUCUAAUAUUACAAGUAAUCACACAAUUUAAAAAAGAAGAAAAAGAGAAGGAGAGUGCACAAACAAAUAUUGGCGCCAGAUAAAUUGUGCAUAACCAGGAUAAUUAGGGAACCUUGCUAAAUAUAUUGGUACUCUCUGGUGGUUUGAUUUUAAUAAUUUGGAGAAUCAACUAAGUUCGAUGAUGAGGCCGAGGGAGGCAUGGUGGAAAAGAAGAAUUAUACAAUUGCAUUGUAGAGAUGAAAACGUAGCUUGGCAAAACAUGAAAACAAUGAGCUCUAUCUGAACGUUAAUGCAAAACAAUUUCACGCCGAUAGUGUAUAUUCACUAAUAUUGCCCAUUUUCACAUCAGAUGUGUUCGACUCAGGCACAACCACCCUUCAUUUGUGCAACGUCUGCAAGAAGUAAAUCAAUCACUUUGCUCUAGCUAGAAUCAUUAAAAUAAUAAGCAUUUCAGAGUUUGAGAGAUUAAGAAUUCUAUUGACUUUGUUUUAUGUCGAAUCCUAGUUCUUAUCACGAAUUAUUAUAAACAAACUUCCCAGACACAGGGAUAUUUAUGACAAGUUCACUUACUGAACAGAUAAGAAACAAGAAUUUGAAAUAAAACAAGGAUGAGUUCUUAAAUAUAUUCAGUGGAAGCUAAUUUGUGAAGGUAAUCAAAUAUUAUAUAUCCUCAAGCUGAAGUCCCUUCUAAGGAUCAUUCAUGUGUGCUGAUGAUAAUGAACUCAAAUUUGUUGAGACUUCAUCUGUUGCUUUUUUUCGCACGACUGUUGCACCGGACUAUUCAUUAACUUCUCAAGUCCUUUGUGGUUGUGUGUAUUGCUUAGUGGAUGGUUACAUCAACGGUAUAUACUUCUCUACCCCCUUCCAUUUAGUAGAUAUUGUAAAACCAAGGACAACCUCCUGAGGCUUAGGAGAAGCUAUAUAUAACUCUUUUCAACAUCUGUUAUUAGUUGGAAUUAAGUUCGGCUCAUGUGUUGGAUCACCAUUAUUCACUGCCUUCUUUGGAGAUUGAUUUUUCAGGCCAAAAUACAUUCAGUCCCUUGCCUGUAUGUAUAAACAAAAUACACUCAAUUCCUUUAUAAAAUCUUACCAUACAUCUACAAUAUACUAUUUUUUCUUUGCUAUAAGGAUGGAAUUUUAAAUGUUUGGUGAAAAACUGAUAUGUGAAGGUAAUUAGCAUUAUAAAGUCCUGAAAAUCAACUCCAACCACAAGAAGGUGGAAAGAGUAUUACUUUGUUGAAGCAUCCAAUAAAAAGAAAGCCGACUAAAGUUUUGAUAUGUAUGUUAAAAUAAAUUAGUUUGACGAGGCAGAAAAUUCAUGUUAAAGUAUUCACUAAGAUAUGAACUAUGCCUUACCCUUGAAUUAACCAUAACCAGCACAAAGCUAUCAGUUAGAGGAAAUUGAAAUCUUCAGCAGCAAACUUCAUUCCUAAUAUUGCUUAACAACGUCGCCAAUUCUGGCUAUUGGUGUUUCCCCUGAUCGAACAUGAAAUUCCGACUCUUUCAUAAAUAUAUUAUACAUGAAAGGGCUAUUUCAUAAAUGAAGGACCAUCACCUGCAUAUUUUCAUGGAUACAUGUAUUUAAAUUGAAAUCAAGUAAUAUAUGUUAAAAUUAAUACUAUAGGAAUGAAGAUCUAUACCAUAUCAAUACCAGCAUCAAUGGAAGUGGAAACGCGAUAACGAUAAUCUGACGUAUAAGGUUGACAAUUUUAAUCGAUUUUGUCUCAGACAAAAGACAAAAUCACAAGGUUCACAUAAAUCAAGUCUCUUAAAAAAUGUCUUCGUUCCAAUAAAUAAAUUUUGGGUAACCACGAAUAUUCAAAAACUUAAGUGAAGUGAGGUGUCAAAUACCUUAUGGCAGGGAUCUCAAUUCCUCACAUUCAAGAAUAUCCAUAGUUCGAAGCGAAAUAAGUGUCACCUGUUCAGUUUCAUAGGAGAUGCUCUCUGUAAGUGAUAUGACUAAUGCUAAUAUACUAAAAUAUAAAGAGUUAAAAGAUAAAAAAUUCACUUUGUUAUCAAAUUAAACGGUUGAUUUCUCAUUCAUAUCAUCCAAAAUCAUCACCUCUUAUAGUUUCUGUGGUUUAGCUGAAGCAUCCUCUUGCUUUCAGGAAAAACAGUGGACACAACACAACUUGAUCAAUAACAUUGUUCGACACAAACAUGGCUGCGAUUUAGCAGCAUUCCACAACAUAUCUGACACAAACAUAAUGAAAUAACAUGAGUGACUCGACUAGAAUCAUGAAAUAGCUAAAUACACACCUUCCUAAUGAAGAGCUGUAUACACACCUGGCUAAUAGCUUGAACCAAGAAUUUUGAUUUGUUGCAUUAACAAGCUCAGCGUCAAUUCUAAAGAUAUGGCCCAAUUCUCACAAUAAUUUUACUCGUAGACAUAUUCCAUACAAAAACAGAGAAAGCAAGUGAUUCCUGCAUAUAGAAAUUUAAAUUAGAAAGUAAUUUGGGGAUAAGAAGAUGCAGGGAAGAGAUAAAACUAGCAUACAUCUUCUUCCAGAUAAUUGUCUUGAGAAAUGCUUAGAAAUCAAAUAUGCAUGAAUCAACAGAGUUUAGUGCAUGCAUCAACAGCCAUCAAUAUUCUUUAAAAAUUAGCAAAUAACAUACCAAGACAAUUUUAGUACUAUGAAAUUCUGAACAAAAUUCUGACUCAAAGCCAUAGAAAGAUAAAUUCUCAACUAAAUUUGUCCUAAAGGAUCACCUAAAAUCUGUACCAACAAAUUAUACUUAUUAUGUAUGCAGGUCCACUCGUCAUGAACUAAGUUUGUAAUUAAAAAGUGUGGCUAGCAAUCAUUGAUGUAGUUAACGUAUUACAAAUAUUGCGUCAUCAAUGCUCUAAUCACAGUGCCGUAAAAAUAAAUCAAAAUGUUCAAAGAAUUAUAAAAGGGACAUAUACCUCUGGAAAACAUUGAAAAUCUCCUGUCAGGGAGAGAACUCUAUCAGGAACCAUUGCUGCUAUUUUACAAGCUAUCAUAGAUCAUGUUUCAAUAGGCAAACAAUAUUAAAAAUAAACUCAACCUAAUCAAAUCUUAGGAAAAACCAUCUGAAUUUUAACUAAAUCAAAACUCAAUAACACAAAAUAAUAACCGGUUGAGCGCCCAAAAACACGAGCCUUUUUCCAACCUAAAUGACCCAACAAAGUAAUUGUAUCUUUUGCCAUGAUCUUUGUAAAUUAUUCAAAUUAAUGUAGCACCAACACUUCAUAUUGAUGACAUGUCUGAUGUUUAGAUACUGAUAUAACACCAAACCAUAUAAUUUACAUUCAAAAACUUUCAUUUCUUCAAAAUAUUAUCAAACAAUAUAUCAUUCAAAUAAACAAUCUAAAGCAAAUAAAUACAAAAGACCAAUAAAAACCUUGAUGAUCAGACUUUCUAUUGUGUACAGAGCUCCGACCCACGCCCCAAUGAUCAAAAGCGAAAACCUCUACCACCACCGGACUCAUUGUCACAUCCUCCACUCCGAACGAUGUCAUCUUCAUCAUUAGGAACCUAUUAAUCCAUUUAUUUGUCGACCCCACCCUUGUGUGUCAAAGGAAAUCCUAACCAUUCAAUUCAAUCUCCACAAAAUCAGCAAAAUUUAAAAAAAUUUCAAAAAAUAAAAGUAAAAUUGAAUAAAAAUAAAGUGAAUUGAGGCAGAUAAGGGGAAAUAGAGAUCUUACCAGUUAAGUGAAUUGAAUUUUGCGAUGGUGAUCGAGGCCAGAUAAGGGUAAACAACAUACGAGUAAUCAGACUUGCUAAUCCCAUGGAAAAUCAUGAAUAUCUCUUUUUGGAAUAUGAGCUAUCUUAGGUAGAAUAUCUUUCAUGUACUCUGGAUCUCUUCCUGCAGAAUGGGUUCCAAAGAUGUCGACAAUGAGAAUAAAAAUAAAGAUUUUUGAGCAGUUGAAAUCCAAACAUAAGAAGGGGAAAUUGAGAUCCUACCAGUAAAAUUGAUUUUUGCGAUGGUUAAUGAGGCAGAUAAGGGUAAACGUCUCUGCUUCUUAAAACUGUAUUUUUGGAAUAUGAGAUAUCUUGUCCCAAUCCUCCCCUGUUCGCUUCUUGCAUCGUUCCUUUAAUGUUCGGCAACCAAUGAUAGUCAGAAGCUCAAGAGAAGUGAGGUGUCGAAUACCCUCCGGCAAACAUCGCAAUCCUUCACAGCUAUAAAUAUGUAGAGUUCGAAGGGAUUGAAGACCUUCCCAAUUUUGCUCUGGUAAGGACUCCAACUCAUUACAAUAACAGAUACACAGAAGCGUCAAAGCUGGGUUAAAGGUUUCAUUUGGUAACUCCUUCAGUUUUGGGAAAUUAUAUAUUCUCAGAGAUUGAAGAGAAGUAAGGUUUUUGAACAUCCCCUCUGGGAAGGAUGUUAUUCCUUCACCCCCAUUUACGAAAAGCUGAGUAAGACCACGGAAGGUAGAGAUUGACCUCAGUA